rnacentral:lncRNA from 1 species
UUAUCCAUUACAGACAUUUUGAUAAAAUAGAAUGCUACUAUAGAAAAGACUAUACAAGAAGAAAGUGAGGUAUUAUCUCUAAGACUAUUAGAAAAUUAAAUUAAUAUAAAAUAAAAUAAAUAAGAAGAAAAUGCAAAGUCUUGGAUUAAAUAACAAAAUAACAGUAACAAAAUAACUUUAAUUGUUAGAACAUGAAUCAACAAUGCACUAUAUCAUACAAUAAGCACAAAGAAAAAAUAAAUAAGGGGAGAAAUAAUUAGCUUGAGUUUAAGCGCGCAAAUGCUAUCCUUAGAGAGAAAACACCCCAUUGCACUGGUAGGAAAAUCUGAUUAUGCUCUUCUCCUAAUAUACGAUAAUCCAUUGGUUCCGAUCGUGUGCACCGAAAGAAUUCUCGAAUCUUUUGAACAACAAUAUUCUUUUCUGAAAGUUUUAUAAGAGAAUGAAGAGAAAAUUUUAGAGAGAAAUUGUUGGUAUACUUGUGUGUUUUAUAGAGAGGAGGAAACACAUAUAUAAAUUGAAAACCAACUUACAGGUAUCAAAACAAACAUAAUCAAUUGCAUUAACCCAUUAAAACAAAAUAUUAGGAAAUCUAAUCUUAAAUAAUAGAUCCUAAAACAAAUAAUCUAUUUUAUAAAAACAGAAUUAAUACGAGUAAUAUAUUUUUAUAAAUUUUAAAUUAUAAAAUAAAUAUUUACUAAGAUAAUGACUAAUGAGGAAGGUUCUCGUUAUUAGCUGUUUGAGUUAAGCAUGCAUUUGCGCAUGUUGAUAAAUUUGACCGGGACUUAGUUCAUAGUUGGAGACGAGGACCCGGUCGGUAUAUAUAAAACACUUUUUGCUUUAAUACAAUACAAUAGAAGGCUAUGAAUAUGAAGAUGUCAUACUCUGCCUUGCUAGUUUUGUUCCUUUCGCUUACCUUCUUCACCGCUUCGACGCCUGCUGGGUGGACCUCUACUGCUCCACCUUCUUGUCCUCGUGAUAGUUGUGGGAUACCACGGCCACUCCCUCCUUAUAAGCCCCCACCAUUGUAUAGAUCUACUUCCAAGGGGAAACCUUAAGAUCGAUCAAUGUCCCUAUAGUACUCUUUGCAGCAGCAGCAGAAUGCGUCUAUCUCAUCUUCAGCUAGUGUGCUUAUUAGAAUAAUUUAACUUUCUCAAAUGCAUUAGGUGAAUGUCGUGAUGUGUCUUAAGCUAGUAUCUGGAUGUGAUUGAUUUAUCAUAAAAAUUAAAAGCAAAAAAAACAACGGACAGGACACAUAUAAGGGUGUGUUAUAAUUUCACAAUCGUCCUUUGCUUGUUUUUCUGUUUUAUUCAUAUUUCUCUUAUUUUGUACUUUGUUUAUUAUGGCUUUACAUUGGAAAUCAAUAAAGUAUUUUAUCUAUUUGUUUUUUUUCAUAUUUUAUUUAUGAAAAACGAAAUUGAUAAAGAGAAGGGUUGCUUCCAGGCAUACAAAACUACACCAACCAAAUCUCAGCGAGGAUUUGUAGAAUCGACCUCAAAUCCUAUCUUUGUAAGGGUAGAAGACUAAUCAUGCUAGUUAACCUCUCGUUGGCUCUUUUUCAAAUUUUAAAAAGUUAAAAUUUAGUAUUUUGAUUUUAGUGCUAGAAGCUUGUUCAGAAUCAGAGCUAUGGAUCUCAGCAGCUUUUUUCUUCUUUUUUCAGGCACAAUAUAAUUCAAGCAUUCAAGUCAUUGUUUAACAUGCAUAAGAUCAUAUUUUUUUUUGUGAACUGAUCCUGAUAUUUUUUUAUUAGAUGACCCAAUUAUAAGCACUAGGUGUGCCAAUAAUUAAGCCGAAGAUCAACAUAUAAAAAUGCUUUUACAUAUACAUCAAAUAAUAAUUUGAGUUAAUAAAAGAUUACGUACGCACGUGAUAUUUUUUUGUCGAUAAAUAAAAUAUGAAUAUUAUAAAAAAAAAAGGUAUAAAGGAUACCAGAACAGCUUACAGAAAGAGAGUAUAAAUACCCAGCUUAAGCAAAAACUACAAUCCCUAGUCGAUUUUUUUGUUGCUGGUCCAAAUGAAUUUUUUGGCCGUAGUGGUUAUUUAAAGUUAUAUACAGAUUGUGCACAUAUAAAAAUAACCACUUCCCCAUAUGUAGGGCAGUUGGAACAAACCGUAUACAUGAAUUAAAAUCAUUUCCAUAAAUAAAAAUUAAUAAAUUAACAACUAACAUUGUUCUUUAAAAAAUAAAAAUAAAAAUUAAUUUAGGGGUAAGGGACAAAAAGGACCAGAAAAGAAUGAGUUUCCAUUAUGAUUUAAUGUAUCAUGAAUACAACUCUGUUUCUUACAUGAUACAAGUGUCAAAUCAACAUUAAAAAUACUAUAUAGAUGAGAUUAAAUAUUUAAAAAUUUAAAUUAAAUUAUAAUAUAAUAAUUAAUUCAUCAUCAUCACAUUGUCCAUAACAAUCGUAUCACCACCAUAAUUGUUACCGUAACUCCCACCAUGAUGCCCAUGGCAACGACAAUGAUGAUGGUAUGGAUAAACAGAGAUGGUGGCAGUUAACGAUGAUAGUGAUAACGACGACAUUAUGAUGAUAGUUACAUUAAUGAUCAUAUUGGUGACAGUAACGACAACAUAGGUCAUGACGACAGAGAUCGCUACAAUGGGGUGAUGGUUGAUACAAAUGGCGAUUAUGAUAGCGAUUGCAAGUCAUGAUAGUGACUCCAUCAAGAAUUAAUUUUAUUAUUAAUGAGUUUGAGUAUCAUCAAAUAAAUCAUAAUAUAUUAGUUAUUAGUUAGUUUAUGACAAAAAUAAAUAUUAAAAUUAUUUGUAGCCACGAGAGUUUAUGAAAAAAUUCCAACAUACCAUCUUGUUACAUGAAAUUGGUACUACUUGUAUUCUGUUAAUGAUAUUUAUUUCCUUCCUGAUAAAAAAAUCUUACUUGAAAUAGGCUAACAUUAAUGUUUCAUAUUUUCAAAAAUUAUUCCAUUGUACUUCAUUCACAUCACUUUGUCACUUUGUCGACGUGUUAGCAGGGCAAUUAACAUAGAUAUUUGGUUCACAUUAGAGCCAAAAUACCAAGAAAUGCAACUAGCUAGCAAGAAUGUAGGAUCCAAAAUAUUUUUGAGUGUAAACGACCAGAUAUUAAUUUUGGCAAACUAACGUUUCAACAUGUGAGAAAGAAGGAACUCCUUGAUUUAGGUGCAUAAACGCAAAUAUGAUGUUUAGUCUAUUUUCUUAUAAGAUUUAACCCGACCUCUACAUAUAUUAAUUAAUAAUCCUAAAUAUACAAUAUGUAGGUUAGUGGACUUAAAUUAUUAAUUAGACUAAUUAACAAGUUUAUAAUUUAAAAAUAUUAUAAUAUUAAUUUAGUGCAAUAAGAGUUAUAUAAUUUUAAAAUAUUAUAAUAUUAAUUUAGUGCAAUAAGAGUUAUAUAUAGUUGUUGUUUUGGAACAAUAGAUUUUUUACCAAUAAAUCUAAAAGAUAUAUAAAUACACAUUCGCAAGGCUUUGUUUACCAUUCAGGUUUUCAUACACAAACAGAGACUGAAUCCUGUAAAAAAAUAAAAUAAAACUUGGUCUGUUAUUUAUAAAAAGUGUGACAAAUCUCUUACAUCAUCAAUUAAACCUGAAUGGUACACGGAUUCAAAUUUAUUAAGUAUAAAAUCAAUAUUAAAGAAAUUCAAAGAAAAGAUCUCUACUUGAAAUAUAUGAGUCAGUAUAAAAUCUUACAAGUGCGAUACUGGUAUUCUAAACACAACUUCCAAAGGUCGCCCAUUCUUCUUGAGUUUCCUACCUUCUUGAGGUACGUCUCAGUCUAUUAUCUCGCUUUCUCCGCAGUAUCGCAAGCGGAGGGAGAACUAGACAUAUCUUGCUAGACCCAUCUUGAAUAGGAUUUUAGCUACUAAAUAUGUUGAUGGUCUUUAUGAAAAACUAUUAACUAGGAAUAUUAUGCUACCCAUAUGGAAAGAAGACGCUAGGGGAAUAGAAAGACCAUCAAAUAAACGAAGUCAACACCAGGUCUUCCGAAGCAUUAACAAUUACCUAUUUAAUAUGUACUCAGUCUGGGUGGAUAUCUCACUACAUUGACGCAGUUUGUUCAAAGACGAACGCCCUGAAUUAUGCCAUCUGCUUAGGCUUUCAAAUAUGGUACGCUCUAAUGCCAAGCCUUAUGCUGGUCUUAGGGUAUUAUCAUCAAAUCUUUAAGCCAGAGGUAGUUAAAUACAUCAAGCACACCAUAGGAGUAUGGCACAAUGAUAUUGUCAAGAUCGCAUCAGAUCUAAUAGGCAAUAAUGAAUUCUUCAUGCAGCCCGACGUGGGAACGCUCGAAAGCAGUGGGGCCUCUGGGACAGGGACCAGACCUGAGUCGCUAACAUUUGGGAAUAAGAGAAGUAGAUAUACCCAAUUUUUUAACUAGCCAAGGAAGGAAAGCGGGAAAGGUCCGAUACAAAGGAAAGGGUUGCGAGGCUUAACGAUUUAGAAUAUAGCUGUUGAGGUGGCACUUGUUCCCCCGGGGCGGGGGUAUAUGCCCGUAGCUUUAUUCUGUCACUUCUUUCAGAUCAAUGAAGUUGAAAAGUUAUAGAGUAAGGGACCCUUGUUUACAAAGCUGUCACUCCAAGAACUCGAAGUCAAGCAUCUUCGAGAAUAUCCAGAUUAGUCUUCAACUAGAGAAAGGAUAGGAAUCUCCUUUGCAGAGUUUUCUUCUCCUGCUGAUGUAGCGGUAAAGUCAAAAGUUGGAUGCCCUUUUUUCUUUAUUUAAUUAAUUCCGUUGAUAGAGCUUUUGAGCGGAUGCAAGCACUAGAUUCUUCAACGAGUACCAAUAAUAAAUGAAUUCACCAGACUAAGAGAAGAAAACAAAACAAAAAGAUUAAGCCCAGCCGCCUUUGGCAAGACCUAUCUUCGUCGGGAGGAAGAGCCCUCUUUACACCAUUGUGAUUAGAAAAAACCGAAAAGUGGACCGGCCUAGUAACCAAUAGAGCGGGGCUUGAUCCCCACUUUAAAUCUAUUGGAUAGAGCCCUCAGCCCAGGGCAAGCGAUUGAAUUCUAUUUGAUUAUGGGUUAGGUGGAACCUGAAACUAGCACUUACAAAUGAGUUAGCAAAAGGAAAAAGACAAUUCUCAAAUGCGUACAAGACUUUCUUCCUUCUUUGUUUAAGAGGCCAGUCUGCGAUGGAUGCUCGUGCAUGAAAAAAGGGCUUUGAUCUAUUCACUUAUAUAAUAGAGCCAAUCUCUGCAGGACAAGAUAUCUAUUUUGUCAUUGGGAAGUAAGGCUUAAGUCGACGAAAAAGUUAGGAAAGGGGAUCAUAUGGCUAGGGUUGCCCUCGGGGCUCAAGGGUUUAGCGAUGAAGAGUGCCAAGCAAAAGGUCAAUACCGGUACGCCGAUCAAAGAAGUCCAGUGGCAAGGCCCUUUCAGCCAAGCUAGUGUGCUGAACAGAAAGUCGUAGAGUGAUGACAACUUCUUCUUCUUGAGUCAUUCGUGUGACAACAUCAGGAUCUCAUCGAAAGACCUCCUCUGCCUAUCUCUCCCGCAAGAGAGGACUCGUUAUGGCGCACCUCUUUUUAGCAAUCUUGUGAAUAAGAUAAGAUUGCCCCUCCUUUCUUAUUGAUUUGAUAAAGGGCUUUGUCCACUCCCUCUCUUCUUAGCCGAGCGGAGUGACGGUUUAGUUUAGGCUUUAGAUGCCACUGCGAAAGACUCUAGAGAUCCACUCUCACAGCGUAUACGCGACAUCCCUAUGUAUACACAAUCCUUUCAAGCAGCUAGGACAGCUAGCAAGCAAGUUAUUUGUUCGCUGACAAGCUCUCUGGAUGACAAAAAGCAUGCUCUUUCAUGCGGAAAAAACAUGGUCUUUCGUGGAAGUUGGUCGAUUUGAAGUCGCUUUAUGAGUGAAAAUGGGUCAAUGACGAAAAAGAUGGGGAAAAUGAUCAACUGUCACAUUUUGAUGCCAGUUUAGGGUUAAAAUGAACUUUCAUCCAAAAAGACCGAGAAAACGCUCCACUGGCAGGAUCUAAUCGGAAAUAACCCCUGAGGUAAUAGAUAGAUUGGAUAAAAAUCUGACUCUCGCACCGGAACUCUUGCUUCUUGGCCAAGAGAGGCUUCUCGUUGCAAUCGAUUCCUAACAUCUGAUCGGCGAUUGUGAAAAAAGAAUAGGAGUCCUUUAGCCUUCGGUCAAUAGGAGUAAUUCUUCCCUCUAGUAGGUCAGUCUUUAAAUGUGUUCCAUAGAAUAGAAGAGAAAGAGUCAGUCUUUACUCCUUAGUCUGCCGCUAUCUUUCAUCCCUUAAUUGCUUUAUCUUUUCUUUUUCUGUUGUAAAUGUAAACCGGCCAUUUGUUAGGAUCUUCUCGCCGUAACCAGUAAUAGGCUUAUCUGCCGUUUCAUUCGCAUUAUCGUGAGCGGGUUUGGUGAACUACCCUUUCACUGGUUCUAGCUACUAUUGGAUUUGAACCCAGAAAGUAUUCCAACUCUGCCUUUUAGGGUAAGAUACCCUGGCUUUCAGUAUACAACACAUUUCCUAACUCUUUAGGAUAAAAUAAACACAUCUUCCUUCCCUUACUUCAAUUCCAGUCGGGGAGGGGGAGUGGAGAGAAAGAGAUCACAUUCUAUCCUAGGGCUAGGGAGAGAGAGAUUCCAGCCUUCUUCCCAACUGAGGCAACAAACAAUCGAGCAGAAGGUCUGGCUGUGCGCGAAGAAGGACUUCGGCCAUUAGUUAAAUUUCACGAGUUGUUGAGGUUAAUUCAAUCGAACAUCAGCUUCGGAGCUUAGAGCACGCCAAGCACAAGCGACUUCCUUUCUUUCUACUUCCUACGAGAUUUGAAAGAGAGGUCUUUGUCCCAACCUUUCUUGUCUUCAGUGUCUGUUUACGGCCUCAGGGGAAGGAGAAGCCUCAGCGUACCAAACAGAUUCAUUAGGUUCAGGGGCUGAAAGGGACGGAUUCCCUAUUGGGUUCAGGGACGAGUACGGAAAGUCAGAGUCCAAGUCCCAAAGAACAAAUUCAGCCACUUCCUUCUCUAUUGAAGGGACAUCUAGAUCUAGGUCAGCCGCAUCUGCAGUUGAAGCAGUUGAGGGCCGGGCCAAGGCCGACAAGAGCCAUGUUUGCAUUUGAUGAGCCUGACUAGUAGCAGCAACCAGGUUAUGUCUGUGCUGUGACUUUGUAUGAACCGUGUCAGAAUGAGCAUCAAAUCAACCAAAAGUUCUCAGCUUCUUUCUUAAGUGCUUCAGUUCGACGUGAUCUAUCGCAGACGGUUUUGAAUCAGACUCUUCCCCUACUUUCCACGUCAAGCAGUAGGAAAUUGGAACAGUCUCCGAUUUCAAAGGCGAAGCCGAGGGGGCCCCAUUCCAAUGAGAAUCAAAGGCAAUCGAGAACGGGUUUUCAUCCCCCCUUUUUGUUCUCGUCUAAGCAGUCGGCCCAGUCUCGUACAUAUAACUAGAGAUCUUUUCUUUGAAUUUCUUUAAUAUUGAUUUUAUACUUAAUAAAUUUGAAUCCGUGUAUAUAAUAAUAUUGAAAAGAAUAACAAAAAGCAGUCUCUUAUAUACUUUAUAUACCGAAAUCCAACGCCUAUUACGAAGCGCCUGAGUGAGAUUACUUAGGAUGCACUGAACUACGUAGAGCCAGAACGACCUAUCACCAACUUCAAUGAUUCACUUUGAACAAAACAGCACCGAGCAGAGCUUAACGAAGACCUGUGCCUGGAGGAUCUUUCUCCGAUGAUGAGUCUCUAUUGGAAUGGACGGUAGCUUCGGACGAUGCGCCCCUCUUCGCCAGAUGGAUCAGAUGUAGGUGGCCUAGAAAAAGAAGUUUCACUCUUCUCUCUUGACAUGAGACUAGGUUGGGGGAGUUUAGUGAGUGAGGAUAAGAGUCGGUAGCUGUUAAAAAGAAUCAACAGGUCCUCUCAGGUAUUGAAAUCCAAUGGGAUCAAGAGCUCCAGAGCAGAGCUAGGAGUUCUAUGUCUAGGUUGAGGAGUUUUUCUUCUUCUUAAUCUUAAAGAAGGGAGAACUGUUAUGAAAACAAAAAGGUACACCCUAUUGGAAGGAAAAGACUCAAUGAAAUAAGGGGGAAGACCCACUUAGAAAGACUAUGGUAUAGAGGAGUUCUUACGGUUUAACUACAAGAUACAAGAAAAGCCCUUGCAGGCAAAAGAAGGCAAACCAACUUCAACCCCGGUCAGUUUCCACACCUGAGGGCUAAUCCGGAUAUUAGCUAGUUUUAGGGAGAUGGAUUGAUUCAUCCUUGGUUCUAUAGUUGAAAGGUAUGUAUGGUGAGCAGAUCAUAGGGGAGUCUCUUUCUUUCUCUUUGGCUGUGAGGGACGACUAAGCCAAAACCAUUAGCGACGAAAGAGGAGUUUCGCUCGUUGACUAGGAACCGAAAAGACGUCAAGGAGAGACGAGGCGUUAGCACAUCAGUGGAGUCGGGAGAGGUUCAUGGUAGAGCCAAGGCCAAUCCCCUUUUGAAGAUGGUGCAUGAUAUCAUUGGACCAUUUUGACAGUGAGAAAUUUACUAAGUAUGCUACUGACUUAGAUGGACUAAAUUGCCAUUUGAAAUUUCUUUAAACCUAUUUGUCACCUUGAAAAAAAUUUCAUUUAUUUUCUCUUUUAUUUUUCAUUCUCAAAUUUACCCUUUUGUUUUUUCUCUUGUCUCCUUUCCUCGUCUCCUCCUCUCCUUUUGUGCUUCUAUAUCAAGUACCACAAUGGCAAUAGCGUGGUAGUGGUGCCACAAGCAUAAUGCGGCAAUUCAAGGAGCGACACCAUCCUUUUGAAGGAGGCAGUGUAAGCAUGGUGGAAGGGGAAAACAGAGAAGGCAAAAGAGGAUUUAUUUAUUUAUAUGAUUUGAAUAAGAUUGAUUUAAUUAAAUUCUGAAUUUUUAUAUUUUUUUCCUUACUUAUAUGUAUGUCGCGGUAUAGGAUGUCACACAUCACUUUGUGGAUUUGUUAACCAAACAAUGAUGGUCAUGAUAGCGAAAGUGAUGGCGGUUGACGAUGAUAGUGAUGACAACAACAAUCAUGAUGGUGGUUACAGUGGUGAUCAUGAUAGUGACAAUGGCAAUGACAAAGGUCAUCACAACAGAGGUGGUGACAGUUGAUGAUGACGAUGAUUAUAAUGGUAGUUGCAGCGCGCAGUGGUCAUAAUGGUCCCAUCAAGAAUUAAUCUUAUUAUUAAUGAGUUUGAUUAUCACUAAAUAAAUCAUAAUAUAUGACGUAGCUCCAUGUGGAACUUGUAGGCCUUGGAUCUUCUUCAUCAAUGGAGUUCUUUGCUUCUUGAAGUUUAAUGGCAGCGGAAUGGAGAAGGAGAAAGAUGAUUGGAGACGCCACUUCAAGGAGAAGAAGAGUCUAGAAGAAGCUCACCACCAUAAGAAGCCAUGGGUAAUAGCUUGAAGGUAGAAGAAGAUGAGUGAAGGGAGAGGAGGUGAGGGAGCAUGAAAUUUUGUGCCUCAAAAAAGGUCUGAACUUUGAAGUGUAAUUCUCAAAUGAUCAGAGUUGAAAAGAUGCACACACAUGACCUCUAUUUAUAGCCUAAGUGUCACACAAAAUUGGAGGAAAAUUUGAAUUAAUAAGAUUUAACCCGACCUCUAAACAUAUUAAUUAAUAAUCCUAAAUAUACAAUACGUAGGUUAGUGCAAUCCUAAAUUAUUAUUUAGACUAAUUAACAAGUUUAUAAUUUUAAAAUAUUAUAAUAUUAAUUUAGUGCAGUAAGAGUUAUGUAUAGUAGUUGUUUCGAAACAGUUAUUUUUUACCAAUAAAUCUAAAAGAUAUAUAUAUUCGCAAGGCUUUGUUUAUCAUUCAGGUUUUCAUACAGAAACAGGAUCAUUCUCUAGAGGAUUAAACCCCUUCCAUUUUCAAACUUUUUAAGUCAUCAUUUUCUAGAAGAAGAAAACCAAGUCUGAAAUGGCCUUUUUUUUCAAGUUUCUAUCCCUCAUUCUUUGGGUGUUGCUAGGUGUACCCAACAUUCUAUAAAAAGGGUGAAAUUGCCCUUGCUUGGUUUUCCUCUUACGGAUCAAGUUGAUCCGUAAGAAGAAAAAUAAUAAUUUUUUAAUAACUACAUAUUUAAAGAUAUUGUUUAAGGUUAUUUUAUACAUAUUAAUAAAAAUCAAUAUACAUAAAAAGAUAAUAAUAAUAUUAUAAAAUUAAUAUUAUUAUCAUUAAUUUAUUUUUUAUUUUUAUAAUUAAUCAUAUCAUUAUUAAUAUUAUAAAGAAUAUAAAAAAUAAUUAGUAUUAUAUUAAAAAUUAAAAUACUAACUACUUUAUAAUACAUUUUUUUACAUGAUCAUUAAUAUAAGUGGGAAAAUAGUAAUUAUAAGAGAAUUUACAAAUAUUAGUACGUUAUAUAAAAUAAGGAUCUUAGAUAACGAAUGAUGUCCAUUUUUUGUUUAAUUUUUUUUUACACUCUUUUCAACUUCUUUAUUUCAAUUAUAUUUAAAGUUAUAUUUUAAAUUAUUUUUUAUUAGUUGGUAAACUAAGUUAACUAGACCAUUUAUAAUAAUUUACAUAUACUAUAACUAAGUUAAUUAGACCAUUUUAAUAACACGCGUGUAUAUAAACACAAAUGGAAUACACAAUCAAUGAAAAUAAAUAAAACUAACAUUAGUAAUGAAAAUAAAUAAAACCAACAAUACUCAUGAAAUGAGUUCAUGUACAAUAUUUGCAUAUAGAAGGAAUAUCAAUAUAAAAUAUGUACAUAAACUACGCCUGAUCAGUGCGCCGCUUGCAUCUACACCUAACGUAUACUAGAUGGUCCUGUGUCACACUCCUGACCAAUCUGAGGGAUUCUUCGAUCACCUCAUGUGUCGAUGAGCCAGGCGUGACCACCCCUAGACUCAGAUGGCGCUCCAACCUCUCAGCAAUGUCAUCACAAACUUCCUGUUACAUACAAAACAAACUAAUUACACACAUUAUUAUGCAAAUAUUGAGGUAAAUGACGUAAAUUAUUAGUAUUACUUACCAUUGCAUGUCUGGGCUCCUCCGCAGAUGUCGACGAUGCUCCUAGCUUCGGCACGCGAGGGAUAUCCAUCUGCGGGGCCUGAGGGACGACUCGGGGCUGCGGGGCGUGACCAUGAGGUAGAGGAUCUAAUGCAUGGCCUGGUGUCAUGAAAGGAUGGGAGAUGCGGAAGAACCAGUCGAUGUAGUCACUGGAACACGCCCUUGGCACAACGCACACCUCACCUGCUGGUACGAUAUGAUCCUCGUAGUGCAUCCACCUGUCAUAUAUAUCAUCAUACGAGACCCAUGAAUCGAUAGGAGGAGCAGGAAUGGUCUGCGUGUAGCCAAACUGCCGCACGACCCUCUCCAAUCGGUAAUAAACAGCAACAAGCCCCCAGUGCAAGAGACCGGAAUAGCAUGAUCUGACGUGGAAGUCCCAGACCUCCCGAUGCUCCCCAUAAGGGAUCUAACAGACAUCCAAAAUCCGGAGUCAGUUCAGGCACUCCCUGUACAACGGUGUGUGAAUGCUCUUCACGGUCUUCUUCGUCGCAAUCCACCUGCACGCACGCGGAGAAGCCUCGUCGUAGUCCUGAUCAGUGGUGGACUCCGCGACCGAGGGAAAGUGCUCGUAAAUCCAGCACUACAGAUGUAACAUUCAAAUUAUAAACAUUAAUAAUGAAAGUGUAACAAAAUUUAAAGUUGAACAUUGUUUAGCCUGAAUGAAUGAAAAACAUAUUUGUUACCUGCAGUAGUGUGAUGUAACCGUCAAGCUGUCGACUGUGGCUCAUAGAUGCAUCGUUCAGCUGGUCGUACAUUUGAACCAAAGCAGCCACUCCCCAGGCAUACAUCUCUGUCAUACUGAGGUCACAAAGGUCCUCCAAGUAGACAACAUGGACAUUUGUUGCACUCUUGUUAGCAAACAAAGUGCAACCCAGUAGGUGAAGAAGAUAUGAGCGAGCCGCAGCUGUCCAAUGACCUGCCUGGCAUCGGCGCUGAUAUAUAUCAUGUACCCAUUACAGGCGUACGUACGGUCCACGACACUGGACUGUCUCAGCCCUAGCAGACUCUGGAGAGACCAUCAACAAGUCCACCAGCAUCUGAAUCGCAUCGUCCAUGUGCAAGGGCUCAAAUGCGUGUAAGUCGCCAAUAACGGGAAGAUGGAGAAGAGAGGAGACAUCGUCCAAUGUGAUGGUGAGCUCUCCCACCGGGAGAUGGAAACUAGACGUCUCCUGGUGCUACCGCUCCACAAACGCGGACAAAAGUCCCCGAUCGCUGGUGUCUACCGAACAUGCGAUCAGAGGACUUAGUCUUGUACCAGCAAUAAGUCCCUCAAUGGCAGGGAUAGGCCUGCCUAAACUGUGGACCUUCCUUCCAUGAGAUUAUAGCUUCAAUUCAGGACGCUCCUGAAUUGAAGUAUAAAGGAACGCAAAAUUCGUUAAAAUUAUCAUUUAAAGGAAAACUAAUUUCAAUCAUAAAGUAUAAUUUACAAGUAACUAAAAAUAAAUAGUAUAAAUACCUCUCCCGUCCAUACGCUGCAAGCAACGUGAUCCGCAUACGCUGUCAACACGAAUGGGUCGCUUGGACCACCCGAAAAUCCCUGAUGCUGAUCCUUAGCUACCUUUACGCCUGCGUCCACAGGAAUGUCCGCAGGAAUGUCCUCCACAGUAGCUGGUGCCUCCAUCGGGUCAUCCUGAACAUCUAGCGCAGGGAUGACUGGCUCAUCAACGUGAUCCGUAGUCACAGCGACUCGCUGCCUCCGUGCAGGUGCAGUAGGCCGUCGAUGCUGCAGAGUAUCAUCGGAAUCAUCACGAUCUCCUUUGCCCACACCUCUGCCAGUGACCAGACCUAAGGCACGACCUAAUCCUCUAGUCCUAACCAUGAUAUGCAAAUGAGUACCGCAAAAUCCAUCACUCAUUUCAUUUUCUCAAAUUUCAAGCAUUUGGUUAGCUCAAUUCAAUUACUCUAAUGGCCACUUGUUGUUUCAUCAUAUGUUUUACUUAUUAGAGAGAAACUUGCUGAGCUUUAUGAAUCUGACAAACAAUGGUCAAUAGCAUCUCAAAUGCUUAGUGGUAUUGACCUUGAUUCAGGAAGGUGUUGUUUUUUGGUCAACAACAUCUCAAAUUUGUGUGGAUAAACAAACUAAGCAUAAACAAUGGUCAACAACAUCUCAAAUGCUUAGUGGUAUUGACCUUGAUUCAGCAAGGUGUUGUUUUGUGGUCAACAACAUCUCAAAUGCUUAGUGGGAAACUUGCUGAGCUUUAUGAAUCUGAGAAACAAUGAUUCAUGAAGGAAUGAUGUGUGUGAAUAAACGAAAUAAAAUCAAACCAGGAUUGAUGUGUUUGAUGUGUGUGGAUAAACGAAAAUUAGGAAUUAAUGCUAAGAUAGUGUUUGAUGUGUGUGGAUAAACGAAAUAGAAUCAAAAUAUACCAUUUCUCAACACAAUAUUGUGUUUUGUUCUAUUUUUAUGAUUGACCAAAGCUAGAAUAGAACCCAUUAGAGGAUUGAGUGAAGGAAUAAAAUAGCUAACUUGAACAAGUGCAGAAGAAGACUUAAAUUCUUACUAAAAUGUACAAAUUUGGAUGACUCUAAUAGAAGUAACCCACUACUUUAAACUAAUUCAAUUGCCAUAACAUGUUCACUUCAUUAUGAUAUCAAUGUCAAUUCCCUCCCUUGUUGGCUAUCACAACUAGGACCAUUCCUUGUUAUACUGCUUGUGACAAUUCCAUCUAAGAACAAUAUAUAUUAAUAUAUAGAACAAUAUUGAUGUACAGUUUGAAAUAGAAAUAAGAACAGCUAGUAAAAGUUGCAAUCAUUAUAGGAUUUGGAUUAAUUGUUCUCCUAACCCUCAUAAAACUUUCUCUCUAAAUGUUUUCUAUAUACACUUAUUGAUUGUCCUUAUAGCAUUCUAUCUAGAAAUAAUCCACAUUGACCAAUAUGUUUUUGUUGACCAGUUCUAUAAAAAGCUAAUAAUGCUAGUCCUAAAUAUGUUGUGAAUGUUGAAAUUGAAGUUAGUAGUGUGACCACCGGAUAAUGAAUGUUUUCUCCGUUUAAGACAUGAAUAAAAUUCAUUGUCUUUGUUCAAAGCAAAGGAGGUUGGGCUGCUUUUUGAAGAAUGAAAUGAUUGCAGGCCUUUGAGCUUUAGAGGGAGCAAAAGAAAUUCAUAGACAUUAGGCAGGUGAGUUAGGUGAAGCAAUGAUUUCCCAUUUUCCUUUUUCUCUCAAGGAUCAACAUUUAAUCAAGUUUUAGGGAUUUGUCCUAAUCAUGUUACUUUUGAACUUAAUUUGCUGAGGUUGUCUAGGCAUUGGAAUUAGUUUUCUGAUACCACAUUCAGUUCUAAGUGGCAAUUACAUCAAAGUCAAUUACAUAUUCGCAUUAAAUCAAAUUGAAACAGUAGAUAUUCUCCAAAAUGACAAUAUUUAUCAAAUAUUUAGCAUACAUUCAGAGCUGAUCCUAAUAACCAAAAUUCAUAAUUUCAAAAAAAACUCACAAUGUAUCAAAAUAAUUGGAAAUUUUUCAAAUAAAAUGAAGCUGUGAGUAGUUUACGGAUCAAGUGAUCCGUUAGCAUUUUCCGGAUCAACAUGAUCCGGAAAAUGCUUACGGAUAACUUGAUCCGUAAACUACUUAAUAUGCUUUACAGAUCACUUGAUCCGUAAACCACUAACAAAUAGUUUACGGAUCACUUGAUCCGUAAGCAUCUUCCGAAUCAACUUGAUCCGGAAAAUGCUUACGGAUCACUUGAUCCGUAAACAACCCAGCAACUUCCCGACAGCGUUUUCCGCCAUCGCCGGCAAAAACCAAAAUGCGAACGACAAACUUACCUUGAAGAAGAAGCAGAAACGCGAAGAAGAAGCAGAAAUGCGAAGAAGAAGCACAAACGCAAAGACCCACACCUUCCUCUUAAACGCGGCAACAAUGGCGGCGAUGGCGGCGAAGAAGAAGAAGAAGAAUGAAGAAGCUACACGGGAGGAAGAAGAAAACUAAAGAAGCAGAAAAAGCAAGAAACAGAACCGUUGGAGGAAGAAGAAGAACAUGCGGGGGAGAAAGAGAGGUUUCAUUUUUUAAAAAAAAAAUUAGUGAAGGGCAUUAUAGCUGCAUUAUAGCACUCUCAUUCUUUUCAUUGGCCUGAUAUUCUAAGCUGAUGCCAAUGGUUGUUUGACUAAGGACAUUACCAUUGACCAAUUGUAGUUGUUUUCAAUGGCACGUGCCUCGUCAAGUUUUUGUAUGCAAGGAAUUCUCAAUUUCCAUUUCGACCCAUUGUCUCCACAAUAAAAUGUUGUUCUUAUGUUUGAAGAUUUUUUUUUAUUAUUGCUCAUCAGUCGGCAUACUAAUAAAUGUUUAGCUUAGAGUUAUAAAAUUAAUUGAAAGAUACAAGAAAAAAGAGAAGAGAGAGAAAUUAGGAUUUUAAAUCUUUUCCAUUAACAAUUGACAAAAUAACAAGUAAUCUGGUAUAAAAAUAAAAAUAAAAUGACUUGACAAAGUCUAAUUCGAAUUAGGCUGUAGACAAGUGGACUGUCUUAACCAUUAAUUUCAAAGAAUAGACUCGUUGUUUGACAACUCGAGAUUGGAACUGUCUUAACCAUAUUUUCAUUUAAUUCAUCUUCACUUUCAAGUUUCACAUAUAAUUUUUUUAUACGUGAAUAUAUGCUGUUUUUUUUUCUGAAUUGUACAUGAAUAUUUGUUUUUUUUACUGAUACAUUAAUAUUUGUUAUUAAUUUAAUAAUUAGCAUAGAUGCAAUCAAUUUAAUUAUCAUAUUUUAGUUUUGAAAUAUAUUAUCAACUUACUAUAAAGAAUUAAACUGAUUACAUAGACAAACUUUAAUCAAUUUGGACCAGUUUGUUUACCCACAUUUAUUUGUUGUUGCAACUCUUACUUAUGUUUUUUUAUUCUAGAAAAAGAUAUUUUCACGUACGAAAGUUAUGGGACCAACUCUUGAGGCAUAGAGAUUAUUAAAAUAGAUUUUGUCUUUCCUAAUAAAUUUUCUUCCAUAUUAGAGAAUCGAAUCUCUAUCAGAAUAAUUAAGCAACUCAAUCAUAUACCAAAUUUGUGAGAUCGUUUGGUACAACUCUUAGUUAUGUUGCACAUGAAACCUAAUUAUUCUAUCAUUUUGUUAUUUUAUCCCACAAUACUUCAAAAGUUACCGUUUAAAUUGUUCAACUAAUAGCUAAGCCUUGUUAUAAAGUUUAGAGUGAUUAUUUUUUUUUGUUUGAAAGGUUUAUAAAGUUUAGUUAUUCCGGUCAUAAGUUGUAUUUCACGUGGGCUAAUCAGCACACAGCUACCUCAAUUUAAUGUGUAUAUAGUAAUCUCAUUAUAUAGUCUCUACCAUAUUAGUCCUUUUUCCCAACAGCAAAAUUAGCAUACAUCUGAAGUCCAUCAUAUGCCCAAUAUACCUAUAGCAGUUUAGCAACAAUUCAAACCCAAUUUCAUCAAUAAUUACAUCAUCAUCAACCAAUAUUCCACAAGAAUUCAUCAUCACCACUCAUUCGUAAAAAAUAAUCCAAACAAUUCAGCUUGAAACCACCUACGUUUUGAUAAAUCAACCAAGAUUCAACAAACACACAAUCAUCGUUGGCUAUUUGUGGUCACCCGAUCAGACCGCAAGAAUGGGCUGGGCUUCCCCAUUUCAAUUUAACCGUGAGCUUUCUUAUUGGCACCACCUCGUUGCUAUCCCCCCCCCCCCCCCACCCCACUCCCUUAAACUUGGUAUUUUAUAUAUAUGUUGACGAAAAUCCCUCACUAUGAAAACUUGUUACUAUUGUGUCUAUACACAACAAUUUUUUUUUUCUUGUGUAAUAUUAUUUUGUAUCCCCUAUUACACAACUUAAACUUUCUUUUGUUAUGUAAUUGAGAAAAAAUAUUUUUAUAUAUUUGAUAUUUAUUUUUUUAUAAGAAAUAGAACUAAAACAAUUUCCUAAACUAUUUUUCAGAAACAACUUAAUAAAUAUAGAUGCAUGAAUGCGAGAAUAUAGAAGAAAUUUUACUAAAAUAAGCAUACAUACAUAACACGAUGAUUAGUAACAAAAUUAAAAAUUAAAAUACAAAAUAUGAAAUAUAAAAUAUUAAUACAAAACAUAAAUCAAUGACGAGUCUUCCUCCCCCGCUGUGUGCAUGCUCCUUAAGGGUUAUCCUCUUUUGCUCACCUUAGUACCCACUUUAUAUCCUUAUAUUCCUCAUCGCCAAGGGUCGCUUCCCUUAGAUUCCAUAUGGUUUGAAGAUCCUGAGCGAUUCCUAGAAACACUGUCUACAAAAAAAAUAUAUAAGUACAAAUGUACAAUGCCGUUUUUCAAUUAAAAAGAGAGAGAUUUUAGGAUACUUUGGUCUAGGUGUCUAGUGCAGCAUGUUAAUAUGGNNNNNNNNNNNNNNNNNNNNNNNNNNNNNNNNNNNNNNNNNNNNNNNNNNNNNNNNNNNNNNNNNNNNNNNNNNNNNNNNNNNNNNNNNNNNNNNNNNNNUUAUUCUAGAACGCACGAUGAAAUAAAGAAUAGGUAUUAGGGUAUAUAUAAACCCUAAAAGGUUAACCGUGUCCAUGUAACAGAAAAACGUUCAUGCUACUAUGAGAUGAAUUCUUUAUUCAUCGCCUGAAGAAGGAUUUCCUAUUUUUUAUGCAUAAUUAUCCUAAAUCAAACUAAAAUGGGACGUUUAAGUUGUCACUUAACCCAGUUGCAAGUUCAAUUUAUUAUUUAACAUCAGAAAAAAAUAUAGUGUUUUUUUUAUGCUCAUUGAUCCUAAAUAAAAUGAUCUUUUUGAGUGGGGGGGGGGGGGGGGGGGGGGGCUUUAGAUGGGGACAAGACAUAGAUGAAAUAAUAAUGUAACAUGUUUGAUGAAAAAAACGAUGAGUAUGAGAAGGAAAGGUCCCUAAAAAGAAAAAUGGAGAGUGAAAUGUUGGGGGAAUGGGAGAGAGAGCUUGAGAGAGGCCUUUAUUUGAUCCAUUGGAAUAAAAGAUGGUAACAAGAAAUUUACAUCACUCACACACUUUAUUCGACCAAUUGAGUUAGAUUCCCUUGGUGUAUUGUUUGUGUUUAAUUAGUUUCAUUAGUGAAGACCAUCAUUGUACGCGCCUCAAAGCAAGGGGAGACCUUAAGUAUCCCUAUUCCCUAGCUAGUACUAGUACUUUUUGUAAAUUCUAAGGGUUCCCGAGAUUAACAAUUAUAGGAAAUCAGUAGGAUCUUGAAAUAUAUAAUUCUCACAAAUAAUAGAUAAACAUUGUGUACCUUUCUCGAUAAUGAGACCUCUCUCUGGUGCACUUUGAUUCCUUGAAAGAGGAGCGAAACAAGAUUCUACUCCCUUAGUUGUUCUUUCUUUCCCUCUACAUUCAUAAUAGCUAGGGAUUUUGAGAUAACACUUUUAUGUUAGGAAGGAGAUCUUAUUUCAUGUUAAUGAGUAUUAACCCAUUUAUAACCACUACUCCAUCAAAUAGUAAUUAUUUCUAGAAACUUCUCCAAUUUAACUCAAUUACAAUUUAGUCUUUAAUUAUUAAUUAUUUAUUUACUAGUCCCUAGAUAAGUUACAUGUCUCUCACAUGAGACAUUAAUUCUUACAUUCUCCCACUUAGCUCAUGUGACAUUAAUUCUUACAUUCUCCCACUUGACUCAUGUGACAUUUCUAAACGUUACAGACUAAAUAAAUAAAUAGAUUAAACUAACACGAUGCACAUUAAAAUGACUAAAUCAUUUUAUACAUUGGGUAUAUCAUGAUUUCAUGAUUAAGAAUAGGAAUCAAUUCGAGUCAUGGCGGUUGUACAUCACUUAAUCGACAUAAUCCCUUCCAUUUAAUACAAAUUAGCCUUCUUUUUAAUAUAAUCAUUAGCUAGGAGUACAUAAUUGGUCCAACAAAAUAUCUUUAUUCAAGACAAAACCUAUUACAUUACUCUAAUACAAAUAUGCACGCAGACAUAGAGAACGGGCAAUAAGAAACAUAUCAUAAAUGAGCUCAAAGUGUCAAUAAAUUGCAUAAGGUAAAUUACAUUUAAUAAUCAUCAAUAACAACUAGUAUGGGGCCCUGCAUACACAUGGGUUGUGUGUUUUUUUUUCUUUUUAUUUGAAUAAUUUAAACAUAUAGAAAGGAAAAUAAAUAUAUAAAUGAAUAAACCCAGUAAAUAAAGAAAUUAACAUUGCAAAUAAAAUAAGUUCAUUAGACACAAUAUACAAACGGCAAACAGUCAUAAACAGAAUUUGUAUUAUUAGACUUUAGUAACAUAGACCCUGUUGUUGUUGGCACGUUUGAAAUCAAACCAAAGAGUUAUGUUCUUCAAAAUGUUGUUGGUUGUGCAAAAUUCCUUCCAUCCUUUAGCAAUCUUAACAGUUUUCCUGUGGGUGUAGUGAAUAUUCAAUUUACAGUGGAUUCCAUUUUUGUUGUUGUUGUUGAAAAAUAGGAUAAGCGAGUGUAAUUUCCACACCUUUAACACAUCUACAAUAUCCUUUGGCAGGCUCUGCAAAAUGGUGUUUGUGGAAUCAGAAGGAAAAAUGUUAGAAGUAAACAAAUUUGAAAGGAAAAUGAAAUGGUCUAAAUAUGAAAUAAGGUAAAAUCAAACCAAUUGACUUUCCUCAGGCAUUAUAAUUAGUGAGUGUAACUUCCAUUGUAUUUUGUCCUGGACAUUCGAUUCUACAGGAGGUGUUAUUUGCUGAUUUUGUUGUGGUUGAACCGGUUGUGGGAUGUCUUCUGUCACUUGUUCUUGCUUGAAAACUAUGAUAUUGAAGACUGAGUUUUCUUUGUGUUUACCCAAAUAAUGAAAUCAAAUGGAUUAAUUUGCUAUCAUUUUGUAGUAACGACGGAGUUCUUUCUAGCCAACUAUUAAUUGUUGGUCAUGACGGUUAACUUCAAAGAAGAUAAAGUUUUCGUUUUUGUUAAAAUCCAUCAGGUGCCAUAGUUGUGUUGGUUCACUUCCAUAACGUCUAUAAAAUGAUGAAUCAACCAAACCGUAACAUUGAAAUGGAGAAGAUGUCACAAGAUAUAAGAUAAAAGGGGAUGAAACAAAACGGUAAAUUGGAAAAUUCAACUGAGACAAGAAUGGUAUGGGUAUGGUUGCACAUACCUUUAACUGAUCAUUGUCAAUGAAGGACGCUUUCGCGGUUGCUUGCAUAAUCUUGAUUGAAUCAACCAUUGUAUGAAUUGUGGAAGAGUAAAAUCUUCGUUAUUGUUAUAUAUUGUGAAUGUAUGAAUACAGGAUUUUGAUGAUACCAAAGUAGAAUUAAACAAGGUUGUUUCAACAAACAUUCAAAGGUUAAGCAUUGCUUCAACAUUAAUUCAAGGUCAAGAAAACAAGAUCAAGAAAAAUAUAAGGCCUCAAAUAAUCUCAUUGGUUGAUCAAACUUUUUCCUCAAAACACAUUGUUUCCAACAUCCAAGGCUCUGGUAAUCGAUUACCAGGCAGUGUAAUCGAUUAUCUGAAGACAAUUUUGAAAAAUCAGCUUUUAGAAGAGUUUUGAAAUUUGAAUUAAAAAGUUGUAAUCGAUUACCAUUGAUAUGUAAUCGAUUACCAGCAACGGGACUCUUGAAAUUCAAUUUGAAAAGUUAUGACCCUUCAAAAUAUAACUAUGUAAUCGAUUACCAGAAACAUAUAAUCGAUUACCAGUGAAGAAUUUCAGAAAAAGCUUUUUGAAAAGACACAUCUCUUUAAACCAUUUUGAAAAGGCACGAAAGGCCUAUAUAUAUGUGUGUCUGACUUCGAAAAGCAAGAGAGAGAUAUUCUAAGAGAACUUAAUUGUCAAAUGCUUUCUCAACAACUCUUGGGCAAACACUUGCAAAUCUAUUGAGAAUUCAUCCAGGAACUUCAAAUUGUAUUAUCGUCUCUAAAAGAGAGAAAUUCCUCUAGGAACUUCAAUUUGUAUCAUCCACUCUAAAGGAGAGAAAUCUUUUUGUUCAUCUUAGAAAGUCAGUUGUAAUCAAGAGACUGGUUGUCUCUUGGAUUGUGAGAAUUGUAAUCAAGAGAUGUGUUGUCUCUUGGAUAAUCUUUGAACACAAGGAUGAGGGAUCCCAAUGUGUGUUCAAAGUCUGUAAAGGAUUUACAGAGAUAAUGAAAAAUCUCAAGUGGGUUGCUUGAGGACUGGACGUAGGCACGGGAAAUGGCUGAACCAGUAUCGAGUUUGCAAUUCUCUCUUCCCUUAUCUUAUUUAUUUUAUUGCAAUCAAUUUUAUCUUGCAUGUUUAAAGAACAUCAUUAAAUUGAUUAUUGCUUCUUCUUCUGCAUUAUGAGCCUAUCAUUUAAAAAGGGGGUUAAAAGUUUGUUAAUGGGAAAAUUUUGAAACGUAAUUCACCCCCCCCCUCCUUAAGUUAUUGAGGCUACUUGUCCAACAAGUGGUAUCAGAGCAAGAUUAUUGUUUAAAGUUAAAAAAAUUCAAGAAUAAUUAUGGUCUUAUCUAACUUUCCAUUUGCCAAGGGAAAUUCUAUUAAUAGGCCUCAUGUUUUCAAUGACGAGGAUUAUCACUAUUGGAAAACCCGAAUGCAUAUCUUUAUAGAAGUCAUAGAUUUAAAUAUAUGGGAAGCCAUUGAAAUUGGUUCCUUCAUUCCUACAAUGGUAGUGGAAAAUGUAACUAUAGAAAAACCUAGAGAAGAAUGGGAUGAUGAUGAAAGAAGAAGGGUUCAAUACAAUUUAAAGGCCAAAAAUAUAAUCACUUCUGUAUUUUAGAGUCUCAAAUUAUAAAAAUGCAAAAGAAAUGUGGGAUACAUUACAAGUAACCCAUGAAGGCACAACUGAUAUUAAGAGAUCUAGAAUAAACACUCACACAUGAAUAUGAACUGUUUAGAAUGAACCAAAAUGAGACCGUACAAGAUAAGCAAAAGAGAUUUACACAUAUAUUGAAUCAUCUUGCAUCAUUGGUAAAAAUAUUUCUUAAUGAAGAUCUCAUUAACAAAGUGUUGAGAUGUUUAAGCAGGCAAUGACAACCAAAAGUAACAAUAAUUGCAGAGUCAAGAGAUCUUACUAACAUGUCUCUUGCAACUCUUUUUGGAAAAAAGCUUCAGGAACAUGAAAUGGAACUUAUGAGACUCCAUCAACAUGAAGAGAAUGACAAAAAGAAUAAAGGAAUUGCACUCAAAGCCUCGUCAUCUUCUAUUCAAGAAAAAAGUGACAAAGAGGACUUGAAUGAGAUAGAAGAAGAUGAUGAUUUCAGAUUUUUUGUGCAGAGAUUCAAUAUAUUUAUGAGAAACAGGAAAUCAAAGGAGAUCAAAUAUCAAUCCAAAGAAGAAUGGAGAAAAUUCCUCCUUAGCCCUAAAAUGCUUUGAAUGCGAUCAACCUGGACACUUGAGAUUCGAUUGUCCUGUCUUUAAAAGAAUAAUGAAAAAAUCUGACAAGAGAAAUUUCAAAGAAAAGAAAGAAAAGAAAUCAUACAUCACUUGGGAAGAUAAUGACAUGGAUUCUUCAAGUGACUCAGAAAAUGAAAUCAUAAAUCUAGGUGUCAUGGCCAAAGACUAUGAAAGCGAAGAAGAGGAGAUGCAUCAAAUUUUAUUCAUAUUUCUCCCAAAAAUAGUGAACAUGUGAUCUAUGAAGACAACAACAAAGAUAAAAUUGUUGGAGUUGGAAAAUAAGUACAAAUCCCUCUACCUCCAUAGAAAAUGUUUUACUUGUUGAUGGUCUUAAGCAUAAUUUAUUAAGUAUUUAUCAGUUAUGUGAUAAAGGCCUUUUGGUAUCAUUUGAUUCUCAUAUAUUCCAACAAGUGGUAACACUUUAUUUUAGGCCAAGAAAUGAUACUUUGAACGGUAUGGCAUGCUUUACUCUUUUAAUUCAUUAUAAAUUGGUGAAUGCUUUUCUUCUCUCUGAUUAUGAUUUGUUUUUUAUGUUAACAAAGGUUGAUGUUGACAAAGGGGGAGAGAUAGGUUAAGAUAAGAUAGUAAGGGGAAUUAUUUAUUUUUUAUGAGACAACUUUUUAUAUAUGAAAUCUUCAACUGUUUCAUAUAUGCAAUCAUUGAAAAAUCAAGGAGGAGUAAACGACCCAAAUAGAUUUUUUUUUACUCCUAACCUACAAAUGGUUAUUAUCAUCAAAAAAGGGGAGAAUGUGAAUCAUGCAAGUUAUGAUGAUGUCAAAAAGAAUAUACUCUUGGGAAAACACUUGCAAAUCAGCUUUUAGAAGGGUUUUGAAAUUUGAAUUAAAAAGUUGUAAUCGAUUACCAUUGAUGUGUAAUCGAUUACCAACAACGGAACUCUUGAAAUUCAAUUUGAAAAGUCAUGACCCUUCAAAAUAUAACUGUGUAAUUGAUUACCAGAAACCUGUAAUCGAUUACCAAUGAAGAAUUUCAGAAAAAGCUUUUUGAAAAGACACAUCUCUUCAAACCAUUUUGAAAAGGCACGAAGGGCCUAUAUAUAUGUGUGUCUGACUUCGAAAAGCAAGAGAGAGAUAUUUUAAGAGAACUUAAUUUCCAAAUGCUCUCUCAACAACUCUUGGGAAAACACUUGCAAAUCUAUUGAUAAUUCAUCCAUGAACUUCAAAUUGUAUUAUCAUCUCUAAAAGAGAGAAAUUCCUCUAGGGACUUUAAUUUGUAUCAUUCACUCUAAAGAAAAGAAAUCUUUCUGUUCAUCUCAGAAAGUCAGUUGUAAUCAAGAGACUAAUUGUCUCUUGGAUUGUGAGAAUUGUAAUCAAGAGAUGGGUUGUCUUUUGGAGAAUCUUUGAACACGAGGGUGAGGGAUCCCAAGGUGUGUUCAAAGUCUGUAAAGGAUUUACAGAGAUAGUGGAAAAUCUCAAGUGGGUUGCUUGAGGACUGGACGUAAGCAUGGGAAGUGGCCGAACUAGUGUAAAUCGAGUUUGCAAUUCUCUCUUCCCUUAUCUUAUUUAUUUUAUUGCAAUCAAUUUUAUCUUGCACGUUUAAAGAACAUCAUUAAAUUGAUUGUUGCUUCUUUUUCUGCAUUAUGAGCCUAUCAUUUAAAAAGGGGGUUAAAAGUUUGUUAGUGAGAAAAUUUAGAAACUUAAUUCAACCCCCUUUUAAGUUAUUGAGGCUACUUGUCCAACAUAUAUCUCACUUAUGUUUUUGGUAAUAGUAAAGAGUAAUGAACAUUAAUUGUUGAAGGUAGAUGAGUGGGUGAAAUGGUUGAGAUUUUUUUACUGUAGAAUUAAAUCCUAUUGUGGCUAAAACCAAAGCAAACGUAGAGGCAUCAAUGAAUAGGUGUACAUUGGAAAUUGCCAAACUAAUACAGUGGCUCUUUGACGAUUGGAAUUUGACUAAGUUAGUGUGGAACUAAGUUAGUGCGGAAUAUGAUUGGGUUAAGAGUUUAGUUAGGCUUUACUCGUGGGGUGAAAUAGGAGAUAAGAGUUAAUAAUUUGACACCAACAGUUUAGGGGGGCUUGUACUGGGAUAGUGAAAGAGCAUAUUGUAAAUAUGAAAGGUUGUUGUAAUACAUAAUAGGAGCAAUAUUUUAGCAGUGUAAAUAUGAAAUCAAGUAUGGUAUCACGUAAUAAAGAUUUUAUUUGUGUCAUGAUCACCGGACUAUGCUUAAUGAAGAAAAGAGUGCAGGAAAGUUACAGGUACAAAAUGAAAGAACAACGAUCUAUCGGAAAAAAGUAUCAAAGGAUGACUAACUAAAAGAAUAAGCAAAGAAAGCACGCACCCCAUGUUUUGUUGUGGAUUUUUUUUUUAUUUUUUAAUAGAUUUACUUAUUAUUCCCCUUUCUACACGCAAGGAGGAAAAAAACAAACAGAAAUAAGAAGAAGACUAAGUAAAGGAUAGGGGAAGAAGAAAAAAAAGAAUAAAAGAGAAGAGAAAAGAAGUACCCUGGAUGAAGGAUGCACUACUAGAAAAGCACUCUUCUAAGUCGAUUAAUUUUGACUUUUUACGACGGUUAUGAACUGUUGUCAAAAUGCAUGUCAUAAUAUGUCAUUAGUCUACAACGAUGGUUCCAUAGCCGUCUUAGUAUGUCAAGCAAUCUAAGAUGGUUAUCACAUUUUAAGACGGUUAUUAUUAGUUAUGACAUUCUAAGACAAUUAUUUAUAAAACGGUUGUACCAGAAAACCGUCUUAGUAUGUGUGACAAUCUAAGACGGUUAUUGUUCAAUAACCGUCUUAGAAUGUUACACAUACUAAAUAAGCGUAGUAGUAUGUAUAUGAUUCUAUUAAUUUUCAUGUAACAAUUAUUUUCACAUGCAUAUACUUUGAAUAAUUAAUGAGUAUGCUAAUGAGUUUUUGUCCUAAAUCAAUAAAAAUGAUGAAUAAAAAAUUUGCUCGAAAAAGUAAAUUAUCAUAACUAAUAAUAAAGUAACUCUACUGGAAUGAAACUAAUUAUACAAUGAAACAAACAACAGCAACAAAGCCUUGUCCCACUAGGCGACAUUGGCUACAUGGAUCUCACAAAUCACAAUGUCAUUUGGCACAGUUAAAAACCAAAACUUCAGGAAUAUAAAUUAAAUUAAGCAAGUGGAUGACAAAUGAAAAAAAAAACAAUAGAUAUAUUCAGAAAGAAAGCAUUGGACAGAGACUAAUAUCUCAGAAUACUAAGAUUUAUAUUAGAGACUAACCUCUUAUUCAUGAGAAUUGAGAAUAAAUGUUGUAUAUUUUCUUUGAUCCACAUAGCCAUUAUUCUACCAAUAAGGCUGGGAGCCGCAAAUAUCCAUAGUUAGUACAAAACCACAAACUCUGCAGUUGCAACAAGGUGUAUGGAUAAGGUUUAGUAGUUAUAGAAAGAAAAAAUACAGAGAAACCAAGAAAAAGAAAGAGAAACUAAGAAAAAUACAAAGAAACCGAAAAAAAUACAAACAAACUCUGCAGCUGCAACAAGGUAUAUGGUAAUACAUAUAUAUACUAACCUUAAGUGUAGGCCAUAAAAUUAUCAAAUUAUCACUAAUAAGCUUAUAAUAGUAUUAUCUGAAGGAAAAAUGAAAAGAUUUUGAAGAAUUGGUAAAAGUUGUCCAUAUUAUCUUUUAGUUUAUGUCAUGAAAAUAUUAUAAAACUACAAAGCACAUUUAAAUAAAAACAGCUUCCAAAGUUACCAGAUAUCAUCAUAUCUAUGAUAUGAUGAUCCAAUAACAAGCAAAACUGAAAGGUAGUUUCAAUUGGGUAUAAGUUGCAUAAAAAAAUUUAAAAACACUAAGACUACUCAAUACUUGACUGGAGCAAGGAUAUCAAGUUGGGAACCGAGCUUGUCUUCAGCAACCUUCUCGGCUUUCACCCUUAAUUUGUUGAGCUGCUUCUUUCUCUCAUAAACCAAUUGUGUCUUUUCCUUUCUCUUCUUUUCUAGCUCCUAUGAGCAAUAAAACAAUUACUCACAUCAGCAAACACAUCUAUUCCCUUUCCAUUUGGAAAGCAAAAAAAUUUCCCAAAUUUUCCAACAAUCUAAUUUUCCCUUGGGGAUUGAACAAGGGAAAAACAAUUUUUCAGGUUUGCACAAACAUAAUGAUACUAAAUAAUAAAUACUAAUAUACAAAACAAAUAUGCAUACAGUCUUCAUAAUUGACGGAAAGAAAUUAGAUGAGAUCAUAUUAGAAAUAUAGCCUAUAAUUUUUUAAAAUAAUGUUUUUGUAAAGCAUCCAAAUCACACUUGGGUAGCGUUUUUGUAAAGCAUCCAAAUCACACCUAUAAAGCAUCCAAAUCUUCCUUGUGGAAUGGCUGGAAAGCACCACCACCAUUUCCACUUCUCUUCAAUUCCAAUCCCUCUUAUUCACAUCCUGAACAAUUUUCGACAGGAAAUUAGAAUUUUUUGAGACACACAAAAACAAUUCAAUUCAACCCGUCUCUUAAACAAAAAGAACAAAACAAAAACUUAUUAAAACAAUGACAAAUUGACGAUUAAGCUUUUGAUUUUCUUACCUCCUCAGUUGGGGGAUCUAGAUUCCACAACUGAACAAAUCUAAGCUAGACUGAUUUCCUCUUAUCACUGUUACUAUUUUCCUUUGAAACCCUUUGCUUGUGAGAAUGUUGCUCAUCAUCCUCAUCCUCUUCAUCACAAAAAAGGGAUGAUGAUGCCCUUUUCUUGAUUGGAAUAAACUCCUCCAAAACAGGCCCUUCCGUUGAUGUUGUCUGCUCUGAACGGCUCGAGAAAAUAUCGCGGUCGGGGCGCCGCAUACAAAACAAGAAUCUUCGAUGCGUUUUAUAUUGUUUUUUGUUUUUUAAAUAUGUUCUUCUACUAUUAUUGGCAGACGAAUAAAUAGUUUUUAGUUUUGGAAAUGAAUGAGAAAAUGAAACUCAUUUAGCCUAACAAAAGCCAGGAUUCAAUUGGUAGGUUUGGGACAUGCUAGGUGCACCCAGCAACAUUGCUGGUGCACCCAACAAUUAGGUGAAUGGGAAAAAUUGCCCUUGUGCCAAUCUGUUCAUCCAGAAGAACUUUCUUCCGUAUGAACUCCCGGAAGAAGUUCUUCCGGAAGUUGAUACGGAAGAAAGUUCUUCAUCCGGAAGAACCUUCUUCUAGAAGGUGUGUUUUUUAUUAGAAAAUUUUUCUUAAAAAAUUAAUGGCCAAGACUCGAACCCAUGAUUUUGGAGUUAUUAUCACAACGCUCUAACCAACUAAGCUAAUGAAUCAAUUACGUUACAAAAUAAAUAAUAUUAGUAUACAUAAAUUAUUACUAUACAUAAUUAUCACUAACAUUUCUAAUGCAUAUUUAAUGUGCAUGUAAAUUUGAAUAAUAAAUUUUGUGACAAUUGAAUUUAAUUUAAAUCAUACAAAUUAUGUAAUCCGUAUAUUUUUUUAAAAAUAAAAAAUAUUUACUAUCACAACAUUUUAUUUGUACUACAAAAUUUAAUAUAUAUUAAAUAAAUAUUAUUUAUUUUUAUAACAACGUGAAUUAAAUAUGCAUUAAAUUUUAUAAUAAUAACUCGAAUUAAAAAAAAUAUUUAAUGCAUAUUUAAUGACCUUUGUUUCACUUUCACUUUCAUUGCCCCUACUUCCGGUUUUACGCUUCCUUUAUUUCACUUUCACUUUCGUCCUGUGCUGGGUGGUUUUUGCAAGUUUGUUUGAAGUAGCUAUUCGGUGAAGGUUAAAUAUUGGUGGUUUCUGUCGUACUUGCUCUUCUUAUUCCAUUGGAGGCACGCAUUUUUUGGUUUUUUUUUUGGUUUUUUUUUGUGUUCAUCUGUUACAGAAGCAGUAAAAGGUUGAGGAAGGUGAUUCAGUAAAAUCUUCUUUUGGAAGAACUUCUUCCAGAAACUUCUUCCGGAAGUUGAUACUGCUUAUUCCGGAAGAAGUUCUUCCGGAAGUUGAUACUGCUUCUUUCGGAAGAACUUCUUCCGGAAACUGUAUUUUUUUAAUUUUUUUGGAAUUGUGUUUUUAAAUUUGUGAGAAAAUUAAUAUAUAUGAAUAUUAUAAUUUAUAAUAUUUGUAUUUCAUAUUUUUGAAAUUGUGGAUAAUUGGUUUAAUUAGGUAUAAUAAUUUAGGUAUAAUAUUAAAUGAUUUAGGUAAAAUAAUUGUAUUUUGUUGUAGUAGUAAAAUGUUUUAUUAGUUGUUAGUUAUAGUGUUAACUUUAGUUUAAGUAAAUAAUUUAGUUUUAAUUUAGUUUUAACUUUUGUAUUACUUGUGUAUAAUGCCUAAUUUAAUAAUAUGUCAUUAAGAUGGACGAAGAUCAAUGGACGUAUUACUAUACGAUGUCACAGGAAGUUCAUAUGGAUUAUGAUAUUGAAGAAGAAUGUGGUGUGAAUGAACCACAUGUUGAUUGUUCGAAUGCUUUUAAUACCUGUCAGGUAAUCAUGUUCAUUAGUUUGAGUCAUUUGGUUGAAAGUAUGUUUUGUAUAAAAAUUAAUAUGUUGGAGUUGUGUUGUAGGUCUUUGGUACUCGAGAUGAUGUUUUGCAGUGGGCUCGAACAGUUGCCCAUGAAAACGAAUUUGUUGCAGUGAUUAUGAGGUCUGACACAGAUAAUGGUAGCAAAGGAAGAAGUUCAUUUGUGUUAAUUGGGUGUGAAAGGAGUGGUCUGUACAAGUGUAGGAAUAAAGAAUUCGUUAGAAGAGACACUGGGAGUAGGAAAUGUGGUUGUCCCUUCAGGCUUCGUGGGAAACCAGUGCAUGGAGGGGAAGGUUGGAUGGUGAAGUUGAUUUGUGGGAUUCACAAUCAUGAAUUGGCCAAGUCCUUAGUUGGACAUCCAUAUGCUGGGCGAUUGACUAAGGAUGAAAAGAAAAUUAUUGCUGAUAUGACAAAGUCGAUGAUGAAACCAAAAAACAUCUUGCUAACGUUGAAGGAGCACAAUGCCAACAGUUGCACAACGAUCAAGCAAAUUUACAAUGCAUGAAGUGCAUAUCAUUCUUUAAUAAGAGGAGCUGAUACUGAAAUGCAACAUCUGAUGAAGCUUCUCGAACGUGAUCAAUACAUUCAUUGGCAUAGAUUGAAGGAUGAAGUUGUGGUGCGUGAUCUGUUUUGGUGUCACCCAGAUGCAGUAAAGUUAUGCAAUGCAUGUCAUCUGAUGUUUUUUAUAGAUAGUACCUACAAAAUAAACAGGUACAGACUCCCACUACUUGACUUUGUUGGGGUGACACCAACGGUUAUGACAUUCUCUGCUGGGUUUGCAUAUCUAGAGGGUGAGCGUGUUAAUAAUAUUGUAUGGGCUUUGGAACGGUUUCGAGGUCUAUUUUAAGAAACGAUCAUCUCCUUGUUGUUAUUGUCACUGACAGAGACCUAGCACUGAUGAAUGCAGUGAAAACUGUGUUCCCAGAGUGUACAAACUUGUUAUGCAGGUUUCACAUUGAUAAGAAUGUCAAGGCGAAGUGCAAAUCUUUAAUCGAUCAAAAAAAUGUCUGGGACUAUGUGAUGCAUAACUGGGGUACUUUGGUUGAUUGUCCGUCUGAACAACAAUUCGCUGAGUCCCUUCAUAAGUUUCAAAUUGCUUGUUCACCUUGGCCAAUGUUCGUUGACUAUGUUAAUGACACAUGGAUUAUCCCCCACAAGGAAAAAUUUAUUACAACCCGGAUAAAUAAGGUCAUGCACCUAGGCAACACAACAACAAACAGGUAUUACAAUCUUAUUUUUUCUCUAGUAAGGAUUAUUAAUAAAUGGUAUUUAAUUGUUGUAUAUUUUUCAUGUUUGUUGUGUAUUUAAAUGUAGGGUUGAAUAAGCUCAUUGAGCUCUAAAAAGAGUAUUACAAAAUAGCCUUGGAGACCUGUGUAGUGUUUGGGAUGCCAUGAACAACAUGAUCACGCUGCAAUAGUUGAAAUUAAAGCAUCCUUUGAAACCAGUACGCAUGUGGUUGGACAUGUAUUUAAAAAAACCUUAUACAAGAGGCUUGUUGGAAUGAUUUCAAGGAACGCUUUAAAUGAGAUUGCUGCCGAGGUUGAGCGUCUACGUUAUCUCGACAACGAUCCCUCUUCUUGUGGUUGUGUGAUGAGAAGCACGCUCGGUCUUCCUUGUGCAUGUGAGCUUUCUAGGUAUAAUGCUAGCAGCAUCCCAGUGGAUUCAGUCCAUAUGUUUUGGAGGAGACUUUGCUUUUCAGACCAAGGGUUAUGUGAGGUCGAAGUCAGCAUCAAGGAAGAGAUUGAGACCAUAUCUAAAAGAUUUGAGGAACUUGAUGUGUGUGGCAAACUAACUCUCAAGAGUAAACUUCGAGAUAUUGCAUACCCUGAUCAUAACUCUAUGUGCCUUCCUCCGUCAAAGGUCAACACUAAAGGUGCACUGAAGAAACCGAUGAAAAGAAGUCAAAGAUCCACAAAGCGUGAUCCGUCUUACUGGGAGUAUGUUGAUGCUUUUCAUUCUGUUCAAAGCAGUAACUCUUCAGUGAAACGUAGUGCAUCAUCUUCUAAACCGCCGAAGCCAACAAGGAUCAUCCCGAUGUUGGAUCAAUUUGUGCCAUUUAUAUAGGGUUUCAUUCACAACGUUGUGGAUGUGAAAGCGGACGGUAACUUUGGAUAUCGGUCCAUUGCCGCUUUAUUAGGUAUGGGGGAAGAUUCUUGGCCAUUGGUGCGCAACGAAUUGAUUAAAGAACUUGGCAGAUGGUCGCAUGACUACACUAACCUCUUCAGUGGCACAAAAAGAUUUGAACAAUUAAGGUUGUCCCUACUUGUUGAUGGGUUUUCCAAGGUAUGUUUUUAGGUUUUUUUUUAAGAACAAACUUUAAAUAACUUAGAUGUGUAUGUUUGCUUGAUUCAGGUUAGUGUGGACAAGUGGAUGGAUAUAACGGAGAUGGGAUAUGUCAUUGCAUCAUGGUAUAACAUAAUCCUUGUGUUGUUGUCUCAACAACAAAGCAUGACAUUUUUUCCUCUUAGAAGUCAACCACCACCCGAUUCUUCUAUGCACCACAUGAUAUGUGUCGGUCACGUGUUUGGAAAUCAUUUUGUUCAGGUACAUUGAAGGUAGUUAGUCUAAGAAUUAUGCAAUCACUUCCUUGGUUCAUUUGAGUUAAUAAUGUUUGUUCACGCACAACAGGUUUAUUUGAAAGACCGUUGUCCUUUACCGCCUCUAGUAUUGUUGUGGUCAACCAAUUGUUAUUCUCAGGCGAAGCAGUGGCCAACUCCAUAUAUUAGUAGAAUGCAGCAGUACACAAGCUUCAUGUCAUUCAAAAGAGACUACGUUGACCUAAAUGAAGACUGAACAUGCAUUGUUUAUCUAAUUGUAUUCAUUAUGCGAUAUAAUUUGUUAUAAGCCAUUAAAGGAUAAUUAUUAAGUACUCGUUGCAUUAAGAAAAAAAUUAGUUGGUGCAACCAAAAUCAAUUACGCAUGUAUGAUACAUCGUUGUCAUAAUUGACAACACAUAAUGAUAUGCAUGCGUAUUAAAGUUUGAGCGUGACACGACAUUGACUGACUUGACAACACAUUCUGAUGCACGACAUUGGUUUAGUAGGAAACAUAAACACGAAACAUAUUCACGCAUGUUCUUUUGUAAAAAAAUGUGAAGCAAUCUGUCAGUGAGAACCAUGUAUAUAUAUGAGACACGGAAAAUGCUAAUAAAUCACACAUUAUCUUGCUUUCACAUACUCUCCCAAUUGAUACACAACACUACUAAAAAAUAGCGCUUUAGCGACCGACAAAUUCCGUCGCUAAAUCAUUAAAUUCGGUCGCUAUUAGUAUUAGUAACCGAAAUAGCGACCAAAUCCAUUACGUUGCAAAAAUCCAAGUCGCUAAGUCCGUUGUAACCGAAUCUAUUUCCGGCUGCUAUUUAGCGACCGAACUAGCGACACACUAAAAUAAUAAUUUCGGUCACUGUGUAGUUGGUUGCUAUUUUGCUUGGGACCAAUUCUGUAACCGACAUUGUCUGUCGCUAAUUUGGUCGCUAAUAUGUAGUUAUAUUUUAAAUUUAAAAUAAAAUCGAAAAAUAUUUGGUUGUUAUUUCAAUCGCUAUCAUAUAAUUAAACUUAAAUAUAAACUAAAUUCAAAAGGAGUUCGGUCGCUAUUUCGGUCGCUAUUGAAUAAUCAAUUUUAAUAUAUAAUUUUUAAAAAAAGCCAUUCGGUCGUGAAUUCGGUGGGUGAAUUUGCAAUAAAAUAUAUUUCAGUCGCUAAUGAGGUCGCUAGUAUAUAAUUUAUUUCAGAAUUUAAUGGAUUUCGGUUGCUAAUUCGGUCGCUAUUUAAUAUUAAUCUUUUUAAUGCAAAAUUAUGUUGUAUGUUUUUUUUUCCAGUUACGAUAUGACCUGCUUAAUAAUUAUCAACUAUAAACAUAAAUUUCAAUUAAAUUGUAUAAUCAAAAUUAUAAAUAAAAUUAGACAUUCAUAAUGAGUAAAUAUAUAUCUUAUAACAAAGUUCUAUUUUUAAGAUUCAUAAAGUGCAAAUUCAAAGUUUUCAAAGUUUAAUCAAAUGCAACGUAAAAGUUAAUAAAGUUCAAAUUCAUAACUAACAUGGCCUAAUCAAAGUAAAGUAAACAAUAACUAGAGUCAAUGAUCAUUUUCCAUGUCAUGAGAACGAUCAACCUGAGCAUCAUUAACAUGGUGGUCUGUUCCAUCUCCUAUGGUAUGUGAUAGACUAGGAGCUGGUAUGAUAGGCUGAAUAUGCAAGUGUUGUAGUAUACGUUGCAUUUGCUCAUUUUGUUGAUGAAUUUGUUGUUGCAUCUGUUGUCGCAUCUCCUGACUUUGGUGGUCAUGAUUCUCCAUCAUCUGCAACAUCUUUUCCUCAAGUGUCUUCUCCUUAUUUGCCUUUGCCAAAAGCUCAACAUUCAAUUUAUUAAUUGUCUCACGCAUUUCCUCUAUUUGGUCCUCCACAGGAGCAAUAGAAGUAGAUAGAGCUGAUUUUGAGCAACUAAACCUUUUGCUCAAAGUACCUAGGCCGUACACGUUCCCUUUGUAAUUUGGGCCUCCAACAACAUUCAAAUAUAUUUCAUUAUCAUUAAUAGAAGUAGCAGUGUUAGGGGAAUCCUGUGUAGAUGUGCCUUCCUCUGUCGAACGUUGUAAGAUUUCAUCUCGACGAUGUUGAUAUUUCUCCUUCAAUAUAAAGUGAGGUAUAAAGAUAAAUUGUUAAAUGUGUAGACAUAUAAGGAUUAAUAUUCAAGAAAACCAUCACUAAUACAAGAAAAAAAAUUGACUUUAAUCUACUAUAGUAGGCUUCAUAGUUUAUACUAGUCAAUCACAAACAUUUAACACUAACUAAAGAAAAGCAAAUCAAGAUGUGUAAAUAGGUUCAAGAGAUAUUCAUCAAAGGUAAGAGUUCAUUUAUAAUACCAGGCACUAUAUAUCAAAUAAAGUGAUAGGAUUAGAAGAAACAACUUACAGCAAAUUAGCGAGACCUGUCAUUGACCCAUUCUCUCGACUUCAAUUUCUUAGUUUUCUCCAUCACCUCCCAAGCAGUUGGUAGUCUUUGAAACUCCUUUGACUACAUAAAUUUAAGAAAUUAAAAUUGUAAAACAUUUAAUUAAUUACAUUGAAUUGAAAAUCAAUGAGGUAUACAUACAUACAUGCAUACAUACAUACAUACAUAUAUACAUAUAUAUGAAGUAAAAUUACCAGCUUUUCAAAGUGAGUUGCAGUAGAUAUGGAACCACCACAGUAUGUUGAGGCUCCUCUAUCAAUAGAUCGAUUCGCCUUGGCAGUGGAGCUCUUAUUUAGGAAAUAUGUAGAACCCCAAUGUUCGUCCAAGGCUGCUCGAACUUUAGUUGUUAUCCACUUUCCUUUAUCUUGACCAUUUCUAAUCUUGUUCAUUGCACUUUUUAAAAUACGUGAACCUUUUGUCUCAAAAACAGCUCUAAUGGCUCGCUCUUCUUAUGGGUGCCACCUAUACUCUUUCUACAUAAAAUAUGAAACAAGAACUAAAUUAGAAAUCAUACAAGAAACAAUAAAUUUUAAAUUACACCAUAAUUCAAGUUACCUUAAACUCUCCAAACCACCUAUCGUGAAGGUCAACUGACACCUUCAACCAACUUAGAGCUGGUUCAUCAAAUUUUGCCCUAAUGAUAUUUGAUAUGAUAUUAGAACACCCAUACGUUGGUUGAAACCUAUGUACAAAGACAUUGUCAAUACCAUAUUUAAAAAUCAUUUUAAGAAAAUUAUUAGUUAAAUAAAAUGCACUUACUCUCCUUUAUAUGCACGAAUGAAAGGCCUUUCAUCAACAAUAUGUUCACAAUUUGGAUCUGUUGGGUACUCAGGUGUAACAGAAUCAUCUAGUGCUGAAGGUGAAGCAUCUCUAAUAGGGGUACACUACUACAAUUUUUAGAUUUAACAUCGCACGGUUAACAUCGGUUAUUCACAAAACCGAUGUUAACAAAAGCGCGGUGGCAUUUUUGUAAAUAAUUAGACAUAGUUAACAUCGGUUUCGGAAAAACCGAUGUUAAGUACUAUAUAUUAACAUCGGUUAUUUAACUAUGGAGUAGUUAACAUCGGUUUUGGAAAAACCGAUGUUGGUGUGUCGUUGUUAACAUUGGUUUGGUAAAAACCGAUGUUAUGGAGUUGAUUUUAACAUCGGUUUUCUUAAAACCGAUGUUACCUAGUUGUUUUUAACAUCGGUUAUUUUUAAAAAACCGAUGUUGUUGUCAUUAUAUAUUAAAAAUCUGAUUCUGCAGAACCCGCGUGCUCGAACCCUAUCGUUCUUCUUCUUUCUCCUUCUGCCCUAAGUUCGCCUUUGUCGCAAACUGGCCUGCACUUCUGUGAUUGCAACCACAUUGUGGAGUUCGUGUGUGUGAAGUUCGUCUCUGCCACUUAUCGAUUGAGGUACGUCCUUUCGUUUUAACAUUAGGCGUUCCUCGUUUUAACAUUUGCUCACUUUCAUAGGUCGAAGAAAUCUAGGAAAGGAAAGAGUUCCGGAAAGGGUGGGAAUCGAUUUUGGAAGUGCAUUGUGGUUCGCCUUAAGACUCCUAGGGCGUUCUUCUUAUUUCUCCUUCUGCCCUAAGUUCGUCUUUGUCACAAACUGGGCUGCGCUUCCGUGACUGCAACCACAUUGUGGAGUUGGUCUUUGUGGAGUUCGUGUCUGCCACAUAUCGAUUGAGGUACGUCCUUACAUUUUAACAUUAGGCGUUCCUCGUUUUAACAUUUUCUCACUUUCGCAGGUCGAAGAAAACUACGAAAGGAAAGGGGGGGAAGCGAUUUUGGAAGUCCAUUGUGGUUGGCUUUAAGCCUCCCAGGGAAGCCAUCGAAGGUAUGUCUCUGUUGUCAAGUUAUGUCUAAAUAUGAAAAAAAUAUAAUGCUUGAAAUGGAGUAUGGGUGUGAGAUGCUAAAGUAUAUUGAUUGCUUGCUCUUGUACUAUUUGCAUUGUGGGGAUAUAGUGCUGGAUUUGUUAUGGGAAAUUCUUUGAUAAACCUAAAACUCUAUAUGUCAUCUUAAAACCUAAAACCUAAUGUUGUGAUUCUGCUGUGAGGAUAUGAUAAAUAGCCUGGGGUACCUUUCUGCUAGUGAUUCCUGUUGAUUAAUCCACUUGUGUUUCCAGAAUCUAAUUUUCUCUCCAUCUCCCACCUUCCACCUCAUGUUAUUUUGAAUAACCAUUCCCUAUUGUGAUUGAUUAAAAGCGUGUUUUAGAUCCCUCCACUAAACAGAUUGCUUUGCUGAGUUUCCUGUUUCUUCAAGGUUCCUCCAUCCACCAUAUUUCGAUUUCAGAACUCUGGUCCACAGCUCACCAUUUUCUUGCAUUAAUUGCCACUUCCAUUUUCCAAGUAGUGCGAGGUUGAAUGUUUCAAUAUCCUUGAUGCCCAAGCCAGCCUUUUCUUUUGGUAAGCAUACCGAUUUCCAUUAAAUCCAUGCAAUCCUUUUGUGAAUUGCCUUCCUUCAUAAAAAGCUUCGCUGCAGCUUUAAAAAUUGCCUUCUGAAUUUCUUCGUCCAUGAAAGGUGCCAGAAGCUCGUUAUUCUGCUGUAGAUUAACAGUUUGAAACCUGAUUCCAUCAAUCUUGGGUCGCUGACCAAUUGGUUCUUGGAACCUAUGGAAGAAAAAGGAUUUCACCUCUUCCUUCACCUUGUGUGGGUCGUCAGUCCAUGAACCAUCAAUGAAUACACCCCUGAUAGAAUUUCUAUUUCGGUUAGCAUUCAUCAAUAGGUGGAAAAAACCUGUGUUACAAUCGCCUUCUUUUAACCAUCUUCAUCUGGAUUUCUGCCUAAGUAAGGAUUGAUGGGCUUGGGCAGCAACCCAAAGAGAAUCAUGUAACUGCUUCCUCUCCAAUUUUUCUUGCUCUGUUAACUGUCUAUGCAUUGAGUUCUCCUCCAGUUUAUUUAAAUCUGAUCCCAGCUUUGUGACCUUUUUGAAUGUAUCUCAACAAACUUCUUCUUCCUCUAUCAUGAAGAAUUCUUCUUCUUCUUCCACUCAGAGGAAGUGUGCUUUUGCUAGAAAGUGUGCUAGGCUGGUCAAAGAGCAAAGGGCUCGUUUCUACAUCAUGAGGCACUGUGUCAUUAUGCUCAUAUGCUGGCAUGAGUACAAUGAUUCAUGAAACACAACAAAAAAGAUCUACCAAGUUCAAAAAAAGUUGUAUUUUUUUUCUUAAGUCCCUCUUUGUUCACUUUGUAUGAGAUCCUUCCUGUUGGGCAUGAGGUUUUUCUUGGAGUCAACAAGUGUACAUAGAAAAUUUUCUUCUUUUUUUUUUAAUUUGUCUUCUGUUGUGGGCUAGAAUUAUUGAAUCAUGGUUUUUUGUUAGGUUGGGGUUUGAACUUCCAUUGAAGGGAGCUCAUCUUCAUGGUUCAGGUGGUGUUUUUAAGUUUAAUUUCUUGUGUACCUGAGAAUAGGGCAAAUAUAUGGUACAUUAGAAUUGAUAUCUUCUCCCUCCUGUUCAUUGUGAAAUAGAUAUCUUCUCCAGGAGAAUUUCCACUCCCAACCAGAUUCUCCAAAGAUCCCCAUGCUUGCCACUGUCUUUAAUUUUUGGGAUGAUAUUUGAUAUAAUUUUGGGUAUUUGUCUUUAAGAGUAAUUCCAUCUCCCACCCAAGAGUCUUCCCAAAAUAGGAUUUGAUCACCACUGCCCAGUUUCCAGCGAAAUUGGUUAUUGACAGCAACCAUGCUGCUGUGAUGAAUAAUAGAUCUUAAGUCAGACCACCAAGAGGAAAAAAUCUGCUUAGGAGGGCCCUCUUCCAAGCCUCUCCAACCCCUGUACUUUGAGGUGAGUAUUUUGCUCCAUAGAUGAUCUUGUUGCUGGAACAUCAACCAUUUCCACUUCAUAAGAAGAGCUCUAUUGAAAGCCAUCCAGAUUGGGCUGGUAAAGACUUUGUCUCUAUCAGAAGUUAUAGACUUUGGAAUACCAUGCAAUUUUCACAAUCUGGUGUAAUCACUCUUCAUAGGAAUGAAAUGGGCAAAUUUUGUAAGUCUGUCAACGACAACCAAGAUGGUGUUGAACCCAUGAGAAGCAGGUAAACCGGUUAUGAAGUCCAUAGCAAUAUCUUCCCACACUUGUGAUGGAAUGGCUAGUGGUUGCAAUAAUCCUGCAGGUAGAGAAGUUGCUAUUUUAGCUCUCUGACAGAUGUCACAACUCUGCACAAAGCUGUUUACAUCCUUCUUCAAUGAUGUCCAGUAGAAUUGGCUUGCAAUUCUAGUUGUAGUUCUUUUUAUCCCAGCAUGCCCCCUAUGGGAGAGUUAUGAAAUUCUUUCAGCAACAUUUGAAUCAAUUCUUUUUCCUCAGGAAUUACUACCCGAUUCUUCCAAUACAACAAAUUACCCUUGAUUGUGUAAUUUGUCUGUGAUUCUGGUUGUUGUUUACACAACUGUAUCAGUUCCUGCAAUGCAACAUUCUUUAUAGUGGCUUGUUCAAUCUUCUGCAGUAUACUAGCUUGAGGUUCAGACCAAGACAGCAUCAUCAUUCAUGACAAAGAAUCAGCAGCUAGAUUCUCCUUUCUGGCCUUGUAUUCAAUCACACAAUCAUAUCCCAAAAACCUGUGUAACCACUCAUGUUGUUCAGGUGUCUGUAGGGGUUGUUCCAUCAAUGAUCUCAAGCUUUUUUGAUCAGUUUUGAUAAUAAAUUUGUGUCCCAACAAGUAGUGUCUGAACUUAGCUAUAGCUUCAACAAUUGCUAACAUCUCUCUAAAUUAGUCAGAUUUCUUUUGCACUCUAGGUGCAAGUUUCUUGGAAAAAAAUGCUAUUGGAUGGCCAUUCUGAUGUAAUACUGCUCCAAUACCAGUGUCGGAAGCAUUAGUUUCCAGAAUGAAGGGCAGCUGGAAAUUAGGAAGAGCUAACACUGGAGCUGAAGUCAUGACUUUCUGCAAUUGAACAAAUGUUGUCUCUGCCUCUGGUGUCCACUUGAAUGCUUCUUUUUUAAGUAAAUCUGUCAAUGGUGCAGCAAGCUUUGCAUAUCCUUUGAUAAACCUUCGAUAGUAACCAGUGAGGCCUAAGAAACCUCUUAGCUGCUUGAUAUUGAGUGGUGUAGGCCACUCUAGAACUGCCUGCACCUUAGUAGCAUCCAUAGCAACUCCUUCACCUGAAACUAUAUGUCCCAAGUACUCUAUCUCCAAUACACCAAAAGAGCAUUUAGACAACUUAGCAAACAAAACAUUUUCUUUCAAUACUUUGAAUACAACCUCUAGAUGGCAUAAGUGUUCAUGCCAUGUGGAACUAUAUACCAAUAUAUCAUCAAAAAACACUAACACAUAUUUCCUUAAAGCAUGUUGGAAAAUAUGGUUCAUGAAACACUGAAAAGAAGUCGGAGCAUUGGUUAAACCAAAUGGCAUUAUUGGGCAAAAUUUUGACUAUGAUAGGCAAAAUUGCCUUAUUGGCCAGAAUUUGUUUAUUGUUGCAGUGAAAUUUUCUUUUUCUGCUGGUUUAAGUUGAUUAUGGAUGUUGUAUUUUAAUUGAAAUGUAGAUAAUAGGCUUUAAAAGGGUUUAAAUACACUGUGGAUAAUUUCUGUAUGCUUUUUUUAGGCUUAUCAUUUACUACUGCUAAUUGGCGUUGCUGUGGAAGCUCUUUGAUUAUAGCAACUCCAGGUAUGUUUGUACGGUCUACUAUCUUUAUAUGUAUUAUGAUAGACUACUGUUUUGACAUUUGUCGUAGCAUUUAUAUACACAUAUACUGCUGUAUUUGUUUGGUAGAUAAAUUGUUGUAUUUGUUUGACUAACUUAUCUAAGAUCAAUUCGGUAUUUGUCAAUAGUACUUGUCCCCUAAAGCUAUCUUUGAAAUCCAGCUUGUGCUGUUGACACACACACACAGGCACACGCACACACACACACACAGCCACAAACCCACACAGACACACACACAAACACACACACACAGAGCCAGACACUCAAAGACACACACACAGCNNNNNNNNNNNNNNNNNNNNNNNNNNNNNNNNNNNNNNNNNNNNNNNNNNNNNNNNNNNNNNNNNNNNNNNNNNNNNNNNNNNNNNNNNNNNNNNNNNNNNNNNNNNNNNNNNNNNNNNNNNNNNNNNNNNNNNNNNNNNNNNNNNNNNNNNNNNNNNNNNNNNNNNNNNNNNNNNNNNNNNNNNNNNNNNNNNNNNNNNNNNNNNNNNNNNNNNNNNNNNNNNNNNNNNNNNNNNNNNNNNNNNNNNNNNNNNNNNNNNNNNNNNNNNNNNNNNNNNNNNNNNNNNNNNNNNNNNNNNNNNNNNNNNNNNNNNNNNNNNNNNNNNNNNNNNNNNNNNNNNNNNNNNNNNNNNNNNNNNNNNNNNNNNNNNNNNNNNNNNNNNNNNNNNNNNNNNNNNNNNNNNNNNNNNNNNNNNNNNNNNNNNNNNNNNNNNNNNNNNNNNNNNNNNNNNNNNNNNNNNNNNNNNNNNNNNNNNNNNNNNNNNNNNNNNNNNNNNNNNNNNNNNNNNNNNNNNNNNNNNNNNNNNNNNNNNNNNNNNNNNNNNNNNNNNNNNNNNNNNNNNNNNNNNNNNNNNNNNNNNNNNNNNNNNNNNNNNNNNNNNNNNNNNNNNNNNNNNNNNNNNNNNNNNNNNNNNNNNNNNNNNNNNNNNNNNNNNNNNNNNNNNNNNNNNNNNNNNNNNNNNNNNNNNNNNNNNNNNNNNNNNNNNNNNNNNNNNNNNNNNNNNNNNNNNNNNNNNNNNNNNNNNNNNNNNNNNNNNNNNNNNNNNNNNNUAUAUAUAUAUAUAUAUAUAUAUAUAUAUAUAUAUAUAUAUAUAUAGAUAAUUGAGUACUAGAGGUACUGAAAUACAAUUUUUGUUGCCCAAGCUAGUGGUUCGAGAUUAGACUGAAUGGAGUCUAAAAAGGAACCACAGCCAGCCCAUAGACCAUAUUAAUGGAGUCAAAAAGUUGCAGUGAAAAUUAAAAAAAAAAACAGAAAACCUUAUGUCAAACCUUAUUAAUUUGAACUUGUGCUUGUACAUAAGUUCAAUUAAUUUAAUUUUAAAAGCUGCAGUGCUUAUUUUUCCACCCACAUACUGCAGAUGCUGCAGAAUUUCUGCCUUAAAUAAGUUGCAGUGCUUAUUUUUGUAAACACUGCAGUGCUUGUACAUAACUUCAAUUAAUUUGAAUCUGCUCUGCAAAUGCUGCUGAAUUUCUGCCUUAACCAAAUUAGGAUUUUCCACCCAGAAACCAUCAAUUUCUGCCUUUCUAGAAAUUGGUCUUUCAAGGGAAUCCCAUCCUCAACCCAAGCAUCUUCCGAGACAGGAUUUGGUUAGCCCUACCCAUCUUCCACCUGUUCAGCCUAUCCUGAAAUUUGCUAAUUAUAGGAUCCCACACCACCUUUCUUUUGGGAUUGACACCAAUCGGAAUACCUAAAUAGCAAAAAGGAAAUUGGAGCAAAGCACAAUUGAGGUAGUUUGCAACAUGAAGACACCACUCCUCAGAUUGACCAACAACUCCAAAUUUGCUCUUAGCAAAAUUAGUUCUCAAUCCAGAAACCAGCUCAAAACUCCUGAGAGUAACCUUCACAGUUUUGACAUUUGCCAUAGAUGAACACAAACACACACACACAUAUAGACAAACACACGCAGACACAAACACAAACACAAACACAUACACACACACACACAUAGUCACACACAUAUAAUGAGACAGACAAACACUUAAACACACUGAGCCACAGACACACACAAAGACACACAGACUGAGUCACAGACACACACUUACUCAAACACACUCACACACAUAGACAGACACACAUACACACACACACACAUAGACAGACAGACACAUACACACUUAGACAGACACACAUACACACACACACACAUAGACAGACACACACACACACACAUAAAGAGACAAACAGACACACACACACACACAUAAAGAUACAAACACACGCAGACACAAACACAAACACACACACACACAUAAAGAUACACACACACACACACAGAAUCACGCACACAUAAAGACACAGACAAAGACACAAACACACUGAGCCACAGACACACACAGAGACCCACACACAAAGACACACACACUGAGUCAUAAACACACACAUACACAAACACACUCACACACAUGAACAAACACACACACACAUAAAGAGACAAACACACACACACACACACAAAUAAAGAGACAACCACAAACACACACACCCACACACACACAGAUAAAGAGACAAACACACACACACACACACGCACACACACACAGUCACACACACAUAAAGAGACAGACAAACACACAAACACACUAAGCCACAGACACACACACAAAGACACACACACUGAGUCACAGACACACACAUACACAAACACACUCACACACAUAGACAGACACACACACACAUACACAUAAAGAGACAAACACAAAACACACACACACACACACAACUGUUGAUGUCCUUGUAUGUUCUUGUACGUCAUGAAUGUUCUUGUAUGUCAUGAAUGAGCCAAGAAAUCUUAGACUUGGACUAGCCAGUGAUGGAAUGAAUCCAUAUGGCACCUUAAGCACUCAACACAGUUCAUGGCCAGUUCUGUUAGUAAUUUACAAUUUGCCUCCUUGGUUGUGCAUGAAGCGAAAAUACAUGAUGUUGUCUAUGAUGAUAUCGGGCCCAAGACAGCCAGGAAAUGACAUUGAUGUUUAUCUAAGUCCGUUGGUUGAAGAUCUGAGAAAGUUGUGGGACGAGGGGGUUGUAGUGUUUGAUGCGUUUCGCAAGGAGACGUUUGAAAUGCGUGCAAUGCUUUUUUGUACCAUUAAUGACUUCCCAACAUAUGGGAAUCUCAGCGGUUACAGUGUUAAGGGUCAUCAUGCAUGCCCCAUCUGUGAAGAAAAUACAAGUUACACACAACUGAAACAUGGGAGAAAAACAGUCUACAGUAGGCAUCGCCGCUUUCUAACACCCAAUCAUCCUUACAGACGAUUGAGAAAAGCUUUUAAUGGAAGUCAAGAGCAUGAUAUUGUGCUGAUACCGUUCACUGGUGAGCAGGUAUAUCAGCGGGUUCAACACCUGAACACUGUAUUUGGGAAGACCCAAAAGAAGGAUAAAAGUCAGAGUUGCAUAUGGAAGAAGAGGUCCAUUUUCUUUGAUCUUCCGUACUGGUGUGAUCUUGACGUUAGACAUUGUAUUGAUGUUAUGCAUGUGGAGAAAAAUGUUUGUGACAGUGUGAUUGGGACGCUUCCUAACAUUCAAGGCAAGACGAAGGAUGGCUUGAAUACCCGUCAAGAUCUAGCUGAUAUGGGUAUAAGAGCACAGUUGCAUCCAAGGUCUGAUGGGAAGAAAAUUUACUUGCCCCCAGCCUGCCAUACUUUGUCCAAGAAGGAGAAGAUAAGUUUUUGUCAAUGUCUUCGUCGGGUGAAGGUUCCACAAGGAUACUCUUCAAAUAUUAAGAGUCUUGUGCAGUUGAAGGAGCUUAAGCUUGUAGGGUUAAAGUUUCACGAUUGUCACGUGCUCAUGCAACAAUUGUUAGUCGUGGCUAUACGAGACAUCUUGCCAAACAAAGUCAGGUUCACGAUAACUCGCUUGUGCUUUUUCUUCCAUGCUAUAUGUAGCAAAGUGAUUGAUCAGUAAUGUUUGAUGAGUUGGAAAAUGAGGCGCAAUUAUACUCUGCAGUGGAGAUGUAUUUUCCCUAGCACGGGCUUUGACAUCAUGAUUCACUUGAUUGUGCAUCUGGUUAGAGAAAUCAAAUGCUAUGGUCCUGUUUAUCUACGGUGGAUGUACCCGGUUGAGCGAUACAUGAAGAUCUUAAAAGGGUAUACAAAGAAUCUAUAUCGUCCGGAAGCAUCUAUUUUUGAGAGGUACAUUGCAGAAGAAGCCAUUGAAUUUUGUUCAGAAUACUUAGAGAAGGCUAAAGCUGUUGGGCUUCCUGAGUGUUGGCAUGAUGACAGAGUGGGUGGUAAGGGUUCAAGAGGACUGCAGGUGAUCACUCCAAGUGUAGAAGAUUUGUUACAAGCUCACUUGUAUGUCUUGAACAACAGUAAUGAAGUUUUGCCAUACAUAGUUAAGCACGAAGCUUUAGUCAAACAGAAUAAUUUGAAAAUGUCAAAGAAUUGGGCGUUGAAAAAGCAUAACAAAACUUUCUGUGAUUGGUUUAAAGAUACAAUCUUUGCAGAUGAGAAUGCUUCAGAAACAUUAAGAAAACUAGCAGAUGGGCCUAAAAGAAAUGUUAUAACCUGGCAAGGAUACGACAUAAACAGGUAUUCAUUUUACACAAAAGCACAAGAUGACAAAAGUACAAUGCAGAACAACGGGGUCACCCUAAGGGCUGAAUCUCAACACUUUGCAAGUGUCAAUGACGCCAAUCCCUGUGUAGCUUCCAUCCCUUACUUUGGGUUCAUUGAUGAAAUUUGGGAGCUUAAUUAUGUGAAAUUUACAGUAUGUGUUUUCAAAUGUAAAUGGGUUGACAGCAACACCGGUGUGCGCACCGAUGAUAUAGGAUUUACCCUGGUAGAUCUAAAGAAACUUGGUUACCACAAUGACCCUUUCAUCAUGGCAGAACAAGCUAGACAAGUAUUUUACGUGCAAGACCCUUGUGAUGAAAGGUGGUGCGUGGUUCUGCAGGGCAAAACAGUUGGUGUUAAUGUAGAAGAUGAUGAUUCAUACAUGGACACCUAUGUUAGUCCUUUGACCGCUCAAAUCACUGCAGAACCAACUGUUUUACUUCUAAGACAUGGUCUAAGGGUAUAAGGGUAUGGCGUAAAAACAUGGUCUAUAUUUACUUCUAAGAUUGUUAGGGGUAAAAAUGACCAUGUCCCUAUGGCAUAACCUUAUAUUAUUUAUAUUUACAUAUAAGAAAAAAAAACAGUAAAAUCUGAAGGACAAAUAGUUAAGAAAGUUGUUCAUUAGCUGCAAAUAUCCUUCCCUCCUCAAGUGCAAGCUUCUUGCGUAGCCACUCUUGGUGCUCAGAAAAUCCCAAAAACAAAUCCCUCUUAUUAUUAGCUAUUUUGAAUUCUUUAGUUCCUGAAUGUACAACCUUCAAAUUGUUGCUCGUUCCCCUCUUUAUUUUCUGCAAAAAAGAAAAUCAAAUGCUUUCAAAACAUGGAUGAAGUCCUAAGAAAAUCAAUAUCAAAGAAAACAUGGAUGAAAUCACAAUUAAAAAGCACAACUACCUAUCUUUCAGAGUCCUUUGGUUAAUUUGUCUUGUCUCCUUAUGUGGUGGGGUUUUGUUUAAUAAUCUUAUACUUUUGCCUUCCAAAAAAACUUAUCACUAAUCCUCUUUUCAUUAAUCCAAUUUUUUAUGUUAUUGUAUAAAAGAUCAUGGAUUCUCCACCUGCCUCCACUACUCCUCCUCCUCCUCCUUCUCCUCCUUCUCCUCCUUCUCCUCCUCCUCCUCCUCCUACUUCGGACGCAUCGGCUUCGACGUCUGCCAUGAAGCGGACACGCAAAGCCUCACGCCUACGAUCGUUGUCCACUAGACCACCUGGUGUUGAGAGACCAGUGGUGCAUGUUGAUCCUGCUACAAGGAAGGCCGACAGUCCCCACAAGAAGAAAUUAAGAACAUAUUUGGGGAUUGUGGCACGUGAUAAGGUGGACAUCACCUAUGAGAACUGGAAGGAGGUCCCUACUGCUCAGAAGGACCUGAUUUGGGAGGAUAUUCAGGUAUUUCUCUUUUCUUAUUUGAUUGUGUGUAAUUAAUAGCCAAAAAAUUUCAUUAUUGUAACAAAUAAACUUUGUUUCAUGUUGUCAGGCGAAAUUUGAUAUCCCAAAGGCUUCUGAUAGUAGGACGAAAAGGAAGUUACUACAGACCGUGGAGGAGAGAUGGAGGCAGUUUAAAUCAGACCUCACGAGGAAAUGGGCCCUUGCAGCCGAUCAGGACGGUGUCGAGGACACUGUCUGUGACAAAUACGGCAUCAGCAAGGAAAAAUGGGUCCAGUUUUGCCAGACUCGUAGAGACCCUUCUUGGGAGGUAUGUUCCUUUGCCAUUUAAGUUGUUUUUCAUAUUAAACAUGAUGUUGUUAUACUUCAUUCUACCCAUUUCAAACAUUAUUGUUUAAUUUUUUCAGGAUGUGCGCAUGAAGGCACAGGCCAUCCAGAAGCAGAAUACUGCCCCCCACGUUUUGUCUCGUGGGGUUAUGAUUAUUUGGAGCAGAAGCUCCUGGCUGAGAAGACCAAGAAGAAGAUGCAGGAAGCUGCACAGUCAGGAAGCGUUGAUGGCGUCAUCGACUCUCCAUCCCCGGUCAGACGUCACGUGAAGUGGAAGAUGGCCCGCACGAAGAAGACAGGGGAGAUGACGACUGAGGCCGCAAAGGAAAUCGCUGAGAAGAUUGUAAGUCAUGUUCAACUAACCAUUACAAUUAUGUUUGAAUAUUUUGAGAAUGCCAUGUACCACUGUGUGUUUUCUGUGCAGGAUUCGUUUGAGGAGCAGGCCACACAGGGAUCGUUCAUCCCCCAUGGACGUCAGGAUGUUCUGGCCGCUGCUAUUGGACGUCCAGAGCACCCUGGACGUGUCCGUGUUGCUGGAGCCGGUGUCACCAUCAAGCAAUACUUUGGAUCGGCUCCACGGACGUCCCGCAGCGCUUCCUCCCUGCCUCCUGACGAAUUACAACAGCUGACCCAGCAGAUCAGGGACCAGCUAGAGGAGUCCAUCACAAAGAAAGUGACGAGGCAGGUCAUGGCAUCCUUUAGCCACCUUCAGUCACAGAUGCAAUCUCAGGGACUUGCAGUGCCUCCUGAGCCUGUGGUUGGUCCUGGUCCCUCCGGUCCUCGAGUGAGCACAAAGGGGAGUUGUGUUGAUCCCUCAGGAAACAAUCCUGAGACCGGUGACUCUGAUAGGUGCGGCUUGUACAUAGAAGCAGAUCCUGCAUGCCUGGUUUCCAUCGGGAGAGUUUAUGAGGGAUCCAUUGUUGUUCAUAACACUCCUUUGUUGCCUGGCCAAGUAAAGGUGAGUGUGGAGGAGGUUAGAGAUGCAGAUGCUCCAGUUCCUGUACCCACUGAUGAGGUUUCCUUAGUGGGGCAGGCACUUCACACCUUCCUUGCUUGGCCGACACAUCUGGUCAAGUCUUUAUCACAGCAGGUACUUAUUGUCCUUACUAUAUGUUUCUUCUUUUCAAAUUAGGCUAUUUAACUUUGUUUCAUGAACAGGUAGCUGUGUCUCCGCCAAAACCACCUCCGAAGCCCGAUCCGGAGGUCGAUGAUCCGCUUUAUCUGAUGACAUUGACCAUCCCAGAGCUUUUCUUGAGGCCUUAUCAGGUUAGAUGGGAUGCCACCGUGUUCGGGGUCGUUAAUCCAGGUUUCCCCCUGUACAUAAAGCACGAAGACCUCUCCGAAAUCGCACACGGUGGUCAAUGUCUCAGCAUAUCAGUGUUACAGUUGUGGAUUCUGUAAGUCUUUAUAUAAAAGGCUUUUAUUUACCUAAGUUAUGGCUUUCAAUUCAUAAAUAUUUAACUUUGACUUAACAUAAACAUGCAUCUCACUUAAACAUGUAUGCGAGCGGGGAAUUCUGAUAUCUAUGGAUUCCUCGAGCCUCAGUCCAUUCAGAGGUCUGGGCAAUCGCAGUUUGAAUUUGAAAGUCACAUAAAGAGUUGGAUGCAGAGUUCACAACGCGAUGUGUAUCUUGGAGCCUACCUAAAUGGGUAAGUCACAAAAUAACAAAAUUUAAUUAAUGUUUACUAAUGUACUAACCCAUUUUAGGUUCCACUGCAGCAGACACUGGCAGAUGGUGGUCAUCCUGCCCAAGGAACACUUAGUUGUCUGGUUUUGUUCAUUGCAUAACAGGCCAGACAACUACCUUAAGGGGAUUAUUAAUAGGUUAGUGUUGUUUUCAAUACAUUUGCAUUGUAAUACCUCAACGUACAACACCAGUUUUUAAUUGUUACUCAUAUGGAACAGUGCUAUCAAGGGUCUUGAUGAUGCUCCACAGCCUAAAUCAAAGGCUCCUGCUAGGUGGAUUGUCGUCAAGGUACGUCAUUUACAUAAAACUUCUACUUAUAUAUAUUUCUUUAUGUGUCUGUACACUAGUUGUUUAAUUAAUAUCCAAAUUUCAUUAUGUAUUUAGUGUAAUAGACAAAAAGGAACUACUGAGUGCGGCUAGUAUGUCAUGCACUGGAUGUCCACCAUCAUUUUAGGAACAUUUACAAAUAAUUGGGAAGCGGUAAGUUUAUUUCAAAGAAAAUCGAUUUAUUUAUAAUUUGUAUUACAUUAUUAACUUAAUAUGAUUUAUUUAAUCAUGCAGUAUUUUAACGACCCUAGACCAUUGGAGCCUGAGAGAUUAAAAGCAUUGCGGAUCCAGUGGGCACAGUUUUAUCUCCGAAUUAGAGAUCGGGCCUAGGAUUUAGGGACAUUUUUUAACCUUUUUUACAUUUUUUACAUUUUCUAUGUAACAUGAACAUUCAAUUCAUUUGUUGAUAGUUCUUUAUAAUAUAUAAAUCAAUUAUUUGAUGUUUAUUAUCAUUAAAACUGCUUGAAAGCAGAAUAAAAUAUUUAUUUGCUGUGAAUUGGGCCUUCUGAAAUUGCAUUUGACAGGUACAAUUUUGGGUUUACUGUAAAAACAGAAAGUAUAUAUAAAAAAAAAUAUUUGAAAACAUCGGUUAUUAACAAAAACCGAUGUUAAUAUCAUAACCAACAUCGGUUAUAAUAGAAAACCGAUGUUAACGUUUGUAUAUUAACAUCGGUUUUUUGUGUAUAACCGAUGUCAGCGUUUGUAAUUUAACAUCGGUUAUCUGUAGAAAACCGAUGUUAACUAGUGUACAUUAACAUCGGUUAAUUAUCAAUAACCGAUGUGAAUAUUUGAAUAUUAACAUCGGUUAUUUAUAAUUAACCGAUGUUAUACACAAAGAACUACACCAAAUAAGUGUAUGCAUCAUCAACGUUGACAUCGGUUUUCUAGCAAAACCGAUGUUAAGGGCAUAUAUUAACAUCGAUUUUUCUAGAAAAUCGAUGUUAAACUAACAUAUUUACAUCGGUUUUACUGGAAAACCGAUGUCAACGUUCAUCAUGCAUACACUUUUUUUGUUGUUGUUCAUUGUGUUUAACAUCGGGUAUUUGGAGAACCGAUGUUGUCAUAUGUAUGUUAACAUCGGUUCUCCAAAACCGAUGUUAACAUUCAUACAUUCAACAUCGUCACUUUCAACAUCGGUUUUAGAACCGAUGUAGAAUGUUCUAAAUAACAGAUGUUGAAAGUGUAUUUUCUAGUAGUGGUAGUGGGAAUUGACUCCCUUACAAAGGUAGGAUUUGGUUGGCCUUGAGCGGUAGGAAGUGUGUUUGGAGUCUGUGCAACAACAUGAAUCAUCGACUCUGAGGUUGAUAUGUGAAUGGAUGAGGGGGAAGGGUUGGUGGUAAUUGGAGCUCUCAAAUUGUGGGUACCACGUUUUGUACCACGAUUAAAUGUUCUACGACCACCACCUCUACCUCUAUCUGCCAUCUGCAUGUUUGAUAUAUAUAUAUAUAUAUAUAUAUAUAUAUAUAAUGUUUAAGAACAAAUAAAUAAAAAAUGAAGUAAAAAAUGAAGUAUCACAAGCAAUAAACUUUAGUAAACAAAUAAAUCCAACUUGUUAAUGAAAACUCACAAAAACAUGUUUUCUACACCAAAAUAUGUCACUUAUCUUCUCUUUCAUAUUCACUAAAGUAAUAAUUAUCACAAACCACAGUCAUACAAAUGUAAAACUAUGCGCGCACACACACACUGAACAUAAGGCAUGCAAUAUAUUUAAGAACAAUAAAUAAAAAGUGAAGUGCCACAAGCAAUACACUUUAGUAAACAAAUAAAUCCAACUUGUUAAUGAAAACUCACAUAAAAAUGUUUUCUACACCAAAAUAUGUCACUUAUCUUCUCUUUCAUAUUCACUACAAGAGUAAAAAACAUGCAAUCAACUUUAAUCUAUGAAUUACCUAAGAAGUAUCUGUAUCAUCAAAAUCACUCUCAAUGUCAUUCUCACUUAACAUGCAUUCAUCCUCGUCUAGUUCGAUCAAGUCUAGUUGUUUGAGUAAAUCUGCAUCUAUCUCUUCUCCACCUCCAUCAACAUCCGCAAGAGAUUCAUUAAUGACAUCAGGGUCAAGUUCCAACACUUCUUGAAGCCCUACAAGCUCAUCAUCUUGGUAUAGAGCCUCUUGUCCAAUUUCACUUACUAUAUUGUUAGUGAUUCUGCUGAGAGCUUUUGUCUUUAUUAUGGCUAACCAUCCUCGAUGUCCCUCAGGAUAUGUUGUGCAAUAAACUUGUUCUGCUUGUUGUGCAAAUAUGAAUGGGUCAUAUGCUUUAGUAUAUCUUUUUUAUUGUCUUACUUCAACAAUGUCAUACUUUUUAUCUACUCGUGUCCCUAUAUAAGGAGUAUUAUCAAACCAAUCACACUUGAAUAGAACUAACUUCAUCAAUGGGAUGCCAGUAUACUCCAAUUGAAUAAUAUCAUACAACAUUCCAUAAAAAUCAGAUUCUAGUUGGCCAUCAGUUCCCCGUACGUGAACACCAUAAUUAGAAGAAUUCAUGUCUUCAUUCCAACUAACUGUUUCAAAUUUGUAUCCAUUUAUAAUGUAGAUAGGCCAUGAUUCAACUUUUCUCUUAGGUCCCCAUGCCAAAUUAACCAAUAUUGAAUCUUGAAUAUUAUUUUCUGGAUUUAGAACCUAAAAAAUUUAAUAAUUAACACCAUAUAUAACACCGUAUCAUUAUGGAAGAAAUGUUAUUUCAAUAAUAUAUAAGGUGUUAACCUACAUAUUGCUUGAACCAUGCAGGAAAGUUGGAUGAAAUGUCUUGGUUAAGUUGAGCAUCCGAAGUAGUGGGGUUCAACUCCCUUAAAAAAUUCUCAUAAAUACUGGAAAAGAGAAAACAAAUUAGUCAACAUAAAAAACAUAACAUCAUUAAAAUAUUAAUUAGAGUUAUAAAAGUAUUAAAAUCAUCUUACUCUAAAUAUGGCUCAACCUCUGGACAAUUUUGAAGAACGUACAAGUGAGCUACAUGAACAUCAACUUGGUCCAAAAAAUAUGUUUUGGAUUUACCACUCGCUCUUCCUGGAUAAUUGAAAAUUGAUAUAGGAGGAGAAGAUGAAGAACCUUCAUCUGCAUCAACAUUUCGAGGCAUCCUAGUCCUUCUUGUUGCAAUUUGAUCAGGAUAGUAAAACGAGGCAAAGGUAGAUGUCUCCUCCAUUAAGUACGCUUCACAAAUCGAUCCCUCAACUCUAGCUUUAUUCUUAACUUUAUUUUUGAGGGAGUGUAAAAACCUAAAAUUAAUAUGAAUAAGUAUUUUUUUUAAAAUGACUAUAUGUAUAUAAUACAAUGGUGUAUAAAUAAUUACUCAUUUUAUACCUCUCAAAAGGAUACAUCCAACGAUAUUGGACUGGACCACCAAGUCUUGCCUCAUAAGGUAAAUGAACUAGAAGAUGCUCCAUUGAAUCAAAGAAGCUUGGAGGGAAUAUUUGUUCUAACUUACAAAACAACAUAGGUAUGUUAUUUUCCAUAAUUCUUAGUUGCUCAACAUUUAAAGUUGUCGAAGUUAGUUCUCUGAAAAAUUGGCUAAGUUCAACAAGUGGCUUCCAAAUAGGUUUUGGUAAUGAGUCAAAUGCAAUUGGAAGCAACCAUUGCAUGAAAACAUGACAAUCAUGACUUUUCAUUCCAUGAAUUUUUCCCUUGUUAAGAUCCACACACCAACCUAAAUUGGAGGCAUAGCCAUCUAGUAACUUUAGUUCUUUGACCCAUUUAAGAACAGUGAGUCUCUGGGAUUUGGUCAUUGCAUAAGCUGCCUUUGGUUUAAAGAACUUGCCACGACCAACAUCUACUAGCUCAAGCUCCUUCUGAUCACAUAUUUCUGCUAAAUCCAUUUGAGCAUUGUGUGUAUCCUUGCUUUUGCCAUUGAUGUCCAUCACAAUGUUAAAGACAUUCAUAAACACAUUUCUUUCUGUGAGAAUGACAUCAAUGUUAUGACGCAGAAGCUAGGUUUUCCAAUAUGGUAACAACCAAAAUAUACUUUGUUUCUUCCAAUUAUGUUCAACACCAUAACCAAGAAAAUCUUUUUCUUCUUGCGACUCAAGGCAGAGCGAUAAAUGUGCAACUCUAUUCCAAACGUCAAGACUAGACAAACAUGGAGGAGGGGCUGAGGUCUCAACGCGACCCUUCUUGAAUGACUUUUUAUUCCUCCUAUAUGCAUGAUUAAGCGAAAGAAAUUGGCGAUGACAAUCAAAAUAACAGACCUUGUGAAAAUUUAAAGUUGUGAAUGCCUUUGAUCGUUCCAUACAUAUGGGACAACCAAGUCUACCAGCAGUUCUCCAACUUAACAACAUCCCAUAAGCUAGGAAGUCAUUGAUUGUCCACAUCAAAGCAGCCUUCAUCAAAAAAUUUGGUUCAAUGACACAUCAAAAGUUGGUAUGCCAUCAUUCCAUAAGGUGCAUAAGUCAUCUAUGAGUGGUUGCAAGUACACAUCAAUCUUGUGCCUUGGAUCUGAUGGACCUAGAAUUAAGACAGUUAAAAACAUAAAUUCUCUCUUCAUGCACAUGCUAGGAGGAAGAUUGUAUGGAGUUAAGAUAAUCGGCCAACAAGAGUAAGUCUUCCCAAAUUGACCAAAAGGACUAAAUCCAUCUGAACAUAAUCCCAAUCUGACAUUCCUAGGGUCCUGACUAAAUUCUGGAUGCAUUCUAUCAAAAUGUUUCCAUGCUUCACCAUCAGAUGGAUGACACAUGACAUUCGGGUCCCUCUAAUUUUCACUAUGCCAUCUUAUGUGAGAUGCAGUGGCCAUUGAAGAGUACAAUCUUUUUAGUCUUAGAAUGAGUGGAAAGUACCACAUUUUUUUAACAGGAAACUUCUUUUCAAUCCCUCUCCUAUUAACCGUCAAGUACCGAUCACUUUUACAAAAAAAGAAAUUGGUUAUACUCUUAUCUGAAUUUUCUAUGUAAUACAACAUGCAUCCGUUCGGGCAACAAUCAAUUUUCAAACAACCGAGACCCAAUUUUUGCACUGACCUCAGUUUUUUGGCAUGGUGUCACCCAUAAGUUGAACCAUACGAUUAAAACACCCUUCUGACAUAUUAUAAUCAGAUUUCAAGCUAAGACAUGCCAAAGAAGCUGACAAUUCUGAAUGAUGCUCGCAUCCUUCCCACAAUGGUGCUUGAGCAGUUGCAAGCAUAUCAAAGAACUUUUGAGCUUCAGGAUUAGGAUUCUCCUCCAUGCAUUCUGUCUCAAUUACACCCUGUUGUUCUAUGUAUUGGCCAAUUGAUGGUCCAACAUGAUCCAUGAUCAUUUGCUCGUAAGGAUUCAAUUCUUUCCUUUGCCUACCACUUUCAUAGUAGGAACCUUGCAACACUAUGGGAGGAAAUUGUGGUAACUCUUCACGGUGGUUUGUCCACCAAUAAUAAUUUGGCAUGAACCCUUCCUCAUAAAGAUCCCUCAUCACAUCAUCCACAAACUUGAAAACUUUACAUUUGCAUUUCUUGCAGGGACACCUUGUUUGUUCUCCUUGCAUUUGAAACAUGUCCUGACUAGUAACAAAUUGUACAAAUUCAAACACUCCUUCUCUAAACUCAUUUGUCCAACGUUUAUUACCAUCCAACCUCUGAUACAUCCACCUUCGAUUCUCAGGAAUCUCCCUUGAUACAAACUACCAACAACAAAUCUCCAUCAAGAAAUGUCAAGAAGUAAGAAAAUAUAAUCAUCAAAUGAAAUGAUUUGAUAGUAUUCAAUGGAGUGUGUUCAUGCAAACACACAAAAGACAUAGUGUUUGCAUGGAAGUUGAAACAGUCAACUUAAUGUUUAUUUAUUAUGAUUGAUUUGAAACUUUAGAUAAAGUAAGGUUGAUGAUGGAACAUGGAUAUUGUGUAUUACAAGUACCUCAAUGUAGGUAUAAUUAGACAAUGAAGAAAAAACUCCUGCACAAAAUUAAUAAAAUACAUUAUAUUUAUUUUUAAUAAUUAAUAGGGAAAAAUAGUGCAAACUUACACAUGCAAUGCUCUUUUUUCUAAUAUCAUUCAUGUUCCUUAAUCAAUCUGUGUCCCGUGAUCUAAGGGCUAGCUUGGAUAAGUCUUUUUUAUUUUAAAAAAAUAAAAUUGUGUCUACUAUGUGAAAUUAAUGAAUUAUAGUAGUACUAUACUAGUAGAGAAAAAUAAAACUAUUGUUCAGAGCUUAGUUCAAAUAAAGUAAUUAUAAAUUUGCUUACAUUUAAUUAUGAGCGUAAAAAAAUAUAAAAUAGAAAAGAAUGAUUAAUUUUAAAUUAUCUAUUGAAUUAUCUUUAACUUAAAUUUAAAUAUAUUUAAUUAAGUAAUUUAUUGUAUCGAUAUUAUAACAUACACGGCAACAAUUUAAACAUGAACAAAAAAGACAAACCAAGAGAGGGGUCCAAUGAGAUGUGUCGACCACUGUAGCUAGUUCCUCUGCUGUGCUAUUUCCUCGAUUGUUUGCAAUCCCAUGUACACAUCAAACCAUCCUGCACUAAAAUUGUUCAAAGUUCAAAAACACAACACUUAAUUAAUUAGCACUACUGUGUAAGAGCCCCAAAUAUAUACUGAGAAAUCCUACGUCUCAGAUAUGAUUAUUAAUUAUUCUACUUAUUUCAAUUUCCCCAUUGUAAUCAAUAAAAGUAAAAGUAGAUUCUCUAUAUACAACUUUCAUUUUUUUUCUUACACCUAUUAUUACUACGAGGCCCAUUUUGGUGUAAUCAAUUUGAACAUGACCCAAACUCAAUUAACUUUUUGAAAAAUUAACUAUAAAAUUUAAAUUAAGUAUAUAACAUGUGUCGCAACCUACCCUUCGACGGGAGGGCGACGCGAGACUCGCAGGAUGCGUGUUCCACGAAAGGAAUACGCGCGGAGUCGCCACCAACGUUUAUUUGAGGAAAACGUCGGAAAAACCGGAGAAGACGCGAUCUACGAACUUUUAAGUGAAAGGCUCGGGAGUUGUAUUUACGCACGGGGAAGGUGUUAGCAGCCCACACGUCCGUCACAAGGGACGACAGCCUUUAAUCGAAUGUGCAACCACGACUUUGAUUUUUACGUUCCCUUUUGUGUCCUUAUAUCCUUUAUACCCUUUUUAUAUUUUUUAUCUUUUUGUGGUCGACAAGGGUGUUUCCCUUUGCUCCUGCGUAUUCCUCAAUUGUGAUGAGGAAAUCAGACCUACGUAGUUCUUUCUUAUGCGUGAAUCAAGUGAUUCUUUUUACUUGAAAGGUGAUCAUUUUAAGGCGUUGGACCUUAAAAAUGAUCCAUUUUACUUGGUAAGAAACUGAAAUGAUAAACUUUCAAGAUCCUAUUUUUGUGGACGAGCUUGACUAGGCGAGUUGAUUUUAGCCUUAGUUUCACUUUAGUUAUUAGUCAAUUCAAUUAAGAAUGAGAAAUCCCAAAGAGAAAACGUCCGAUUGAUUUUUCGCUUUUACUUUACUAAAAGGUAUUUUUUGAUUAUUAUAUUAUUAUUUUACCUCUUUUUUUAUUUCUAACGUGGUUACGGCACGACCGAACGGUCGAAAUUCUUUUUAACAGAAAUUAACGGAUGAUACAAUUCAAAUGAUCGGUGGAAAUUUAUUUUAUUUUUAGAUUAGGCAAGAAACAACUUAAAUAAAUGACUGAAGCACGUCAAAAGGGGGUACGGAAAGUAAAUGAAACGAGAAUAAAAGAACACAAAACAAAUGGGGACCACCACGGGUACAUAGAAAGAAUUGAAAAGCUCGAUUUGGAAACUUACUCGUUGAAGAACGAAGAACGGAUGAAGAACGGUGAAUAACGGAGGAAAACUUUCACAGAUUUGCUUACGGAAACCUCUCGGAAGCGUUACGGAAGCACCUCGGCUUGGAUUUUCUUCACGGAAACAAUUUUUUUUCACCCAAAACAGCUGAAAUACCUCACCAGGGACCUCUGGGAUCUUUAGAACAGCCCCCUUCAGCCUAUUUAUAGGAAAAAGCAAGAGGAGGUUGCCGCCCAGCUCGCCCAGGCGACCUUAGCUCGCCCAGGCAGAAGCAACCCAGCUCCAAAAAACAUUCUGGAAGGCCCAAUUCAAAAUUUCGAAAUUGCUAUUUGCACCCCUCGAAUUUUGAUAAGUUCACCCCCUUCCUUCGUAAUUUACGGAAAAGUUACGGAAGCCUUACGGAAGCAUAUAGGACUUGAUUUUAUUCUUUUUUUCUCUUCCGUCUCACCCGUAUUAAGUUAAUUAUGCUUAUUUAGAGUUAUGGGAAUUUUACGGAAGCAUUACGGGUGUCCCGGAAGCCCCAAAAUCCCAUUUUUCAACAAAACGGGUGGUGUGGUGGCCACCUAGCUCGCCCAGGCGAGCUAGGUUGCUUCAACCUUAAGCAAGAAAUUGCCCAUAAACCUCUAGAAGGGCCCAGAUUCAAAAAUUUCUAUUUGCACCCCUCCCCCAUUUUACUAAAUACACCCCCUUUACCCUUUUUUUGGGUAAUUCUUUUUUCUUAAAGUUACAGAAACUUACAAAUUUCGUAACGAUACUUGUUUCCUUUCCGUAAUGUUACGGAACCUUGCGGAUUACAUAAUCAUCCCCUUUUUUUGACUUACGGAAUGUUACGGAACCUCACUAUUUGUGCAACGAUGCUUCCCUUCGAUUUCCGGUGUGUCACGGAAUUUCACUAUUUGUGCAACGAUGUUUCCCUUUGAUUUUCGGUGUGUCACGGAAUUUCACAAAUUGCCUAAUGAUGGGUGCCAAGCACCUCAAAAUGACCAAACACAAGUUGCAUGCCACUAAGCAAAGGUCCCCGAACGAAAUUAGGGUAUGACAGUUGCCCCUCUUUACUUGUCUUUUAUUGGAGAUAAAAGGGAAGUAAUGAUAAGACACUAAUUUCGUUCCUCUCGGUUGACGAGAGUCGCGGGUGACCAUAAAAUCUCCGCGCGCAAAUGACUUGUUGUUCCCGAGGGAACAAAGGGUGCAGAAGACGAUGUCAGUCUUCGCAUGCUAUCAGGCUUUUCGUCUUACAGAUAGCAAAGAGAAAGUUUAUACGGAUAACCACUCGGGUAUUUCCGCCCGUCAGCGUGACUCAAAUGUCAGUAUGACAGAUCUUGUGAGCGCGGAAGAUGACGUAAAUCUCCGCGUGUCAAUAGGCUUGCCGGCCGCGAUUGACGAAGGGCGCAGAAGACGACGUUAGUCUCUGCGUGCUGUCAGGCUUUUCGUCUUACAGACAGCAAAAAUGAAUGUUUAUACGGAUAACCACUCGGGUAUUUCUGCCCGUCAGCGUGACUCAAAUGUCAGUAUGACAGAUCUUGUGAGCGCGGAAGAUGACGUAAAUCUCCGCGUGUCAACGGGCUUGUCGGCCGCGAUUGACGAAGGGCGCAGAAGACAACGUUAGUCUCUGCGUGCUGUCAGGCUUUUCGUCUUACAGACAGCAAAAAGAAUGUUUAUACGGAUAACCACUCGGGUAUUUCCGCCCGUCAGCGUGACUCAAAUGUCAGUAUGACAGAUCUUGUGAGCGCGGAAGAUGACGUAAAUCUCCGCGGGUCAACAGGCUUGUCGGCCGCGAUUGACGAAGGGCGCAGAAGACGACGUUAGUCUCUGCGUCCUGUCAGGCUUUUCGUCUUACAGACAGCAAAAAGAAUGUUUAUACGGAUAACCACUCGGGUAUUUCCGCCCGUCAGCGUGACUCAAAUGUCAGUAUGACAGAUCUUGUGAGCGCGGAAGAUGACGUAAAUCUCCGCGUGUCAACGGGCUUGUCGGCCGCGAUUGACGAAGGGCGCAGGAGACGACGUUAGUCUCUGCGUGCUGUCAGGCUUUUCGUCUUACAGACAGCAAAAAAGAAUGUUUAUACGGAUAACCACUCGGGUAUUUCCGCUCGUCAGCGUGACUCAAAUGUUAGUAUGACAGAUCUUGUGAGCGCGGAAGAUGACGUAAAUCUCCGCGUGUCAACGGGCUUGUCGGCCGCGAUUGACGAAGGGCGCUGGAGAUGACGUUAGUCUCUGCGUGCUGUCAGGCUUUUCGUCUUACAGACAGCAAAAAAGAAUGUUUAUACGGAUAACCACUCGGGUAUUUCCGCCCGUCAGCGUGACUCAAAUGUCAGGAUGACAGAUCUUGUGAGCGCGGAAGAUGACAUAAAUCUCCGCGUGUCAACGGGCUUGUCGGCCGCGAUUGACGAAGGGCGCAGAAGAUGAUGUUAGUCUCUGCGUGCUGUCAGGCUUUUCGUCUUACAGACAGCAAAAAAGAAUGUUUAUACGGAUAACCACUCGGGUAUUUCUGCCCGUCAGCGUGACUCAAAUGUCAGUAUGACAGUUCUUGUGAGCGCGGAAGAUGACGUAACUCUCCGCGUGUCAAUGGGCUUGUCGGCCGCGAUUGACGAAGGGCGCAGAAGACGACGUUAGUCUCUGCGUGCUAUCAGUCUUUUCGUCUUACAUUUAGCAAAAAAGAAUUGAAAGUGCGGACAACCACUUGGGUAUCUCCGCAUGUCACGUGACUCGAGUGUCACCAUGACAGAACUUGUGAAGGUGGCCGACAAAAGCAAGGCUCUUGCUCCUACGUAUCCUCCAAUGAGGAACUCAGACCUACGUAGUUCUUGAUAACUUGUGAGACUUGAAAAAGUAUCCUCCAGAAGAUGCUGACAUUUCCGAAAAAGGCGCAGAUGACCACAUUGGCCUCUUCUCAUCAAUCACACUUGGGGUCACUGAAUGCCGAGGUGCGGAUAACCGUAAGGUAUCUCCGCGGGCUACCAGCUCUUGGGUCAUGGUAACAAAAAGCGGUGUGGUCGACAAAAGCAAGGCUUUUGCUCCUACAUAUCCUCAAAUGAGGAACUCAGACCUACGUAGUUCUGGAUAACUUGUGAGACUUGAAAAAGUCUCGGUGUUUUCCCCACUAAAAUGCAAACAUGCUUUAGUAAAGAGACCAAUAUUCACUGAUUAGAGCAGCAUAUGCCUUUUUGAGUGAAAAACAAUGCGUCUACCGGGGAAGGAGAGUCUGCUGAUGAAACCCCCCAUAACGAUAAAUGAGAUUUUGGAUGUUAGCAUUUUGUUUCUAAAUGACCAUUUAGAGGAAACACUGGGUUCAACAAAAAAUAGAAGAAAAUCACUCAGAGUGUAUCAACCUCGCACAGGUAAGUGUUUCAUCCUAAUUCCGAACCAUAGAUAUGCCACGACUUGACUUUGCGAAUUAUUUCCUAUCAAAUCAAAGAUUACAUGCGUGAUCAUGGAUCAAUAGGACUUCCCUUGGAAAUGGGUUCUUUCGGUGGGUUUUUCGGCUUUUGAUUGAUUUGAUUUUUUUCUGGCUUUUUUUUCUUUUCUGUUCUUGUUUGACGCGAGGUGAACAAGUCACCGACGCACAAGAUUUUGGUUGGUAAUCAAAGGGAGAAGACCACUUUAGGUCAUGGUUUCCUUUCCUUCCUUUUGUUCAUUUGGUGACAAUUCUGUAUUGUUCAGAUAUUGUCUGGUCCAAAGACCUUUCUGCACAUUUCUUCUGUUUUCUUUCGAUCCUUGAUCAGCUAGACAACUUAUUUUUCUUUUUCUCUCUCUUUUUUUAUUUGUUUAUUUCUUUUUCUUGUUUGUUUUUGUUUUUCAUGAGGUAUUUUGCUACCUAAACAUGUGUAUAUUUUUUUGAGGUAUUUUUGCUAUAUACAUGCAUAUCCAAGGUAUCUUGCUACCUAAACAUACAUAUAUAUAUUUUGUGAGGUAUCUUUUUGCUACAUAGAUGCAUAUCUAAGGUAUCUUGCUACCUAAACAUACAUAUAUAUUUUGUGAGGUAGUUGUUUGCUACCUAAAUUACAUACAUGCAUAUCUAAGGUAUUUUUCACUACCUAAACACGCAUACAUAUAUUUGUGAGGUAUGACUACCUUCCGAGCUUGUGCUCGUUUUAUUUAAAUUCUUAGGAUCAUGAGCAACUAGGUGUGUCCCAAUAUGACUUGAGAAACAAAAGGUGAUCAAAUAGCAAGCAGAAAUUUAAAAGGUACUAGGUUGCCUCCUAGUAGCGUUUCUUUAACGUCUUGAGCUGGACGCCUUAUGACUUGUCGGUCACUGACCUAGUACUUUGCUUACCUUUGGCUUUGGACUUGGUAGUCUGCUGGUCGGCCAUGUGUCGUAGGCAACGCUCUAACCUUUUUGUGGAUGAGCUGAGGUGAACUCUAGAGGUGGUGGCGGUGUGUCUAUUGCCCGCUAUCGGCCAUCCCAAUGCUGCUGUGGUGUUUCGCCCUGCGCCUGCCUGGGGGCGCAGUACUUCUUCAUGAAAGCUCGAUUGGUAGGGGGGCCUGAUGACUUUGCUGGGGGCGACAGACACUCCCUAGAACUGACAGAGACCCGUAUUUAGAGCUGGCAACUCCAAGACCCUGUUGGCCUUCUUCGGGUCCACUAGGUGUCUUGCGGGCACAAUCCCUGCAAACAAUAGAUGACAUCAGAAAUCAGUUGGGGGAGGUGCAUACUUACCUAUGCCACGGCGACAUGAACUUGCUGGGGGGAACGGGCGCCCUGUAGGGCCGACAGAGGCCCGUAACCAGAGCUAGAAAUCCCAGGACCCUGUUGGACUUCUUCAGGUCCACUGGGUGUCUUUGUGGGUGCGAUCCCUGCAAACAAUAGAUGGUAUCAGAAAUCAGUUGAACCAUAUGCAUACUUACCCAUGUCGGGACGACACAGACCAACUAAUACUUUUGUGGGGGAGAUUGGCAUUGUGGUUGCUGGGCAGAAUGUUGCUAAGCAGCAAUGUCAUCUAUAUCUGUGUAAGAGUGGUCAUGUUGGUGCGCAUGAUCCGCACUCGUCUCUUUGCAGCGGCACGGGUGAAAUCUUGCCCCGGUAUGCAUAGUAGCUGUGUGAUAGCCUCCCUCUCUGGUUGUACUCGCACAGUUGGCCCUCCUCCAAUAUCAGGGGGUGGCCCAGGAACCAUUAAAAGGAAACUACUGGUCCCUUAAUCGGGAGUGCAAGUCUCGGUUAAGCAUUUAAGGACAGAGGACCUUAAAUUCUCUUAAGGUGCGGAUGUGGAGCACACUGAAAAUGAGGACACGUAGCCCUCUAAAAGUGAGGGCGUGCAGCCCUCUCAAGGCGAGGAUGUGUAGUCCUCUGGAGGUGAGGGCGUGCAGCCCUCUGUUGGCGAGGACGUGUAGUCCUCUCAAGGUGAGGGCGUGCAGCCCUCUGUUGGCGAGGACGUGUAGUCCUCCAAAGGUGAGAGCGUGUAGCCCUACGAAGGUGAGGACAUGCAAUCCUCUGAUGGCGAGGGCGUGUAGCCCUCUGAAGGUGAGGACAUGCAGUCCUCUAAUGGCGAGGGCGUGUAGCCCUCUGAAGGUGAAGACGAGUGAUCCUCUAAAGGUGAGGGCGUGUAGCCCUAAGAAGGUGAGGACAUGCAGUCCUCUGAUGGCGAGGGCGUGUAGCCCUCUGAAGGUGAGGAUAUGCAGUCCUCUGAUGGCGAGGGCGUGUAGCCCUCGGAAGGUGAGGACGUGUGGUCCUCUAAAGGUGAGAGCGUGUAGCCCUACGAAGGUGAGGACAUGCAGUCCUCUUAUGGAGGAGGGCGUGUAGCCCUCUGAAGGUGAGGACAUGCAGUCCUCUGAUGGCGAGGGCGUGUAGCCCUCUGAAGGUGAGGACGUGUGGUCCUCUAAAGGUGAGGGCAUGUAGCCCUACGAAGGUGAGGACAUGAAGUCCUCUGAUGGCGAGGGCGUGUAGCCCUCUGAAGGUGAGGACAUGCAGUCCUCUGAUGGCGAGGGCGUGUAGCCCUCUGAAGGUGAGGACAUGCAGUCCUCUGAUGGCGAGGGCGUGUAGCCCUCUGAAGGUGAGGACGUGUGGUCUUCUAAAGGUGAGGGCGUGUAGCCCUACGAAGGUGAGGACAUGCAGUCCUCUGAUGGCGAGGGCGUGUAGCCCUCUGAAGGUGAGGACGUGUGGUCCUCUAAAGGUGAGGGCGUGUAGCCCUACGAAGGUGAGGACAUGCAGUCCUCUGAAGGUGAGGACAUGCAGUCCUCUGAUGGCGAGGGCGUGUAGCCCUCUGAAGGUGAGGACGUGCAGUCCUCUGAAAGUGAGGACACGCAGUCCUCUGAAGGUGAGGGCGUGCAGCCCUCUGUUGACAAGGAUGUGUAGUCCUCUGAAGACGAGGGUACUAGUACCCGAGGGUCCAUUCUUAUGAGAAAGCAAGAGAUCGACUCAUCGAGAGAGCCGGUCAUCCCAAAUUCAAAAGAUUUGGACAUUUAGAUGUAGGGAAUCUAUGUAGUUAAAAUGAUUUUGAGGGAUGCAAAUGCAUGCAACCUUUGUUGUGAAAUUUGGGUAAAUGCGGACUUUAUAUGAAACAAUGCAAUGUAAUGGAAAGUUGUACAAUGUUCAUGACAUUCUUUCCCUAUUUUGUGAUUUUGAUUUUGAUUUGAUUUUUUUUUGGAAAACACAGAUUGACUGUCCUUUUGAAAAAGGUGAUAAUUCAUGCAACCUCAUCCUAUCUUUUUGCAAAUCUCUCUGGGAACUCCCUCAGAGUGUAUGUUCUUUUUGAUUUAGUCACUUGACCAUUUUGGAGUGACGGCAAUGGAGCCAUUUGAUGUUUAACCAAUCCAUCGAAAUUCCAGGGUUUGUCCCCCUUUUUUAUUAUUAUUAUUAUUUUUUUUUUUAAAAAAAAACAUCGAUGGGUGAGAACUUUUGAUUUGCCCCUAGGUUCACUUGAGGCUCAUGCACGAUGCCCCUCAUUGCCCCAGUGUAAGGCUUUGAGGUACCAAUUGUUAUCUUUCGUCAUGACCUUGUAGCAAGGAACCUAUUGGGUGAAAACUUCUAAUCUGCCCCUAGGUUCGUUUGAGGUUUAUGCAUAGUGCCUUUCAUUGCCCCAGUGUAGGGCUCUAAGGUAUCCAUCGUUGUUUUGUUUUCACAACCUUGUAGCAAGGGAGAAUGAAAGAAGCAGUUGAUUUUUGCAAAAAGAAUUUUCCAAGGACGAGAAAUAGUUGAAGAAUUUUUUUUCAAUUGAUGGAUUAAGUCAAAUGACUCCUAUGUAGAAGCAAGAUGUUUUGAUGUUUUGAUGAUGCCGAAGGAUCAAGUGCUUCUAAGUUUUAUUCAAGACAAGAAUCCAAGAAAAUCAAGAUAUAUGAUCAAGUUGAUCUCUAGAAUCUUUAGGAAGAAGUUUCCAAAAAAAAAGGUUUGACCGAAGAAUUCUAUCAUUUCAAAUUGAGAUUUUCUCUCUGGUAAUCGAUUACCGGUAGUUGAAAAUGUUUAUCACAGUUACUAGAAAUUUGAAUUCAAAAUUUAUAAUGUGUAAUUGAUUACCAGAGGGGAUUUCCAGAAAAUAAUUGCCAAGAGUCACACCUAUUCAAAUUUUUUAUGAAUGACCAUCAAAGGUGACUUGGAAACACGAACUUAAAGGGAGUUUUCAUUGCCCAAGAAGUUUUAUCCUCUUAAAAGAUUAAGAGUUUUUCUGAACUGAAAUGUUUUAUCCUCUCAAAAAGAUUCCUUGGUCAACCACUUCCAUAUUCAAUAAGGAAUUUUGAUUGAUCUUCAUUGUACAAGCUAUCUCUUUUAAGAGAGAUCUCUUCUUCUCUUCUUCUUAUUUUUGAAAAGGGAUUAAGAGACCGUGGGUCUCUCGUUGUAGAGGAUUCCUGAACACAAGGGAAGGGUUGUCCCUGUGUGGUUCAGACUUUGUAAAAGGAGUUUUACAAAGAGAGUGGGAAAUCUCAAGUGGGUUACUUGAGGACUGGAUGUAGGCACGGGAAGUAGCCGAACCAGUAUAAAUCAAGUUUGCAUUCCUCUCUUCCUUUAAACUUCUUUUAUUUAUUGCUAUUUAUCUUUUGCUUUAAAGAAGUUUAUUUUGAAUUGUCUUUUGAGUAAUUCAUGUUAAGGGUGCAUUGUUAAUCCAAAAAGAAAGAGUGAUAGUUCAAUUGGGGAAUAGUCUUUGCAUCUUAAUUCAACCCCCCCUUUCUUAAGAUAACUGAGGCCAUCUGUUCAACAUCCUAUUCUUGACAACUCGCCUCUCAAAAAAGACAAACUUUCCGGAAUGAUAAAAUGAGGUCACAUGAACGUCUAUAUUUUUACUUGAAAACACAGUCAAUCAAAUGCCCCCUCUUCUUCUUCUUCUUUUUUUUUUUACUUUACUUGUCGUUUUACGACACCCCCACCAACGUGCAAGAUGAGUAAUCUCUGAUUGAACGGUCUUGGAAGUCAACACUCAGGAGCGCAGGUUGCUUGAGCAAACAGACCAAGGCUUACACUCACAUUCCGAUGGAAGUUGAAUAAGCAAAGAUGUGUUUGUGAGAGGAUAAGAGAGACAAGGAUGUCCAUUUUAUCCAUAUCAUUUAGCAUUGUAACUGUGGUUUACAAUAAUGGCAUAAACUUGGAAAUCCUGAUGAGUCAUUAGAGACACCUAACAACAGCCUUCAAAAUUGCCCCAUGUGUGGUGUCGCUUGUCAGUGUUAGGAUUCAACAAGCGAUUCUCCUCAAAUUUCAGCCAGCCCACAUCAAUUAGACUUUGCACCUUAUGCUUCAGGGUCAUACAGUGCUCAAUGAAAUGCCCCAAGGCUCCUCCACGAUAUGCACAUGUUGCGUUCGAGUCGUAUCCUCAGAAAAAUGGAGGUUUGAGGGAACCUAGCAGGGGUUAUGGCUACCAUUGCAUUAUCAAGUAGAUAUGGGAGCAAGUUAGCAUAUGACACUGGAAUUGGGGUGAAUUCUAAGGCUUUCUCGCUGCAAAAUUCAUUUCUUGGUUGGUGUUUUGGUUUACGCUAAAAGGUGGUGUUUGUCAUUGGAAGUGCGGUAGGUAGGCUUUGUGGUUGAUUUUAGGGAUGGCCUUUGUGGAUAAAUGGGCAGUAGGUUAGGAGAAGGGUUGAGUAAUGACAUUGUUGGGUUGGUGGGAAACUUGGCCGUACAGGAAUGGUAGUCACAGCAUGGGUUUCUCCCUCAUCCUCACCCUCUUCAUUUGCCCCAGUUUUCUCAUUCGUCCAAGCAGGAUGAUUAAAUUUGCCUCUUUUCAGACCCACUUCGAUCUUUUUGCUGGCAAAGACCAAAUCUGUAAAACUUGAAGAUGUGUAACCCACCAUUUUUCAUAGUAGAACACCGAUCACGUGUCUACUAUCAUUGUGAUAAUCUCUUUUUCUGUUAUUGGGGGUGCUACUUGAGUUGCCAAGUCUCUCCAUCUUUGGGCGUAUUCUUUGAAAGAUUCGUACCCCCUUUUUGCACAUGUUCUGUAGUUGCAUCCUAUUCGGAGCCACAUCAGAAUUGUACUGAUACUGCCUAAUGAAGGCAACCAUUAGGUCCUUCCAAGAGUGGACUCGAGAAGGUUUCAGGUUAGUGUACCAGGUAACAGCUACCCCAGUAAGAUUUUCUUGGAAGGAAUGUAUCAGCAGUUCCUCAUCUUUUGCGCAUGCCCCCAUCUUCUGAUAAUACAUCUUUAUAUGGUUCUUGGGGCAAGUAGUCCCCUUGUACUUGUCAAAGUCCAGCACCUUGAACUUGGGAAUGACCAUGUUUGGGUAUUAGGAACAACUCUUCUAGGUUAGCAAAGGCAUAAUCUUCACCUCCUUCAAUGGCCCUGAGCCUUUCCUUUAGAUGAUUCACCUUUCCCUUUUCAGCCAUAGCAGGAGGGGCUCUUCCCACCGCAAAAUGCAAUGGUUGUGGUUGUGGGCGAAACUGAGGGCUCUCCAAAGUGUUUUCAAAGGGUAUACCACCAACUGCUUGCCCUUCAGUGGCAUAUCCGAGCCAAGGCUCGAAGUCAGCUAGGUUGUGGUGGGGAAUUUCAUGUGUCUCCCCCAUGGUUUGAGAGAUAUGUGCCUGAUCAGAUUGAGGUUAUUGGUUCUCAAUGAGUAUCGGAGUGGAGUUAUUGAGAUUUUCAUUGAGAGUGUAUGCCACAUUGGGUGGUGUAUAGUUGGGAGGCAAGCCAUAUGAUGGGAAGGCGUGCUCGUUUUGAACUUGUACAUCAUGGGGGGGGCCGCCCGUACUUCCCAAAUCUUUGCCUACCAUUUGCUCUUUCAUGGCCUCCAUGUCGGCCUUCAUCUGCUCUUGCACCUUCUCUACUUCACCCAUUAUUUUAGCUCUAGCACGGGUUCGAUAAGGGCGCCGUAAAGCGUGUUUUAUUCUUUUUGAUAAUAACGAUUAAGUUCAUUUUUAUUUUAUUUAUUUUUUUUUAUUUUCUUUUUCAAGGAAAGAAUGCAAUGAGCAAUGCAACCAAUGAAAAGCAUGGAUGUAUGUGAAUGAUACACAGAUGAAGUAUUGCGAAUUUUUACGCAGGACAUGGGGUUGAAUCAAUUUAGAUUUUUCAACAUGGUUCAUGACAUCUUGGUCAAGGUGAAACUGGAAGUAACAAGGACAUCAACAGUCCUAAAUGUGUUUGGCAGUAAAUGAAGCAGUGAUGUAACUCGAUUCAUCUUUUGCCCCAAUUUUUGCAAGAUAGUUACUUCCAUACUUCAACUUGAUUUGAUGAACUUUUUUCGAAAAAGCAUGAGCUUGGUUCAACCCCAUAACCCAGGGAAUGGCAAUUUUGAUCGCCAAUACUUCAACAACAUUUCAUAGGGAUGAGAGACUCGGGAAUACGCAUACUAUGCAUGGAGAAUGUAAUUAUCAAAUUGAGAUGCCCGAAGAAACAUCUUUUCUUAGUUAACUAUGCAUUAGGUACCAUGUUCACUCAUUUUGUUUUUAAGUGAAACGGGUUUAUGAUCCCAACAUGGUUGGCUCAUGGUACCGAAUAUAUGCAACCAAGAAUGCAUCAUGAAUUUUCAUGCUUCCCUUUUUUGUUUUUGUUUUGUAGAGGAAAAUGCAAGGCUCACGCAUGAGCAAACAUGAAAACAAAAGGUAUGCAGUUUGUAGAACAAAAAGUAUGUUGAACGCAUAUGCAUGAUGAUGCAAUGACUCAUGCAAAAUGUGAUGCUGGAAUAUGAUAACGGACAAAUGCAGGAAUGAUAUGUUCAUUAUGAUGUCAUGAAGAGAUGCUUAUGAAUGCUAGAGAUAAAAUGCGGGAGUGAUUUGAUUUGCACUGAUCUUUGGAGUAAAACGCGGGAUAAACUCAUUUUAUUCAGAAAGUUUAUAACUAGUCAAGAUUUGAGCGACAAUACAAACUUCCUGGCGGUUUCUAAUCAUAUGGGCCAUUUAAGUCUAUCCUAUGCUGACAAUAGCUGAGAAGUUUGUGGAUCUCCUCGGGAGCGGAGUAGGUGUCCACCAUUGCUUUGGCCUUGGCUAGCAAUCGGGGAAGUUCUUGACUCCCGUUCAAGGUAAAAGCAAAUCAGUCCAUCCACAUGGUUGCCUCUUGGUGUAACGAGUCGAUCACCCUUCCUCUAGCCUCCUUUUCUGCGUACACUUGGGCAUGCUCAUCCGCCACCCUAUGCUUGUGGGCUGUGGCUAGGCUUAGUUCUUCUUGAUACUUGCUGAUGAUGGCUAACAUGUUGGUCUCUAUCUUGCAUAAACGCUAAGACAAACUUCUCUUGGACCUCGAGCAAGCCUUCAACUCAUCUUGUCUACCCGCGAUUGGUCCCUUUCCUCCCUCCAGAGUUUAAGCUCGUUAUUACUACCCCAUAGAGCCCCUCGGAACUUGUUCGGGCCGUGCUCUUCCCUACGAGCCCUCUUGGUCUCUUGUUCCAAUGCCUUGGUGGUAGCUACAUUUACAUCCCUCAGUUCGGCAUUCUCCUUCCGGAUCCUAAGAGCCACUAAUUUGAACCUUUCUUUGACUGUUUGAGCUUGCUCGAGUUUUUUCCUAAGAGCCUGCACCUCUUCGUCUUCCCCCGGUGCCUCAACUUCCUUCCUUUUAGUGGUUCUCAAACUUGGGAGCCAAUCCAAACCUUGCACGUGGGCUUUCAACCACUCACGGUAGCCAUCAAUAGGCCCACUGCCUCUGAGCUCUUUGUCUUUCUUUUGUACCACCCCCCAUGCCUUGCGGACCUUCUGAAGUGUCUCCACGUUGGUCUUAUUGAAGCCUCAUGAAAUGACAGGCGCGAGUCCAUCCUCUAGUGGCGCCCCUCUCAUAGGGUAGCCAAGUUGUCUUAUUGCAAGAAUGGGAUUAUAGCUGAUGCAACCCCCUCGUCACCAUCAAGGGAACAUUUGGAAAUCCUCCGCAUGAAAUAAGAACUCCGGUUCUUCCUUCCUUCCAUCGAGGGAACCAGUUGACAGAUGCUCUUUCUUUGCUUGCUAAGAGUUGGUCCCAAUUUGCCCCUCCUCUCGUAAACUAGUGACCUCUAAGCUCUUGAUUUUGACUUGAUAGAACCUCUUUUUAAGCGAAGGCUUUUGACUUGAUCCCAUGUUUUACUAAAGUGAAAUAAAAUCUAGUGCGAAUCAAAACUCCGACAUCUAUCAUGGGUGGAAUGGAUGAAUGCAUGAAGAAAUGCAUAUGACACAGAUGCAAUUUACGAAUACGGGAGCCCGAGAAACUGUCUCCUUCUUAGAUACAACGUCUAGGGGUAGCAAAGUGCCCCAACGUAUGUAUUUAAAACGGUGACACGGACCCUUCGUUGGUUUGUUUACAGAGGGGAUCAAGACAGAACCCAUGUGCGAUGCAUAUGCGAAAGGCGCAACACGGGAAUGUACAUAGUAUGACAAUACUCACUGAAUAUAAGCAAAAGGGUAUAUGACACUUAUGCAUGGCAGUGUGAAAAAUGGCACGCAGCGUGUUUGCUCCGUGCCCCUAUUUAAGGGACCUAUAAGGGAGAGAGCUAACUAGGCUUUUCGUAAUAACCCCUAAGGUAGUCAUAUCUCUCUUGAUGGUUUCUAGAGGUAUCAUCCCCUUCGAAGAACAUACUGCAGCAGUAGGGACUACUAGCAACAAUAUGUUUUCAAAGAGAAAAACUCUAGAUGAGGGUUCACUGUAAUCAAGCAAGUCGGAGACCUAGCAUGAUCACGGAUUCACCUCCACUCCUUAUGUUCCCACGAACCCGGGUAUAGGGCCCUUUUUCAACUCACCGCGUGUGCAAAUAGUGUUAGUGUUUGUGUGCAUCAAAUGAAUAAAUAUUUACCUCAAGCAUACAAAAAAUGCACUAAAAGCAUCAAAGAGUUAUAUAUACAAGAACAUAAUGAAGGAAAACCAACAAAGGAGUAAGUCAUGGUAAAACAUUGCACAAGAUUAAAUGGCCUAACUCUCUAAAAACAGUCCCCAGUGGAGUCGCCAACUAUCACAACCUACCCUUCGGCGGGAGGGCGACGCGAGACUCGCGGGAUGCGUGUUCCUAUGCGCGGAGUCGCCACCAACGUUUAUUUGAGGAAAACGUCGGAAAAACCGGAGAAGACACGAUCUACGAACUUUUAAGUGAAAGGCUCGGGAGUUGUAUUUACGCACGGGGAAGGUAUUAGCACCCCACACGUCCGUCACAAGGGACGGCAGCCUUUAAUCGAAUGUGCAACCAUGACUUUGAUUUUUACGUUCCCUUUUGUGUCCUUAUAUCCUUUAUACCCUUUUUAUAUUUUUUAUCUUUUUGUGGUCGACAAGGGUGUUUCCCUUUGCUCCUAUGUAUUCCUCAAUUGUGAUGAGGAAAUCAGACCUACGUAGUUCUUUCUUAUGCGUGAAUCAAGUGAUUCUUUUUACUUGAAAGGUGAUCAUUUUAAGGCGUUGGACCUUAAAAAUGAUCCAUUUUACUUGGUAAGAAACUGAAAUGAUAAACUUUCAAAAUCCUAUUUUUGUGGACGAGCUUGACUAGGCGAGUUGAUUUUAGCCUUAGUUUCACUUUAGUUUUUAGUCAAUUCAAUUAAGAAUGAGAAAUCCCAAAGAGAAAACGUCCGAUUGAUUUUUCGCUUUUACUUUACUAAAAGGUAUUUUUUUAUUAUUAUAUUAUUAUUUGACCUCUUUUUUUAUUUCCAAUGUGGUUACGGCACGACCGAACGGUCAAAAUUCUUUUUAACAGAAAUUAACGAAUGAUACAAUUCAAAUGAUCGGUGGAAAUUUAUUUUAUUUUUAGAUUAGGCAAGAAACAACUUAAAUAAAUGACUGAAGCACGUCAAAAGGGGGUACGGAAAGUAAAUGAAACGAGAAUAAAAGUACACAAAACAAAUGGAGACCACCACGAGUACAUAGAAAGAAUUGAAAAGCUCGAUUUGGAAACUUACUCGUUGAAGAACGAAGAACGGAUGAAGAACGGUGAAUAACGGAGGAAAACUUUCACGGAUUUGCUUACGGAAACCUCUCGGAAGCGUUACGGAAGCACCUCGGCUUGGAUUUUCUUCACGGAAACAAUUUUUUUUCACCAAAAACAGCUGAAAUACCUCACCAGGGACCUCUAGGAUCUUUAGAACAGCCCCCUUCAGCCUAUUUAUAGGAAAAAGGGGGAGGAGGUUGCCGCCCAGGCGACCUUAGCUCGCCCAGGCGAGCUGGGUGAGGAAGCAACCCAGCUCCCAAAAUUUCGAAAUUGUUAUUUGCACCCCCCCAAUUUUGAUAAGUUCACCCCCCUUCUUUAGUAAUUUACGGAAAAGUUACGGAAGUCUUGCGGAAGCAUAUAGGACUUGAUUUUAUUCUUUUUUUCCCUUCCGUCUCACCCGUAUUAAGUUAAUUAUGCUUAUUUAGAGUUAUGGGAAUUUUACGGAAGCACGGGUGUCCCGGAAGCCCCGGAAUAACAUAUUUCAACAAAACGGGGGGUGUGGUGGCCACCUAGCUCGCCCAGGCGAGCUAGGUUGCUUCAACCUUAAGCAAGAAAUUGCCUAGAAACCUCUAGAAGGGCCAGAUUCAAAAAUUGCUAUUUGCACCCCCCAUUUUACUGAAUACACCCCCUUUACCCUUUUUUUGGGUAAUUCUUUUUUCGUAAAGUUACGGAAACUUACGAAUUUCGUAACGAUACUUGUUUCCUUUCCGUAAUGUUACGGAACCUUGCGGAUUACAUAAUCAUCCCUUUUUUUUACUUACGGAAUGUUACGGAACCUCACUAUUUGUACAACGAUGCUUCCCUUCGAUUUCCGGUGUGUCACGGAAUUUCACUAUUUGUGCAACGAUGUUUCCCUUUGAUUUCUAGUGUGUCACAGAAUUUCACAAAUUGCCUAAUGAUGGGUGCCAAGCACCUCAAAAUGACCAAACACAAGUUGCAUGUCACCAAGCAAAGGUCCCUGGACGAAAUUAGGGUAUGACAACAUGUCAAAGAGAUUAUUAAACAAAUGUUAAUAUUAUCAUUUAAGUUAUAUGAUUUUUUUAUUUGGACUAAAAAGUAAGCAGAAGGGAUCGAGUUAUUUUAAGAAAAAUUUUAAAAGAUUUAUUCUUCAUCUUAAUCAAUAUUUUUUUAAAUCUAGUAAUUAAGAUUGAUUAUUCAUUACAAUUAUUAUAGUUUAAGAAAAUGAAUAAAUGAUUUUUUUAGAGUUAUACUAUUUUGAUCUCUCCUCAAAAGUAAUUAAUAGUUGUACUUUGAGAGAUUUUUUUAUAUAAAUUUUCUUAUUUUGAAAGAUUAAUGUGAUAAUAUAUAUAUUUCUAAGGACUAAAAUGGUGUUUUCCCUUCAGUUUUCCAUAGUAUUUCAAAUUGACACCAUUUCGUUCCCAAUGUGACGUGGGUCAUAUAGAUGGUGGCUACCAGAUGGCUACAAUAGAAAUGCCAUUUGUCUCACAUGACUGAAGUAGACAAUUUUUUUUGGUCGGUGAAAAAGAGAAUAUAUUAAUUAGCCAAUGAGGAUGAGAAAUACCCAGAAGAAAUAAUACAAGUAAAGUUCAUGGAAAAAUAAAUAAAUGUAUAUGUGAGGAGUUCUUUACCUUGAAAGGAAUGGUGAAAUGAAAAUAAAGAAAGCGCCCGGUGAGAAAAAAUCACAAAAAUAUAGAAAACUGCACUUUUUUAGCAUUAUAUAUAUAUAUAUAUAUAUAUAUAUAUAUAUAUAUAUAUAUAUAUAUAUAUAUAUAUAUAUAUAUAUAUUACUUUUUUUAAAAAAAUAAAAAAAUAUAUAUAUUACAUAUAUAUUAUAAAAUAUUAUUUUAAUUCGUAAAAGGUUAAAUUAUACUUUAAUCCUUUCUUUUCAAUUAGAAUCAGUUUGAUUGAUUGUAGAAUGAAACAAAUUCAAUUUAAUUUCUUAUACUUUAAAAAGUUUAAUUUCAUUCUUUAUGUUUUUAAUCCGUCAGUUUAGAAUUAACGUCCUUAUUUCAACCAAAAAAAAUUAACACCCUUAAUAUUUUUAAUAUAUUAGUAGUUAAAAAUACACUCGAAAUAUUCUUUUAAUUAUAAGGUAAAUAAAUAAAGAACUUAAAUUUUACUGUCUGAGAGUCUUUUUUUUAUCACAAGAAUAGAAGACAAAUAGAAAAAAUUUACAACAAUUCACGUGUUACUCAACUAAUGGAGCUAGAGUGCUAUACUUCCUUUUUCUUUUUACUAGGAGACUCUAUUUAACGUGAUUAACCUGGAUACUCAUUAAAUUUUGAUAAAUUUUAUUAAUUAUCGCACUCAAAUUUAUCAGCAAUAAUUUGUCUAAAAUUUUUGCAUUUAUUUUGUAUGAAAAAUUGUAUUUGGACAAAUCAACCCACAAAUUAUAAUCAAUAACUAUUUAAAAGAAUUAUUUUCAAGGUGUUUUCUCUAACAAUUAGGAACAUUGUGAAUUGAUAUCAUUUCACAACCAAACAUAUACUCUGUGCCAGUUUAAUAUAUAAGGAAUGCCAGGAUAUUAUUUCUGAACAUUAAGGAAAUAUUAGUAUUUUUAGUCUUUUCCCCACUCUAGACAUUGAUUUAUGCACACUUAUGUCAGGAUAUUAUUUCUGAACAUCAAGUAAUUUUGUUAAUCAUAUUACCCUUAAGACCAUUGCCAUAAAACUUUCAUUGAAAAUCAUAAUACUUGAUGUUAUCUAACGAUAAACCUUUCUAUCUAUUCUUUUUGUUAGCCAAUUAUACUAAUUUUUUCUAACAUGUAUUUAUAUUUAUAUAAUCCUAAUUUUAUUUGUAGUUCUGCAUUGGUCUAGUGUUCAAGCAACUUGAACUGGGGUUCAUGAAUGAAUUUUUUUCUUAGAGAAAGCCACAUCAUACUGCUCUAAAACACGGGAAGUGUUAACCCUACAAUACCAUUAAUUCUACCUUUCAUUUUUUUUAUUCCUUCUUUGUGCUUCCAGCAUGCCAAACUAGCACACUGCACAGUCAAACACAAAACUAGACAUGUUCUAAAACAUGUGAAGUGUUUUGAGUGCCCGAAAUGUGUCAAUCAUCACAGACAAGACUGUUCUUGGCACUUCAUCUACCACAAACAUGAGUUUGUCUGAGAUAAGGAAGACUAAUUCUAAAAGAUGGUUUCAUAGAGGCAAUUUGAGGGGUUCUUCAUCACUUAUCCCUACUACAAAGCACUCAAAACACACAACAACAAAAAAAUUGAAGUUCCACAAACCUAGGUCUGGCAACGCAAAACUCAGAGCAAAGAAAUUCCAUAAAAAAAAUAUAUUUCAACAUACAGCAGCAAUAUUUCAGUUAGCAGAAAUUGUUCUAAUUAUAUCCAACUCGGAGCAAAAGUGUUGGAAAAAACAGGGAACUCAAAACCCAAAACAGAAUAAGCAAAAAAAAGAUGAAAUAACUUAGUGUGUAAGAGCUCCAAACCAGAAGAGAGGAAGGUAUAGCGUGCACUGCAAUGUAGAUGAAAUUUAAAAGAUGAAACCCUAGGAAGAGCAAGAAUUGAUAACCUUUACUCUCAUUUUUUUCUUUCUUUCUAAAAGCACUGCACCACCGUAACCUUUACUCGUUCUUGUCUUUCUUUCAAAAAGCACUAUACCUUUACUCUCUUUCUUUCAAAAAGCAAUGCACGUUACUUUUCACGUUUUUUGAGUGUUUCUUUGUUUUCUUUUUUCUUUUUCUUUUUCAUGUUUUCUUUCCUUUUUCUAUCUUUUAUUUUUUUCUUUUCAUCAUUUUUGACGUCCUUUUCUUUUUUUUUUCUUUUGUUUUCUCUGUUUUUUUUUCUUUUCUUUUUUAUCUCUCUCUUUUUCUUUUCUCUUUAUUAUUAUUAUUAUUAUUAUUGUUAUUAUUAUUAUUAUUAUAUUUAAACUUUCUUUUUUUCACAUUUAUUUUUUUAAUUCUUUUUCUUCUACUGUUCUUUCUUCUUUCCUUUUUCUUUUCCUUUUUCUUCUUUUCUUUCUUUUAUUUUUUCUUUUCAUCAUUUUUUAUGUCCUUUUUCUUUCUAACGUUCGAAUUGAAAUAAAAAACUGAACAACGAUGGUGAAGUGUUAAUUAAACUAACCAAGUUGCGCUUGUCUUCGAAGUACUAAGGUUCGGAUUGAGGCUUGGAGGUCUUGGCUUGUUUAGCUCGAGGCUGAGCUUUGGGCUUGUUAUCUUCAGCUGCAUCGUGUUUGGCUUCUUGACCCUGCUUCGUCUUUCUCUUAGCUCCUCUCCUCAUUGUGCUCGCUAGAACCAAAUAGGGAAGAAAGAAAUAGGGUUUGGCUUUGGGGGGUGAACGCUGAAUAGAAGGCGUUGGAUCUGAUACAUGGUUGCCAAAUAUUUCUCUUUCAUUGGCGCUUCAUUUUCCCUUUCUUCAUCAAAUAUUUUCUAUUUUUAAAAUAUUUAUUUAUGUAAUUUGUUGACAGUAUUUUUAUCCAUAUUACAAUAAAUAACAUGAAUUUCUUAAUAUAAAUAAAAAAUAUUAUCACUAAAUUAGAAAAAUUAUUUUAAAAGAUAAAUAUAAUAUAUAAAAUAAAAAACUUAUAUAAAUAUACAUAUUCUAAUAUAUGUGAAUAUUUUUUUUACAUAUAUUAAGAUUAAGAUAUUUUUAUUAUUUAUUAAAAUAGUAUUUUUUUUAUUUAUAUUUAACUUUAUUUAAUCAAGUGGUUAAUUUUUUUUAAAGAACUAAAUUAUAUAGUAAAUAAAUGUACUUAAAUAAAAUGAGAAAAUUUUCUAUUUUUAAAAUAUUUAUUUACGUAAUUUAUUGACAGUAUUUCUAUCUAUGUUAUAAUAAAAAACAUGAAUUUCUUAAUAUAGAUAAAAAUAUAUUGUCACUAAAUCAUAAACAUUGUUUUAAAAAUAUAAAUAUAAUAUAUAAAAUAAAAAAACUUAUAUAAAUAAACCUAUUCUAAUUUAUGUGAAUAGUAUUUUUUACAUAUAUUAAGAUUAAGUUACUUUUAUUAUCUAUUAGAACAAUAUUUUUUAUUUAUAUUUAACUUUAUGUAAUCAAGUGGUUAUUUUUUAAAAGAAUUAAAUUAUAUAGUAAAUAAAUAUACUUAAAUAAAAUGAGAAUAUUUUCUAUUUUUAAAAUAUUUAUUUAUGUAAUUUAUUGACAAUAUUUUUAUCUAUGUUACAAUAAAUAACAUAAAUUUCUUAAUAUAGGUAAAAAAUAUUGCCACUAAAUCAAAAACAUUAUUUUAAAAGAUAAAUAUAAUAUAUAAAAUAAAAAACUUAUAUAAAUAUACCUAUUCUAAUUUAAGUGAAUAGUACUUUUUACAUAUAUUAAGAUUAAGUUAUUUUUAUUAUUUAUUAGAAUAGUAUUUUUUAUUUAUAUUUAACUUUAUGUAACCAAGUGGUUAUUUUUUAAAAGAAUUAAAUUAUAUAAAAAAUAAAUGUACUCAAAUAAAAUGAAAAGAUUUUCUAUUUUUAAAAUAUUUAUUUUUGUAAUUUAUUGACAGUAUUUUUAUCUAUAAUACAAUAAAUAAUAUGAAUUUCUUAAUAUAGAUAAAAAAUAUUGUCACUAAAUCAGAAACAUUAUUUUAAAAGAUAAAUAUAAUAUAUAAAAUAAAAAACUUAUAUCAAUGUACCUAUUCUAAUUUAUGUGAAUAGUACUUUUUACAUAUAUUAAGAUUAAGUUAUUUUUAUUAUUUAUUAGAACAUUAUUUUUUAUUUAUAUUUAACUUUAUGUAACCAAGUGGUUAUUUUUUAAAAGAAUUAAAUUAUAUUGUAAAUAAACGUACUUAAAUAAAAUGAGAAUAUUUUCUAUUUUUUAAAAUAUUUAUUUAUGUAAUUUACUGACAGUAUUUUUGUCUAUGUUACAAUAAAUAACAUGAAUUUCUAUAUAUAGAUAAAAUAUGUUGUCACUAAAUCAGAAACAUUGUUUAAAAGAUAAAUAUAAUAUAUAAAAUCAAAAAAAUUUAUAUAAAUAUACCUAUUCUAAUUUAUGUGAAUAGUAUUUUUUAUAUAUAUUAAGACUAAGUUAUUUUUAUUAUUUAUUAUAACAUUAUUUUUUAUUUAUAUUUAACUUUAUGUAACCAAGUGGUUAUUUUUUAAAAGAAUUAAAUUAUAUUGUAAAUAAAAGUACUUAAAUAAAAUGAGAAUAUUUUCUAUUUUUUAAAAUAUUUAUUUAUGUAAUUUAUUGACAUUAUUUUUAUUUAUAUUACAAUAAAUAACAUAAAUUUCUUAAUAUAGAUAAAAAAAUAUGGUCACUAAAUCAGAAAUAUUAUUUUAAAAGAUAAAUAUAAUAUAUAAAAUAAAAAAACUUAUAUAAAUAUACAUAUUCUAAUUUAUGUGAAUAUAGAAUUUAAUUUUAUAUGUUAUAUUUUAAAAGAUAAUAUAUAAGAUUAUAAAAAUAUAAUAAAUACAAAAAUUGAAUUUGAACUAUUUUUGCAUAAAAUUUAUAUUAAUAUUAUAUUUUGUAUCAAAUAUUCAAAUGAGCACUUAGAUAUCGUCAUAAAAGAGUGUGUUUCUCAUUCUAAACAUCAUGGUUCUUGUCCUUCCUCAAGCAUUUUUAAAGUUUUUAUUUUUUUUAAGAAAAUGUUAGUCAACUUUUUAUUAUAAUCAAUGUUUGAAAUUUAACCAUCAACGAUCAAAAUUAGGUGUGGAUAAGCAGGUCGUCUUGCCCGACAUAAGCCCACAAUGGUAGCAAACGGACCACUCUAUUCCACACUCUUACACGAACUUAAUACAUUAGUCCGCACCCGCCUCGCAGGCCUAGUUUUUAAAGAAACACUUAAAUUUGAAAAUAAAUAUAGUUUUUUCUCUUAAAAAAAGUCAAUUACACUCAAUUAUAUAUAUAUUUUAAAAAAAUCUUAAUAAGUCUCUAAAUACUCAAUUACAAAAAUUUUAACACAACCAAAUCAAUUUUCAACAUAAAUCAAAAGAAAUUUUGGAUUAGGCUUUUAGGAUUAAUUUGGUUUGAGUUGGCCUUGGUUAGUAGUUGUGGGUUUGUGGGUCAACCCAUGAACUCAGUCGUCCAAACCCACACAGUUUGCGGAUUAUGUUGGACGGACCCAAAAUCUUGCAUAGCCAUGGAUUUUAUAAAAAAAAAUGGUUUGUGGCUUCCGCGAACCACAGGCUACUAUCUGAUUCAUGAACCCAAGCCUGUUUAUCCACCCCUAGUUAAAAUCAAUGACUCAAAUGGGAAUUAAAAAAAUAGGAGGACUAAUUUGGUGAAAUUAUAGGUAAAAUAGGGGGACAUAUUUUGCAAUUAAGCCUUAAAUCAAAGUAAAUUUGGGAUUUUAGUGAAUGGAUAUGUUAUGCAUUGCAUCUUAUUGGGCCUUCUCAAUGCACAUGUUGUACUAAAGUCAAAUUGGGUCUUCAUCAAUGCAUAAAUUUUAUUUAUGUCAUAUUUAAACUUAUUGAAAAAUUCUCGUGUUACACUUAUAUCUUAUAUUUUGAAUUACCUAAUUUUAUAAAUUUUCAUUAUCAUAUAUUUUUAGAAUAUAAAGGGUAUUUAUUAUCAUUUUUAAAUAUUUAUUUUGUAAAAAACACAAAUUAAAAGACUAAUGAUAAGCAUGCCUUAUUUAUCUUAAUCAAAUAAUGUAAAUAUCAUUUUCCUAAUUGAAAAAUAUUACUAAUAUACUAAUUUCAAUAUUUUUCUAGUAUAAAAUAUAUUUAAGUAUAUUAUAUAUUUAUUACAAUUUAUAAUAAAUACUAUUUUUUACUUCACUUAUAUAGAAUAAAGAAAUUUUAGUCGCUGAUUCGGUCGCUAAUCUCAAAACAGAAAUACGCAUAGCGACCAAAUUCUUUUCGGUCGCUAUAAUCUUCAAAUAGCGACUGAAACAUCUUCGGUUGCUAUCUUCAACUACAUAUUGGUCGCUACUUUAGUGGCUAAUGUAAUUUUGUUUUUUAACAUAUUCAGCAACCGAAAUAGCCACCGAAGUUUUCAGCGACCUUUCAUUUCGGUCGUUAAUUCAGUCGCUGACCCAAGUUAAACAUCAUGACCAAUUUCAGUCGCAAAUUCAGUCGCGAAUUGCGACGUUAGCUGUGUAGUCGCUAAUUCGGUCGCUAACAGAGACCAAAAAUUUUUGGUCGCUAAUUUUGGUUGCUAAAUUACAUUUUUCUAGUAGUGCAAAGUAUGACAUUUUUAGGAGAAACUAGUAGUCAGACGAUUGUCAACUCAAGGUUGGGUUUCAUUUUUCCAAAUGGAUCGAUUAUUCAAUGAUAGUGGGGUUUACUUCCAAACUUCCACUCCGGUGCCCAUUCGAGUACCAAACAGCUGUGAUUUUGCAAGCCUAAAAACCAGAAUACACAAUACCCUUUAGCUAACCGACAAACAAUUUUUGGAUGAAAUUCACUACCGCCAGCCAUUCACCCAUACAGGUAACCAAAUUCGCUCUCAAUGUAUGCAAUUGAUAAAUGAUGACAAUGUCAACACAAUGUUAAUGUGUAAUGAUCAAUUUUCGUGUGUUGGUCCGAUUGAGUUAUUAUGCAUCGUUGGAAGAACACCAGAUGAAGAAAUAAACUUACUUGAACGCACUACGACCCCUACUCAUGGCGCGCUCUUGUAUUACAAUGGGAGAUGGAACAUGCCACCCCAGAACAAAUUUGUAGGAUGUGCGUUCACAGGAAAAAAUCCAAAGAAAUUUGAAAUUCCUUCAGGAUGUACCCUCGAUGAACUGAAGGAUUUGAUAAAGCAAGUUGCACCUAAAGGGAUUCCCCCUCAUGGAAUUCACGAAUCACAAGCGGUAAGACGAUUGUUUUUUCGACAACCAGGACGUUUUUGAGUAUUUAGAUAAAGUUAUAAAAUAUGAAAUUAAUGAGCUGAAAACCAACGAUGAAGUGCUGAAGGUGUUAGUACAGUCUAACUACUGGAAAAAAUAUGGGCCAAUAGAAAUUUUAGCUGUUUUUACUAAAUAUGGUUUGGAAUUCGAAGACGAUGUGGAUGCCACGUCGCUAAACAACUGAAUGCAACGUUUCUUUUAUCUGUUUGUUUACAGCGUGUUUGAAUUCCAUAAUAAAAUUGAAUGUGUUGUUUGAAUGGUCCAAAUAUAAUUUAUUUUAAUUGUUCCACCUUCAGACCUUAGGCAUACUUUGAAGGGUGGAAAUUCUAUUUUUUUUUUAAUGUCAUGCUUGUUUUUUGAGAUGUUAUUCGGUGGAACCGGCUGACGAUAUUAUUAUUUUUGGCUUCUUUGACGUCCAAACAUGAGAAAUAGCACCCCUCAAAUGUCUUAGGCGACUCGCGCAUAAUUUUAAAAAACCCCGAACAUGGGUACUUGAACAUGUUUGAAGGCUCCAAAUCCUUUUUUUUUUAAUUUCGUGCUUGUUUUUUGAGGUAUUAUUCGGUGGAACCGGUUAACGAUAUUAUUUUUUUUUGGCUUCUUUGACGUCCAAACAUGAGAAAUAGCACCCCUCGAAUGUCUUAGGCGACUCGCGCAUAAUUUUGAAAAACCCCCGAACAUGGGUACUUGAACAUGUUUGAAGGCUCCAAAUCCUAUUUUUUUUAAUUUCAUGCUUGUUUUUUGAGGUGUUAUUCGGUGGAACCGAUUGACGAUAUUAUUUUUUUGGCUUCUUUGACAUCCAAACAUGAGAAAUAGCGUCCCUCGAAUGUCUUAGGCGACACGCGCAUACUUUUAAAAAAAACCCCAAACAUGGGUACUUGAACAUGUUUGAAGGCUCCAAAUCCUAUUUUUUAAUUUUUUUUAAAUUUUGAUCUUCUUACUUUAAAACAUAAACAUUUAAUUAUUUUAUUUUUAAAAAUUUAUAAUUUUAAUCUCAUUCUUAUGAAGGAAAGUCAUGAUUUUCGGAAUCGGAAUCGAAACAUCAGUUAAUCAGAAUCGGAAUCGCUGUGUCAUAUAGAGUGCACAAAAAGUAAACUAUAUUAAACAAAAAAGUGUAACAAAUACAAAAAAUGAUGUCAACUACAAAACAUAAAAAACAUCAGCAAUGCUCUGUGUGCCGUAUUUGUCGAGCCCUAACACUUCCAUCUGCACUGGCACCCCCCCGGCGAUCCUCAGGCAAUCUUGCAUGAUAUCAUGUAACUCUGUCCCUGCAGUGACCAUCCUAAGGUUGAGCACACGCUCCAACCUUUCUGCGAUCGCCUCAUAGCCUUCGUAAUCAUCCUGCAACAGUCAUAAAAAACAUUUAUUACAAAAUUUAAAAUAAAUAACAAUUCAUCAAACAUUAAACGUGCAAAUAAUCUUACCACUGCAUGUCGAGGGGGGUCAAAUGCCACUGGAACCACUGGGAUGUCCGACUGCAUGUAGUCGUCAUGGUCUGGGGCAGGUGCAUGUCUGGGCUGGUCACCAGCCUGGGUCGGUAUCAUGAAUGGGUGAGAUAUUUGGAAAAACCACUCCAUGUAAUCUGCAGAUACCUGCCCAGGCACUACACAAAGGUCACCCACAGCUACUACGUGGUCUGAGAAAUGCAUCCACCUGUCAUCUAUAUCAUCAUAUGACAACGAAGCGCUAACAGGCGGUGGGGGGAUGCUCUGAAUGUACCCAAACUGGCGUACUACCCUCUCCGGUUGAAUUGUGACCACCAUAGGACCUCAUCUCAGCUGACCUUGGAACGAUGAAAUCAGCUCAAACCCCCUAACCCCUCGAUGGUCACUGUAAGGCAACCAGCACACAUCUGUGACUGUCAAAGCAUCACAACGUGCCCGGUACGACGCUCCUGUAAUUCCCUUCAUAUGAGCCUUCAUCGUCAGCCACCAGGAGGCACGAGGGGACAUCUCCUCGUACGCAUCAUCGGUGACGCACUGAUGCACACUCGGAAAGUGCUCAUAGAUCCAGCACUACAAAAAAAAAUUAGGUUAACAUAACAUAAAAAUAUGUUUACAUCAUAAUCCAAUGUAACAUAUUACGAACACAAAAUUUACCUGUAAUAAAGUAAGGUACCCCCCCAAUCUGUCGUGUCGUGGUCUUAGAAGCUUCAUCUAACUAGUCAUACAUAUGAAUCAGGGCCGCAGCUCCCCAGGCAUAGCCCUUACUCUGACCCAGGUCGCGAAAAGCCUCUAGAUGCACCACAUGAACAUUUGUUGCACUCUUGUUAGAAAAAAGAGUGCAACCAACCAGGUGCAGGAGAUAAGCAUGAACUGCUACAAUCUAUCAUCGUGUCUGGCAUCUCAUCUCAUAGAUCUCCCGAACCCAUGAGAGGCGUACAUAUGCCCCAUGCGCUCGUACUGUCUCGGCUCUAGCCUCCUCACCGAACACCUCCAGCAACUCCAUCAACAAAAAUACCGCCUCGUCCACGGAAAAAGCCUGGAAGCUAUGGAAGGCACCACUGAUAGGGAGAUGGAGGAGUGAUGACACAUCAUCUAGUGUGAUCGUCAACUCUCCUACUGGAAUGUGGAAGGUGUUGGUCUCCCUGUGCCACCUCUCCACAAAUGCGAAUAUAAGUCCAGGAUCGCCGGUUACAACUGAACACCCGAUCAAUGGACUUAAUCCUGUGGCGGCAACCAACCCUUCAAUCUUAGGCACUGGCCUCCCAAUUAGUGUCACCUUCCUCCCGUGCGACACCAACUUUAGCUUAGGACACUCCUGAAUUGAAGUACAAAUCAUUCCAAAUGCACAAAUAUAAAUUUUUUUUUAAUGACAAACAAAUCAAGAAGAAAAAAUUAACAAAUUAUAAUACCUGUCCAGUCCAAAUGGCAUGUGCGACAUGCUUCGCAAAUAAAGUCAGAGCUGAUGGGUCAUGGGGCCCACCAGGGAAUCCCUCAUCAGCAUGUGACCCCUCAACACAAUCACGACCUAAGUCCUCUACAACAGUCACAUCUACGUCCGCAGUCAUCUGAGGCGCAUCUUCACUCAUCUGAGGAACAUCGUCAGCCAUAUGAGGAACAUCCUCCACCAUAUGAGGAACAUCCUCAGUCACCUGAGGAACACCCUCAUUAACCGCAAUAUGUACCCAUUGCCUACGGGCUGAUGCAGUAGGCCUACGCCUCUAGGGAACAUCAAUUGCAUCACGCUCAUCCUGUCUACCUUGCCCUAUAACCCUAGCUACAACACGACUUAAACCUCGUGUUCUAACCAUGAUCUGCAAAUCAUGAAGAACACGUAUAUUUUUUGGGUCAAAUAAACUAUUCAUAUAAUUAAAAACCUACAUAUAUCUACAUAAAUCUUCAGCCUUAUGUUAUAAACCCUAAUCACACUACCCUAAGCAUUGUUGACUACCCUAAACUAAACCCUACACACUCAACCACUAAACAUAUAUCUUACACUCAACUAGGUCCUAACCCUAAUACCAAAUUUUUUAUGCAAAUAUAAAAAACAAAAAUUUAACCUAAUAUAUAAUAUUAAAUUAAUUUUUUUUACUUACCACCAUGAAAGCAUAAAUAUUUGAAUUAUUAUAAAACAAAAUUUAUAAAAAAAACAACUUCAUUUAUAUAAAAAAAAACAAAACUAAUUUUUUUAAAAAAUAGUUCCUUCUUCCGGAAAAUGGUUCUUUCGGUAGAACAAUUUGUUAUUCCGGAGAAGCUACCGGAAGAACUUCUUCCGGUAGCUUCUCCGGAAGAAUAAUUUGUUAUUCCGGAAGAAGUUCUUCCAGACGCAUAAAACGUUUCGCUUUUUUCAGACGUCUUAUACCCUAAAGCCAGCUUCUCCUAAACUAAAUAAACAGUGAACCUACGAGGGGAGGGGAGAGAAGGGAUACUAACCUCGACGGCGGAAACGCAACAAUGGCACCACAAAAGCUUUGAAAACGAACAAAAAUGGCAGCCUUGGACGUGCAGCGGAAGAAGGAAGAGAAGAAAAGAAAGAAGGCGAAAAGGUGGGGGGACUGUGCUGGGUGCACGUUUAUUUUUAAAAUUUUAAACAAGGACAAUUUUGUCCAUUCAAAUAAUUGUUGGGUGCACCUAGCAUGUCUCGGUAGGUUUUUACAGAUAAGCUGCCAAUAAUGAUAUUGGGACUAGUGAGAAAAAUAGCCCGACUUCAUGACAUAGCUCAUUUAGCCCAACAAAAGCAUAAGGGCUAGGUUGCAUAUAUGUUUUCGCGGGUAAAAGAAGAAUAAAAAAAAGGCCUCCCUAAUUUGUAUAUUAGCGUAUUUAUUAAAAUUUUAUUCCCUUUGAUAUAAAAAAUAAUAAAUUAAAUAUUUCGGUAUAUUAAAAUAUUAUGAUUUUUCUAUUCAUACUGCUAUUUUUUUAAUUAUGUCCCUUCGAAAAUUUCUUCCGGGCCCAUAUUGUUUUGUUUGUUGAAAAAACGAGAGUAAAAAAGAAAUUCCUAAUACUUGGCGAGAUCAAAUGAAAAAGUUAUGUUGUUUAAAAAUACAUCACAUGUAAAAGUCUUAAUAUUUAAAGGAACUAGAAAAUAAACCAAAAAAAAAAUACAUUGAAUGGAAAAUUAAUAGAAGAAAAAUUAUGUGUAUUAUAUGGGACCCACGAAUAGUCAACAUUAACUAAUCCACUACCAGAAUCUCUUUAGUAGUAACUAUAUGUGUAUUGUCAUUAGCUAAACCAAAAAAAAAAUACAUUGAAUGCUGGCUUUUAGUCGGGCUAAAUGAGCUUGAAGUGACCUGUAAUGCUGGUUUAUUAGCUAAUGGCAGGUGACUGCCAUAAAACAAAAUAAAAAUAAACUAAAAAAGCAUAAAAUAGUACAACAGAAUAGCUUCAAGAAUAUUAACACAUUAUAUAAGUUUAAAGCAAGUUUUCAACCUUUUGACAAACAUGCUUCAUACAAUGCAUUUUUUUCCUCUUUUGAAAUCAGAAACAAACAAUUUCUCGAUGUUAAUUAGCCUUGUCUUUAGCAGAAUAUUUCUAUAUAAUUAUAAGACUAGUCUUUAGAAUGAGAAUAAUAAUUAAAUAAAUUAUCUAUUGAGGAUCUCAGCGACCACAUUCCUUUGAUACAUUGCUAAGAUUCUUGUUUCACUUAUAAAACUCACAACCAGAAAAGUAUCAAAAGGAUCAUCUGUUGAGGAUCUCAGCGACCACAUUCCUUUGAUACCUUGAAGUUCUACCGAUGCCUAGAUCAAAUACAUGCAUAAAAAAAUUAAGAUUUUCACUACUACAAAAGCAGCUUUCUACGUCAGGACUUCUACGACGGUUGCAAAGAACCGUCGUAGAAGGUGAACCGGUGGCAUGUUCGUAAUUAAGCGCAUGAGAACGACGACAUUUUCCGCUACCCAUCGUAGACAUCUAGCUGUUGUGGCAAUUCGUAUUUAGGUGGGUAAGUUACAAAGACGGUUUUUGGGGAAUAACCGUCUUUGUAUCGUUAAUGGUAGCACGUGGCAACCACCUGAGUGGGCCGACGAGUAUACAAAGAUGGUGGUCUGGUGAGACCAUCUUUGUUUUUUAAGUACUUUCACGUGCCAGCCACGUGAUUUGAGGAUUUAAAAUCCAAAGACGGUCGUAUCUAGAUAGUCGUCUUUGGAUUGUUGGUGGUUUCACGUGUAGGCCACGUGAUUGGAGGCGUUCAAUUACAAAGACGGUCCUGAUGAACAACCGUCUUUGUAUCGUUAAUGGUUUCACGUGUAGGCCACGUGAUUGGAGGCGUUAAAUUACAAAGACGGUCUUUGGCCAAAACCUGUCUUUGUAUGGUUACAGUAUAAACACGUCAUCAUCUUCAUCAUUUAGUUACGAAGACGGUCUUGCCCAAGACCGUCUUCGUAUUGUUGGUGGUUACACGUGGAUGGCACGUGAUUUAAUGUGUUAACAUACAAAGACGGGUUUAUUCGAAGAGCCGUCGUUGUAUGUUUUGUACAGACACGUGGCGGGCGUCAUUCAAAGACGGUCUUUGCUAGGACCCGUCGUUGUAUCUGAAAUUGUAUCACGUUUACGGCACGUGCUCGUUACUUUCUCUUACUUUGGCGCGCCGUAUCACUUCUUUGCUCGAUUUUUCGACUACUUACCCUUACUUUGGCGCCCUAGCUACACAGAGCUUCUUCUCCGACAAAGACCUUCUCCUCCGAAAAAUAGCAUCUCGUGUCCAUUGCCUCUUGUUCCAUUUGCAGUCGCCGCCGACAAAGGUAAGCCUGCAUUUAGGUCUUCUUUGUGUAUCCCUUCAUUUGCAUGUGUUAUAUUCCUUCAUUCAUUUGACGAUUAUGCUUCGUUGUCAUCUCAGGCUGUUGGUUGUUCUUGGUGCUCUUCAUCGUCGUCUACAUUGUAGUGUUUAAGGAAGAUAAGGUGGUUCCAUAAGGUAAGAUACAUUGUGUUUUGUGACAGAAACUAUGAUUUUUGUUUAGGUUCUUAUGUAAUCUACAGCUAUGGCUUGUAAUUUUAUUUUUUUGCGUUUUAGUGGGGUUUAAAAUCCAAAGACGAGCUUCGGGAAUAGCCUGCUGCCAUCCUUCAUCAGUGGUGUCAUCCUGUGCCACAUUAUUAGUUUCGUUGAGCAUCGUUUGGUCUAAGUUAGUACACUGAACUUGAUGAAACCCCCUAUGUUUAAUUUGAGCUUCAGAUUUGUUGUCUCCAUCCUUAGUUGUGUCUGUAAUUGAAUAAACUGGAGAAUAAAUUAUAUAUACGGUUCUUGUUAGCAGUAUAUUUUGUUCUUUCUUUUGGUUCCUUACCAAUCAACCCUUCAGGAUAUGUGGAAUCAGAAAGGCUGAAACAAAGAAUUUUUUCAUUUUGAUCCCUCCUCUGUUUUCGUAAUUAAUUUUUGUUUUUAAAUAAUGUUCUUAAUUAUGUUAUCUAUACCACUUUCAUCUUCACCUUUUUUGUUCCAAAUGUUAUCUAUGCGAAUUUUUUCUGUGAAGAUUCUCAAUUUAAUUACUUUUGGUAAUAAUGUCAUGUCUAUAAAACCAUUAUCAAAGAGAUCAUGGUGUUAGACUAAAGAUUACUUUUAUAAUUGACUUAAAUACCACAUGUGGUUCUUUGCUGUGAUCUAAGAUGUUCUCACCUGAAACAGUAUGUGGCUUAAUUUGUUACAAUAUAUCUAAAACAGUACAAUUUUGUGGUCUGAUUCUUAGGAAGCAACCCUAUAGUUAGGUUGAUGAAUAUAGGGGUUUAUCAUUACCCACCAAAACUUAUCAGAAUAAUGCCCCAUUUGAAAACAGGAGUAGCGAACAGUCAAAUGGAUCAAGUUUGUUCUUUUUUAUGUAUUAUGAAUUUUAUGAUACUGUGUUAACGCUCUAGUAGGACAUUUUCUGUAUUUGAUGACCAUAAACUGAUAAAUAAAGUAUUUUAUAUGAACAAUCUAUAGUCCUUAUUUUUUUUUGUUUAAAUUGAAUCUUUCUUGGUAACUAAUAUGAAUUUUGUUAGUCUUAUGUUAUGAGCAGUAAUUUGGGCUAAUUGGAAAUUUAAUUUCAAUUACUGCUUUGUUGUAAUUCAUACACUAGUAGCAUAUUGGUAUAAUUGUUUGUAAUUAAUUAUAUUGAAAAAGUACUGAUAUUUUUAUACUGUGUCUAUGCUAGACAAGAAGGUUAAUAAUUAAACUCUUUAAGUCAGUUGUACUUGUAUUGGUUAGCCAAAUUCAAAUUGAAUAGUCCAAUAUUUACAAAUAAAUAAAAAUAUAGCUAAAAACAACCUUGCAAAAGCAAUAGCCUAUUUUCCUAGCUACAUGAUUAAUGACACCACCAAUAUAAUUGACUCUUGAUUUAUAACUUGUCAGAUUUUUCGAUUAGGACUUUUGAGACAAAUAUCAAAGAUCAAUACCUUAUGUUGUGUAUGGUAAAUUUCUCUUUUGAGAUUGUCAUCCCUGCAAUCCUUACAAGUUUUUUUUUUCUUAAUCAAAUUCUUAGUCUACCAUGGUAUUAUAACACAUAAUUUGCAGUGAGUAAUUCAUAUUUGAGAAUUUGAUAUUGACUAUUGAGGUGAUUAUUACAUAACUCUCCUCAUUAACCCGUGCUUAGGACAAGCUAUAUAUGAGACCAUAUAGGUAUACAGUUCGCUAAAUAUCUAAACAUAGCAAAUAAUUACUACCUUUAUAAUAAGUUGCUUUUUGACAAUAUUUUAGCUUUUUUUUCUUGUUAUAUAUGUUGUGAUCUAAUAUGAAGUGGAAAUUGAACUCCUGGUCCCAGAAAAUCCUGUAUUUAAUCAUGAUAAAUGAUGUAUUUUCUAUGAACAAGCUGUUUUGCUUUAUUUUUUUCUGGGUUGAUUCUGAUAUGAAAGCAUUGACUUGAAUUUGAUUUCAAAGUAUAUUAUGUGCUUUAGUAUAGUUCAUGUGAUAUUGAAAAAUAAUAAAUUUGGUAGCUUUGUGUUUAAUUUUCUUAUAAUAAGCAGUAUGCAACUUGGAUUAAAAAAUUAAAUUUCAAUUUAUUGUUGGUUGUAAUUGAUAUGGUUAAGGACACUAGCAUAACUCCUAUCUUAUAACUGUGAAUUCAAGUAUCCAAAGCUACCUUCCUCAAAUAAAGUGCCUCAAAUAAAACAACCCCAAAUGAGUACACAUCUGAUUUCUCGGUCAAUUGAUGCCUCCUGAAAUAUUCAGGAUCCAAGUAUCCAAAGCUACCUUUCAAGGGUGUACUAACAUGACCUUGGUUCAUGUUUGGGCCCGUUUUGGAAAGUCCAAAAUCUGAAACCUUGGCAACCCAAUUUUCAUCAAGGAGAAUGUUGGUUGUUUUGACAUCUCUAUGAAUGAUGGUGUACUUUGCACCCGUGUGAAGGUAGUGAAGGCCUCUUGCAGCUCCUAUGCAGAUCUCCAACCUUUGCUUCCAAGAUAGUGUGUCCAAUGGCUUGUUUCCUUUGUAAAGGUGCUCCCUCAUGGUGUCAUGUGCCAUGUAGUCAUAAACCAGACACAUCUCAUUACCCUCCUCGCAAAAACCAAUCAAGGACACCAAAUGCUUGUGUCUCAACUUGGACAACAUCUCAAUCUCAGUCUGGAACUCGUUUACUCCUUGUUCUGAUUGCGGAUUCGAUCUUUUGAUAGCCAUUUUGAACCCAUUAUCAAUAACACCCUUGUAAACCUUUCCAAACCCUCCUACCCCUAUCACAUUUGACUCAUCAAAAUUCUUGGUCGCUUGUUUCAUCUCUUGUAAGGAGAAAUAACGGCACAAUCCUUGAGCCAUGGCAGAUAUGUUGGCACUACCAACACUCUUCCCUGACCCAGAGGUUUUGGUGCCUGCGGUGUGUGAAUUCCCGUAAAUAGGUAGCCAACUUGAUGUGUUGUAUGAUCCUGGAGCUUGCUUUUUCUCUUGGUGUUGAACAACAACAAGUAUUGCAGCCACUAAGGCAAAACCUGCAGCACCCCCAGCAGCACUGCCAAUAACAAAAGUCUUAUUACUACCAUGUUUGUUUUGGAAAUUCUUUGCGUGCUUCUCGUGUUGAAUCUACAUCUCAGAAGGUCGAGGAUUGGGACCAGAUAAGUCUGUGUCAUUGAGCUUGAACACCUCCACCCCAUUGAGCAAUGAAUCAUAAAAUUUUGGCUUUGUUUCAAGUGCAGGGUGCAAAGCAAGCCAGAGUUGAUCAUCACCUGCCUCAUCUUUCACAUAUAUCACAUAAUCUGUAUAAGUUGGCACGCCUUUACCUCCUGUCCACCCAAUCACAUCAGCUUCAGCCUCCGCCGUUUGAUUGUUGAUGAAGAUUUUGAAAACAAUUUCAUUCACUUUGGAAUAGAAAUAGUCACAAAAAUGCAACCUUGUAAGGUACAUGGAACCCGGAUCAACUUGGAAGAUCCACGUGAGAUUGAAACUCAUGUUGACGUCCUUAUUGUUCCCCAUGGAUCUUGAAGUGGAGUACACAUUAGGAGGAGCAAUAUUGUGUGGCAUCGUUUUGUAGUCAAUCUUGACCGAGAAAUCAGAUGAAUAUAAGGUCUAAUAUUUCUAAAUAUUUAACCUAAUUAAGUUCUAUAAUUAGAUCAUCAAUAUAAGGCCUAAUAUCUCUAAAGAUUUGGUCUUUAAUCAAGAUUAAAGAUGUUUUGUAGUUAAUGUAGCUGACUUUACCUAGUGAGAUAAGGCUUUUGUUGUUUUUAUUGUUGUUGUUAUGAUAAUAAACUGUAUAUUCUGAUUCCAAUCCAUUACGAAAUCUAAAUAUGGUAGAUCCAUUUCCUAUCUUUCUCCUUUUUGGCUUAAAUUUCCCCCAUCCCUCUCUUCUUUUCAUCUGAUAUCAAGUUGAUGCUAUGGACCUCAUUCCCCUAUUAUAUGUUCAUUCUUCCCUACCAUGUUCUUUUCCAUUAAGUCCAAACAUCUGCUUGCACAUUCUUAUUCUUAAACCUUUUCUCCAUUUGUUAAAUUUCCUUGUUUGUUUGUUCAUUUGGCUUAGGAAAGCUGUGAUUGCAAAGAAGGAAUUGCAGCUUCUUAUCUCAUAUACAACAUUUGUUGUUCUGCCUCUCAUCAUCGUGCUUUGUAUUAGACAACACUGAGCAUGGACCGAUCUUGGAUUACAGCACCUCGCAUAAGCGAAGCGUAUCAACAUGGGGUUGAAGAGUUUUUGUCAUUUGCCCAAAUACAUUCAGCAACCACAGAUGCCAACUUUUUUUGCCCUUGUGUUAAAUGUGUCAACGGGAGGCGUCAUUCAUUGGAUGACAUUAGAUCGCAUCUGAUAUGUGAUGGCUUUAGCCCGACGUACACAAAGUGGAUAUGGCAUGGUGAGUUGGUUGGUCAUACAACAACAUGUCCAUCUCAUCCAGUUGAGCUACAAAGCGGAGAUCUCAUGGAAGACAUGAUACGUGAUCUUGGGCAAGAGGGCUUUCGGGAAUGUCAUGCAGAUAUUUACGAUGCUCUUCAAACAGAUGCGCAAACGCCGUUGUAUGUUGGAUGCAAAAGCUUUAGUAGGUUAUCAGCUGUGCUAGCUUUGGUUAACCUAAAGGCCAGAUUCGGGUGGAGUGACAAAAGCUUCACAGAGUUGGUUUUGUUAUUGAAAAAUAUGUUUCCUGAACAUAACACCUUACCGAAGAGUCACUACGAGGCGAAAAAGAUAUUAUGUCCCGUAGGCUUGGAGUACCAAAGAAUCCAUGCAUGUCCGAAUGAUUGCCUUCUCUACAGAAAUGAGUUUCUGGAUAUGCGAUUCUGCCCCACUUGCGGACUUUCACGGUAUAAGGGCAAUGAUGGGGAAGGUACUAAAGGUUCAGCCACCGCUAGUAGUCGUCCAGCAAAGGUUUGUUGGUAUUUGCCAAUAAUACCUAGGUUGAAGCGGUUGUUUGCGAGUGUACAGGAUUCUAAAUACUUAAGGUGGCAUGCAGAUGAAAGAAGAAUGGAUGGUAUGAUCAGACACCCCGCUGAUUGUACACAAUGGAAGACAUUUGACUCCUUGUAUCCAUCUUUUGCACAAGAACCUAGAAACCUAAGGCUUGCGCUUGCCUCAGAUGGAAUGAAUCCCUUUGGUAACUUGACCACCAAUCAUAGUUCGUGGCCGGUAUUAUUAAUGAUUUACAACCUUCCUCCAUGGUUGUCCAUGAAACACAAAUAUAUGUUGCUCUCUAUGAUGAUAGCUGGUCCAAAACAACCCGAAAAUGAUAUUGACGUGUACUUGGCUCCUUUGAUAAAAGACUUGACCAAACUGUGGGUUGAUGGGGUUGAAGUGUAUGAUGCAAAUGCUAAAUAGUCAUUCAACUUGCGUGCAAUGCUCUUUUGUACGAUUAACGAUUUUCCCGCUUAUGGUAAUUUGAGCGGAUACAGUGUCAAAGGACACCAUGCAUGUCCUAUUUGUGAAAAAAUACUUGUUACAUCCAACCAACCCAUGGGAAGAAGACAGUCUAUACAAGGCACAGAAGAUUUUUAAGCCGAAAUCACCCGUAUCGGCGUUUGAAGAAGGCGUUUAAUGGAGAUAAUGAGGUUGAAAUAGCGCCUGAACCAUUAUCUACACAUGAUGUUUACCAAAGGGUCAGAGACAUAGAAACUACCUUUGGUAAGACACAAAAAAAGGACAUGUCUGCGAAGAACAUUUGGAAAAAAAGGUCAAUAUUCUUCGAUCUCCCAUAUUGGUGCAAUCUGGAUGUUCGGCAUUGUUUGGACGUUAUGCAUGUGGAGAAAAAUGUGUGUGAUAGUUUGAUUGACACCCUCCUUAACAUUAAGGGGAAGACAAAGGAUGGUGUAAAAUCUCGUCAAGAUUUGGUUGAGUUGGGUAUACGGGAGCAACUACAUCCAGUUUUACGAGGUGCUAGGACAUAUUUGCCCCCAGCAUGUUACACAAUGUCCACAGCUGAGAAAAAAAGUUUUUGUCAUUGUCUAGCAAAUGUCAAAGUUCCUCAAGGAUACUCUUCAAAUAUGAAGAGGGUUGUGGAAUUGAAAUUGAUUGGCCUGAAAUCCCAUGAUUGCCACGUACUAAUGCAACAACUUUUACCAGUGGCCAUUCGUGGAAUCUUGCCUGAAAAAGUUUGUAAUGCCAUCACUCGCUUGUGUUUUUUCUUUAAUGCUAUCUGCAGCAAGGUUAUUGACCCAUCGCAGUUGGAUAUUUUGGAGAAUGAAGCUGCCAUUAUUGUCUGUCAAUUGGAGAUGUAUUUUCCCCCCUCAUUCUUUGACAUAAUGAUCAAUUUAAUUGUUCAUCUGGUUCGCGAGGUUAGGUUGUGUGGCCCGGUUUAUUUACGAUGGAUGUAUCCGGUUGAAAGGUUCAUGAAGAUGCUGAAAGGAUACACAAAGAACCAAUAUAGUCCAGAAGCAAGCAUAGUUGAAAGAUAUGUUGCUGAAGAAGCAAUAGAGUUUUCAUCAAAUUAUAUAAGUAACGUACAACCAGUCGGUGUUCCUCAAAAUCGGCAUCAACCCUCGAGUCAAGGUAGGGGAACUCGAGGAUUUGAUGUUGUCACCAUGAAUUUGCAAAGGCUGUCCCAAGCGCAUCUAUAUGUGUUAAACAACACAACAGAGGUGAUGUCGUGCAUACAUUCUCAUAAAAACCAAUUGUCAGCUAAAAACCCAAGAAUGAACAAGAUGAGGUUGUUGCAGGAACAUAAUAGAACUUUUGUCAACUGGUUUAGGCAGUGUAUUUUUGCCGAUGCCACAACUUCCGAAACCCUCCGACUAUUAGCCCUUGGCCCAAAUCUGAAUGUGCCCACCUGGCAGGGAUAUGAUAUCAAUGGCUAUGCUUUCUACACAAAGUCACAGGAUGCAAGAAGUACCAUGCAGAACAGCGGGGUUAGUGUUGAGGGUGAGGCAGCUCACUUUAGUAGUGUUUUUGAUAACAAUCCCAUUAACGCGUCAAUGACAUACUAUGGAGUCAUUGAAGAUAUAUGGGAGCUGGAUUACGGUCAAUUUAGAGUUCCUGUGUUUAGUUGUCGAUGGGUUCAUGCGAAUACAGGGGUACGCAAAGACAAAAUGGGCUUUACUUUAGUUGACCUAAAAAAAGGUGGUUACAAUGAUGAGCCAUUUAUAAUGGCAGUGCAGGCCAGACAAGUUUUUUAUGUUGAAGAUCCGUCUGACCCUACUUGGUCCGUGGUUAUACAAGGCAGAAAAUUUGAUAUGACCGACUAUAGUCAUUAUGCAGCAUUUGAUGUGACUGAUAUGCCACCUGUCAAUGACCAAAUACCUGUGAUUGAGGCCACCGACAAAGAUGAUGUUGAACAUGCAAUGAGACAUGACCAUCACGAAGGGCUAUGGGAAAAUAACGACACCUAACUGCCUAUCAUUUAUGUGGUAAUGUCAACCUGCAUAACUGCGUAAUUUACUUAGAGUAGAAUAGUGUGAGCAGUUACCAAUAAUGGCAAUGAAAUUUUUUGUGUCAAUAGCUGCUUUCCUUGUUUCUCUGUUCAUAGUUGUAAUGUCAACAUUAUGUUUGUUUUUAAAAUGUCAUUUUUAAUAGUGUGUGUUGUAGUCUGAAAUUUCACAGAUGACAUUCCAUGUUCCUAAUUGAUGGGUUUUUCUGGAACAUGACCAUUACAACAAGUGAGGGAUCAUCACCAGGAAACAACUCUCAUUGUAAGUUUGCAUGCUUAACAUACCUUAGUUGUGUUUGCAUCUCCUUAGGAAUACUAUUUUGUUAUGAAUGAUGACCAUGCUUUUGUGUUUGCAUUCUGUGAAUUUAACAGUUAUUUGGUCUGUUGAUAAUUUGUUUGAGUAGUUUAACUAUUUUAGUUAUUUGAUUAUGAUAUAAACAUGUCUAGGAAAUGAAUUUGGUAAAUGAACUUAUCUAGUUAGUAGGACGAAUUUGCACUAUACUAACUGGUAGUUGUAGAUGAAGCCUCUGUUAAAAAAUUAUGUUUAUAAAUUAGUAUAAAUUGUUACAUGUCUAUCACAUAUAAAUAAAAUGUCUGAUGUGUAAGAGUGAGACACAUUUAACAUGUCUUAGAACUAAAAAAAUGAUAAAUGACCAAAGCCUAACAAAAAUAUUAGGAACAUAUUUUCUUAAGUACUCUUUUGAACACAUGUCCUCUAAUUAGUCAAAAUUUAAUUUAUUAAAAAUGAUAGAUUUUUUUAGUUUCACAUUAUUCAGUUUAUCCAAAUAGUUUUUGUUUCAAAAAGAAAACAAAAAGAACUCAAUAUUUCUGUAAAAAAGAACAUAAUACUAUAAUAGUAAGAUAACCUUCUGAAGGAACUGGAAAUUGCUGAAUAAAACUUUUCAAGUCUGGACCACUGACUUUUCCUGUAUGGAAAUUAUAAAAUAAUCAAUAACUUCCAAGAAUAAGUGAAGAAGAACAUAGAAACACCAAUAAAAUUUUAAGCAUCUGACCAGUGCUGACACGUUUUCCUUUGCUUCCUUCGUUGGCUAUCCUUUCUUCUUCUUUCUUGAGAACUUUGUGGGAAAAAAAAUAGUUUGUGUUAAGAUCUCUGUAAAGAGCUAAACUUGGCAGUUAAAGAAAAGUGGGAAAAGAAUUGAAAUAUAAUAAUUUCCCCAAAUGAUUAAAAAGAGAAAGAAAACCAAUAAUAACAGUCACUAUAAUACCAGGUCUUUAAGUUUAAACUUCCUUUUUCUACAUUCAUCUGAUUAUACUAUUAAAGUCACAUAAUUCCAAUGUCAACAAAGCACCUUCUUCAGAACUCUUCAUGGCAGAGUAAGUUAUUUUUUUACAAUAAUUAAGCUGAAGAAGUUAGUUUGGGGUCAUUGGUGCUAUAAAAAUAUUAUUAUCUUAGAAGCAAUUUGAUAAACAAUGGACAUAUAGUUUCAAUCAAAUUGCCUAUGCUGUUUUUAAAGUGACUGCACUGAAUGUAAGGAAUUUACAAUAACAGAAUGUUUCAAGAGCACUUGUUUAGAGCAUUGUAUGGAACUAAGUUUUGGGCAAUGAAAAGCCAAUGAGAGAAUAAAGUCAAUGUUGCAGAGAUGAAAAGUUGCAUUAGAUGAGUGGGAAUACAAGACAAAAUAGGAUUAGGAAUGAAUCCAUUACUAUAUUAUAGAGAAAGCUACACUAGCAUCUACCACAAAAAAUGGUAGAAUUUCACUUUUUGUGAUUUGGGCAUGUGUGGAAAAAACCUAUAGAAGCCCAAGUAAGGAGAAUAAACUAUAGGAGGAUAUCUCUAUCGAUAGAGGGAGACUGAAAAAAAAAUAUAGGUGAAACCAUUAAGAAGGAUUUAGAGGUCAAUGGUUUGUUUAUAGACAUGAUUCACAGUAGAACAUUAUGGCCUCUUUUGAUUCAUGUAAGUAUCCCUACCUGGUGAGAAAGGUUUUGGUUGUUGUAGUUGAAAGACGAGUCAGAGAGUUUUGACAAUAGAUAAACAAAACUUAUUAAUUGCAAAUCAAUCCUUGAAGAUAAACAAAACUUUAAAGGAAAAUCAUUGUAAGCAACAUAAUGUUAUCUAGCUUAGCACAUGAUCAACAUUCAGGAGUAUUUAAGCUACAUUUUAUAGUUUGUUAAAUACCUGAAUAAAACUUUGAUCCCUAAUUAUGCCACCAGAGGAGCAUGACUACACACCUUCUAAUUAUGUAAAGCCUUGCCCUUUGCUGCCUAAGGGCUCCUCCAAGCCCUCUGCUUGAAAGCCUUCUCUUUGAGCCUCCCAUGCUAGGACUACCCAUUUUCAUUUUUCAAGAGUUAGUAACUUUUUUGGUUUUCUUAUAUUUUUUUCUUUAAGCUUUGUUGGGCUUAUAGCUUGAAGCUUUGAAUUGAAGUUGUGUUGUGUUGUGAGUGAGUUUGUUUAGUGAGGGGUGAGAGGGUUCUUAUAUAACUAGCUUUUCUUCCAAUACCUUGAGCUGUUCUAGAAUUUGUAACCUCUCUUCCUCAAAGUUCGCCAAUGAUUCCUCUAAAUAUAAGACCGCGUCCACGGGGGUGUUCUGGUUGCUGCAUUCUUGAUCUUGAUGACUAUAAAACCCGUUUUCCUCCUUUGCUUCAUGAUUCAAGUCAAUGGACAAUCCAUCACUAUCUUCAGCAUUGCUACAAGAGGGAGAUGAAGUUCUGCUUCUCAUGCUACCAUCCCUUCUUGACAUCAUCAUCUUUUCUCUUACCUCAUAUUCAUGAACCUUCUUUCUAUAUACUUCAAGCUCCUUUUCUAGCUCUAGCUUCUCUUUCUCCCUCUUCAUCAUGAGCUCAUUCAAGAGUUGCAAAGCCUCAUGAUCAUACUCAGAUUGUUCUUCCAUCAUUCUUUGAUACUGCAAGGCUUCCAUCUGCAUUGCUGCUUUCUCUUCUUGAAGCCUAUUUAUCAUUGCCAUUGUUUGAUUGGCUGCUAUAGCAGAUGCACUUCUCUCUUCUUCAAGUUCUGCAUAUAGAGUACUUAAGGCUUUCCUUUCCGAUUUCAAUGCUGAUUUUAACUUAUCAAUUGUUACCUCACCACCUUCUAUAUCACUUAUCACACUUCCAUCCAAUGACUCUUCUGUUCCUGAUUCUUUCCUCUCAAGGAGAAGUAGUUUCUUGUGUAGCUGAUGUAGACUCUCCAAAGAAGUGGGUGUGUAAGGAACCUUUUCUUCCUCAUUCUCAUUAAGUUCCAAUAAAGAUGGCAAAUGGUUAUUUACUGUUGGCAUUUUCACUUCAAGUGACAUGGUUUUAAAUUCUACAAAAUCUUCACCUUUGUCAUCACCUAGUUAUAAAUUGAAAUCAGGCUAAACAUGGGCACAGAUAAGCUUAAUUAAAACAAUUGGGUCAAUCACUUGUAUAGCCCUGUCAUUAACUCACUCCAAUUGGCUCAGUCAUUUUAAUCUUCAUUUUUAAAGUGUACAACAUCGGGUAUUAUUUUAAUAUUUUCCCAACAAAUUAUCUCUUCUUGCGUAAAUUACAGCACCUGCAGCAUAAAGAGGGACCUCUCCUCCUUACUUUUCCUUUCUCAAUCAUCACCUAACAACACACAUAAAAACUAUUACACACUCCUCACCCCUCUUUCUUCACCAUUUUCACUCUACCAAACAGGCAUCUUCUAUCUUCUAUCACAAAAUAAAAAUAAAAAUGGAGGGCCCUGUGUUAUUAUUUGGUGAUAAUUGUUAUCCUCAUCCCCAAAAGUGUGCUUUAAAUUUUAUUUACCGAAAAUAUAUUUUUUAUGAAAAUAUUAUUCAUUUGAUAAAGUAUAUCAUAUAAAUGUAUUUUUGUAAUGUAAGAGGAGAUAAAAAAAAUUAUACAACAAGAAAUAUGAUUUCAUUGUUUUCAUUAUAUAUAUAUUUUUACUUCCGCUAAAAAUGUUUUAAUAACAUAAAUAUAAUUUUGUUAAUUUUAUUUUUUUUGUGUAGUUUUAUAUUCUCUUUUACACAACAAAUAUAUGUAUUUGACUUGUUAAACUUUUAAGAAAAAAAUAUAAUUAAUUAUUGAUACAAAUUACUAUUUUUAAACUAAUGAAAUUAAUGAUAAUAUAAAUCAUCCCUUUUUAAAUUAAAGUAAAAUACAAUCUACCUCUUUUUUUAACAGUAAUAAAUAUGAUAUAAAAUUAUAAAUAUCAUUUUUAAUUAAAAUUGAAUUCAUUACUAUAGAACUUAUCAUAUAUAAAAGUAAUUGAAUUAAUUAUUAUACAAAUUUAGUUAAAUAGUUUAUAUAAAAGAACCAUUUAGGAGCCUUCACUUAGAACCAACAAAACCAUAAUAUGAGACUGUUAAUCCAUAGUGAAUUUUAUUAGUCUGAAUCCAUUCAACAGCAAAGACAUGUAUGUGGCCUCUUUGAAUAUUUGCAGAUUGAAGAAUGUCAAUUACACUGCUAUUUUCCCCCAGUGCCACUGCAAGGGGGUAACCAUAUCUGGGGAAUUUAUAGUGUGGAAGUUUGUCAAUUGGUAAUCCCUAACCUAAGGUUCAAAAGGUUGGGUCUUGAAAUCAAAUAGUGAUUGAAUCGAUAGGAAUAGUGGGAUGUGUUUCUGUUGUAAGUAGCAAUCUGUUUGGAGUAAAAUGUUGGUGGGUUAGGAUGGUUUGAUAGUGGGGAGUUUAAAUCAAAAUUUCAAGUAAAAGAAAUGUGAUAGAUGGAUCAAAUUUAAUUAAUAUUUUUUUAAAAAUAAAAACUUAAUUAAUUUGCGAAAAACUUGAGAAAAAAAUUGUAUACAGUUCAAACCAGAAAGAGUAAAAAAAAGUUUUUACUCAACUCAGAAAUAGCAGGCAUGUCAAAACCUAGCACCCAUCCAUACGAAACAUGUUUUGCUCUUUGGUAAAUCAUGUGUUUAGUAAUAUUUAUACAUAAGUGAAAUCAUGUUGGAUUGAUCUAUAGAGCAUACUCCCAUGACAAUUUCCGCUGCCACUUACAGGACUGCACGACUAUUUUGCAUUUUGAAAUGUUUGCUAAUACCUUAUAUACAACCAUACCAUAACUAUUGCCUCAUCAUCCAGUCAAAUUUCACAACUGUGCAUCAUGGGGAAACACAGGUUGCUCUAUUUUCUGCAAAUGAAAUCCAAAUCAUAAUCUAGUCAUCAGUCCUACAACUAUUACAAUUUCCAUUUUUGAAAACAAUUUCACUCCUCUGAAAGAAAUUAGCCACUAUUUCCAGUUAUGUGUUUGCCAAUGAGUAUGAUGUGAUUUAUUUGCCAAUUCACAGUUUCACAAUGAAAGAACAAUAGAAUAAUCAAGGAUUCUAGAUAAUCCUUCUGCUAUCAGCUUCCUCAUGCAGUCUUUUUCUACACAAUCAUUUCAUUGGUCAAAAUUUGGAAUUCAUCCUAUUCCCACUCUAAACAAGUGUGUACAGUUAAAUGCUUAAACUGCUACAAUACAGAACAAUUUUUUAUUGUUCAGUAUGUUCCAAGAAGAAGCACUUUAGGUAGAAUUCUUUAUUCCAGUUGGACCAUGUAACCAAAGCAAAGUUGGAAUUCUUUAUUCCCUUCUUCUGAAGCCAUUUGUCAUGCCUUAGUAGAGCCUCACUCGAUGUAACACCUCUGUCCACCUGAACCAUACAGUAAGAAAUCCAAUAAACAAUAGGUGAGUGAGUGUAAAAGUUAAGGAGCAACAGAUAGGAUAGUAAAAAAAAAAAUAUAAACUUUAUAAAACAUUGGAGUAUUUAUAGCAUUGAAGGUCAGUUUGGGACACAAGUUAUAAGUUGAAAAAGGUAAUUUGAGGAUAUAAAGUCUAUUUAUAAGAUUUUCUCUCACUGCCCACUAACCCUUCUAAAAGUUUAAGUACAUUUAAUGGGCUUUUUCUACCUACUAUAAAGAUUCAUCCUAUUCCCACUCUAAACCACUGUGUACAGUUAAAUGCUUCAACUGCUAGAAUACAGAAUUUUUUUUUAUUCUUCAGUGUGUUCCAAGAAGAAGCACUUUAGGUAGAAUACAGAACAAUUUUUUAUUCUUCAGUGUGUUCCUCCCCUAAUAUGAAGAUACCUUUGGUAAUAAAGCAUCUUUCUCCCACUUAUUAUACUUAGCUUCCAGAACUCAAUUAUUUGUUCAAUAACUAACACUUGCACACACAUUAUUUAUCUCACUGUUCAUUCACCUAGCUAUUCGAAUUUAACUUCACCAUCCUUGAACACCAACAAAAAACACACUUGUCAUGAUAACAAAUCCAGUUUAUUGGGGUGCUUGAUUCCCCAUUCUGUUGACUUUGAGCUUGCACCAUGGAAACCAAUUUAGGCCAACUGCAAGGAAUAAAGUUCAUAACAGAAUUAACAGCAUAUGCCCAGAAGAUCAGACAGUAAAAACAAAUCAAAGAAAACUGAAUCCAAGUCUGAUUUAAUAAAUUGAUAUCUGAUGACGAAUUAAAAUUAUUGCAAUUUAGAGAAUGGAUUACUGAAGGAGCUGUUAACCAGAACCCUCAUAUAACUAAUACUAUGAGAACAAUGUGUAUAAGAUGCAGAAGAGAAAUUUGGAUUGUAAAGGGUUGUAAAUUGUAAGAACCUUGCAUACAUGGCACAAAGUAAUGGAAAAAGAGGUGAAUGUGGGGAAUUGGUUAAGAAUAAGGAGAAAAGGGGAAAAGAAUGAAGGAGGAGAGGCAGGAAACAAUUGACUAAGCUAGAGACAUUUUGGGAGGAGUGGGAUAUUUGGUGAGUCUGCAGAAUUUCAGUUGUUAUUUCUUUCCUUGUGUUUCCACUAUUUGAUUCCCUCGACAGAGGGCUACUUCUGCUUGUAUUGUAGAGGAAUCAUGUAGUUCCUAAUUUUGAUUAAAACUUUGAUGCUGGCAUGUCCAUGUUUAUAUUCACUUAGGCUUGUUGACUUUGACAAUGAAAAUGAGAUUCAAAUGAUGAUUUGCUCAGAUCUGCUCUGGUGUUUGGCUAUUAGUGGCCUUUUCUUUCAUGUGUGUGUUUAUAUUCACUUUUCUUUCGACUGCUUGCCAAAUAAGGUAACCAAAUGCUGUUAGUCAUACUUCAUAUGAUUAGAAACACAGGUAGAGUUUAAUCAAUGCGAAUACCAAAUAUGAAAUAAAAUAUAGUACACCAUUAGGCAUUGUAUCUUCAGGACCAUAUUUGCAUUCUACCCUCUUUGAGAAACAUGCUUUUCAAUUUCAGAAUAGGUUUCAUUUUAGUCUCCGAAUGCAACAAUGUGUGUGUUUGUGUUUAUGUGUAUCAUAAGUGCUGCAUAACCACUGAAUGCAUAGACAAACAAUGAUAAGAAUUUGUGUGCAGUAAUCGUUACUUGGUGACUACUUAAGACUGUAUUUUGUUUCAGCAGGGUCAUUCGAAUGACGACACCCCCUCCAUCUCCCACACAGGCCGAGAUUCCUUCUGAUGAGACGUCUAGGAAAACUAGACAAGCCACUCGGCUAAGAAGGUUGACAGCAAGAACAUUGGAGCAAGCAAGGGCAACAGUUAGUGUGAAUCCAGCGACUGGUAGAGGAUCCGGACCUCACAAGGAUCAGUUUCAUAGUUACCUUGGAGUUUGUGGCACGAGACAAGAUUCCAAUUGUUCACGCUAGCUGGAAUGAUGUACCUGAAACACUGAAGAACAUGAUAUGGGAUGACAUAUUGGUAAGUCCCUCAUGCUGGUCAUUUAAUAUUUGUUACACACAUUCAUGUUUAUGCUUUUUAGUUUGACACACAUGUUUUGUAGGCAGAAUUCGACAUCCCCGAGGGUGAUAAUGCCAAAAAGAAGGUGAUGUCAACUGUGGCAACGCGUUGGAGGCAAUUUAAGUCGGCGUUGACAACAAAAUAUGUGUAUGGUAACACUGACGGCCAAGCAAAAGAUGAUCCUUUGGUUAAAUAUGGCAUUAAUGAAAAAGAUUGGGUCGAGAUUGCAAAAAUGAGGCAAACCCCUACCUGGAAGGUUAUUUCCAGUUUUAAUGUUUUGAGUAUCUUACAAAUUGUUCAUGCUUUUCCUUGGAAUACAUGUUUUGCAUCAUCGUUGACAAAUGCUUAUUUUUUAAUUUCAAGGGGAUACGGAAAAAGGCACAAGAAAUUCAAAAGUACAAUGACUCUCCACACUUGUUGUCUAGGGGAGGCUAUGAGCUGCUAGAAAAAAAAUUAAUGGCUGAAAAAAGGAAGAUACGAGAAGAACAAGCAGCAUUUACUAAGGACCCUUCAUUGUACCUCCCACCAUCACCAAUUUCUAGACACGAGAAAUGGAAGAGUGCACGCACAAAACAAUAUGGCUAGAUGACAUCUCAAGCCGCCAAAGAAAUUGCUGACAAAAUUGUAAGCAACUAUUACCAUUAAUUGUUACUGACAAACAAAUCAAAUACUUCAAUGACAACUUCCUUUAUGCCUUGAUCUUGUUUUGUGUUAUAUGAAGAGGACUCUUUGGAAGAGCAAAGCAGGCAGGGCAGCAUUGUGCCUUCAGGACGUGACGAUAUUUUGAACAUGGCUAUUGGAAGACCGGAGCAUCCUGUUCGUGUACGUGGGGCUGGGACAGGGGUUACAAUUACGCAGUACUUUGGUCCAGCAUCGCGUUGGUCUACCACUUCAUCAAACAUCACUGUAGAACAGUUGGCUGAUAUAAUUGGUAACCUAAAAGAAGAAUGGCAAAGACAGGCUGAACAAGAAAACAUUAAAAGAGAGGAGGUGUGGAUGAGGAGGAUAGAAGAGGAAAAAUAGCGCACUAUGGACACAUUUAAAGGACAAAUACAAGAAGCUAUCAAGUUGGAGUUGUCACAAAUUGCAUCACAACAUUCAGCCCCACUUCAACCAAAUGAUAUACAAGUAUUAGCAGCAAGGGUAAGCACGAAGGGAAGCUGUGCAACAGCAGAGACAAAUGCAUUAGCUAAAAAACCCUCUCAGUUGAAUGGUGACAACGUCAGGCUGCAUGUAACUGCCGAGAACUCCAAUAAAUUAGUGGCAGUGGGCAAACAGUGCGACAGUUUUGGCACCAUCCACAACGUGCCCUAUGCUGAUGAUGUUGUUCACGUGAGUGUGGUGGAAGUUAUUUUCGGUGAUGCGGAGGUUCCAAUCCCUACAUAAGAAAUAAAGUUUGUCAAAGAAGCUUUAGGUAGUUUUGUUCCAUGGCCAACACAUUUGGUCAAACCCAUCUUGCCUGAGGUAAUAACAUGUUUAAUGGAUAGUAACAUUAAUUCCUAUAAUUUAAAAUGGUUGCUUACGUAAGUCUUUUUUAAAUGUUUUGUACUCCUGUAGGAAGCAGAGAAGGAUGUGAGCUCACCAUUGAAGACUGUUGAGGAGGAAAAGGCAGUUGAGGUUAUUGAUCCAUUGGGAGAGUUGGUGAAGAACUUGUUCGACAUUUACCAAAGGCCCGUUGAGGUGUCAUGGGAUGGUGCUAAAUUUGGAAUCAAUAAUGUCCAAGAUGGCUUCUUUAUCACACAUGCUGAUGUGAGCGAGAUAAUAUUAGGAGACAAGUGUUUAAACAUCUCCAUUCUACAGCUAUGGCUUAUGUAAGUGUAUACCCAUAUUAGCUCAAACAUUUGUACACUGUACAAUUGAGUUAGCUAGUUUAAAUAACCUAUUAACAACUUUUAUGAAAAAAUGUUUUACAUAGGUUUAUUCAUGAUUGGAGUGCGAGCAUUGGUUAUGGAGCAUUGUAUGGGUUCCUUGAACCCCAGUGUAUCCACAAUGCAAGCAGUAGACGUCAAGAGUGUGAAAAUUACAUUGGAAGGUGGUUGAAGGAAGCAGGAAAACAAAUUUACAUAGCACCUUAUUUAAACCAGUAAGUUAGCAAAUAAUGUUGGUCAAGUACGGUAAUGUUUAACAUAUUGACUUAAUGAAGUAUCUUUACCUGUUCAGGGCCCAUUGGCAGCUCGUUGUAUUGUGCCUAGGCAACAAUCUAGUGGUUUGGUUUUGUUCUUUGCGAAAGAAGUCGGAUGCUGCCAUCAAGGGUGCAGUAAACAGGUUAGUGUUGCCUCUACCGUGCCUCAAUGACAUAAUGCACUCCUACAGCAAACCACCAAUGAUCGUAAUGCUUUGUUUCUAUUUUGAAAAUAGUGCAAUGAAAUCAGUCACCAAAACUGCAGAGGGAAAGCCACCUCAGCAUGGGCCUCAGUGGAUUGAAGCAAAGGUACAUGUUUAUUUAAAUUCCAAAUGCCAUAUGGAUGUCAUUUUUGUUUGCAUUGACUGAAUUCACAACGUAAUGUGUGUGCGUAUGUCGUGCAGAGUCAUGUUCAAACAGGAAAUUACGAGUGUGGAUACUAUGUUAUGCAAUGGAUAUGGUGCAUCGUAAGUGGUGGAUUGAAGGAUGACUGGAUUCACGUAUGUUUCUGAUUAUUGAUUUACUUGUUAAUGUAAUUAGACGUCACUAGUUUUUACCUCAUGCUAUGUGAUUUACUAAAUUCAUAUAUACAUGUGCAGUGGUUUUCUGAUCGAUCAGCGCUAACAGAAGAGACCAUGACCACACUCCGGCAUAAAUGGGCAGCAUAUUUUAUCCAAAUGAAGAAAUGCGAACCAAGAAAAAAUUAGAUAACUUAGGAACAAUUUUCGUUUCCGCCAGAAUUUUAUUUCUCUGCUGAGAACAGUACAUUGUUUAGAUAACUUGAGUUGUAUAUUGAAUUUAAUUUUCUCUCAGCUUGAACAAUUUCCUAUCCAGCCCUUCAAUGUGGGCGUGUGCCUUGAACAAUACAUUGUUUCAGUUAAUGCUUGAGUUGUAUAUUGAAAUUAAUUUUCUCUUUGCUUUUUGUUUCACUUAAUAUUUGAUAACUAACUUUUUUGCUUUUACUUAAUUGUCUAUCAUAAUGUUGUCGUGUCAUUAACUUUUACUGCUAGAAUUGCUGACUUUAAACCCAGCUAGGUAACUUCUGCUCAGGGUGGUGGUGACAAGGACUACAAGGAGGUACCCCCACCUCCUUUGUUUAAACCUGCAGGUGAGCUGAAAUUACCAUCAGGGUGGUGGUGACUUUGUUGUUCCUCUAAAUUACCAUGUUAAGUCUAUGAUCUAUUGGGUUUGUUUGUUGUUGUUGCUAUAGGGGGACACAUUAACCAAGCUGUGACCUUCAACAGAUCUUAUUACAAGGUAAUCAGUUCAAUGGAAAAAUGGUUGAGUCACUAGGGAUCCUUAAUUAAGCUCUGUGUGUUAAUUUAAUGACUUUAAAAUAAACAGACAUUAUCAUGCAUGUAUCCUUCUAAGAAGCAUUUUCAUAUGCUUUUAGGAUUUCCAAAGUGCUUAUAUCAUCUUUUUAUUCCUUAAUUAUGUGCUCUUAUGAUUAAAUUUGACUAAUUAAAUGUAUAUUUCUCCCCAUUAUUAUGAUCAGGUUCAAAUUAUAGGACAAUUGUGCACGUACUAUAACCUGAAUAGUCAUCCACAAGGCUUGGGUAAAAAAAAAAAACCGUAGAACCAGCACAUUUUUACUGCACAAUUUGUUGUUUUUAAAAAAAAAUAUACAUUCCACGACGGUUCUACGGACACGACCGUCGUAGAACCAGCACAUUUCUAUGACGGUCAUACUCAGCAAACCGUAGUAGUAUUAGGACCCUCUCUUACGACGGUCGUCGGCAACAGAAGACCGUAGUAGUAUUAAGACAAUUCUACGAUGGUCCUUAGGAUACAACCGUCGUAGAACACGUUUAUGUCAACGACGGUGCUAUAUCGUGACCGUAGUAGUAUUAACACUGUCUCUUAUGACGGUCGUCCGCAACAAAACACCGUAGUAGUAAUAGGAUCAUUCUACGACGGUUCUCAGGAGACAACCGUAGUAGUAAUAGGACCAUUCUACGAUGGUUCUCAGGAGACAACCGUCGUAGAACAGGAUUAUGUCUACGACGGUGCUGUCCCCAUGGCCGUCGUAGUCUUUCGUUACUUCUACGACGGGGCUGUCCGGCAGCCGUGUUAGAAUUGUGGACCAUUCUACGACGGUCCGUAGGAUACAACCAUCGUAGAACAAGAUUAUGUUUAUGACGGUGUUGUCCCCAUGUCCGUCGUAGUCUCUCGCAAGUUCUAAGACGGGGCUGUCCGGCAGCCCGUCUUAGAAUUCUAUAAUGUCUACGACGGUUUUCUUUGACCGUCUUUGAAAGCUAUUGAAUUUAUUACGUCGUCGCAGACGACGACGGUCUUCAACCGACGUAGUAUACCGAUUUUAACCGACGUUGAAUUCUGCUUUUGUAGUAGUGUUUGUAAGGAGUUUGUCAUUGAUAUAAAGAUUUAUUUUUCCAAUUUCCAUUCCUUUUGAAUGUGUCUUGGGUGCAAAUAUUCCACACUGAGGUAGAGGAAGGGGAGCUGACCUGUUCAUUAAUCCCUAUUCCAUUGUAAGCUCCAGAGCAAGUUACAACCUGACCUUGGCCCUGCCUUUCGAGGUCUACCACACAGAAGUCAACAAUAGGCCCCAAAUUGACAUACCUUUCCAAUACUUCCACUUAAGAACCUUUUGCAUCAGGCUGUAGAUUUAGUUUUAUUAGCUGCAUUUUACCAUCAGAGAUUGUCAAUAUGUUAUGUCUGAAUAUGUAAGCAUAAGUAUUCAGCUAUGGAUAUGCCAUACUAGACUUCCAAAGUCUUUAAAGCAACAUGAAUAGAGAGGACAAUGAAGAAAACACUUCACAUAUUGCAAAAGCUUCCUGAUACAGAUUUGUUCUUUCCCUUGUUAUCUUAUAUUAGAGGAAAAAAAUUAGAAGAAAAGAAAAUAUCCUUAGAAAAAAACUUGAUUGUUUUGGUGAAGACGGUCCCUCUUGUAUUGUCUUAUUGCCUUAUGUCCCUACUAUACUAUUUCAUUUGCUCCACAAGUAUAGAUCCUUCCUCCACAAAACACCCUGCAAUAGCAAUAGCACACCUUCUCGCCCUCACUAGUCUGCGUGUAAUGCGAAGGCACCACCUAAGAAACCGACAAUAAAAAAAUUGAAAUUAGGGUAAAGAGAAUAAAAAUAUAAGCGGUGGUUUGGUUACUAAGAGUGAGAGUGAGUAACGUAAAGUAUGUGUUGUUGUGAGAGAGUGGAGCUUAGAGUGUUGAGGCAAUGUUGGUGACCAGGGAAAGGGAAGGAAGAGAGAGGGAAGUGUGUUAUGGAGAAGGAAUCGGGGGAGCAUAUUUCGAGCCUGGCAAGGAAUUUUGGGGGUUGGGAUUUGGAAACCUAAAGGGGAGUAAAGAUUGAGAGGGGAAGUCUAAGAGUCAGGACGAAAAAGUGGAGAGAGAAAUUAAAUUUUAAAAAUAAAAAAUAAUAUUCUAAAACGGUUUUUACAAAACUGUCUUAGAAUGAUAGUCUUUUAAGGCGGUUUUAUAAAACCGUCCUAGAAUGACAGUCUUCUAAGGCGGUUUUCGUAAAACCGUCAUAAAACUUUUGUAUUUAUUUACGAAAGUGCCACCGUGUUUCUUUCUAAGUCAGUUAUUGAUCGACUGAUGUAAAAUCAACGUCGUAAAAAAUUAUUUUUAUAGUAGUGAUGAAAAAGAAAAUCAUAUAAAGAAAUUAGAUAGGAAAAAUGAAAAAAAAAAUAUGAGAAGAGAUUAAAGAGGAACAAUAAUCUUAAAUUUUCAAAAAGUAAAAUAACUCAAAUGUGUUGACUUUCAGCUCAUAAAGGAGAACACGUGUGGGCCCAUUCCAGCAAAAGUGAACGUGAGAGACAAAUAGAAUGUAGAGUGUUGCUAGGUGCACCCAGCAUUUUUGCUGGUGCACCCAACACUUGAAGUGAAAAGCCCGUAAUACUCCUGGCUUAUUUUUUUAAAAAAAAAUGCGAGACUCUCUCUGUCCCGCCCGCGUUUUGGCUUCUUCUUCCUCACCUCAACCGUUUUCGUCUUCUUCUUACUCACCUCAUCGGCGUUUCCAUUUGUCACCAUUGUUGCCGUGAAGAGGAGGUUGCCGCGAAGAGGUUCUUCUUCUUCUUCAGCCAUCAUUUUUGUCGUGAAGAGGAGCUUGCCGUGAAGAGGUUGUCGUGAGGUGCAUUGAGGAGGUUUCUAUGAAGAGCAACGCCACCGUCCACCGUCGAGGGAGCUUUGUCACCGUCCACCGUCGAGGUAAGCGCCGUAACCAUGUCGUUUAGUUCAUUGUUGUCGGAGUUAGGUUGAUCUGCUAGGGUAGUAUGUUGAUCCGUAAGUGGAGAUGAGCGUGUUACAGUUCAACUUCAUCCGUAAACAACCUUUCAAAAAUGAAAUCCUAACAACCUUUCAAAUAAAUAAUUGACUGAAUGACAGCCCUACAGUCAAUGAAAUCCUGACAACUUGCAUGACUUUGAGUCAAUGAAAUUUGCAUUAGACUAAUGAAAUCAGUGAUGGAAUUUGCGGUAGACAUUUACAGAUCAUGGUUAGGACCCGAGGAUUAGGUCGUGCCUUAGGUCACGAUACUGGCAGAGGUGUGGGCAGAGGAGAUCGUGAUGAUUCCGAUGAUGCUCCACAGCGUCGACAGCCUACAGCAUCCCCACGCAGGCAACGAGUACCUGUCACUACUGCGAACAAUGAGCCAGUGGUCCUUGCAACAGAGGUUGAGGGAGCUUUGAUUGAGGCUGAUGUAUAUGCGGAUGAGCCGAUGGCAGGAGGUGAUGUACAGGAUACUGGGGCAGACAAUCCUGCAAACACAGGCGCACAGGCUGCUGAGGAUGAGCCUAAGGGAUUUUCAGGUGGUCUGAGGGACCCAUCCGUGCUGACCGAGUACGCGGAUUACGUUGCAGGCAGCGUAUGGACGGGAGAGGUAUUUAUCAUAUUGAGUUUUAGUUAGUUGUUAAUUAUACUUUAUCAUUGAAAUUUGUUUUCCUUUAAAAGAUGAUGUUAACGAAUUGUGUGUUCCUUUAUACUUCAAUUCAGGAGCGUCCUGAGUUGAAGUUAUCCUCUCAUAGGAGAAACAUGCAUAGUUUAGGCAUGCCUGUCCCUGCCAUUGAGGGGCUAGUUGCUGGGACAGGACUAAGUCCUCUGAUCGUGUGCUUGAUAGACACUAGCGAUCGGGGACUUUUGUCGUUGUUUGUCGAGCGGUGGUACCGGGAGGCUUCUAGUUUCCAUCUCCCUGUGGGAGAGGUGACAAUCACACUGGACGAUGUCGCGUCUCUUCUACAUCUGCCUGUGGUUGGCGACUUGCAUGUCUUUCAGCCCGUGCACGUGGAUGAUGUUGUACAGAUGCUGGUGGAGUUAUUGAUGGUCACUGCAGAGGCUGUCAGGGCUGAGACAGCGCAGUGUCAUGGACCGUACGUACUCCUGUAAUGGGUACGUGAUAUCUAUGAGCGGCGAUGCCACGUAGGACAUUGGACAACUGCGGCUCGCGCGUUUCUUCUUCAUCUUCUAGGUUGCACUCUUUUCGCUAUCAAGAGUGCAACCCAUGUUUAUGUUGUAUUUUUGGAGGCCUUUCGUGACCUCAAUCAGAUUGGGAGGUAUGCUUAGGGAGUAGCUGCGUUGGUGCAUAUGUACGACCACCUGAAUGAUGCUUCUAUCAGCACCAGUCGACAGCUUGGUGGUUACAUCAUGUUGUUGUAGGUAACAAACAUGUUUUUGAUUCGUUGAGGUUCAACAAUGUUUAACUUGAAAUUUUUUUAGACUUUCAUUAUUAAUUUUUAUGAUUUUCAUGUUACCUUUGUAGUGCUGGAUAUACGAGCACUUUCCCUCAGUCGUGGAGUCCACUGUUGAUCCGAACUAUGAUGAGGAUUCACCGCGUGCCUGUAUGUGGAUUGCUACAAAGAAGAUCGUGAAGAGCAUACGUACACCGAUGUACAGGGAGCACCUGGACCGAAUCCGGAUUUUUGAUGUCUGUUGGAUCCCAUAUAGGGAGCACCGACCGGUCCAGGACUUCCAUAUGAUUUCAUGCUAUUCCGAUCUGCUGCGUUGGGGGCCCGUUGUUGUGUAUUACCGACCAGAGAGGGUCAUGCGGCAGUUUGGAUACACCCAGACCAUUCCUACUCCGCCUGCCGAUUCAUGGGUGUCGUUUGAUGAUAUACACGACAGGUGGAUGCACUAUUCGGACCAUAUGGCUGCAGCAGGUGACAUCUGCGUUGUGCCAGCGACUACAUGGACUGAUUCUUCCGCAUUUUGCAUCCAUUCGUGACACUGGGCCAGCCAUCAGAUCCUCGGGCAGAUGGUCAUGCUACGCAGCCCAGAGUUGCCCCUCAGGAUCCAGACAUAGAUAUCCAUCCGGUCACGAAGCCAGCAGCACCGUCGACAUCUGCAAGGUCCGAUGUGGCCGAGCCGAGACAUGCAGUGGUAAGUGUUACUAAUAAUUUAUGUCAUUUAUGUCAAUUUUUUCAUAAUAAUUUGUCUAAUUUGUUUGUUUUGUAUUUAACAGGAAGCUUGCUUUGCGAUUGCGGAGAGGUUGGAGAGCCAUCUCAACCUAGAGGUGGUCACGCCAGGCACAUCGACACAUGUGCUGAUCGAAGAAUGCCUCAAGAUUGCCAAGAGUGUCACACAAGACCCGCUAGUAUAUGUUAGGUCUCGACGCAGGCGGUGAACGGAUCAGUCAUAGUUUAUUUACACAUUUUAUAUUGAAAUUCAAUGUAUAUGUUAGGAUUGGCUAAUCUAGCUUAAUGGAUGAUAUUAGGAUUGUGAUCAACUCGCUACCUAUUAAAUAAUUUUUUGAAAAGUGCUUUUUUAAAUAUGUUUUAAAAUUUAAUUAUCGCUAUACUAGGUAUAAUUAUAAGCACCUGGUUGAUGUCGUCUAGAUGAUCGAUCCAAUCAUGAAUCAUAAACUGAAUCCAAGGGCUCAACAAAAUAAAUUAAUAACAAAUCAAACUAAUGAUAGGCUCAUAAACUGAAACAAUCAAAAUUAAGCUCAACUAGCAGUAAUAAUUUUCAUGUUUAUAAUUAUUUUUUUUCAUCUUAAUUAAUAUUUGUGUGAAUUUGUUCAUUAAAGAUUAAUCUUUACUCGAGAGCUUUACUAAUCAUCUUAAGUAGGAUUUCUUCAUUCAAUCAUAUUUUUUCAUUCAAAAUAUUUAGAUCCAAGAUUUUGCUUAAGGAAAUCAAACAUAAUUAGUAAUAAUUUAAGAUCUUAACUCUUUGGGAGCAACAAAAGUAGUUAGUAGCUAUUAUUAUUGAAAAAACCAUAAAAUUUUAUUUUUAAAUCAAAUACUUGAAAAAAAAAAAGAAAUUGAAGAGUGGUGGAUGUAAAUAUAACAAACUAGAGAGGGUAAAAUACAAACACUUCUUUCCCAAAAUAUAGUCUCAACCAAUUAGUUGCAUCUGAUAAAAAUUUCGCGUAAUUCUAUUAAGGUUUAAUUAUAUUUUUAGUCCCUCAAAUUAAAAAAAUAUAUUUAUUUAGUUUGCAAAUAAAAUUUUAUAUUUUUAUUCUUUCAAAUUAAAAAAAAAAUUCUUUUCAAUUUCUCUCCUCAAAUAAAAAUCCGUAUUUCUUAGUUCCUUAAAUUUGGUGUAACAUUUAUAUUUUAUUUUAAGAGACUAAAAAAUAAAACCUUCUAAUUUGAAGCAUUAUACAUUAUAUUAAAUUAAUAGUUGACUCAUAUAAUUUAUUUAUUAUCUUGAUUUCCAUAUUUUGCAUAAGAGUUAAAUAUACUUUGUUAAAUAUUUUUAAUUAGUUCAACAUUAAAUUAUUUUUAAUUUAUGAAAAAAUAUAUUUUAAUUAAAUUUUAAUAUUAUAGUAGUUUCUUUUAAAAAAAUGAACUACUCGAGUUUAUAUAAUUUGUCUAAUUGUAAUCUUUACAAUUAAUUGUUAAUUUUCAUUUGUUGUAGUUGUUUUUUUUUAUAUUUAAAAUAAAUUUGCAACACCGACAAAAAAGUAAAAGUAGUAGAAAUAAAAUUUAACAGAGAACGACAAGUCGUCUUCCAUUUCAAGAAAAACAAAAAAAGAACGAUUAUGCGAUACAUGAAUUCAAACAGUACAUUAACUUCAACAUAGUAGAACGAAAUUAAAUUUGCAUCAAAUACUACAACUAACUCAUGCUAAUUUUGCGACAAGGACAACUCGUCUUCCAUUUCCAUUACAGGUUUACUAAAAAUAACUAAAAUUUCUAUUGGCUCAAUCUUUUUCCAGUAGUUAGACUCAAUUAACAUCUUUAUCACGUCAUCGUUGGUUUUGAGUUCAAUUAUUUCGAAUUUGAUAACUUUUAUAAAUACUCAUGGUGGCUUGGUUGUUAAAAAAACAAUCGUCUUACCGUUUGUGUUUCUUGAUCAAUACCAUAAGGGGGAAUCCCAUGAGGCACAACUUGCUUGAUCAAAUCCUUCAGUUCAUCCAUGGUACAUCCGGAAGAAAUGUCAAACUUCAAUGCUACAGGCGGUAAAGGACAACGUUCUUUUAAAUAAACCUGUUGUACAUGUGAAAAAAGUGUUAACUCAAUCCUACAAAACUUAUUGCAUAAAUAUAAAAAAAAACACUUCAUAUCUACAAUGUACCUCAACAAAAUGAUUGUCAUACACAUGACUGAUACAAAUUAUACAAUGCAAUGAAGAAUUUGUCAGUGGUUGACUUCUAAGAGGAAAGAAAGUCAUGCUUUGUUGUUUAGACAAGGAUACAACGAUUACAUUAUAUCUUGAUGCAUUGACAUGUCCCAUGUCCGUUAUAUCCAUCCACUUAUUUGUAGUCACCUAAAUGAAACAAAUAUACAUGUCAAACUUAAUUGUAAAGUUAAGUAUUAAAAAGCAAAAACAUAACUUACAUACCUUGGUUAACCCAUCAACAUGUAGUGACAUCCUUAAUUCCUCAAAUCUCUCCGUGCCACCAAAGAGUCGGGUAUAGUCUUCUGAGAAUUUCCCAAGUUCUUUAAGAAGAUGGUAGAGGACCACCAACCAAGAGUCUUCACCCAUACCUAAUAAACUGGGAACCGACCGAUAUCCACAGUUACCAUCAGCUUUGACAUCAACAAUGUUAUCAAUGAAGUCAUGCAUAAAUGGUUGAAACUGAUCCAACAUGGGCAUCAUUGUUCUUUGAUUCGGUUGCUCAGAGGAUGAUGCAGUACGCCUCACUGACGAAUUGCUAUUUUGCAUAGAUUCAAAGGCAUCUACAUACUCCCAGUAAGAUGGAUCGCGCUUUGUUGACCUUGGGUUCCUACUCAUAGGUUUCUUCGGUGCCCCCUUUGUGUUAACCUUUGCUGGAGGAGGACACAUCGAAUUCUGAUCAGGGUAUGCAAUUUCCCAAAGUUUAGUCUUUAGAGUAAACUUGCCACAAACAUCAAGUUCUUCGAAUAUUUUGGAUAUUGUUUCAAUUUCUGCCUUGAUGCUCACUUCAGGCUCACAUAACCCUUGGUCUGAAAAACUUAGUCUCCUCCAAAACAUAUGGAUUGAAUCCAGUGGGAUGCAACCACCAACAUAUUUGGAUAGCUCACAAGCAUAAGGAAGACCAAGAGUGGUUCUCACCACACAAUCAACUUGAGGGAUUCUUGCCAGCAUAGUCAACACACUUUAUUUCAGCAACAAUCUGAUUUAAAGCAUACCUUGAAACCAUUCCAAGAACCCUCCUGUAUAAGGUUUUUUUUUUUGAAGACAUGCCCAAGGACAUGUGUACUUGUUUCAAAUGAUGUUUUAAUAUUUGUAUGCUGCAACGUAAUCAUGUUGUUCAUGGCAUCCCACACAUUGCAUAAGUCUCCAAGGCUAUUUUGUAACAAUCUUUUUAAAGAAGAGUGAGCAGAUUCAACCCUACAUUUCAAAUACACAAAUAAAAAUAAACAUAUACAAUAAUACAAUUCCAUCAAUUCAUCAAUGUUAAUAAAAAUAGUUGAAAAUUUCAUAUCUGUUUGUUGUUGUGUUUCCUAAGUGCAUCACCUUAUUAGUCCAGGCGGAAAUUUUUUUUCCUUGUGUGGUAUUAUCCAUGUUUCCUUGACAUAGUCAACAAACAUUGGCCAAGGUGAGCAAGCCAUUUCGAACUUCUUCAGGCAUUCAUCAAACUGUUGUUCUGAAGGACAAUCAGUUAGACAUCCCCAACAAUCGAUGACAUAAUCCCAAGCAUUUUUUUGCCCAAUUAGUGAUUUACAUUUGGCCUUCACAUUCUUGUUUAUGUGAAAACUGCACAACAAAUUUGUACAAUAAAGGAAUACAGCCUUCACUGCAUUCAUCAAAGCUUGGUCUCUGUCAGUGACAAUAACUCCAGGGAGGGCAUCACGUGUUGGAUAAAGUGGCCUCGGAAUAAUUAAGAAGGGGGGGUUGAAUUAAUUAUUAAUGAACCUUUACUAAUUAAAACUUAUCUUUCUUAAUAUUAUUAGAUUCAAUUAUGCAUUUACUAGAAAGUAAAGAAUAGAAAUAGAAACUUCAACCAAAAGAAAAAGCGAUAAUUAAAGUGCACAGCGGAAAAUAAAGAGUGUAGGGAAGAAGAAGACAAACACAAGAGUUUUAUACUGGUUCGGCAACAACCCGUGCCUACAUCCAGUCCCCAAGCAACCUGCGGUCCUUGAGAUUUCUUUUCAACCUUGUAAAAUCCUUUACAAGCAAAGAUCCACAAUUGAUGUACCCUCCUUUAUUCUUUUUGAACAACCUAGUGGAUGUACCCUCUACUAGAACUGAUCCACAAGAGAUGUGCCCUCUCUUGUUCUCAGUCACAACAACCCAAGUAGAUGUAUCCUCUACUUGUACCACAAAGGAUGUACCCUUCAAUGUGUUAAGACAAAGUUCUCAGGCGGUUAGUCCUUUGAAACUUUGUGAAGGGGAAACAAAAGAUAUCUCAGGCGGUUAGUCCUUUAAAAUCUUUUGUUUAUGGCAAAGGGAAGAAUCAAAAGAAUUCUCAGACUGUGUCAUUUUGAAUUCGUUGACAAGGGAGAAGGGAGAUACAAAAGAAUUCAGACGGCUAGUCCUUUGUUCUUUUGGAAAAGGGAGAAGAGAGACACAAAAAGAAUUCAGGCGGUUAGUCCUUGUCGAAUUCUUUUUGGCAAAGGGAGAAGAGAGACACAAAAGAAUUCAGGUGGUUAGUCCUUCGUUCUUUUGGAAAAGAGAGAAGAGAGAUACAAAAAGAAUUUAGGCGGUUAGUCCUUGACAAAUUCUUUUUGGCAAAGGGAGAAGAGAAUGAAAAAGAUGAAUAGCACAAGUUUUUGAACAAAGAACUUUUCUUGGAAGAGAAAGUUUUGAACAAAAACUUUUAGAAAGAUGAAGAGAAAAAGAAUCAGAAAAAUUCUGUAAAAAGAAAUCAAAGAAGAUGUUGAAAGAUAGAAUGAUUGAAAGAGAUGAUGGAUCAUAUUUAAAUUCAUGCCAUGGUCACAUAUUUAUAAUCUCUUGAUGACUCAAGUCAAAGUUUGUGACUCUUGGCAAUUUCUUUUAAAACUAGUCACUUAGAAAAGUUGUGACUUUUGAAAGAAUCUUCAGAAACAAGUCACUUGAAGAAUUGUGACUUUUGGAAAUGAAUUUUUCAAAAACAGUCACUGGUAAUCGAUUACCAUUAAGGUGUGAUCGAUUACACAUCAACAAAUGUGACUCUUCAUUUUGAACUUUGAAAAUCUUAACAUUUCAAAACACUGGUAAUCGAUUACAUGAUUAUGGUAAUCGAUUACAACUUUGUAAAUCAGUUUGAAAAACAAUGUUGGCUACUGGUAAUCGAUUACUACCUUAUGGUAAUCGAUUACCAAAGAGUAAAACUCUUUGGUAAAAGAUUUUGUGAAAACUUCAUGUGCUACUCAAUGUUUUGAAAAACUUUUUAGUACUUAUCUUGAUUGAGUCUUCUCUUGAUUCUUGAAUCUUGAGUCUUGAAUCUUGAUUAUUCUUGAAACUUGAUCUUGAAUCUUUGCUUAAACUUUUCUUAACUCUUGAUUCUUUGGCAUCAUCAAAAUAAACCUUGGAAAACAUUGCUUCCACAAUCUCCCCCUUUUUGAUGAUGACAACCCUGAAAUCAAGAAACACAUACACAUUCUUUUUCCUAGUCGAUCACUCACUUAAUUCUCCAUAUUCUCCCCAUUUGCUUUUGAGUUUAAGCUUCACAUGAAAUUAAGUUAUUUAAUUAUAUGAGUUCUUUAAUCCCUAUAUGAGUUCUUGAUUUAAUCCAUAUUUUCUCUCCCCCUUUGGCAUCAACAAAAAGUCAAAGUGCAUAAGAAAUAUAAAACAUACAUAAAUGACUAAUCAUACAAGAGAAUAGAAAAACAAUCAAACAAGAUAACUUAACCAUUCAUCAAACUUAGAAAGAUAAUACUUCAUAGAAUGUCAUAUAAUCCAGAAAGUCAUUCAUAAUAACCAAAUAAAAAUGCAUACCUCUAGUCAUAUAUUAUCAAAAUCGUAGAAGCAAGCUUCAUUGCUUUAUGAUAAUGAAUCAAGAUUGAUUCAAGGUGUUUUGAUGAUAACAAAGAUGAUGACAAAAAGCCUAAGAGAAUGAUUUCAAGGUUGAGUCAAGAACAAUUCAAGAAUCAAGAGAAAGUUUCAUCAAGAAGAUUCAAGAUUCAAAGAUUCAAGAUUCAAGAAUAAUCAAGAUCAAGAUUCAAGACUCAAAGAUUCAAGAAUCAAGAGAAGACUUAAUCAAGAUAAGUAUUAAAAAGUUUUUCAAAACAUUGAGUAGCACAAGAAGUUUUCACAAAAUCAUUACCAAAGAGUUUUACUCUCUGGUAAUCGAUUACCAUAUUAUAGUAAUCGAUUACCAGGGGUUUUAAAACGUUAAGAUUUUCAAAAUUCAAAAUGAAGAGUCACAUCUGUUGAUGUGUAAUCCAUUACACCUUUAUGGUAAUCGAUUACCAGUGACUGUUUUUGAAAAAUUCAUUUCCAAAAGACACAUUUCUUCAAGUGACUUGUUUCUGAAGAUUCUUUCAAAAGUCGUAUCUUUUUAAGUGAUUAGUUUUAAAGGAAUUGCCAAGAGUUACAAGUUUUGACUUGAGUCAUCAAGAAACUAUAAAUAUGUGACCUUGGCAUGAAACAAAUUAUUCAUAUCAAUCAUCUCUUUCAAUCAUUCUAUCUUUAAAUCUAUCUUUCAACAUCUUCAUUCAUUUCUUUCAGAACUUUCUGGUUUCAUCUUCUCUUCAUCUUUAUAAAAUUGUUUGUUCAAAACUUUCUCUUCCAAGAAAAGUUCUUUGUUCAAAAACUUGUGCUAUUCAUCUUUUUCAUUCCCUUCUCCCUUUGCCAAAAAGAAUUCGCCAAGGACUAACCGCCUAAAUUCUUUUUGUGUCUCUCUUCUCCCUUUUCCAAAAGAACGAAGGAAUAACCGCCUGAAUUCUUUUGUGUCUCCCUUCUUCCUUGUCAAAGAAUUCAAAACGACACAGUCUAAGAAUUCUUUUGAUUCUUCCCUUUCCCACAAACAAAAGAUUUUAAAGGACUAACCGCCUGAGAAUUCUUUUGUUUCCCCAUUCACAAAUUUUCAAAGGACUAACUGCCUGAGAACUUUGUCUUAACACAUUGGAGGGUACAUCCUUUGUGGUACAAGUAGAGGGUACAUCUACUUGGGUUGUUGUGACUGAGAACAAGAAAGGGUACAUUUCUUGUGGAUCAGUUCUAGUGGAGGGUACAUCCACUAGGUUGUUCAAAGAGAACAAGGGAGGGUACAUCCCUUGUGGAUCUUUGCUUGUAAAAGGAUUUUUACAAGGUUGAAAAGAAAUCUCAAGGACCGCAGGUCGCUUGGGGACUGGAUGUAGGCACGGGUUGUUGCCGAACCAGUAUAAAUCUCUUGUGUUUGUCUUCUUCUUCCCUACUCUUUUAAUUUCCAUUGUGCACUUUAAUUAUUUCUUUUACUUUUGGUAAUAUUAAGAAGGAUAGAUUUUUAAUUAGUAAAGGUUCGUUAAUAAUUAAUUCAAUCCCCCUUCUUAAUUAUUUCGAGGCUACUUGAUCCAACAAAAAUAAUUAAGUUUAAAACUUCAUAACCAUAAACAACCAAGAGCAAGUAAAUAUAAUCAUCAUGUUCAGUUAUACUAAUCAAAUAAUAAAAGAAAUACUAAGUAUUCAAAUGUCAUAAAAACAUAUACAUAUACAAGGCUUAAAAACAAAAUAUAAUUAUAAUCUAAAUCUAUUAUCAGAGAAUCAAAACUUAAUUCUAACUAACAAAAAUUAGUUAUGAACACAUACAUGGUAACUUAUUACUUAUCUCAAUUAUUUUAGCAUCUCAAUAUAAUUUUGACAAAAAUCCAAUCAUGUCAAAUUAUACAUAAAUGGAUAAACAUACAAGAAAGAAAAAACUUAUAAAAAUCAAACAAGAUAAUAAAUCAUCCACAAAUCAUAAUAAAAACAUAUGUAUCAAAUAAGUCAUAAGUCAUCAAAAGUAACCAAGUAGAACCAUAACACAUAAAGCGACUAACAAGUUUUAAACUUUUAGAAAAUAAAGUACUAAUAAAGUUUCAAAAACAUAAUUCACUAAGUACCAAAUAAGUAAACAAGAUAAUCAAGUUUAAACAUAUAACAGAAAGACAUUAAAACAAACUAUUUUGCACCCAUAAAAAAAACAUAUUCAUAACCUUUAAAUAUAAUAAAAAAUUAUAAUAACUCUCAAACAUAAUCAAUCAUCAAACAUUUCAAAUUAAAUUAAUUAAAUUAUCAAUCAACUAACUAUGCACAAUAAUUUCUAUUCCAAAAAAAAAUAUAAUUUUUUUAUUUCAAUUUCAAAUUUCCAAUAUUAAAUUUUAAAUUUCAAAUUCCAACUUCUAACUUCCAAUAACUUCCACUUCCAUUUCAAACUUUCAACUUCCAGUAACUUUCAUUUUCAACUUCCAACUUCCAUUUUCAACUUUCAACUUCCAAUAACUUCCAAAUUUUAAUUUUCAAACUUCCAACUACUUGGACACAAUUACCAAAGACAAAAAAAAUCAAUCAUGUAUAUUAUUUAAACUAAAUAUAGUUAAUUAAUUAUAAUAAAUUUUAACAUAAUCAACUAAUUUUGGACUUAUCUUCAAUUUAUAGAACUAAGUCUGUUCUACUGUAAUCGAUUAAUUAAAUACUAAAUUUUAAGUAUCAAAUAACAAUCAUCAACACUUAUUAUGUUAAUUAUUUACUUAAUUCAAUUAUUCUAACAUGUCAAAACAUUUUUUUUAUAUUUUUGAACAGAAUCUAAUCAUUUUAGAAACAAAACAUAAGCAAUUCAAGCAUUAAUCAAUUCAGACAAAAUUCAAUUAAUCAUACAUAUUCAAAAUUAAAACUAAAUAUAGUUAUUUAAACAUUGUAAACACAAUCAAACAAUUUCAACAAUUAUUUUCUAUUAGCCACAAAAAUAACUUAACUGAAAAUACUAAUCAUACCUUAAUUCAUAGAGAUGACUUAGAUGUUACCUCUUUUGAGAUUUUACUGAUAUUGUUUUCGUCGUAUGUAACAUGCCCACUUUUCUUGGGGGAAAUGGUUAUAAAUUUGGAUACAUCUCCUGUCAUAUGCUUGGAACAUCCACUGUCGAUGUACCACUUCUUCCUUAUGGAUUCUUCUUUGUUGUUUUCAUGAGAUUUUGUCAUGAGACACAAGUUGGCUUGGUCUUCAUCAUGAUCUUGGAAUAACCUAUUCCUGAAAAUACUUUUGAAAAACAAAGAAUUUAAAGAGGUCAUGAAUGUUGAAGUUGUUAAACUUUCUACAAGAUACCAGCUCUGAUACCACUUGUUGGAUCAAGUGGCCUCAGAAUAAUUAAGAAGGGGGGGGGGUUGAAUUAAUUAUUAAUGAACCUUUACUAAUUAAAACUUAUCCUUCUUAAUAUUAUUAGAUUCAAUUAUGCUUUUACUAGAAAGUAAAGAACAGAAAUAGAAACUUCAACCAAAAGUAAAAGCGAUAAUUAAAGUGCACAGUGGAAAAUAAAGAGUGUAGGGAAGAAGAAGACAAACACAAGAGUUUUAUACUGGUUCGGCAACAACCCGUGCCUACAUCCAAUCCCCAAGAGACCUGCGGUCCUUGAGAUUUCUUUUCAACCUUGUAAAAUCCUUUACAAGCAAAGAUCCAUAAGGGAUGUACCCUCCCUUAUUCUCUUUGAACAACCUAGUGGAUGUACCCUCCACUAGAACUGAUACACAAGAGAUGUACCCUCUCUUGUUCUCAGUCACAACAACCUAAGUAGAUGUACCCUCUACUUGUACCACAAAGGAUGUACCCUCCAAUGUGUUAAGACAAAGUUCUCAGGUGGUUAGUCCUUUGAAACUUUGUGAAGGGGAAACAAAAGAUAUCUCAGGCGGUUAGUCCUUUGAAGUCUUUUGUUUAUGGGAAAGGGAAGAAUCAAAAGAAUUAUCAGACUGUGUCAUUUUGAAUUCUUUGACAAGGGAGAAGGGAGACACAAAAGAAUUCAGGCGGUUAGUCCUUUGUUCUUUUGGAAAAGGGAGAAGAGAGACACAAAAAGAAUUCAGGCGGUUAGUCCUUGUCGAAUUCUUUUUGGCAAAGGGAGAAGAAAGACACAAAAGAAUUCAAGUGGUUAGUUCUUCGUUCUUUUGGAAAAGGGAGAAGAGAGACACAAAAAGAAUUCAGACAGUUAGUCCUUGGCGAAUUCUUUUUGGCAAAGGGAGAAGAGAAUGAAAAAGAUGAAUAGCACAAGUUUAUGAACAAAGAACUUUUCUUGGAAGAGAAAGUUUUGAACAAAAACUUUUAGAAAGAUGAAGAGAAAAAGAAUCAGAAAAAUUCUAUAGAAAGAAAUGAAAGAAGAUGUUGAAAGAUAGAUUGAAAGAUAGAAUGAAUGAAAGAGAUGAUGGAUCAUAUUUAAAUUCAUGCCAUGGUCACAUAUUUAUAAUCUCUUGAUGACUCAAGUCAAAGUUUGUGACUCUUGGCAAUUUCUUUUAAAACUAGUCACUUAGAAAAGUUGUGACUUUUGAAAGAAUCUUCAGAAACAAGUCACUUGAAGAAUUGUGACUUUUGGAAAUGAAUUUUUCGAAAACAGUCACUGGUAAUCGAUUACCAUAAAGGUGUAAUGGAUUACACAUCAACAAAUGUGAGUCUUCAUUUUGAAUUUUGAAAAUCUUAACGUUUUAAAACCCCUGGUAAUCGAUUACUAUAAUAUGGUAAUCGAUUACCAGAGAGUAAAACUCUUUGGUAAUGAUUUUGUGAAAACUUCUUGUGCUACUCAAUGUUUUGAAAAACUUUUUAAUACUUAUCUUGAUUAAGUCUUCUCUUGAUUCUUGAAUCUUUGAGUCUUGAAUCUUGAUCUUGAUUAUUCUUGUAAUCGAUUAAACAUCAACAAAUGUGACUCUUCAUUUUGAAUUUUGAAAAUCUUAACGUUUCAAAACACUGGUAAUCGAUUACAUGAUUAUGGUAAUCAAUUACAACUUUGUAAAUCAGUUUGAAAAACAAUGUUGGCUUCUGGUAAUCGAUUACUACCUUAUGGUAAUCGAUUACCAAAGAGUAAAACUCUUUUGUAAAAGAUUUUGUGAAAACUUCAUGUGCUACUCAAUGUUUUGAAAAACAUUUUAGUACUUAUCUUGAUUGAGUCUUCUCUUGAUUCUUGAAUCUUGAGUCUUGAAUCUUGAUCUUGAUUAUUCUUGAAACUUGAUCUUGAAACUUGAAACUUGAAUCUUUGCUUGAAACUUUGCUUAACUCUUGAUUCUUUGGCAUCAUCAAAAUAACCUUGGAAAACAUUGCUUCCACUUGAAAACUUUUCUUAACUCUUGAUUCUUUGGCAUCAUCAAAAUAACCUUGGAAAACAUUACUUCCACAUCACGCUUUAAAAAAAGGCCUCGGAAGCGUUGUAAAGCCUGUACCAAAUUAUUAACGCGUUCACACUCCACAUAUGCAAAACCGGCAGAGAAUGUCAUCCCAAUCGGUGUCACCCCAACAAAAUCGAGUAGUGGGAGUCUGUACCAGUUUGUUUUGUAGGUGUUGUCUAUCAAAAACACCAAAUUACAUGCAUUGACUAACUUCACUGCAUCAGGGUGACACCAAAAGAUAUCACAAACCACGUCUUCAUCCUUUAUUUUGUGCGAACAAAUAUACUGAUCACGUUCAAGAAGCUUCAUCAGAUGUUGCAUUUCAAGAUCACUUCCUCUUAUGGAAGAACGAAAUGCACUUCUUGCAUUGUAUAUCUGUUUAAUGGUCGUAAAGCUAUUGGCAUUGUGUUCCUUCAGAAUUAGCAGAAUGUUUCUUGGCUUCACCAUGGACUUCGUCAUAUCAUCAAUAAGUGUUUUUUCAGCUUUAGUCAAUCGCCCCACAUAUGGAUGUCCAACUAAUGAGUUGGCCUAUUCAUGAUUAUGCACUCCACAAACCAACUUCACCAUCCAGCCUUCUCCUCCAACCACUGGCUUGCACCGAAGCUUGAAGGGACACCCACAUUUCCUAGUCCCAGUGUCUCUUCUGAUAAAUUCUUUUUUCCUACGCCUAUACUCGCCACUCCUUUCACAGCCAAUUAACACAAACGAAGUCCUUCCUCUACUACCUGUGUUUGUGUUCGACCUUAUAAUCACCGCCACAAAUUCAUUUUCAUGAGUAACGGAUCGAGCCCACCGCAAAACAUCCUCUCGACUGUCAAACACCUACAAAACAAUCCACAUAAUUUAAGUUUUCUACCAGUAUUCAUUUUAUUAAAUCUCUCACAAACAUGAACAUUAUAACCUGAGAAGUGUUGAACGCAUCGUAACAAUCAACAUGUGGUUCAUUCGCACCACAUGCUUCUUCAUUUUGAUAAUCCAUAUCCGCUUCUUCAGACAUUAUACUUUCAUACAUCCACUCAUCUUUGUCCAUCUCACCAACUCAAAUAAAAAAUGACCAUACAAACAAAUUAAUAAUUUUAAAAAAAGGGAAACUUAAUUAAAAAAACAUAAAAUAUUAAAAAAAAUUACUUUUAUGGAUUAAGUUGAUCCGUACGUUUCCCAUAACAACUUACGGAUCAAGUUGAUCCGUAAGUGACUUAUAGAUAAACGUGAUCCGUAACUGAUCUGUAUGUCCCCGACAGCGGCACCACCUUCUGCGUACCUCGUAUACCGUCGUCGACCACCGCAACGCUUAACACCGAUACCUUCACCUUCACCGCACCUAACCGUUCACAACGAACCCACGAAUCGGAGACAAUGCCACACGAAAAACAGAAAACGAGAGAAACACAUGCAACAAAAAUGGCGUACAGUGCAUUUCCAGGAAAAAAUAAACGUUUAUAAUGAAAAAGAAGCCAGGGGCAUUUUUGCCAUUUAAAAAAUUGCUGGGUGCACCUAGCAACCCUCUAGAACGUAACGGAGAAAGCAUUGAUUACUACAAUGAGAAGGACUAUCAGUUUCUAUAUUCCUCUAUUCAAGCCCAUGAUGGUCACUAACUAGCUGAAUUUGCUGGCCCUUUUGUUUUUCCUUCAACCUUUGGUGAGCAGGUUCAAUUUUAGCAUUUUUUUUCCUUUUCAUGAAAGGCUUUGCCCUAAUGUUAUUUUACUUUUUCGGAAUACACUACUAAAAAAUGGUUUUUUACGACACACUUUUUAAGGCGGUUAUCAUAAAACCGUCUUAGAAUCUCAGCAGUGGAAAUUUUGUAAAUAACAAGAAAUGAACUACGACGGCUUUAUCAAAAACGUCUUAAAAAUAGAGUGUUCAAAGACCGUCUUCUUAUACCCGUUUUUAAAAUUAGUGUCUACACCCCCUUUUUAUUUCUGCCCUAGCUAGCCUCACUCAAAAUAUUACCUUCCGCCAUUUCCGUUUCGUCUUCGCCUUCCAUGACUCCAGAGCCUUUCCUCACCACUCCACUCUCUUUCUUUCUCAGCGCGUAAACCAUGGCUUUGUUGGUGGAGAAAACCACACAAGUGGUCUCAAGUACAAGGUCAAUGACCUUUCGUAGGCCGAGGUCCGUUGGUGCUCCUGCAACAUCUUCUCCACCUAGGACCACGCCGCCGCCGCUAUUGCCUGUGAUAGUGCUGUCGUCUUCGCCUGGAAGAGGGAGACCCUCCAAGAGUACUGGUGGUGCACCGAGCGUGCCCUCGACUGGGCCCUGGCGGAGGACCCAACCUCAUCGUUGAUGAUGGUGGUGACGCUACCCUCCUCAUUCACGAAAGUGUCAAGGCCGAUGAGCUUUAUGAGAAGGUUUUAGACACAUCCAAAGAAUCAUGAACAGGACUUGAAAAAUCAGAAGGUAAUUCCUUGAUUUAGAGAUUUAUGUUUGCGGUCCAUAUUUAACAUUCACAUUUGAUGGAUAUAUUUGAGAUAAAAAUUUGUGUUUUUUUUUAGAUUUAUUCCUUUGCUUCAAAAAAAAUGUUUCUCUUAUCUUAAUUUUUUUUUUAUUUUCGCCUCUCUUGAGUGUAUAAUUUCUUAUGAAUAGUUUAUUGUAAAGAUUUGAUGCAUUAACACCAUUAUUCUUUCACGAUUACUCUUUGACACAUGUCUUUUUGUUUAUUUAUUUGUUUUUUCUCUUCUUCGAGUCUGAAAACAUCCCACAAAAAUUGAAAAAUGCUUUUUUAUUUUUCCAAACCAUGACAUACUGGAAUAAAGUCUAAUGAACUGUUCCAGUUGAAGCAAGGAUUGCUUGUAGAUUUUUCUGAUGCUAAACUUAAUGAAGUAUUGAAAUCAAACAAUUUGGAUGUAAGUGAUGAGAUAAUUUGUUUGUCUCUAUCAAAGUUUCCCUUUCCUUUCUUCUUAUUCAUACCAAUUCUAUAUAUAUUGUUGUCUGAAUAAUUUUCUCUCUUUCUCCCUGUGUGUACAGUGUGUGUGUGUAUAAUUCCCUUGGGUUUUUGCUAUUAACUUGUAUGUGACCCUAAUAUAUUUGUGAAAUCUUUUUCUGCAGAGUGUCUCAACUCAAUUGCUUUUUAAUAUAGGAAAUAGGAUCCUAAGUGAUAUCUUUGAAAGGAAAAAUGGAGAUGUACCUCAGGUAAGUGGACUAAAUAGUUCUACAAGAAGCAAUGCAUAAUGUUGUUUUAUUGGCAAAAUUAGUUUUUAAAAAUUGCAAAAUAAGUAGCUUUUCCAAUUAUAAAUAUGAUUUAUGUUGGCUGCUAACUUUCUCAAUCAUUUGUAUGUUCAGUAUGCUUUGCAGGUUGAGCAAACUAAAUUUGAGGAGAAGAAGAAACUUGAAGAGCAGGAUUUUUCUCGUUUAAAGAAAGAAAAGGUUCAUAGUGAAAUCAAAAUUUCUGAAUUGAAGCAAGACUUGGAAAUAGCCAAUUCUUUCUUGUGCUAUCCCAUAUAAUUUUGAUGCUUUUUAGGAACUGAGAGCUGCCAUGAAGUCUGUCAAAGAUGAUGUGAUAAAAACAAAAAAGAAACUACUUAGAGGAAUUCAAGUACUUUGGUAGGAUACAAUGUUUAAAAUUUUUCGUCAUUUAUCAUUGGUACUUAUUUUAUGAUGGAUUAGAUGUAUUUACAACUAACAAGAUGUGUAUAUGUAGGAAUCAAGUUGAAAGGUCUAGCUGAGGCUGCUGAAAUUUAUCAUGUAGUUAUAGAUGAAAAUAGGAAAUUGUAUAAUGAAGUUCAAGAUUUGAAAGGUAUGUAUUAUAUGGUGCUUAUAUGAAGAUUGUGAACUGGUGUUUGCUUGAUUGAUGACCUGAUUUUUUUCUUCUUUUUAUUCUAAUCAAGUUCGUGAUUUACUAUCAAACAAUGGUCCUCAAAAGUGAUAUCCUUUUCUUUAGUAUAUAUUCCCAGAUCCACAAUAGUGGGAGCUUUGUAUACUAGGCUUCCCUUUUAUUAUAAGUUAUGUGACUCUCUAUAUUCAUAACCAGCAUUUUUAUUCAUUUAUGUAUUGACAUACUACUAUAUGCAGUAUAUGACACUAAACUCUAAAUUUAUUUAAAAACUACACUCCAUUUCUAUGAAGCUUACAGUAAGGAGGAGGCUGUAAUGCAUAAAAAUGGUCUUCCAAACAUUUGAUGUAAUCUUUUACUGUUGUACAUGUGCUCAUGAGGAACGAAUACCACCUUAUAUCUUCCAUAAAAUGAAAAGUUUAAAAUUUAAAUAAAGAAAAUAAUUAGAUAUCUUUAGUGUGAAUUUGUUCAUACAUCUGUAAUUAGGAAGUGGUAAUGAUUCCUGCUACUAAUAAUGGACAGAACACAACCCAUUGGUAGCUUCUUUCCCUUUAUCCUAAAAAAAGGUUUAUUCUUAUUAGCCAUUUGAUUUUAUAUUUGUCAUCUUUCAGCCACCUAACAUACCUCUUUUUUCUUUCUAACCAUGUAACUUCUCCAAAUUAAGGCAGAUCUGCUUGUGAAAUAUGGAGGUGUUGCUCCAAAAAUGGCAGAAGAGGCUCACUCCCAAGUUAUAGACCAGGUACAUUAUUGGUAUUAAUUAUAUAUCCUCUGUCUGUCUUGCUCAAUAAUGCAUUUGGGGGGGUGCAGAAAGCCAGGAGAAUUGCUGGCGGAUUUAAUUUACCAAUUAUUGGCAUACAUCACAUGGAAGCUCAUGCUCUAGUUGCCAGGUAAAGCUAUAGUUCUGUACUGAAUAUGUAAGUCUUCUACUAAUAGAUGGGUGCGGAGGCAUGCUAUCAAUAAUUGAAAUGGCUAUUUAGAGUCUGUUAUUUCCUAUUUUUAAAAACAGAAAAGCAAUAAAACUUGUUUGAUAAUAUUUGAUUUAAAAAUCUGUUUUCAAAACUAAUAUCUCUUUCUUAGUUUUUAAAACCAGAGAAUCAAAACAUCUCUUAAGUUGUUUUUGUUUUCUAUUUUUAGUUUUCUAUUACUCAUGUGUUCUCUUAUACUUUAACUUCUAUUUUCAGAAAAUCAGUUUUUGAAAAUUAUUUUAUAGAAUAGAUUUUAAAAACAAAAAAAAAAACAAAACUCAAUCAAAGUAUCAGACACAUCUUUAGUUUCUGUAUAUUGUUUUCUUCUACAACUUUUGUGCACCCUUUAGUGCUCCAUAAUAAAUUAUGCUUUUUGUUGUGAGUCAUAUUUAUCUUUUUGUUAUAGGUUAAUUGAGAAAGAUUUGCAGUUUCCAUUCAUGGCCCUACUUAUUUCAGGUAUCAUUCCUAUUUUUGGAUUUUAGUUUUGUUAGUCAAGCACUCAUGCUAGAAUUUUUCUUCCUCACACCUGAUCUAUCUUUCUUCCUUGGAUCAUCAAAUCAUUGUUUCUUGUUUCUAGUUCUUUCUUCAUGUUUUAAAGAAUUUGAAAUUUAUAGCAUGCUUAGGUAAUAAGAUCCAUGGGGUAUAAAUAAAUUAAGCCAGGUCAAAUUUUGACAGUUUUGAAAUUUGAAUGAGUAGUGACUGGAAGGUGCAGAGACAAGGUACAUUUUCUUCAAAGAAAAAUAAGUACAAAAAGUGACAUGGAAGUGAUUAAAUGAUUCUUUAUUUUUCUUCUUGAGAGAUUUAAUUGGAGUUCUUUCUGAUUUAUUUUUUUCAGGUAUAUAACUUUGUAAAAUUGGCAGAACUUUACUAUGUGGGAAGUCAUGGCAUGGACAUCACUGGUCCAACAAAGAGUCCAAAGCAAGUGAGAGGCAAGUGCUAUAUAUUCAAUAGUCCUUAUUUCUACAUAACAAAAUUUUCCAGGUGCUGGUUUAUAUUUAAUUAUAAAAUAUUACUUCAAUUUUUAUUUUAUUUUAUUUUCUAUUUUUAAAAGUUUUUAUAGGAAGCAGAGACAACUAAAACAAUAAAAUUUAUUUUUAGUGUUUUCCAUAAAAAAAUUGAAAGAAAAAAACCAAACCAAACAGAGACAUUAGGCUACCAAACAAUAAUCAUAUAUGCAUUCUUAAUUAAUUAAAAGCUUUGCCGAAAGACAUUUGCGAUUUCAUUGCUACCAACUUUAAGAAAGUUGAUUUUCUCAUCCUAUUUAAUUUCUUUCCAGUAUUAAUUAAAUAUUAAUUAAUUGUGGUUUAUCUAGUACUUUACUGCAAAAGCUAACUAUUGAAACUAAGUUUCACAAGAUGCUUGGCCUUUCAUAACCUCUUUUGUACAGCACCAAAAAAUUGCUUGAUAAAAUUUAAUCUAUAUUACAUAGUAAAAAUCACCAAAAAAAGUGAGAAAAUAAAUAAAUGUCAAACUGAUGUUUUUAUUUAUUUAUUAUUUUUUAUAUUUUACUUCUGGGAGUUGCUACGUGCACCCAGCAUUAUUGCUGGGGCACCCAGCAAACAGUGAAGUGGCAAAACUGCCCUUCAGCAAUUCUUCUUCCGGAAGAAGAUUUUUCCGGAAACUUUCUGGAAAACCUCUUUCCGAAACUUUUCCGGAAGAACCUUCUUCCGGAAGAAGAAUUUGUGUCUUCCGGAAGAACGUCAUCCGGAAUGUUUCCGGAAGAUUUCCAUUUUCUUCCGGUAGUUUUUUUAAAAAAAAUAUUUUAUUUUGUAAUAAUUUACUUUUAAUUGGAUAAACUAAUUUAUAAAAUAAUUAAUACUAUUAUACAUAAAUAAUUAAAUAAUUAGUGAAUGUAAUUAUGACUAAUAUUUAUAAUUUGUUUUUUACGCGCAUGUCAAAUAUUAAUUUGUGUGACAAUUUAGUAUAAUUUAAACCAUAAAAAUUAAUUAAUUCGUAAAUUUUAUUAAAAAUAUAAAUUAUUUAUUAUGAUAACAUUUAAUUUCUAUUACAAAAGUUAAUAUAUACUAAAAAAAUGAUUAUUAUUUUAUAACAAAAUGAAGAAAAAAGAAUUUUCAUUUUAUAAUAAUAAGUAAAAAUAAAAUAAUAUUUAAUGCGUAUGUAAUAACGAUUUUGCCCUUGUGUAAAUUUCUUUAAAUUAACGUGUUCAGGCUGUGUUUUACUGCGCUUUCUUCUUUGUUUCUUCUUCCGUUUGCUUUGUUUGUUUCUUCCGUUUGCUUGCUGUUGUUUCGGUGGUGGUCCCUUUUGCAGUCUCCGUUGGUGGUCCCGUGAAGUAUUUGAAGAUUUGGUGGUCCCGUGUUCCGUAUUUGAAGUUUUAUUAGUGGCUGUUGUUCCUAUUUCGUCGGAGGUACGCAUCUAUUUCGUUUUUCGGUUAGUUUUUAGAGAAGAAAAGCAGUAAAAAGUGUAUCCGGAAGAAAUUUUAGGCACAGUAGGAGGAAGGUCCGGAAUGACCACUUUCGGAAGAAGGUCUUCCAGAAGUAACGAAGGCCAAUUCCGGAAGAAGUGCUUCCGGAAACUACUUUCGGAAGACCUUCUUCCGGAAUUGGCCUUAGUAACUUCUGGAAGAAGGUCUUUCGGAAUGUUAAAUUAUUAGCAAUUUUUUUUUAAUUUCUGUUUUAUAAUUUUUAUAUAUAUAUAUAUAUAUUUGUUAGUUAAUAAUGGAUUAUUGGUUUAAUUAAGUAUAAUGGUAUAUAUUGUGGAUUAUAAUUGUUUUCUUUUAUAAUGGUAUAUAUAUAUAUUUCUGUUUUAUAAUUUUUUUUAUUUUUGUUUUAUAUAUGUUGUGGAUUAUUGAUUUAAUUAGGUAUAAUGGUAUAAUAUUAAAUGAUUUAGGUAACUUAAAUGUAUAAUGGUACAAAAAUGUUUUAUUAGUUGUUUAUUAUAGUGAUAAGUUUAGUUUAAGUAAAUAAUGUAGUUAUAAAUUUAGAAUAUAUUUGUAUUAGUUGUUAGUUAAUAAGUAGUCAAUUUAUCGAUGUGGUUAUAUGAUAAUUUUAAUAUAGUCGUGUAUGAUGCAUAUGUGCUAUUAAUAUGUUUGUUAUUUAAGGUGUAGUAAAUUUUUGGAUGUGGUUAUAUGAUAAUUUGAAUGUACUUGUGUAUGAUGCAUAUGUCCUUAAGAUGGACGAAGAUCAAUGGAGGUAUGACUUUGCGAUGUCACAAGAAGUUCAUAUGGAUUAUGAUUAUGAUAAUCAAGAAGAAUGUGGAGUGAAUGAACCACAUGUCGAUUGUUCAAAUGCUUUUAAUACAUCUCAGGUAAUCAUAGAUAAUUUGAGUCAUUGGUUGAAUUGAUGGUUUGUAUGAAAAUUAAUAUGUUAGGGUUGCGUUGUAGGUAUUCGCUACUCGAGAUGAUGUUUUGCAAUGGGCUCGAACAGUUGCCCAUGAAAAUGGAUUUGUUGUAGUGAUUAUGAGAUCUGACACAGAGACCGGUAGCAGGGGAAGAAGUUCAUUUGUGUUAAUUGGGUGUGAAAGGAGUGGUACGUACAAGUCUAGAAAUAAAGAAUUCGUUAGAAAAGACACCGGGAGUAGGAAAUGUGGUUGUCCCUUCAGGCUUCAUGGGAAACCAGUGCAUGGAGGGGAAGGUUGGAUGGUGAAGUUGAUCUGUGGGAUUCAUAAUCAUGAAUUGGCGAAGUCCUUAGUUGGACAUCCAUACGCCGAGCGAUUGACUAAGGAAGAAAAGAAAAUUAUUGCUGAUAUGACAAAGUCGAUGGUGAAACCGAAAAACAUCUUGCUAACAUUGAAGGAACACAAUGCCGACAGUUACACCACGAUAAAGCAAAUUUACAAUGCAAGAAGUGCAUAUCGUUCUUCAAUAAGAGGAGCUGAUACCGAAAUGCAGCAUCUGAUGAAGCUUCUCGGACGUGAUCAAUACAUUCAUUGGCAUAGAUUGAAGGAUGAAGUUGUGGUGCGUGAUCUGUUUUGGUGUCACCCAGAUGCAGUAAAGUUAUGCAAUGCAUGUCAUCUGGUGUUUUUUAUAGACAGUACCUACAAAACAAACAGGUACAGACUCCCACUACUUGACUUUGUUGGAGUGACACCAACGGCGAUGACAUUCUCUGCUGGGUUUACAUAUCUGGAGGCUGAGCGUGUUAAUAAUAUUGUAUGGGCUUUCGAACGAUUUCGAGGCCUAUUUUUAAGACACGAUCGCCUCCCUCUUGUUAUUGUCACUGACAGAGACCUAGCACUGAUGAAUGCAGUGAAAACUGUGUUUCCUGAGUCUACUAAUUUGUUGUGCAGGUUUCAUAUCAAUAAGAAUGUGAAGGCGAAGUGCAAAUCUUUAAUCGGGGAAAAAAAUGCGUGGGACUAUGUAAUGGAUAGCUGGGGUACUUUGGUUGAUUGUCCGUCCGAAUACGAGUUCCAUGAGUCACAUCAGAAGUUUCAAGUUGCUUGUUCGCCUUGGCCGAUGUUCGUUGACUAUGUUAACGACACAUGGAUUAUCCCCCACAAGGAAAAAUUUAUUACAGCAUGGACGAAUAAGGUCAUGCACCUAGGCAACACAACAACAAACAGGUAUUAACAACUGAUUUUAUUUGUUAGUAACGAUUAGUAUUAAAUGGUAUUUAAUUGUUGUAUAUUUUCAUGUUUGUUGUGUAUUUUAAAUGUAGGGUUGAAUCAGCUUAUUGGGCUCUCAAAAGAGUACUACAAAAUAGCGUUGGAGACCUAUGUAGUGUUUGGGAUGCCAUGAACAACAUGAUCACGCUGCAACACGUCGAAAUUAAAGCAUCCUUUGAAACCAGUACACAUGUGGUUGGCCAUGUAUAUAAAAAAACCUUAUACAAGAGGCUUCUUGGGAUGGUUUCGAGGGAUGCUUUAAAUCAGAUUGCUUCUGAGAUUGACCGUCUACGUUAUCUCGGCAACAAUCUCUCUUCUUGUGGUUGUGUGAUGAGAAACACGCACGGGCUUCCUUGUGCAUGUGAGCUUUCUAGGUAUACUGCUGGCAGCAUCCCAUUGGAGUCAGUCCAUCUUUUUUGGAGGAGACUUUGCUUUUCAGACCAAGGGUUAUGUGAGAUGGAAGUCACCAUCAAGGAAGAAAUAGAGGUCAUAUCUAAAAGGUUUGAUGAACUUGAUGUGGCUGGCAAAGUAACUCUGAAGAGUAAACUUCGAGAAAUUGCAUACCCUGAUCAUAACUCUAUGUGCCCUCCUCCGUCAAAGGUGAACACUAAAGGUGCACCGAAGAAACCGAUGAAAAGAAGUCAAACAUCCACAAAGCGUGAUCCGUCUUACUGGGAGUAUGUUGAUGCUUUUCAUUCUGUUCAAAGCAGCAACUCUCCAGUGAAACGAAGUGCAUCAUGUUCUCAACCGCGUCAGCCAACAAGGAUCAUCCCGAUGUUGGAUCAAUUUGCGUCAUUCUUUCAAGGUUUCAUUCGUGACGUUGUGGAUGUGAAAGCGGACGGUAACUGUGGAUAUCGGUCCAUUGCCGCUUUAUUAGGUAUGGGGGAAGAUUCGUGGCCGUUAGUGCGUAAUUAAUUGCUUAAAGAACUUGGCAGGUGGUCGCAUGAGUACAUGAACCUCUUCGGUGGCACAGAGAGAUUUGAACAAUUAAAGUUGUCCCUACUUGUUGAUGGUUUUUCAAAGGUAUGUUUUUAGGUUAAUUUUUUUUAAUAACAAUGUUUAAAUUACUUACAUGUGUAUGUUUGGUUCAUUCAGGUUAGUGUGGACAAGUGGAUGGAUAUAACAGACAUGGGAUAUGUGAUUGUUUCACGGUAUAACGUAAUCCUUGUAUCGCUGUCCCAACAACAAAGCAUGACAUUUUUCCCUUUUAGAAGUCAACCACCACCUGACUCUUCUGGCCACCGCAUCAUAUGUGUCGGUCACGUGUUUGGAAAUCAUUUUGUUCAGGUACAUUGAAUAUAGUUAGUGUAACAAUUAUGCAAUGACUUCGCUGGUUCGUUUGGCACGGUCAGCGCAUGAUAUAAUGUUUGUUCAUGUACAACAGGUUUAUUUGAAAGACCAUUGUCCGUUGCCGCCUCCAGCGCUGUUGUGGUCAAGCAAUUGUUAUUCUCAGGCAAAGCAGUGGGCAAUUCCAUAUAUUAGUAGAAUGCAGCAAUACACAAGCUUGAUGUCAUUCAAAACACACUAUGUAGACCUAAAUGAAGACUAAACAGGCAUUGUUUAUGUAAUUGUAUUCAUUAUGCGAUAUAAUUUGUUGUAACCCGUUACUAACCAAUUAAUAUUAUCAAGUACUCGUUUGGUUAAGCAAGGAAAUUGUUGGUCCAACAAAAAUCAUUUACGCGUGCAGCAUACAUCAUUGUCAUAAUUGACAACACAUAAUGACAUGCAUGCGUAUUACAGUUUGAGCGCGACAACACAUUGGCUGACUUCAGUACACAUUCUGAAACUAGCAGUCGCUCGACAACACAUUGGCUGACUUGACUACACAUUUACGCGUGUCUAUUUUUUUGUAAACAAAGUUAAACAAAGGCUCGGUCACAACCAUCUAUAUAUAUGGCAGACUAGGCUACUAAAUCACACAUUAUCUUGCUUUCAAAUAAUCUCCCGAGUGAUACACAAACUAUGGCAUUUCUAGGAGAAACUAGCAGUCAGACGAUUGUCAACUCAAGGUUGGCUUUCAUUUAUCCAAAUGGAUCGAUUAUUCACAAUAAUAUUGGGGUUUACUUCCAAACUUCAACUCCGGUGCCCUUUCGAGUACCAAAUAGGUGUGAUUUUGUAAGCCUAAAAACCAGAAUACACAAUACCCUUCAGCUAUCCGACAAACAAUUUUUGGAUGAAAUUCACUACCGGAAGCCAUUCACCAAUACAGGUAACCAAAUUCGCUUUGAGUGUAUCAAAUUGAUAAAUGAUGACGAUGUCAACACAAUGUUAAUGUGUAAUGAUCAAUUUUCUUGUGUUGGUCCGAUUGAGUUAUUAUGCACCGUUGGAAGAACACCAGAUGGAAUAAUAAACUUACUUGAACGCACUAUGCCUCGUAUUCAUGACGCGAUCCUGUAUUACAACGGGAAAUGGAACAUGCCACCGCAGAACAAAUUUGUUGGAUGCGCGUUCACAGGAAAAAAUCCUAAGAAAUUUCAAAUUCCUUCAACAUGUACCAUCGAUGAACUGAAGAAUUUAAUCAAGCAAGUUGCACCUAAAGGGAUUCCCCCUCUUGGAAUUCACGAAUCACAAACGGUAAGACGAUUGUUUUUCUGCCAACCAGCUCGGUUUGAGUAUUUAGAUACAGUUAUAAAAUAUGAAAUAAAUGAGCUGAUCACCAACGAAGAACUGCUGAAGGUGUUAGUACAAUCUAACUACUGGAAAAAAUAUGGACCAAUAGAAAUUUUAGCUGUCUUUACUAAAUAUGUUGAAGACGAGGUCAGUGGGACGUCGCUAAACAACUGAAUGUGAUGUUUAAUUUUUUGUUUUUUCGUUGAUGUAACCUUUAUCUGUUUACGGCGUGUUUAAUUCACAUAAUAAAGUUGAAUGUGUUGUUUCAGUGGUCCAAAAAAUUACUUGUUAAAAGGGUCCAUUUCCUAUUUUUUUGGAUUUUGAGGCUUUGUUUUGACGUGUUAGUUGACGGAACCGGGGAACGGGACUAUUUUUUUUGGGUUCUUUGACGUCCAAACAUGAGAAAUGGCCACCCUCCAUUGUCUCAGGGCACUAGCACACCCACGCAAAAAAAUUCCAAACAUGGGUACUUGAACAUGGAAAAAGGGUCCAUUUCCUAUUUUUUUGGAUUUUGAGGCUUUGUUUUGACAUGUUAGUUGACGGAACCGGGGAACGGGACUAUUUUUUUGGGUUCUUUGACGUCCAAACAUGAGAAAUGGCCGCCCUCCAUUGUCUCAGGGCACUGGCACACCCACGCAAAAAAAUCCCAAACAUGGGUACUUGAACAUGGAAAAAAGGUUCAUUUAUGUAAUUCUUACAAACAAAACUCAUGAUUCUAAAAACUUAUGUUUUUUAUGUAAUUCUUACAAACAUGAAAAAAGGGUUCAUUUAUGUAAUUCUUACAAACAUGGGUACUUGAACAUGGAAAAAGGGUUCACUUAUGAAUUAUUAAUCAUUUAAAAAACUUUUAUUUUUUAAGUAAUUCUUACAAACAAAACUCAUGAUUCUAGGUUCCCUUUUUUUAAAAAUAAAUUUAAAACAACCGUAAACUUCGCUUAAGGACCACAAACAAUCGGAAUAAUAAACUAUAUUAUAAAAUAAUAAACUGUGCAAAACACGUCUACUAUAUUAAACAAAAACUGUAAUAAUUAUAAAUAUUCAUGUCAACUACAACACAACAAAAUAAAUACAAUGAUCAAUGGUCCGUGCGGCAUCUCUGACGAGCCCUGACCGUCUCAUCAGCACUGGGUCCCCCUCUCGCGAUCGUCAGGCAGUCCUGCAUAAUGUCAUAUAACUCUGUGCCUGCAGUGACUAUCCUAAGGUUGAGCACACGCUCCAACCUCUGUGCAAUCGCCUCAUAUCCCUCGUAAUCAUCCUGUCAAAGUCAUUAAAAAUAUUUAUUAUGAAAUUUAAAAUAAACAACAACUCAUAAAACAUUAAACGCGCAAAUAUACUUACCACAUGUGGAGGGGGGUCAAAUGCCACUGGAACCUGGGGGCUGGGCGACUGUAUGUAGUCCUCAGGGUCUACAGCUGGUGCAUCCCUCUGCUGGUCACCUGCCUGGGUCGGUGUCAUGAAAGGGUGAGAUAUGCGGAAAAAACACUCCAUGUAAUCCGCAGAUACCUGCCCAGGCACUAGACAAAGCUGACCCGCAGGUAGUAAGUGAUCCGCAAACUCCAUCCACCUGUCAUCUAUCUGAUCGUGUGACAAUCGUGCACUAACAGGCGGCGGAGGGAUGCUCUGGAUGUAACCGAACUGGCGUACCACCCUCUUCGAUCGAACUGUGACGAUCAUAGGACCCCAUCUGAGUGGACCCUGGAACGAUGAAAUCUCCUGAAACGCCCUAACCCCCCGAUGCUCAGUGUACAGCACUAGGACACAUCUGUGACGGUCAAACCAUCACANNNNNNNNNNNNNNNNNNNNNNNNNNNNNNNNNNNNNNNNNNNNNNNNNNNNNNNNNNNNNNNNNNNNNNNNNNNNNNNNNNNNNNNNNNNNNNNNNNNNNNNNNNNNNNNNNNNNNNNNNNNNNNNNNNNNNNNNNNNNNNNNNNNNNNNNNNNNNNNNNNNNNNNNNNNNNNNNNNNNNNNNNNNNNNNNNNNNNNNNNNNNNNNNNNNNNNNNNNNNNNNNNNNNNNNNNNNNNNNNNNNNNNNNNNNNNNNNNNNNNNNNNNNNNNNNNNNNNNNNNNNNNNNNNNNNNNNNNNNNNNNNNNNNNNNNNNNNNNNNNNNNNNNNNNNNNNNNAUGAGCGAGGUCCCGGAAAGCGUCAAGGUGGACACAUGCACGUAUGUUGCACUCUUAUUAGCAAAAAGAGUGUAACCGACAAGGUGCAGCAGAUAAGCGCGAGCUGCGACAAUCCACCGCCGGGCCUAACAUCUAGUCUCAUAAAUGUCACGAACCCAUCCUAAUCGUACAUAUGCUCCAUGUGUGAGUGCUGUCUCGGCUCUGGCCUCCUCGGCAGACACUUACAGCAACUCCGUAAGCAAGAAUCUGGCCUCCUCCGUAGAAAGAGCGUGGAAACUGUGCAAGGCGCCAGUGAUGGGCAAAUGUAGGAUGGAUGACACAUCAUCCAAUGUGAUCGUCAGCUCUCCUACAGGAAGGUGGAAGGUGCUAGUCUCACUGUGCCACCUCUCCACAAAUGCGGAUAUAAGUCUAGGAUCGCCAGUAAUAACUGAACAAUCUAUCAGUGGACUUAAUCCUGUGGCAGCCACCAUGCCUUCAAUCUCAGGCACUGGCCUCCCAAUCAGUGUCACCUUCCUCCCAUGUGACACUAACUUCAAAUCAGGACGUUCCUGAUUUGAAGUACAAAUUAUACAAUUAUUAAAAAAAAUUAAUCAUAAACAAAUAAAUCAACAAUGACAAAUAAUUAACAAAUUAAAAUACCUGACCACUCCACACGGCAUGUGCAACAUGCUCGGCAAAUGAUGUGAGCACUGACGGGUCACGUGGACCACCAGCGAAUCCCUCUGCAGCAUCAUCACCAUCUGACCCCUCACCACUAUCAGCACCCUGUGCGUCCGCACGCAUCUCAGGUGCCUCCGUAGGCUGCUCAGGGACAUCAUCAGUCAUGUCAGCGACGUCCUCAGCCAUAUCACGUCCCUCCGUAGUCAUCUGAUGAACGUGUAGUCUACGGGCUGAGGCAGUAGGCCUACGCCUCUCGGGAACAUCGCCAGCAUCCUCGUCAGCAGGUCUAUCUCGGCCUACAACUCUACCUAUGGCACGACCUAAACCUCGUGUUCUGGCCAUGAUCUGUAAAUCAUGUCGAACACGUAUUUCUUUCGGUCAAAAUAUACACAAUUUUCUUUAUAAAAAAACAACUUUAUUUAUAAACAAAUAAGACUAACUUAAAUCAAAUUAUUUUAAAACAUACACAACCUAUUUUAAAAAAAAAAUUAAACAACUUCAUUUAUAAAAAAAACACAACUAAUGUAAAAAAAAAUUUAUUAAUAAACAUGCACAACUUAAUUUUAAAAAAAAAUUAAACAACUUCAUUUAUAAAAAAAAAACAACUAAAUUAUUUAGUAAACAUCCACAAGUUAAUUUUUUAAAAAAAAAAUAUACAACUUCAAUUAUUUAUAAAAAAACACAACUAAUAUAAAAAUAAUUCAUUACUAAACAUCCACAACUUAAUUUAAAAAAAAAUUAAACAAACUUCAUUUAUAAAAAAAACACAACUAAUGUAAAAAAAAAUAAUUAGUAAACAUCCAACUCUUAAUUAAAAAAAAAUAAGAAACUUCAUUUCUAAAAAAGAAACACAACUAAAUUACUUAGUAAACAUCCACAAGUUAAUUUUUUUAAAAAAAAUAAACAACUUCAAUUAUUUAUUAAAAAAACACAACUAAUAUAAAAAUAAUUCAUUACUAAACAUCAACAACUUAAUUUUUUAAAAAAAAUAAACAAACUUCAUUUAUAAAAAAAAAAACACAACUAAUGUAAAAAAAAUUAAUUAGUAAACAUCCAACUCUUAAUUUAAAAAAAAAAAUAAGAAACUUCAUUUCUAAAAAAAAACACAACUAAAUUACUUAGUAAACAUCCACAAGUUAAUUUUUUUUUAAAAAAAAUAAACAACUUCAUUUAUAAAAAAAAAACACAACUAAUAUAAAAAUAAUUCAUUACUAAACAUCCACAACUUAAUUUAAAAAAAAAAUUAAACAACUUCAUUUAUAAAAAAAAAUACUUCAUUUAUAAUCAAAUAAACAACUUUAUUUAUAAUAAAAUAAAAAACUUUAUUUAUAGACAAAAAAAAACAACUACUUUCAAAAUAUAUAAUUAGUAAACAUACACCACUAAAAUUAUAUAUACAAAUAAAACAAUAAUAGGAAAAAAAUAUUUCCAAACAUACACAACUUUAUUUAUACAAAUAAACUACUUCAUUUAUAAAAUAAUACAUAAGUAAUUUUAAAUUAAAUAAUUAGUAAAUUAGUCAACUAAAAUGAUAUAAAAAAUAAACUAAAACAAUUAACAAAAACAAUUAACAAAAAUAAUAUUUUUUUUAAAAAAAAAACUUCCAGAAGAAGUACUUCUUCCGGAACCUUUCCGGAAGAAGGGUCUUCCGGAAAGUGCUUCCGGAACCACUAAAAGGUCAUCCGGAAAAACCCUCUUCCGGAAUGUUUCCGGAAACAUUCCGGAAGAGGUGUUCCGAGAGCUUUCCGGAAGACCUGUUCUUCUGGAAGUUGUUUCAUUACCUCCAGAAGAACCCUUCUUCCGGAAAUCUUCCGGAAGAUCUUCUUCCGGAAGUUCCAGAAGAACCCCUAACGGGUCUUCCAGAAGGCUCACCGUCACCAAGCUUCCGCCAUUUUUUCCAGCGUCCUCUACCCUAAGGUUCAUCUACCCUAAGGUUCAACUAACCUACCCUAAAUGCUAUACAUACAGUGCAAAACAAAAGGAAAGCUAAGAAGAAGGCCACCUACCUCGAAUGCAAAUGGAAGAUGAAGCCGGAGAAGCCUCGCGGAGAAGAAGACCACCAAGGAAUUUCGCGGAAGAGAGAAGAGAGGAGAAAAGCUUUUUCGCAGAAGAGAGAAAACGGAAUGCUUCCGAAAGAGGGAAAAAGUUUUUUAUGUUUUUAAAUGAAGGGCAAAAUUGACCUUUCAAUAAAUUGCUGGGUGCACCAGCAAUAAUGCUGGGUGCACCUAGCAUAUCCCUUUACUUCUUAGUUGAUGGACCCAGUUGGCUAAAGCAGCCCGUUAAACACUGACAAAAGGGCUGUACUGUCAAUCUUUUCAACUUUAUCAUUGCUGAACUAGCUUUUAUGUUAGGAUGUUUAAUUAACAUUUAUUAUUUUAAUGACCCCUAGUAAGGCUUUUUAUGCAUUAGAUAGGUAAGACACAUAUUGUAUUGAAAAGAAAUAGAUUUAAAGUAAGGAAAUAGUAAAAUUAAAAAUCAAUAUGUUCUUUUAAAGGUUAAUUGUCUUUAAAGAUAUUUGAAAGUAAUAUUUUAAAAAUAUAAAUAGUUAUUAAACUUUUACAUGUGUUUUAAUCUUGUAUAGAGAUGAAUUUGUUUCUUCUAAUAAACUGUAGAGAAGAAUUUGUUAACUAAUGGCUCGUUAAUAUUUUGAUAAUCGAAGUACAUUGGGUAGAACCAUAUCCUACAAGCUUCCUAAAAACAACAGAAAUUUUAUUGAACAGAAGAUAUUAAGUUUAUUAUCACAAUUAGAUCUAAUAAUGAUGGAUAAAUCAGUGUUCGAGAAUAUCAUGAAAUGGCUUCACGAAGUGCACAGGAAAUACAUGGCAAAAUUUAUAUCACAAGUGUCUAAAGUUUAAACACAACAAAACAAAAGUGAAGAUCAAUUAAUAAAGUGUUUUAAAAAAAUUCCUUUUAGAUAAUUUCUGCCUCCGUUUUUAUUUAUAAAUAAGAACAGACGUAAUCCUUUUAUAAUUAUGAUCAAUUAGUUAAAUUAGCCAAUAUAUAUUUCUCUUGGGCCUCCUAAUGGGCUAUAAGCUUGGCCAAUGGGCCCACAAAGGCCCAGCGCAAGAGUAUAAAAGGAGGGCAAUGACAAGUGCAAAGGUAUCGUCGAAAGAAUUGAAGUUGUAUAAUGAUUUGGGUGAUUUGCAAUUCCUUUGGGGGCUUGGGCUUCGAGAGGAUGAGGCAGAAUGCUGUGACGUUUAUGGCUUAGAUGAAGAGCUUUUGGAAAUGGUUCCAAAGCCCGUUCUUGCCGUGCUUUUUCUUUAUCCCAUAACCACCCAAGUUUUUAUCCCUUUUCAUCUAUGACAAAUCUUCAUUUUUCACUUUUUUUUACGGAGUUUGUCACAAUUUUUUUACUGUCAUUAGAGUGAAGAAGAGAGGUUGCAGUAGGAAAAUGAAAAAAAAGGUGAGUAGACAAAUAUAUUGUUAUAAGCUUCUAAGAAUUGCUUAGAUAAAUGAUGUAUUUUUAGGCUGUAUUUUUUUUUUAAAACAAUGAUAGUUUAUAGAUUUUCAAUAUAUAGUAACUCAAAUAAUUUAAUGGUUUAGUUCACUAUCUAUAGAUUUAUCAUACUUGAUAUUGGAAAUUGAUUAAGGAAAAUGCUAGAGCUCAUAAAUAGAUUUAUCAUACAUGCUUCCAGACUGAGUUGGCUUGCCAGCUUGCUAUUGAGCACCUCACAACCUCACCCCCUCCUAAAUGUUUGCAUUUUGUUUUGGGCCGAGUAAAUGGUAUGUGUUUUGGUAAACCUUUUGUUGAAUAGCAUCAGGUGUAUAUAGCAUGGGUCUGAUUAUCAUAUGUAAAGGUUGAUAUUUCUUCUCUCCAUUUUGUCAUGUGUGAACUAUUGAGAAUUUGUUUACUGAACCCGAGAAUCUGGGUUUAACUAAAUAAUUGUGUAAUAUUAGCCGGAGGUUGUUUUUGUGAAUAUUUAGUUUCUGCAUUUUGUUUGCUUGGGAGGGCAUAGGUGUGAACAAUAUCUGAUUUGCAUUUAUUACUGGUUGUCUAGUUCCCUACUAGCAUUAACAAUUUAGCACUACCACUCCAUUUAGUUUUCAGCCAAAUAUCUACGGUGGAACAUGGUGAACAAGAUACCUAAACACGGAUGGAGAAUAGAUGAGAUCUUAGACGAUAAUUUAUCAUAGCAAAUGAUGUCUAAUGAUGAAAAUAUUUUAUUAUCACUUUGUUUUACUAGUUGCUGGAGCUGGACCCACUGGAUGACAACUUGGAGAGGUACACAUAAUUACCAUUUUCCUUCCUCUAAAAUGGUUUAUGUUUGGUUAAUCAUUAUUUAGGAAAAAGUAGUUGAUACAAUUUUGAAUAUGAUUUUCCAUCAGCCAAAGGCAAAACAUUGAUUAAAUAUGGCAUUAAAUUUUAAUCACAGAAGUUCUUGUAAUUUAGUGUGCUUGGUUCAACUUAUUUUGGAGAAAUAACUACAUAUUUUUAUUGGCUUCCUAGAAAUUUUUGAAAAAUAAGUGAUUCUAAGACGGUUGUUAGCUAAUGACCGUCUUAAAAUGUCCACUUUCUAAGACGGUUGUGAGCUAAUGACUGUCUUAGAAAAUAGACUUUCUAAGACGGUUAUUAGACGACCGUCUUAGAAAAUGGACAUUCUAAGACGGUCGUUAGCUAACGACCAUCUUAGAAAGUGAACAUUCUAUGACGGUCAUUAGCUAAUAACCGUCUUAGAAAGUUAGACUUUUCUACGACGGUUGCCUUAUAACCAUCGUAAAAAGUUAGACUUUUUUACGACGUUGGAUAUAAAAACGUUUAGUAAACCAUCGUUGAAUGCGUCUUUUAACCAUCGUAAAAGACCUUUUUUGCAAUAGUGAUACCACAACUUAAGUUGUAGGUUAUCAAGUAUUUUUGUAAUUGGCUUACGAAAAAAAAAAUUUCUUCUAAUUGAUGUUAUCUAUUAUAUAAUGAAUCACACUUAAAUACUUGAGCGAUACCACACCCACAAGGCAUAACCAUACAAUAUAUAGCAAUUGUUUGCUUUAAUAAUUUUUCUUCAGUGUUGUAUUUCUAUUGUCCCUUGUAUAAUAAAAUAAAUGUCUAGUUUUAAAAGUGAUGAUCUCUUUUUUCAACAUGUGGCUUUAUGGUUGAAAAGUAAUUUUUUUUUAAAUGCUCAAAUUAAUUGUUUUAUUUUUUGUUUGAAACAUGUUCUAUUUAUAAAUUUUAACAUUUUUAUUUUUAUUUAAAGCUUUUAAAUUUUACUUAAAAUUUAAAAUAUUGGGCCCUUUAGAAGCCUUAAGUUCAAAGUUAAUUUGAUUGUGAUUGCAUGCACAAUUAGUCAACCAAUAUGUGAUUAAAAUUUUCCUUGUCUUUUCAGUGAUUCUUCUUUAAUCAUUUUAUUCCAUAUGUUGCAUUGUCAAAUUUAAACCAUUAUCUCGUGCCUUUGACAUUUUUUUCCAGGAGCUGCUGGAAAAGAGCCUUAAAGCCACUUGUGAGGAGUUCAUCAUGUUAUAAACACGUUUGAAAUAUUUCAUUUCUUGACAACAGUCACCGAAUAUUUUUAACUUUUUCCAUCAUCUUCAUAAAGGAAAAUGUUUUACAAGAUUUUUCAUAUUGUUUUUGUAGGUUACAGCAGAUAAAGUUGCAUUAUCAUCAGGUGGUCAAAAUCAAAAGCUAGAGUCAAUUAUGGUCCCUGAUAAUUCAUUAUUUAUUUAUUUUUUAAAAAAAAAAAUGCAUUCUAAGACGAUUAUUUGAAAAAUCGUCUUAGAAAAUAAAGACGGUUUUUAGAAAAAUCAUCUUAGAAUUUUUAAUCAUUUUAUUUAAAAAAAAAAAUCUAAGAUAGUUCUCUGAAAAUCCGUCUUAGAAAGUUUAUUUUUUAAGACGAUUUUUGAUAAAACUGACUUAAAAUUCUUAAUCUUUUUAAUUUAUUUUAAAAAAUAAAACAUUAUGAGACUUAAAAUCCUUAAGUUUUUAAUUUUGGGAAAAAAACCAUUUGGUGGGUAGGAAGAAGAAAACAAAGAAGGAGGAGGUUGGAAAAACAAGUUUCCACCUAAUUACAUCUGUUGCAAAAAGAACAAUCAUACUGAAUUUUUUUGUUAGUUCGGGCUAAGCAUUAAAUGCAAGGCCUGCCAUCUUUUUGGUCAUAUGGAGAAGAUUUGUAAAAAUAAGGCAAACCAAAAGGUACAACAAGCCCAAGUUGUAGACCAUGAAGAACAAAAUAAGGAGUAUUAAUUUAUUUUGUUGUUGUUCAACAAGCACUAAGAAAGAGGUGUGGCUUAUAUAUAGUCAUAUGACCCACAAUGCCUAGCAUUUUCAAGGAAUUGAAUCACUCCUGCUUCUCCAAAGUCACCUUUGGCAAUAGAGAAAGUGUUGAUGUCAAAGGAAAAGGAGUUGUUGUUGUUGAAACUCCCUCGGGUACUAAAUACAUUCAAAGGAGAUGUUUCAAAGGAAGUAAGAGUGUGUUUGGAUAGAGAAUUUUAAUUGAGGAAAAUAAUUUAUCAAUGAAUUUAAAUUUCUUUAAUCUAAAAUUUUUUGUUUGGAUUUUUUUAUGAAUAAAUUAAUUUUUUUGAAUUUUAAAAUAGAAUUUUAAACAACUAAAAAUAUGAAAUUUUAAUUUCUUUCUAAAAAGUGAGAAAUUGAAAUUCUCUUGAUAGAAGAACCUUCCAAAACGUUCUCAUAUUUUCUUUAUAACCUUCAUCCUCUCUUACACCUAAAAGUUUUAGAAAUCUAGUUCUCGAACUAGCGACUCAUUUUCUUCUGUCCUCACAAUUUUAAUUUUUUUAUCCAAAUACAAAAUUUUAAAAAUAAAAGAAUUUCAAAUAAAAUAUUUGAAAUUGUUAGAAUUUAAAAUUUUUCAAAAUUUUAAAUUUCCUCAUCCAAAUACUAAAUCCUAAAGGAUUUAGAAAAUUCGCCAAUUGAAAAAGUAUAUCACACAAUAAAGUGUGAUUCAAAUGAACCCACCACAAAGUUGCUGAGGAAAACUUUACCCCUCUUGGUCACAAAAAACUUGAGGAGGAGAAAAAGAACAAUAACAAGUUUCUGAAUUUUUUUAGUUUUAUCUUGAAUCCUAUUUUAUGGGUCAUGGAAGCUAGAACAACUAUGGUCAUUGCUUUGGCAAAUGCAAGAGGUAAAUCUCUUGUUGGGAAAUAUUUUGUUAGAAUUAUCAUAUUCUUUCUUAUCAAGUAAAAUUACUUAGAGGAGUAAAAUAUUUAUAAUGUUGUUGCAAAUUUCAUUGCUCGUCUAUCUCCUAAAGCUAAGGUCCUUCGAGUUCAAAAUUGGAUUAAGAUGGUUACAAACAUUUUUGUUCCAGAUGAUAUAAUUUUUGUUAAGGGCAUGCAAAUGAUUGUUUACUUGAAGGUGAUCCUCCAUAGACGUGGGAUUGUGUUAAGAUCAACUUGAAGUGUUGAAGAAAAAUCUGAAGGAGUCUAGGCAAUUGAGAUUUUUGGAAGUUGUUGUAUUAAAACAUUUUACUGUCUCUGUAAUUUUUGUGGUUGCUUGUACAUUUGGUCAAAGUUUGCUUGUGUUCAGAAAAAGCAACUUGUAGCUGCAGGUUAAUGACGUCUACUUUUAGCUUAGUCAUAAUUUGCUGUUUGUUUUGCCCAAAUGAAGGGCUUCAUAGUUUUCUAUUUAAACAGGUUACUGUAACAGUUUUUAGAGUGCAAAACUGAGUUACAAAAUUGAAAUACAUCACGUCAGUUUUGUUCCUUACUUCUUCAUAUACGUUUAUGUUUCUGGUUUAUAAAUACCAUAUUUUAAUCUUCCGCAUCUCUGAUAGUCUUUUGCUUUUGUCUGACUGCUUCGUCUGCUCAAUCUGAUUGCAUAGUAUGUUCGAUCUAUUGCUUAGUUUGUUCGGUCUGCUUAGUCUGUUAGUUGUUUUUGCUCAGUCUAAAAGUUAUUUUUGUUCAGUCUUAUACCCACUUCUACAUGUCAUCUUCUAAUAGUAUACAAAAACAAAUUUUGAUUUCGGAAUCAAUUUCUAAAAUAGACAAGUAAAUCUGACCAUGAUAGCAAAAUACUUUGAACUAUAAAGAAAGAACUGCUUAAAAUUUGCUGUCCUGUAAGGACUGGAUUUGCUCUCAUGCUGCAUCGAGUUUGACAUGGAAAAAUGGAUUUUCAUUUACAUUUCAAUAUACUUUUCUUAUUUCUUUUACAAUUUAUUUUAUAGAGUAUUGGUGCCUAUUCUGUUUUCUUGGGGUUAAGUUAUUAGACUGUUGAGAUUAUAAUAACAACUUAAUCAAAUAGUUGUAGCCAGAUAUGUAUUUUGAUGCUUUACUUUGUUGGUAUGAAUAUCAUUUUCAUUAUAACGCGACCUUUGGCCAUUAACUAUCUGUUAUGGGUGUAUGCCAAUUAUAUACAAAGCCAAGGGACUUGAUAUUUAAAUUAUUGAAAUCAUUUUCAUAAGGGUUUUCUCGGAUUUAUGAAUUUCUUUUGGAUAAAAAAGGAGACAGGUCCACUACCUAGUUAAUGUUGGGACCUCAAGGGCAUUUGCCUGCUUCAUUGCAUGCAUGGUUUUGGUCUAUAAGUCUGUUUAACAGCCACUUAACCAUAAAUCAUAGCAUUACUAGCUUCCACAGUGGCGAAGCAACUUCAAAGCAAGCAAAAUAAUCUUCCAAGGGUAUAGAACAAACAAAAGGCGUAAAGAUUAUUAAUUAUGUGUCACUCAUCAACUUAAACCUUGCUAAUGUAUUGACUAUUCAAAAUGUUAUAUUUGUGCACUAAGUUAACUUAUCAAUGCAUCGAAUAUAAGCAUGCCUCCAACUCCAGUUUAUCAACGAACUUCCACUCGCCAAAAUUAAUUAUUAGCUAACAUUUUUUAAGCCCCAAAACAAGUUGAACUUGCAAAAGCCUUCAAACAUCAACUGAAACAGCACGACAAUGAACUAAAAUAUUACCAUGUUAGUUGGUGGAAGAUAGCAUUCAUUUGGUUUUACAUGCACUAAAUGAUAUAUCUCUCAUUACAGAGAUUAAAAUAUAGUCAGUUGACUUAUAUUUCUAUAAUGUCUCAUGCAUGUCUCUCCCAUGGGACUAUCGCAAUUCAAUUUGUCCAGUUCAUACCAGACAUCCAUUGCCACUAAGGAUGACAAAGGAACUUUGAGAAAACUUAAUAAGAUCUGCUAAAGCUUAGUAACACUGUAACAAUAAGGACAGCCAGUUUCCCUUUUCUGACUCAACCAUAUCAAAAGUUAUCCUCCAGAUUACAUGACCAAAGCAUACCAACAACGCCAACAAAUGAUAUAACCCUUCCAGAGACAAUUUAAGUAAGACCUUGACACCUUGUGUUUCAUCUUUCUUGAUUCUAAAUAUGUUUUGAAUCCAUACACCCUCUCUCCCUUACACUUGCAGAAUCCUUUUAUUGAUUUGCAUUAGAUACUGAAAGUUUAUUUAAACAGAGGAAUCAGAGUAAAACAAGUGUAUAAGCCAGAGAAUAAAAUACGUAGGCAUAGAAAGAGUUCCAGGUAGAUGUAAGUAACAUUAUGAUUGGGGGCAUUACUUGGGUAAUCAUCUUUUCCUGUGUUUGGUGUAAGUUGCAAGCAUUUCUUUUGCAACCGGUAGAUGUAGUAACUUUUAAUUUUUUUUAUUAUAAAAUCCUUUAUCAUUAAAUGCAUGAUAGCUUGUGCAUUGGGCACCAUAGACCUAAAGGGUACCAAUUACCAUUGUAAAUCUCCUAUAACUGAGUAUGUUUACUGGUGCAUAAGCAACUUCCACCAAAUAAUACAGCAAUAAUCAGAUUAUUGGUGAAUAGAGAAAAGCUAAGCUUGCAACAUUAUUAAUUUAAUAAAGAAGAAAAUAGCACUACCCUCUAGGCAUGACAUGAGCAUGACAACGGAAAUUCUACAAGUAGCAAGUAGCAUUACUACCCUUAUACAAAUGUGAAGUAAUCACUUAUCAAGCAAAAUAAACAUGAAAUCCUAUAAAUGCAUUAAACAAAAACAGAAGGCAUAAAGACUCCAAUAAUGUGUCACUCAGCAACAGGGCUUCCUAUAAAUCUUGCCUUGAAAUUUGAUAAAUGUAUUGCCCAUGAUACAUUUAUCCUUUGAGUUGAGUCGUCAAUGUAUUGAAAGUAAGAACGCCUCCAACUUGUCUUAAUCAACAAGCUUCCAAUCACAGCCCAAAAUCCAAGAGCAUAGCCAAGGGCAAUGACAAAGUAAAACCACAAUUUCUCUACUUUAUCCUUUUUGCCAUCUUCAUCUUCAUCUACAUUGUCAUGUAGGGAAUCAUCAGGAGAACACUCGUUUGGCAUAGGAGGCCCACAGAGAAAUUGGUUGCCCGUAUAAAUAAAAGGAUCAUCAAGGGUUGACAAUUGAGUUCCUCUUGGAAUGGGUCCUGAAAGAUUGUUGUAGGACAAAUUCAAGUGGCUUAACGAAGUUAAACUUGAUAUGCUGUCGGAAAUUGUGCCUGAAAGUUGGUCAUGAGAGAGGUCAAGAGAUUCUAGAGAUUUCAUGUCCCCUAUCCUUUUAGGGAUAUGUCCUGACAGAUAAUUGUGUGAUAGAUUUAGGCCUUGCAAUGCAGAAAGCAAUGCUAUUCCUUCAGGAAUAGUACCACUCAAAUUGUUAUUUGACAAGUCCAUGUUGGCUACCAGUUUUAGAUUUCUGGUAUAGUCAAGUUCCCUUCCUUUAAUGACUUGUCUGACCUCUUGUUCAUACCAUUCAACAUCUCUAUGCUCUUCACUAGGUUGGAUGACAGAAGAUUUCUUUCCUGAAAUCAUUGCUGUGAGAUUUCCAAUGCAGUGAGGGAUUGAUCCCAUCAGGUUGUUGUUUGAAAGGUCCAAGAUUUGCAGUGCAGAAAGUUGGCAUAGUUGUGAAGGAAUUUUUCCAAUCAACAUGUUUUGCCGUAGCCUUAGAAUCUGCAUUGAGGAGAAAAUGUUCCCCAUCCAUAAAGGUAUAAUCCCAGACAGAUGGUUCUCUCCUAGAUCCAGAAUUAAAAGUUGCUUUAAAUUUCUCAAAGAUGAUGGAAUCCCACCCUGAAGACUGUUAUUGUUCAAAUGAAACCAUGCCAACGUGGGUAGGUUACCGAGAGAGCUUGGAAUAACACCUGAUAAUUUGUUGGAUGCCAAAUUUAACACAUUGAGACUUUGAGUAGCACUCCAAAAAUCAGGAAUGUCACCAGAUAACAAGUUGCUUGAAAGGUCAAGAUUGUACAAGGAGUCUAUUUUGCACAAUGAAUUUGGAAUGGAACCAUUUAUAAGGUUGUUUCCAAAAAGCAAGUGACUAACAUUGGGCAACCUAUCAGCAAUAUCUUGUGGAAGUGACCCAGUGAUAUUGUUAUUGGUGAGGUUCAGGUAAACAAGUUGCUUAGGCCAUCUUAUGUCAGACACCGAACUCUCCAAAUGAUUUAGGGACAUGUCAAAGUUUUGCAGGUUUAGAAGUUGACCAAGACUAUAAGGUAUGUUUCCAUGUAAAUUAUUAUCAAAAAGAUAGAGGGUGAUCAAAUUUUUAAGUUGACCAAUAUUUUGGGGAAUUGUACCGUUUAAACAGUUUCUUGAAAGAUCUAGAGAUUUUAGGCUUACAAGUUGCUCUAGACUCCUAGGAAUGACACCAUGAAAAUGAUUAGAAGAAAGAAUUAAGGUGUUUAAAUUCAGAAGUUGGCCAAUACAGUUAGGAAGACACCCGUUUAAGUUGUUAUUGGAAAGUACCAACUUCUUCAGAUUGAUAAGUUUUGUUAUCAUAUCACAAGGAAGGUUCCCAACCAAAUUACUGUCAUGAAUAUACAAGUCAGAUAGAUUUUCAAGUUGUCCCAACCAUGGUGGCAAACUAUCAUUAAAUUCAUUGUGACUCAAAUCCAAUUGCAUUAAAUCAUACCUAAUGCAUCCAGACCGUAUGUAGACUCCAAGUGCAUCUCCUUUAAGAUUGUUACUUGACAUAUCUAAUGAAUGAAGAUGACAACAGUUUCCCAGAAAAGAUGCUAGAGAUCCUUCAAUAUGUUUUAAAUCAUUGCCUGAAAGAUACAAGGAUUGAAGACCCUUUAACUCACCUAACCAGGAUGGAACAGAAUCUAAAUUGUUUUCUGAAAGGUCGAGGUAAAUCAAGGAAGUCAGAUUCUGUAAAGUAGAUGGAAGUGAGCCAUAAAGAGCAUUAUUUUCAACAGAUAGAUAGACCAGAUUACUACAGGUUCCCAACCAGAAUGGAGUGGAACUCAGGUUGUUGAAAGAAAAGUCAAUCUCUGCAAUGGAAGACAUGUUUUGAAAAGCAUUCAGAAUUGGAGCUUGAAGUUCAUUUUCUGCUAGAUCCAGAACCUCCACUCGGGAAAGGUUUGUGGCUCUAACAAGUUGAUAAGUGUGUAACUUGUUUAGUCCACAAUUCCUCAAUUCUAUUUCUAACAAAGAAGGAAGCAUGCUGAGUGCCUGCAACAAAUUUUGUGCCUUACCAAGAGGCACAUCACGCAUGUAAAGGUAUUGGAGUGAUGAAAGUUGAGAAAUCCAAUAAAAGUCAUCAGCAUACAGAAGAGGAUUGAAGCUGAAAUCAAGAAGGAUCAAUUUUGUAAGGUUCCCAAGAUUGUAAGGGAUCCUCCCACUAAAAUGACAAUCAGAGAGAGAAAGGAAUUGCAGAUGCUCCAUAGUUUGGAUGAACAUUGGUAUUGAACUAUUAAAUUUGUUUCCACUCAAAUCUAAAUAAGUGAGAUAUUUAAGCUGCGAUAUAGAAGGAUGAACAUGAUUAGCUUCAAGAACAUAUUUGUUGAAGUCACAGUUUGGUUGACCUCCUUGGUUCUUUUGUGGGAAGCAAGGAUUCCUGAGGUCCAGCUUGACAACAUGUCCUGUAAUAUUGCUGCAAACUACACCUUUCCAUUGACAACAAUCCUCUUCUUCCCAAGAGGAAAGCCUCGAUGAUGGAUCUUUGAAGCUUCCUUUGAUCCAUUGAAGAGCAUGCCUUUCUUCUUCAUUGCAGCCAAGUGGUGAAUGACCACAUGAAGAUAACACUACAAAUGCAGUUAAAAGGAAAACAACAGCAAAAGCCAAGCCAAGCAUGUCUGCGGAAGAUUAACAGAACACAAGGAUGGGAGUUGAAAAGGAGCAUCGAAUGGGAAGUAUAUAUAUAGCCCUCAGGUUUUAUUAAAAUAACUAUGAUAAUAUAUUGGAUAAAUACUGAAUUUGGUAAUUGCUUGAAUUUACCAAGCGCUAACAAUUGGAUCCCUAAAUUUUGAAAAAAAAUAAAAUUUUGCCCCUUAAUUUGUCCCACCGUCAAUUUUUCCCGUUAAUGUAAAUGGCAAAGUCUACAUAGCAUCAUUGGACUAUUUUGACAACCAGAAAUUUGCUAACUAUGCCACUGACUUAGAUGGACUAAAUUGCCAUCUGAAAUUUCUAUGGACCUUUUUGUCAACUUCAAAAUUUUUUCAUUUAUUUUCUCUUUUCUUUUUCUUUCUCAAAUUUACCCUUUUGUUUUUUCUCUUCUCUCCCUUCCUCAUCUUCUCCUAUCCUUUCGUGCUCUAUGUCAAGGACCACAAUGGUGACACCAUGAUAGAGGUGCCACAGACAUAGUGCGGCAAUUCAAGGAGUGGCACCAUCCUUUUGAAGGAGGUAGUAUAGUGUAAGCAUGGUGGAAGGGGAAAAUAGAAAGGCGGAAGAGGAAGUUAAAACAAAAAAGCAUCGUCGCUGGAAAUCACUUUUGAUAGCGACAAACUACGAUGCUUAUGUUGCUUUGAAUAAUCGUCACAAUAGAGCAAUUUUUUUGCUUGGGAUUGGCUUCGAGGCUUGUCAAAUGGAUUAACAUACUCAUUCACACAUAUGGGGCUGCCAAGUGCUCAAUAUGCCACAAAGCCUAAGCUCUAGUAGGCCAAAGGAGAGGAUUGAUGACUUGAAAAAGGAGUUGAAGACUAUAAAAUAUAAUACUCCAUUUUCCUUUUGGUUUGUGUUAUGGUGGUUUCUCUUUGGUUUGUUUAGGGGUGGUGUCUGGGUUGUUAGAAACUACUGAAAUGGAAAUGUAAUCCUAGAUUCAGGGUAUAGCUGUUCAUGGUGGACUAAUUUGACAUUUUGUUGUUAAAUUGAUGGAUUUAAAUGACAAUAAGUAAUAUUAUUUAGAAAUUGAUUUGUUGACGACAUGGAAUCCACUCGUUAGAGGGUUUGUCUCUCACUCUCAUUCAAAGAACGCAAGAAUACCAAAAGGCACACAUGUGGGCACAUUGGUGAGAAUGGGUAACAAAUGUUAGAACUCUUUCAGUAUUACUCAAGUAGUAAAAAGUGAAACAAAAUUUUCUGACAAAUUUGUCCUUCGAAGUCUAUAUGAGUCAACAACACAUUCAUCAAAUUUCUCACUAUCAAAAUGGUCCAAUGAUGUCACGUAGACUUUACCAUUUAUGUUAAUAGAAAAAAAAUUGAUGGUGUGACAGAUCUGUCACAUUUUUUAAAAAUUGAACGAUAAAUUUAUUUUUUUCAAAAUUCAGGGACCCAAGAGUGAGCACUUUACAAAUUUAAGGACUAAAUUGGGUAUUUACCCAUAAUAUAUUAUUAUAAUUUGAUAAUUUUAAAAAAAUAUUAUAAAUUUUUAAUAUAUUAAUUUGUUCAUUAGUUUUUAAUUUAUACAAGUUAGUAUAAAUGUAUGUGAAAUGUAGGGUAAAUGUCUAUUUAGUCCAUGAAUGUAUAUAUGUAUUUGUUGACAAUUUAGUCCUUAUAUUUUUUAAAUGACUAAUUUAGUCUACUAAUGUGUAAAUGUUAUAAUAAAUUAGUCUAACCUUUGAACAUACUAACAAUUUGAUCCGUAAAGUAUCACACUUAAUUUCAUAGUGAUUCGAAAACUAUAUUACUUACCGACAAAUUAGUUCACAACAUAUAUGCUUAUAAUAAUAGUUGGAUUAAUUUGUUGUAACUUUUACACAUUUGUGGUUAAGGACUAAGACACACACAAAAUAAUGUGUAUAUAAAUUUAUAGAAUAAAACUAAAUAAUAACUAUAUAGAACCCAAUUAAAUUGAAUAACGGUUUAAAGACUAAACUGAAUUCUAAUAAAGAUUUAGAAGGAAUUUUUUUUUGAAUUUAUGUGCUCAUUUUUUGCAACCAAAUUUAGGUAGAUGUAUAUUUAUGAAUAUGGCUCUUGUUUCUUACAUUAAAACAACUAAUAACAAGAAUCAAAUCAACAUUAAGAAAAACAAACAAUUGAGAUUAAAAUAUUUAAAUUUAAAAAUUCAAAUUAAAAUAUAAUAUAAUAAUUAAAUUUCUAAAAAUUUCAUCAAACAAAUCAUAUUCUAAAAUAUCUAUCAUUAGCCCAUCAUCAUCACAUUGUCCUUAACAACCGUACUACUGUCAUGAUUGUCACUACAACCCCACCAUGAUGCCAAUGACAACGACAAUGAUGGCAACGGUAGCAACGACAACAAUGAUGGUGGUGAUGACGGUAGCAACGACAAUGAUGGUCAUGAUAGUGAAGGUGGCAGCAGUUGAUGACGAUAGUGACAAUGAUAUUUGCGGUUACAGUGGUGGUUAUGAUGGUGACAGUGACGAUGACAACGAUCAUGAUGACAAAUGUGGUGGCAGUGAUAUUGGGGGUUGAUGGCGACAAUUAUUAUAGUGGUAGCGGUGGUCAUGAUAGUUGUCCCAUCAAGAAUUAAUCUUAUUAUUAAUGAGUUUUAGUAUCAUCAAAUGAAUAAUAAUAUUUUAGGUAGUUUAUGACAAAACAAAACAUUACAAUUAAUUGUAGACAAAUUUUAUGAAAAAAUUCUAACAUAGCAUCUUGUUACAUGAAAAUUGAUACUACUUGUACUCUGUCAAUGAUAUUUACUUCUUUCCUUAUAAAAACAAAAUCUUACUUAAAAUAGGUUGACAUUGAUGUUUCAUAUUUUAAAAAGUUAUACCAUUGUCCUUUAUUCACAUCACUUUGUCGAUUUGUUAACAGGACAAUUAACAUAGAUAUUUGGUUCACAUUAGAGCCAAAAAUACCAAGAAAUGCAACUAGCUAGCAAGAAUGUAGGAUCCAAACAAUUUUCAAGUGUAAACAAUGAGAUAUUAAUUUUGGUAAACUAACAUUUCAACAUGUGAGCAAGAAGGAACUCCUUGACUUAGGUGCAUACUCGCAAAUAUAAUAGUUAGUCUAUUUUCUUAUAAGAUUUAGCCUGACCUCUAAAUAUAUUAAUUAGUAAUCCUAAAUAUAUAUACAAUAUGUAGGUUAGUGGACUUAAAUUAUAUUAAUUAGACUAAUUAACAAGUUUAUAGUUUUAAAAUAUUAUAAUAUUAAUUUAAAGCAAUAAGAAUUAUAUAUAUUAGUUGUUUUGGAACAGCUGAUAUUUUACCUAUAUAUAUAUAUAUUCGCAAGGCUUUGUUUACCAUUCAGGUUUUCAUACAGAAACAGGAUCAUUCUCUAGAGGAUUAAUCACGUUCCAUUUUUUAAACUUUUUAAGUCUUAAGUCUCAAACUUGUUCAUUUUCCUUGGCGGUUACGUUCACCCGAAUUCCCUAUCUAGCAUUUUGAAGUUUGAACCUCUCACGAGUGUCUCUGACUGAUCUGUCAAACAUGGGACUUAAGCAAGGCUUAGGUUUAUUGGAUUCUCAUAAAACGUAAAUGUUGAACGAAUGAUUCUCAUAAAGAAAGGCAUUCUUGUUGGAACUUUAGAAGAUCCUUAUAAAAUAUCAAUAUAACCACCAGAAACACAUUACAUUAAAUUAUCAAGAAGAGUUUUACGAAUACAUGGAUUCAUAAUGAUUGAUCAAACAAACGUAGCGAAAUCUGAAUCCGUAGGUGAUUUCUGAUCUAUGUACUCUUCUUAGGAUUUGUUCCAAAAUAGAAACAAGCUAACAAUGUAUUCGGUGGCUUCAUGGUUCUUCCUCAAUUAGAACAUCUUUAUUCCUUAAUAGGACCUUCAUAAGGGAGAAGAGAAACUAUACGUGACGGCUCAAUAUAUUGGGGACCAUAGUCUUCUCAUAACAUAUUAAUUAACCUAAUAGGGUUCUCAUUAUCUCUCAAUGGACCAACACUAACAUCUGCUCAUUUAAGUCUACACUCUCUGAUUUAGUUGUCUAAUAGACUCACUUAAUUUGACUACAUAAAAUAAAACACAUUGAUGAUAAAUAAUUAAUAUAAUUAUUUUAUAAUAUUAGCGCACAUUAAUUAUAGAAAUAGAAAAUUCUAACAAUCUCUCACUUGGGUGACCGUUGGGAUUUUCAAAAUAACAACUUUUGACCUCUUGCUUAGCGCAAGAAGCGCGCUAAGUGCAUAUUCAACCUGAGAGGAAAUUGCCCUGAGCGAGAAUUGUCGCGCUUAGCGCAAGAGGAAUUGCGCUCAGUGCGAAUUGUUGCGCUAAGCGCAAAUCUCAACCUAAGAGGAAUUGCGCUAAGCGAGUGAGAUAUGCAAAUUAUAAAUACAUUCUUCAGCGUGAAAAACACAAUUUUUCACCCUUUUUCUCUCUAAACGCCCACCCAAGCCCUAGCACCUCCUCCUCCACCACCCACGACAAUCGGUGGCCACCACAAGCCGUUGUUGCUCGUCACCGAACUACCACACCAAGAGGACAUUUUAAUCAGAGCAGAAUCCUCAGAAUUCACCUCAAGGAUUCGAUGCAGAAAAUUCCUCAAUCAUUUCUUUCGUAGCUUCUCUAAGGUAAUCUUGACUUUUGAGUCUUUCUCCUAGUUAGUUUGAGUUUCUCUUAGUGUCUCUUAUGUUUUUGGUAUUAUAAUAGGAUGUUUUUAGACUUCCUUUGAAAAACCCUUGAAAAUGUGACGUUGUAAAAGUUAUCUUUUUAUAAAAUUGAUUUUAUUUUUGUGACCUUCACUGAACCCAGUCAUAUUGGCGUGAUCGAUAUUUCAAAAUGUUGUCUCCUUUUAGUAGAAUCCGAAACAACUCUUAGCCUUUUAUGUUUUGACAAAGGUAAUGAUCAUGAAUAUUGUUAUUAACCUUAUUUUUUAGAUCUAUUCUAAAAUUCCUUCAAUUUGGUAUAUAGAACCUUGCGUUUUGACUAACAAACAUGAACGAAAGAGGUCUCUGAGCAACGCAAAGAGGAACUAAUAGAGAGCUCAUGAUAGGUGAAGGGAGUUUAUUAUAAUUUCUGACUUUUGAUACCAUAGUUGAGGCCAGGGAACCUAACUGUGGGGAUGUAUGAUUGUCCCUGUUGUAUGCUAGUUUUCAAGAAAACAAUGUUUUUAACUAAUAGGAUGUGAUACGUCUAUUAUUGAUAAAUGAUAUUAUUUUUUUCAUUAGACUUGUGUUAUCUGAAGACUUGGGGAAUGUGAAUCUCAGGCAUGAAUUAUAUAUGUAUGUAUAUGCAGAAUGUAAUUUACUGAUGAUAUUGUUAUUGAUGAUAUUAAUUGAUAUAAGGUGGCAUUAAUGUUUAUGAUAAUGUUGAUAGAGAAUGAUGUUGUUAUUGAAUAUGAUAUUGAUAAUAAUUGAUACGAGACUAUGUUGGGGUUUAUUAUAAUAUUGAUAUGAUAUGAUGUUGUUAUUGAUGAUUAUGUUGAUAUGAAAUGUUGUUGUUAUGGUUGAUGAUGUCAUUGAGAUGAGAUGAUGUUGAUGUUGAGAAUGAUAUUAAGAUGAGAAGAUGUUGAUGUUGAGAAUGAGAUUGAGAUGAGACAAUGUUGAUGUUGAUAAUGACAUUGAGAUGAGAUGUUGAUGAUGUUGAAAAUGUCAUUGUGAUGAUGUAUGUUGUGUAUGUACAUAGGGGGUGCAGUGACCAUGUUGGAUAUUCCUGGUGGGGGAAAUAGAGUGGUUAAAGAGUUUUAAGCAUCUCUGGAGGGAGAUAGCUUAGAAUAUUUAAUUAUCCAAAGUCAGUGCAUUGAUGAUGUUCAUGUUUCAUAUUUCAUAUUGCAUGAAAGUAGUAUAAACUUUGUCAGUAAGUACUUUUAGUUUCUCAUGAGGAGGAAUACUUGUACUUGGGGACAUGUCACUCGGUUUGGAAUUCCCUUGAGACUUAGGUUGAUCACCAUGGGAGGGAGUUGCUUAUGCACGAUAGGGGGACCUCGACACUUGCUGCCUAGUUUUCCUAUGUGAUAGUGUCGUGUCGACACUCUUAGACUAUUUCCUUGAUGAAUGGUACCACAUUGCAUUUGAGAGUUGAGGUCAGGUGCAUGCAUCAUACUAAGCAUGAUUGAUUGGAAUUAUGAAUGGAUGAUGACGACUUGUUGAGUGUAUGUUGGACUAAUGGAUGUUUAUGUAUACUUAUGAUAUUUGUUAAUAUUUUCUUACUAAUUAUGGUUAUUUGAUUUUUGUAUUAAUUUCUUUUAUAAUAAACUCACCCUUGCAAUUUUUGUAGCGUGUGGUUGGUACCUGCGAUGAUCACGAAUCUUUGAUUGUGGGAGCAGAAUGAUAACAGUAGAGUACGUGAAGUGAGAUUCUUUUGUGAAGCCGCUAAGCCGACGUGAUGAUGUUGGAAUUAUUUUGGGAGAGAGUUAUUUUGUUAAUUAACUCCUUCGUAGCUGGUUCCAUAAUUCUUUUUUUUAAUUGAGGAUGUAAAUCACAUAUUUAAUUAUAUGCAUGAACUAAUUUACUUUUCAUUAUAUGAAUGAUGAGUACUGAGCUACUAUAUAUAUAUAUAUAUGUGUGUGUGUGUGUAUAUAUAUAUUCAUUUAAGUAAUUGUGUGUUGUUUGGUGAAUGUAUAUCGCGAAAAAUUUAUUUUCAUUUUUCAUAAGCAAAUUAAUGGAGUUUUCAUUUAAAAAUUAAAAUUUUCACGGUUUAGAGUGGUGAUAUCGUAGCGACAGGGCGAGUCGUUACAUAGUGUGCUCGUGAAAACCUUUAAGUGUCAUAUCUUUAGUAAGUGAAUCUGCUAAGAUGGAAUGAGUCCCUAUAUGUUCUAUUCAAAUUUGUAUUUUUUGAAUUCUUUAUUUAAUAACCAAAUACUUUAGGUCAACAAACUUUUACAUGCUUGGUUGAAUCCUUAAUAAAACCACUAAGAUAUUAUCCCAAUAAACACACAAUGACUAUUUAAUAUUGGCGACAACAGGCAAGUCAAUUACAAUAAUUUAAUAUUUAUAAAUUCUAGUAUGAUGUCUCAUAGCAAAAUAUUAACUCCGCCAACAUGGACUCCAAACGUUGUACCUUAUGUCAUAUAUAUCAUAGUAUUCCCCACGGUUACAUUUGAAAACCUUGAUUUUCUUUCUUUUUCUUAGUUGAAGUUCAACUUCAUCUUUGAAAGACUAAAUGUCUAGAAGCCAAAACUUCUCAUAAUUUAAAUAAAGAGGAAUAAUCUAUGAACAUAAUAAAAUACAUUUGUUCAUUAUAUGAUUACAUAAGGAAUAAAACAUAAAUAUAUGUAUGUAUUAGUUCUAAGACAUCCUUAGUUCUUUCAGUACCUGAAUUUUAUUUUCUUUGUUUAUUUUCCCUUUUAUAUACUCAAUAUAGACUAUAAGGUCCAACCAAUAUAAAGGAUCCAAAAUUUCCUAUAACAAAAACAUUCAAAUUCUCUAUUAAGAGAUAUGACUUAAGUGCUUAUGUUAUAAAGUAACAAAAUUUUAAUUUUAAAUUUUGUACCACCCAAAAUUGUUUGCAAUAGGAAAACUCAAAUAUUCAUAAAAAAAACUCAUAACUUGCAACAUUUGAAUCACAAGAGAGACUAACUUUAUUAUUUCUUAUUGAAAAAAAAAUAACUAAAUUUGUCCAAAUUAAAAAUAAAAUUUUGUUUAAUAAACAACUCAAUAUAUGUAUCAAUCAGAUUCAAAUGAAAUUGAGUCUUUUAAAACAAUAUAAAAGUUCUCAUAGCUUCGACUGCAACUUUAUGUCAUUGCCCACAUAGAAGAAUCCUUCAUUAUCACUUGGCAGAUGACUUCAUAGGUAGCAUCUUAUCGAUAUACUUUUGUGAGUAGUAGAACCAAAAUUUAUCUACUAACGUCCUUCGGUACAAAAUUAAAUUAACUUUACAACAAACAAAAAUGAUAAGUUUACCAUUUUUCGCACACUAAAUAAUGUAAUUCGGAUUUUUAUUUAAUGUAUGCCUCAUCCUACAAAAGCAACAAGGAAAUUCCUUAUCUUGUUUAUUUUCUAAAAAUAAAAAAAAAAUAAAAGAUUAUGCAAUAUCCUCAACACUCAACUACUCCCUUUUCAAACUCUAAAUUUUAUACAUGUAAAUUUAGGAUUCAAAUAAUAUGAGUAAUUUAAAUCAUAGUAGUAACAACAACAAUUAAAGAAGAGAAUAAUAGACAUACAAUGCACAAAUAAUUUUUAUGGUAAAUUUCAAGAUCCAAACAAGAUACCUAGCGUACUAUUAAUCCUCAAUCUUUGGAUUGAAAAAAAUUAAGUGCAAGUGGUACUCUCAACGCAUUGAUUAAACAUUGAUGAUAAGUCCCAUCAAACAAAGGUUGUCUUUGGGCUCUCCAUUGCUUACAUGGAAAACUUAUAUGAUGAUUAUUCGGUGAAAUAAUGUUUGCCUUUAAAAUUUUAUUAUUCACAUGGAAAAUCACACUAUUUAUAAUCAACACAUGUUGACCAUCAAAGCAUGUAAUUAUUGUGUCAAAUUGUGUCUUCCUUUGGGCCGAGCACAAACAUGAAUAAUUUCAUGUAAAUUUAAUCAAAUCAACUUAUGCAACAGAGACUACUUUGACAAUAUGUUGUUUCAAUCAAUUUAACCAAAAAAUACACGACAAUUUAAUAUAAUAAAUGAGAGGUCUUAAAAUUACACAACUUUCACAUAUAAUUUAGUUAUAUAAAUAUAUAUAUAUAUAUAUAACAUAAUAUGCAAAUAUUUUACAGAACAAACCCAUCACAAGAUACCUAGUAUAACAUUAAUUCAUAGUUUUUGGAUAGGAAAUUAAUUUGUAAUUGAUACUCUCAAUACAAUGAUCAAAUAUUGACAAUAAAUUGUCUCAAAUAAUAGUUUUUCUUUGGACUAACUAUUAUUCACAUGAAAACACCUUGUAAUUGUCACACAUUUAUCAUCAUAGGUACAAAAUAUUAUUUGUCUAAAUUGUGUCUUUUUUUUAGCCGAACACAAUUCGCAUAAAUAAUUUCGUACAAAAUCUACGCAAUUUUAAUUAAAUCAAUUUUCACAAUAGCGAUUACUUUUGCAAUAUAUCUUGUCAAUCAAUUUAAUUAAAAAAAAAUCUAGACAUGCAAAUAAAUGGGAAAGAUUUGUUACACUCAAUCAUGAUAGCAAAAAAAUAUAAAACAUUAAUUACGACAAAUAAAUAUCAUAUCCUUAAAUUAUAUUUAAUGUUAUCAUUGAUUUAUACUUAAAAUACCCCAAGUAAAUAUUGCAUCCGUAAACAACGUUAUCACAAAUUUAUGAAAGAAAUUAAAAAAAUCAUGAAUAAAUUCCUAAAAGAAAUCUUUAAAAGAUUUUAUAUAAAUAAAAUAAUAAUAAGAUUAUUAAUAAAAAAUAUUUCCUUAGUACUGAUUUAUAUAUUAAUCUACUAGGGUUCUCAUUAUCUCCUAAUGGGUCAACACUAACAUCUGAUCAUUUAAGUCAAUAUCCUCUUAUAUAAUUGUGUAACAAACUCACUUAAUUUGAUCUCAUAAAAUAAAACUCGCUAAUAACAAAUAGUUAAUAUAAUUGUCUUAUAAUAUUAACCUAUAUUAAUUAUUAAAAUAGAAAAUCCCAAUGACACGCAAGUGCAAAUACUUAGUAACUACUUAUCUAAAACACAAUUGUUCCAAAGCCGAGAAGAAAGAAAUUAAACCAAGUCUGAAAUGGCCCUUUUUUUCAAGUUUCUAUCCCUCAUUCUCUUCAUUGGCCUGAUUUUCUAAGCUGAUGCCGAUGGUUGUUUGACUAAGGACAUUAGCAUUGACCAAUGAAAAUCAGGAAGAAAUUGGAUAAAUGACAUGCCACAUAGUGGGAAUCUAGUAACAAUUGUAGUUGUUUUCAGUAGCACGUGCCUUCUCAAGCUGUAUGCAACCAAUUCUCAAUUUCCAUUUCGACCCAUUGUCUCCACAAUAGAAUGCUGUUUUCAAUAGCAUGUGCCUUGUCAAGUUAGGUUAUAGACAAGUGGGCUGCCUUAACCAUUAAUUUCAAAUAGACUGGACUCGUUGUUUGACAAAUCAAGGUUGGAACUGACGGUUGAUAUGUGAGCAAUCCUCAGUGGAAAAUUGGCUUAACAACUUAAGAAUUCACAUAACUAUUUUUUUUAUAAAGGACAUAACUAAUUAAUGAAGCUAGACUUACAAGUUCUAACCAGCUUCCUUGGGAAUGUCAUAGAAAGUUGUCGACGGCUUAACAACGUACCAUUUUUAUUUAUUUUAGUCUUUUACUUAAAUAUAAACCAUAAAAUAUUGGCCUCUAGAGUAAAAAAUGAAAAAAAAAAUUAGAGUAAAAAAUUGAAAAAAUAUAAAAUAAAUAAAUAAAUAAUUACAAAGAUUAAAAUUGCAAAAAUACAAACUUAAAGAAGGAUUUUGGAGGGUUUUAUCUUAUUUUAUUCAUUUUUUUAGUUAUAUUCAUAAAUUAAUAUUAAUUUAUUUUAUAUAUAUAUAUAUAUAUAUAUAUAUAUAUAUAUAUAUAAUACAGUGAAAAUGAAAAUUCUAAUUAAAAAAACAAAAAUAAUUUAUUUUUUCUUAAAGAACAAAAUGCAUGGCUAAAUUCAUACUUUUUUACAAAAGAAUAAAUUCAUAUUUAAAUCUUAUCCAAUUCAAUUUAUUUCUGGUCGUAUGUUGUAAACUGUUUAGAUCCUUAAUUUCUUGCUAGUUAGUUGCCUAUGUUUUUUUAACUUUUGGAUAUAAUUCAAACCACAUAUUUAUCUCAAUUAAUAAAAUAUUUGAUGUUCACGAAGAAUAGUGACAUGAUUUUUAAAAUAUGAAACAUUAACAUCAACCUAUUGAAUUAUUUGGCUAGUACUUUAUUAGUAUAUUUAUCAAAUUUAAUAAAUAUAUAUACUUUUUUUAAAAAAGAAAUAAAUAAAUAUAUCUAUUUAUAUGCAAUAAGUAAAUGAAAUUUAAAAUUUUAUGAACCCCUUUAGAUUGAGAUCUUAAAUUUCAUAAUACUCAUUGAUUUAAAACUCACUUAGAAACUAUUAUCACAAUUGAUGAAAACUUCUAUUUCAUCAUAGCUGUUGUUGAUUUUUAUAAAUAUGAUUUAAUAUUAAUUUUAAAAAAAUAUUUUAUUGAAUCAAUUCUUCUAGCCGUUUCAUUAUUUAUAUGUAAUAAACAUUUUUUUUAGUUCAUUACAAAUCAAUUCGUUUAUCCAGACAAACAUUUAAAUCAUCACCAUACAUUUGUUCUAUCUUAUAUGUUCUUUCACACAUAUUUUCAUUUAAUUUGUCUUCACUUUCAAGUUUCAAAUAUAGUUUUUUUAUUCAUGAAUAUAUGUUUUUUUUUCUGAAUUGUACAUGAAUAUUUGCUUUUUUUUAUGGAUACAUGAAUAUUUGUUAUUAAUUUAAUAAUUAACAUAGAUGAAAUCAAUUUAAUUAUCAUAUUUUAGUUUUAAAAUAUAUUAUCAACUUACUAUAAAGAAUUAAAAUGAUUACAUAAAUUCCUAUUAAAUUCCUAAGGGUUAAUUUUAUUUCUGAGAAUUAAAGACAGAAUUUACAAUAAUUUAUACACUCUAUUCAAUCAAGUGACUUAGAUCUCCUUAACCUCUUUGCUACAUAUAAAAAUAAAGAUAAAAUUUUUUAAUGAUAAAUAAUCCUUACUAUACUAAUAAUUUAAAAUGAAAAAUAUUAAUUUUUUGUUCAAAAUAUCUAAAAUAACACUAUAAAUUAAUUAACAACUAAAUUUAAUUAAUAAAAGUCACACUAUUUCAAUAAAUUUAAUUUUUUUACAAUAAUCCACAAGAAUUCAUCAUCACCACUCAUUCAUAAAAAAUAAUCCAAACAAUUCAUCUUUGAAACCACCUACUAUUUGUGUCCGUGAAUCUUCCAGCCAAAUCCAUAUGUGACCCAUACGAUUUUGUUUUAAAAAAAUUCAAAAAAAUGAUUUGCAAAUUAAUGGUCUAAGUAGGAAUUGAACCUAUGGCUUUGAAGUUAUUAACAAUACACUCUAACCAACUGAACUAAUAAUUCAAUUAGGUUAUAAAAUAAUUAAUGUAGCUAUAUAUAACAGUCAAAUUUUUAAUAUAUAUUUAAUGCAUAUGUAAAUUUACAUAAUAAAUUUUGUGACAAUUAAUUUUAAUCUAAUAAUUAAUUUAUUUACAUAUAUAAAUUGUAAAUAAAAAUCAUAGGUUUAAUAAAAAAAUUAUAUAUGUAAAAAUAAAUCUACUAAUGUAUUUUUUUGACCUUGUUACAAUUAAUUUUGAUCUAAUAUAUAUAUAUAUAUAUAUAUAUAUAUAUAUAUUAAAUAAAAAUUAUAGGUUUCAUUUAUAAUUCAUAUAUGUAAGGGAUUAGGGAUGCCUGAUUUUAGCAAUUUAUCAUUUUAAUUUUGAUUCAAGGCACUACAAUGCACUAUAAUGCAUGGUGUGGACUUGGAAUGUUAUAUCUUCGCCAAGAGAAGUAUGAGUUCUCUAAACAUCAUUUCCAUAUGGCCUAUCAAAUCAACCCACGAUCUUCUAUUAUAUUGUCAUACCUUGGAGUUGCUUUGCAUGCUUUAAAGGUUAAUAAUCUUUUGUCGCACUUGUUGUAGUGGUACAAUAUCCAAACUACAAUUGCAUUUAUCUUUAGCUCGUGUUUCUAUAUCCAGGGUUCUGAAAUUAUGCUCCUGUGAUUUGUUAGAGAAGCAGGGAAGCAUUGCCUAUAAUGGAGAAAACUAUUUUGGAAGAUAAGAAAAAUCCAGUUCCCAUGUAUCAAAAAGCCAACAUACUCAUAAGCUUAGAAAGAAUUGACGAGGAUUUAGAUGUCCUAGAGGAGCUGAAAGAGGUUCAACCUCAUGAAAGUAGUGUUUAUGCUUUGAUGGGCAAUAUUUAUAGAAAGGUGUCACAUGCAUGAGAGAGUAAUGUUUCAUUAUGGUGUUGCUUUAGAUUUGAAACCAUUUGUAAUAGAUGUUGCUACAAUUAAGGUGAGUGGCUUAUAAUAGCAUUACAACAAUCCUUUUUCUCUCUGAACUCGUUACCAGUUUUUACAAAUAACUGAUCAUUCUACUCUUUAUAUUGGUUUGAUAAUUGUUUAGUUAAUUUGUAUGAUCACUAUAGUAUACAUAGGAACUUAUGGUUGUUGUCAUUAUUUAUUUGUUUUCCUAUGUGACUUGAAGCUUCUUAUUUUUGAAACAGGUGGCAUUUUUAUAAAUAAGUAGACUUAGUUAACAUCGGUUUUUCCCAAACUGAUGUUAACUACUCGAUAUUAACAUCGGUUAUUUAAAUAACCGAUGUUACUAUUGAGUAGUUAACAUCGGUUUUGGAAAAACUGAUGUUAAUAUCGAGUUGUUAACAUUGGUUUUGGAAAAAUCGAUGUUAACGAGUUGAUGUUAACAUCGGUUUUAAGAAAACCGAUGUUACCUAGUUGAGGUUAACAUCGGUUAUUUUUAAAAAACCGAUGUUGUUAUGAUUAUAAAUUAAAAAUCUGAAAUUGCACAACCCGCGCACUUGAACCCUAUCUUUCUUUUUCUUUCUCCUUCUGCCUGAGUUCGUUUUUGUCGCAAACUGGCCUGCGCUUCCGUGACUGCAACCACAUUGUGGAGUUCGUCUUUGUGGAGUUCGUCUCUGCCACUUAUCGAUUGAGGUACGUCUUUUCGUUUUAACAUUAGGCGUUCCUCGUUUUAACAUUUGGUCACUUUCGCAGCUCGAAGAAAACUAGGAAAGGAAAGAGUCCCGGAAAGGGUGGGAAUCGAUUUUGGAAGUUCAUUGUGGUUGGCUUUAAGACUCACAGGGAAGCCAUCGAAGGUAUGUCUCUGUUGUCAUGUUUCGAAACCAAUUGCUUAACUUUGUAUAUAUCAUGUCUACUUUGCUGCUCAGGUGAUUUCUUCGUCUUCUUUAGUCUCUGUCAAGGUUUGUUGUUGAUUGUGUUCUGUGUGCUGGUUAGUGAUCAGCGCUGAUUAGGAAUAUCUCUGCCACUAACGACAAUUGACAAUCGGUGAGUAUAUGCAUCUCUAUUUGUGCUUCUUACCAAGAUGAGAAUAUGCUUGUUGCUAAUAAUUAAAAUAUGUUGUGUUGUAGUUCCUUAGGGUAUUUGUAUUUUGAAGUAAUGGAUUUGAGUCAUUUGAUGUUGCGGGAUGUAUUUGUAUUUUGUUCAUUUGUAGUUGCUCUUUACUUCAUGAAGUUGAUGGUUUGAGUGUUCACCAUUUGUUUGAUUCGUGGUUUAUUACUGGACGAGUUUGUUAAAUAAAAUAAAAUAAAAUUCGAAUCAUGAAAUGAGCCCUGCAAUUCACUCUUUAUCUUGACAUGUUUAAAUGUUGUUAAUGUGUGUUUGGUACAUCUGAGCCCUGCAAUUCAGUCUUUAUCUUGAGUUCAGAUGUGGACAACAGAGCAUGUUCCAUGCAUGCUUUGAGUGUGUUUGGUACAUGUGACUUGUUGGUUACUGGUUAAAACAUGAGCUUACUUAGUAUUAAUGAUUUUAGGACUGUGUGUUUGAAAGGAUGAUUGCUGAUUUGGUUUUCACCUAUAACCACUAUUUUAGGAAGGAAAACUGUGUCCCACUUCACCCAAGGGAUCUUGUUGGCCUCAAGGUGACCUCCCCAUAGAAAAUUUGUUUGAAUAGAGACAAUCUUUUGCACCACUUUUUUAGGGUUCCUAAAAAAGAUAGCAAAUAGAUGGGUAAAGUUGUUAAGUCCGAAUUAAUGAGAGUUAUUCUGCCACCCAUAGAAAGACAUCUUUGCUUCCAUUUUGCAAGCUUGGCCUCAAGCUUCCUUAUAAUAGGCUGCCACACAGUCCAACUUUUAGCACUCACCCCUACUGGAAUUCCAAGAUAAGAGAAAGGAAAUUCCAGUUGAGUACAAUUAAGAAAUUGAGCUGCAUCCCUGCACCAGCCCUCUGAUUUUCCCAGGCAGCCGAAAUGGAUUUUAGAAUAAUUUAUCUAAAGACCAGAAACCUUCUCAAAACACCUCAGGAUACAUUUUAAGACUCUAACAUUAUCCUGAGUGGCACAAAUAACUAAAGCACAGUGAAUUUGGGUAAUUCUCUGUUGCCCUGUUGGCUUGUUGGGCAUGGUCUACAGGUUCUGUAUUUACCUACCAACAAGACCUUGACAAAAAUACUUUUUAGAACAUUGAAAACUUAGUCAGAUGAAACAGCAACCAUUGAGUACUUGCUUGCAGCAGUUUCAUGUGUUCAUACAACCAAACACAUCCACGAUUUAGUAUCAUACAAUACAAUUUAAAACAGAUAAUGCCACACUUAUCAAUAUAAAAAAUUUAAUAAAUACCUUUUUCAUCACUAAAAGUCCUCAUGUUAUCAUAUAAUAAUAGUAUGAAAUAUCAUAUUCUUUACACCUUUUUUUUUUACAAAAAUUCUUUACACUCUCAUAAACUUCAAAAAAAUAAGGGAAAUUACUAUACUAGUAAUUAAUAUCUAAAAAGUAAUUAACAAAAUUCGACUAUAAACUAGCAAUUAACUUCAACAUGAUUGAAUCAGGAUCAUAAUAGCAGUACUACUUUUGAGUUUUGACCAUCUGCAAAAGAGUUGGUGUAUGUUUGUGCUUAGCCUCUCAUUUUUUGCAUUUUUUUAAAAAGGAAAGGAGCUAGCCCUACAUUCCUCACCCCAUAACUGAUUAUGUACUGUAAUUAGUAAUUAUCACUUUAAUGAAUAUUAUUAUUAUUUGUUAAUUACAAGUUUAAAACUCUGGGGUGGUGAAUGGUGAUAGACGUAGUACGUCACAAGGACACAAACACAACACUGAAACCACAAUCUCCACCUAACCCCAUCAUAAUCCCCUCUAUAAAACCCCAAAUCACAAUUCACAAUUCUCAAUUCACCAAACAAAAUCAUAAAACACUAACAAAUGACAACUCUUCUAUAAAUGGAUCUACAGAAUAUGGUACUAUUCUGGAGAGAAGCUUCCCAUGGUCGAUAUGGUACUAUUCUGCUGUCCACUAAUCAGGAACAACUGAUUAUACUGCUGUUGAAGAUUAGAAUCAACCCCCAACCAUUUGUCUUUCCAGAAUUUUAUUUUAUCCCCACCCUGUACCUUCCAUACCAUCUGUUGGUGAAUAGAGCUGAACUCAGGCUGCUGAUUUAACUUUCGGAGGUCCCUCCACCAUUGGGAAUGCCAAACUUUGUCUCUACCAUUACUGAGAUCUGACCAACCACCAUAUUUGGAUGUUAAGAUUCUGGCCCAUAGCCGAUUCUGGUUAGAGGAUAAGGCCCAGAUCCGUCUACCCAUCAAGGCUGCAUUAAAUUUAGAAAUAUCCUUGAUCCCAAGUCCCCCCAUCCUCCUUGGGAAGACAAAUCACAUCCCACUUCACCCAAGCAAUUUUCUUAAGCUCUUGAGAACCCCCCCCCCCCCCCCCCCACAAAAAAUUCCUUUGUAAGGACCCCAAUUUGAGACUACUCUUUGUGGAAUCUUGAAGAAAGAUAAAAGAUAUAUGGGUAGAGCAGUUAAAACAGACUUGAUCAGGGUAACCUUCCCAGCCAUUGAUAGAAUUUUCUUAUUCCAUUUAGAUAGUUUAGCUUCAUGUUUGUUGAUCAGAGGUUCCCACACCAAGCAGCUAGAAGGCUUAGCCCCAAUAGGGAUGGCCAAAUAGUAGAAAGGGUCUCCAUAUGGCUACAAUUAAAAAAUUAGGCUGCAUCAUGAACCCAAUUAGUGUCAUCUCCAAAAAUCCCAACAUGGCUUUUUGGAAAAUUAAUCUUCAGUCCAUAUGCCAUUUCAAAACCUCUAAGCAUGGCCUUCAACACAAUUACAUUGUCCCAUGAAGCUUCACCCACAAACACUGUAUCAUCUGCAUACUGCAGAAUGUUUACAGGCUCAUUUUGCUUCCCUACCAUGUAGCUUCUGUACAGACUUUUGGUUGUUGCUACCCUCAUCAUACCAGUCAAAUCUUCUGCCACUAUAUUAAAAAGAAAAGGGGCUAGAUGAUCCCCUUGUCUCAAUCCUCUAGUGGGAGCAAAUUCCUUUGUAGGGCUGCCAUUUACUAGGAUUGAUAUAGUGGCUGAUUGCAGACAAGCAGAGAUCCAUUUUCUCCAUCUAAGGCAGAAACCCAGCCUAUCCAGCAUGUAAUCCAGAAAAGACCAUGAAACAGAAUCAUAAGCCUUUUCAAAGUCCACCUUGCACACCAAGACUAGCUUCUUACACCUUUUAGCUUCCUCUACUACCUCAUUGAGAAUCAUAGUUCCAUGAAGGAUGUGUCUAUCCUUUAUGAAAGCUGAUUGUGUUUCAUCAAUGAGGCCAUGCAUCACUAUCCUUAGUCUAUUUGCCAAUAGUUUGGCUAUUAUUUUAUACAUACAGCCUAUGACGGAGAUGGUUUUUCCCUUUAUCUAAAUUUUCUUAUCUUUUUAUUUUAGUUGAGUAAUUAAGGUGACAUUUGAUUCAACAAAAAUGAUGGAGCAACCAAAAUUUUGUUUUCAUAAACUUAAAUUUCUUAGGAAAGCAGAAGGAAACUAGAAGAGCAUCAAAUUUGCAUGAGCAUUUGAUGAUGGGGCACAUGAACUGUGCAAUUUAAACACAAUAAAGGCCUUCUAGAAAAAAAUCAAAACACAACACUAUAAGAUUCUAAUGGAACAAAUUCUGCCAGAUAGAAACAUGCACCCAUACACCAUCUAUGAGGAGAACUUGAAUAGUAUUUUGUCUCCUUCUAUGAUUGAUCAACCUAUGAAAGUAGUUUGAGUUGUUGUCCCCUUCUUUUAACCACUUCACUCUAGCCUUUUGCCUCAACAUAGAUUCAAAUGCAUAAGCUGCAUUCCAAAGUUGGUCCUGAAGUGAUUUCUUAAGGCUCACUUCAUCUUGAGAUAGAGUUCUAUCAUUGAAACCAGCCUCCAAAGCAUUCAACUCCCUUUUUAAAUUCUGGACUUUUCUAGCAUUGACAUCACCAUUGGAUAGACUCCACUGCCUUAUACACUCUUUAAUGAACUUUAGUUUCUGUUUCAGAACAAACCCCCAUCCCCAUCCAGGAGGGUGAUAACUGCCCCUUUUAACCUUAUGUCCUGCUUUUCUUUUGAUUUCUAGACAUUAGCCAAGGUAGUAUUUGACUGUGCCUCCAGCUUAUUUUCUGAAAGUUCAUAUACUGGAAUUAAUCUUUGAUUGAUUUGUCUUAUUUUUUUCCAUUCGAAUCGGGAAAUUCAGGUUUCUUUUGCCGUUGAUGGGACUGUGCUACUUGCUUCACUUUCUGUUAAAAAAAUGGACAAGUAACCUUCUAUUAAAAAAAGGUUAAAAAUAUUAGACUCUUGGGACCUAGCCAAAAUAGAAGUCAACAACUGGGAUAGCCAAGAAUGUUCUUUUUGCCCCCAAGAACUCUUCAAAAAAAACUGAUAGUUUUUGCUGUGUUUUAUUACUCAUUAAAACUCCAUUCAACGGAGAUCAUACAAAUUCUUGCAGCCACACUUGGUUCCUAGGAACUUCUGCAAUGGAUGACAAAACAUUAAUACAAACACACACUUUAACUGUAGAAGAAGCAUCUAAGGUGAGAUUACCUAUCUCAGGUGUUAUCAACCCCCUUAAGGCAUACCCUUGUAGGUUAAGGGCACUGAACCUUUGAUGGUUGAGGCUGCAUGUGACUCCAUGCCACUUGCAAAAGUGAGUUGAACUAUUCCAAGAAGCCAAGACAUUAAAAGGGUUGUUUUCUACUGCUUCUUUGAAUCUGAGAGAUGAUAAUUGGUUUGUGUCAUUUCCUAAGGCACUAGUAGUGCUUUUAGGUUGCAAACACAGUAGGGUGGCAGAAAAGAGAACCACAAGAGUGCAUGUGAAGCAGAAUGAAGAGUUUGUCUUUCAUUUAGUUUUAGUCGUGGAGAAUCUCAACCAAAUGAAAACUGUUUGGUACAAAGUUGAGUUGCUAUAAUUCUGCUAUAUACAAAAGAGUCUAUAUAAUUGAUAACUAGCUAGGAGUUAGAGUUGUUUUAAUGACUUAUGGUGUGUGUGAACAUUCAUACCUUUUGAGUUCACUUAGGUUGAUAUAAAGCUAUAAAAUUCUUGCUAUUAUUAUUAGGAUAAGAUUUAUUCUGCUUCUGUUGACUUUGAGUACACAUCAAUCCAUUUGUCCUCCCAAUCACUGACAGGAAGCUCAAGGGCAGUCAUAAAGGUUCGUAUGUCAUUGUGACUUUCACAAAGUGACUUCAUAGCUAAAGUCAUCCAAGACAAGGUGAGGAUUUCAUCCUUGCUUUUAGGCACAAGAUAGUUGGUUUGUAGAAUCAGCUAAGCCCAAACCCUGCAGAAAACGUUCCCUCCUCUCCUUCACACUAACAGGGUCCUUCACACUUAAAGCAAUAGUGGAUAGAUUUCCAUAAUCUGUAAUCACACAAAACAACAUUGAUCACUAGUUUGCUCUCAAAUUUUACUAGCAUGACAACUACACACAUCCUUGUGAUACACACAGACCCUCAUGAUACACACACAGAGACACACCCUCAUGAUACACACAUAGAGACACACCCUCAUGAUACACACACAGAGACACACCCUCAUCACACACAAAGACACACACGCACACACACCCUAAUCACACACACCCUCAUGAUACACACACACACACACAUAUACCCAACUACAAUAAUAAAGCAUAAGCACCCUCCAAACCCAAAAUUUGAAUUAGUUACAUAAAGAACUGCUAAUGUCUAUAUUUUUCUGUAAUUGAAUUUUACCUUUUGUAUGUUCUUGUACGUCAUCAAUGUAAUUUGCUAUAUAAACAACUGUUGUUCAUGCUGAGUGAACCUUAGAUUCCCAUUUGAGAUUGAAUGCAAUGAUUCUUGCGAACAGUUUGCAUUAGUCAUUGUAUUUAGUCUUGAAUUGUCCAUUUGGACAGUUUGGGGAGAUUGGUAUUUUUAUGUUAGAUUCAUUCGUUAAGGUUAUUAUUAUUUUGAAUAAUUUGAUGAAAUAUCGGUAUAAUGCAUUUCAACUUCUUCUCUGAGUGCAUACUUGGUUAUCGGGAAAUUAAUUUCACCGAUGUCAUGUCGUGUACUUGGAGACCAAUGCGAAAAAUGCUGCCGAAAUUUAGUCAAAUUGUUCAAAAUAAUGCUAACCAUGACGUUUGAGGCUAACAUAAAAGACAGUCUUCCUAAAUGGGAUAUGGCCACACCUAUAAAUAAAAAAGUGAGAUUUUCAUGCAUGGAAUUGCUUAGAUAGAUCGAAGUUGGAUCAAUCAAAGUCGCAUGAGCACAGAAUGUGAGGAUGGCGUGGAGCAGUUCUUGCAAUUUGCUUUAGAAAGAGGUCGACCGAAUGAAGAAGGAAAACAUUAUUGUCCUUGCAUCAAUUGUUUGAACGGAAGACGACAACUACUGGAUGACAUACGGGACCAUCUAUUGUGUGAUGGGAUGAAGAAGAAUUACACGACAUGGAUAUGGCAUGGUGAAGUUACUGACAUGCAGAGUGGGUCCCAAUCUGAACCGUUUGAUGUAGAAAUGGGAGAUCGCUUGGAGGACAUGAUUUGUGACCUUGGACAAGAGUCUUUUCAGGAAGCACACGCCCCUGUGUAUGAAGGAUUGCAGAGUGAUUCAAAGAAGCCUUUGUAUACGGGGUGCAAGAAUUCCUUAACCCUGUUGUCUGUGGUGUUAAGUCUGGUUAAUGUGAAGGCCAGGUAUGGGUGGAGUGACAAAAGUUUCAACUCACUGCUUGAGGUAGUGCACACUCUGCUUCUAGAGGACAACACGCUGCCUAAAACUUACUAUAAGGCGAAAAAGGUACUGUGUCCCAUGGGUAUGGAGUAUUAGAAGAUUCAUGCUUGCCCCAAUGAUUACAUACUCUACAGGCAUGAAUUCCAAGAAAUGUCUAAAUGCCCUAUCUGUGGGAUUUCACGGUACAAAGUCAAGGAUGAAGAUUAAAGCAGUUAUGAUGAAAACUCAAACAAGGGCCCGCCAGCGAAGGUUUUAUGGUAUCUUCCAAUCAUUCCAAGGUUUAAGCGUGUUUUUGCUAACGAGGACGACGCAAAAGACCUUACAUGGCAUGCAAAUGGAAGGAUUUUUGAUGGACUAAUUCGUCAUCCGGCUGAUUGCUCACAGUGGAAGAAGAUUGAUGGUUUGUAUCCAGAUUUCGGGAAAGAGCCAAGAAAUCUUAGACUUGGCCUCGCCAGUGAUGGAAUGAAUCCAUAUGGCACCUUAGGCACGCAACACAGUUCAUGGCCAGUUCUGCUAGUAAUUUACAAUUUGCCUCCUUGGUUGUGCAUGAAGCGAAAAUAUAUGAUGUUGUCUAUGAUGAUAUCGGGCCCAAGACAACCAGGAAAUGAAAUUGAUGUUUAUCUAAGUCUGUUGGUUGAAGAUCUGAGAAAGUUGUGGGACGAGGGGGUUGUAGUGUUUGAUGCGUUUCGCAAGGAGACGUUUGAAAUGCGUGCAAUGCUUUUUUGUACCAUUAAUGACUUUCCAGCAUAUGGGAAUCUUAGUGGUUAUAGUGUUAACGGUCAUCAUGCAUGCCCCAUCUGCGAAGAAAACACAAGCUACAUACAACUAAAACAUGAGAGAAAAACAGUCUACAGUAGGCAUAGCCGCUUUCUAACACCCAAUCAUCCUUACAGACAACUGAAAAAAGCUUUUAAUGGAAGUCAAGAACAUGAUAUUGCGCCGAUACCGUUGACUGGUGAGCAGGUAUAUCAGCGGGUUCAACACCUGAAUAAUGUAUUUGGAAAGACCCAAAAGAAGGAUAAAAGUAAGAGUUGCAUAUGGAAAAAUUAAAUACCUCAACGUGAUUCUAUUUAAAUACGUGCAUGUUAGAUAUGUGUCCAACCGCAUACUAAAUUCCAGAUCCAAGAUUAGUCAUAUAAUUACGAUCAAAGUUUACAAAACACCUUAAAGUCCUGUUAAAAAAAAACCCUAAUUGCAUUAAUUAUCAUUUUUUAAUUUCAAAUAAAAGUACAUUAAAAUUUAUGUUAUUAAUAUUCCUCUAAAUAUUCUUUAAAAAAUCCUCCAAAUACAUUCAAUAAUAUAUAUAUAUAUAUAUUUCUAAAUAAAAAGAAAGAGGUUGGGAGUAGCAGCAGCUGACCUGACUACAUUAUCCGUACCAUGCACCCAAAAAAACCGAACCGUUCAACCUACCACUAAUCCACGCUCCAUCCCCCGCACGUGACUACAUUUUUUUUAUCUUCUGUACUGGUCUGAUCUUGACGUUAGACAUUGUAUUGGUGUUAUGCAUGUGGAGAAAAAUGUUUGUGACAGUGUCAUUGGGACGCUCCUUAACAUUCAAGGCAAGACAAAGGAUGGCUUGAAUACCCAUCAAGAUCUAGCUGAUAUGGGCAUACGAUCACAGUUGCAUCCAAGGUCUGAUGGGAAGAAAAUUUACUUGCCCCCAACUUGCCAUACUUUGUCCAAAAAGGAGAAGAUAAGUUUUUGUCAGUGUCUUCAUCGGGUGAAGGUUCCACAAAGAUACUCUUCAAAUAUUAAGAGCCUUGUGCAGUUGAAGGAGCUUAAGCUUGUAGGGUUAAAGUCUCACGAUUGUCACGUACUCAUGCAACAAUUGUUAGCCGUGGCUAUACGAGACAUCUUGCCAAACAAAGUCAGGUUAGCCAUAACUCGCCUGUGCUUUUUCUUCCAUGCUAUAUGUAGCAAAGUCAUUGAUCCUGUCAAGUUUGAUGAGUUGGAAAAUGAGGCCGCAAUUAUACUGUGCUAGUUGGAGAUGUAUUUUCCCCCUGCUUUCUUUGACAUCAUGAUUCACUUGAUUGUGCAUCUAGUCAGAGAAAUCAAAUGUUGUGGUCCUGUUUAUCUACGGUGGAUGUACCCAGUUGAGCGAUACAUGAAGAUCUUAAAAUGGUAUACAAAGAAUCUUUAUCGACCAGAAGCAUCUAUUGUUGAGAGGUACAUUGCAGAAGAAACCAUUGAAUUUUGUUCAAAAUACAUUGAGAAGGCUAAACCUGUUGGCCUUCCUGAGUCUCAGCAUGAUGACAAAGUGGGAGGUAAGGGUUCAAGAGGACUGCAUGUGAUCACUCCAAGUGUAGAACAUUUGUUACAAGCUCACUUGUAUGUCUUGAGCAACAGUAAUGAAGUUUUGCCAUACAUACUUAAGCAUGAAGCUUUAGUCAAACAGAAUAAUUGAUAAUUGCUAAAUAAUAGUGAAUUAAUAGUGGAAAAUCGGUCUAAAAUUAACUUAAGAUUAAUUAUUUAGCAGUUAUUUAUACUUUAAUUUGGAAAGAUUUAAUUAAUUUCGAAUUUUGAUUGCAGAUGCGAAAAAGGGAGGUACAACAAGCAAAAAGGAGCAGAAAUAAAGGAAAAAAGAAGAAAAUCAAAAAAAGCCCAAGCCCAAGUUUGCAUCUAUAAAUAAGAGGGUUAGCCUAGGAAAACAGACACACUUCCUGAGAGCUCAGUUUUCAGACCCUCUGGCACUCAGUUCUCUCCUUUUCCUUCCCUUUUCUUAUAUUCUUAUUUCUUUCUUUCACCCCUCCUCUCGUUGUAAAGCCCUCGUGACCAUGAGUGGCUAAUCCCCUAGCUAGGGCCUGGCAAGCCUAAAAAGCCAAUGAUGUAUGGAGCAUUUUAAGAGUUAUCAAUAAAAAGAGGAAUUCCCUCCAGGUUCUUUAUUUAUUUACCGUUCUUUCUUUUUACAUCCUGUAUCUCUGAACUUGCUUUCUGUUAGGGUUUAGUCCACUCGGGAGAGGGUAAAGCCUAAUUAGGGGUAAGGAAUGAAUACUUGAAUCUGUUUUAAGGGUUAGGCCACUCGGGAGAGGAUAACGCUUAAGAGAACACUAAAAGGAGGAAAUUAUCGGGUUAUAUUUUAUAGGGUUUUUCUUCCAGUUUCUUUUAUCUGCUUUUGCUUCUUGCUUAUUCUGCAUCUCAGACUUUGUUUUCUGUUAAUCUUUAGGCCACUCGGGAGAGGGUAAAGCCUAAUUAGGGAUAAGGAAUGAAUACAUGAAUCGGUUUUAAGGGUUAGGCCACUCGGGAGAGGGUAACGCUUAAUAGAACAAUUAAAGAAAGAAAUCAUUGGGUUAGCAUGACUUAAUGCCUCAAUGCCCAUGCUUUAGCAAACAUCUAGAAUGUAAUCUUAAGGCAUCUUAGUUAUUGAGUCUUCACAAAGGGCAUUUGGAAGAUAGGUAAUUAAGGUAGGCUUGUCAUCAUGAGGCAUCAACGGCAAGUAGAUGGAUAAAUGUGGGGCAGAAUUAGUUCACUGGUAUUGAUAACAGACAAAUCCAGAAUCCAUAUAUCUAGGCUAAUUAGACUUGUCAGGUUUUAGCGAUUUUAAUAUAUAGAUUUUAUUCCUUAUUUUUAUUGUUGGUCUUUCUUAGAAGUGGUUAUUCCUUAUUUUACUGUCGGGUUUUAGGAGUAAGCAAUUAGAUUUAGUAGAUUUAGAUUUUAUUUAUUUGAAUUUCGUAGAAGUAGUUAUCUUUAUCGCAAUUUAAAUAUUUUAUCUUAUCUUAUCUUUAAAUCUUUUGUCUUAUCUUAUCUAUUAUCUUUAUCUUUUAUUUGAAAUUUUAAAUCUUUUAUCUUAUCUAUUAUCUUUAUCCUUUAUUUUAAAUUUUAAAUUUCUUAUCCCUUGCUAGAUUUAGAUUAUAUUUACUAAAUUUACAAUUUACAAACUGAAAAGUACUUCACAUAAGUGCAACAAAAUCCAUGUGGUACGACACUCGGCUUACCGGGAAAUUAUUACUACGAGCGAUUUGGUAUACAUACUUAAGCAUGAAGCUUUAGUCAAAUAGAAUAAUCCAAAAAUGUCAAAGAAUUGGGUGUUGAAAAAGCACAACAAGACUUUCUGUGAUUGGUUUAAAGAUACAAUCUUUGCAGAUGAGAAUGCUUCAAAAACAUUAAGAAAGCUAGCAGAUGGGCCUAAAAGAAAUGUUAUAACCUGGCAAGGAUACGACAUAAACAAGUAUUCAUUUUACACAAAAGCACAAGAUGACAAAAGUACAAUGCAGAACAGCGGGGUCACCCUAAGGGCUGAAUCUCAACACUUCGUAAGUGUGAAUGAAACCAAUCCCUGUGUAGCUUCCAUCCCUUACUUUGGGUUCAUUGAUGAAAUUUGGGAGCUUAAUUAUGUGAAAUUUACUGUUUAUGUUUUCAAAUGUAAAUGGGUUGACAGCAACACCGGUGUACGCACUGAUGAUAUAGGAUUUACGCUGGUAGACCUAAAGAAACUUGGUUACCACAAUGACCCUUUCAUCAUGGCAGAACAAGCUACACAAGUAUUUUACGUGUAAGACCCUUGUGAUGAAAGGUGGUGCGUGGUUCUCUAGGGCAAAAAAAUUGGUGUUAAUGUAGAAGAUGAUGAUUCAUACAUGGACACCUAUGUUAGUCCUUUGACCGCACAAAUCACUCGUAACGUUGUCGGAGAAGAAGAAGCUGACGACGUUCAUGCUAAUCGUAAUGAUCAUGAUGAAGGAGAAUUGAUUAACAUCGUCUAAUGUAAUUUUCUAGAGAGAGAGAGCUCACGAAAGCAAGUAAGUGACAACUACACUUUUUUUUAUCGUUUAAAAUUAUAUCUUAAGUUGUUGCAAAAUUUAUUUAUAAAUUUGUCUUGUUAUUUAUGGAUGGUUUACUGAAGAGGGGGUGAAAUCAGGCAUAAUUCAUCAGUCUUAUAAUAAAAUAUGAAAAAUUUAGUCAAUGGUUUUUUGUACUAGAUGGCAUUCUUAGGACUUCACACAGCUCAUGUUUGUCGCCAGUUUCUUCAUCCACCACCCUUACCUUCUCUGGCUUCUCACGUUUAUUGUUGUUAAACCCAUAUUUAUGCUCUCCUCCCUUCAUGUCUUGUUUUAUCACAACUUUAGCCGAAUCUCCUAUCUUCAGCACAGUUGAAUCUCCNNNNNNNNNNNNNNNNNNNNNNNNNNNNNNNNNNNNNNNNNNNNNNNNNNNNNNNNNNNNNNNNNNNNNNNNNNNNNNNNNNNNNNNNNNNNNNNNNNNNGGUUCGUCUAGCCACUCGCCCCGUGUCGUCUCUGAACCUUUCAAUUUGUUUUGUAAAUUACAGUGUAGUUUACAAAAGAAAAGGUGAAAGGAAAGAUAUUGAGCUGGUAGAGGAGGAAGAACCACAGAUUGGUGCUAAUUGUUCUAGUGCAACCUCUAAUAAAUCUGAGAUUUAUAAGGAGGAAGCACGAAAUGUAGCACAAAAGCAUAAACCAAAGAGGGUGGAGAGUGUCAAUGCUGAUGCAGAAGCCUUUGGUGAUCACUGGAAAGUUUAGAUUGGUCUAUGCAUUCUGAAGCUGAAGCACUAGAACAUAUGAAGAAAAGACAUACAGGUCAUCAAAGUGUGUCAUUGGAGAAUAAGACAGGAGAUUCAACUGUGCUGAAGAUAGGAGAUUCGGCUAAAGUUGUAAUAAAACAAGACAUGAAGGGAGGAGAGCAUAAAUAUGGGUUUAACAACAAUAAACGUGAGAAGCCAGAGAAGGAAAGGGUGAUGGAUGAUGAAACUGGCGACAAACAUGAGCUGUUUGAAGUCCUAAGGAUGCCAUCUAGAUGUGUAUUUUUCAAGGUCUUCAUGUCAUUCCUUCAUCAUUGAUCCCACUUUAACAUCCUUUAAAUCCCAUGCAAAUGUAGCUUUCAGUGCAAACUAUGUAAUCUUCACCUGUCUAUGAUUAUUGUUAUUUGUGCUACACAGUAAUUUUCUUUCAUUUCUUGAAACAAAUUUAAAGCACAAGUAUCACAAGACAUCAUCAACUUGAAUUUAUGAGACUUUUCAUUUAUCAGACAUUUUCACUACUAUUACAUCUUAUCCUGUUUUGAAUCACAAUUAAAAACCACAAGUAAAUCACUUAUGACUUAUCCUCUUUUGAUUAAUCCUUUUUUGAAAGCACACACACACACACACAGACAUAGAGAGACAAAGAGACACACACACACCUACAAUAAUAAAGCAUGACCACCCCCGAACCCCACUAUUCUAGAUUACUUACAUAAAGAACUUUUGAUGUUGAUAAUUGUCUGUAAUCAAAAUUUACAUUUUGUAUGUUGUUGUAUGUUAUUGUAUAAAGGAUCAUGGCUUCUCCACCUGCCUCCCCUCCUCCUCAUUCUCCUUCUCCUCCUCCUCCUCAUGCUCCUUCGGACGCAUUGGCUUCGCCGUCUGUCAUUAAGCGGACAUGCAAAGCCUCACGUCUACAAUCGUUGUCUACUAGACCACCUGGUGCUGAGAGACCAGUGGUCCAUGUUGAUCCUUCUAUCGGCAAGGCCGACGGUCCCCACAGGAAGAAAUUAAGAACAUAUUUGGGGAUUGUGGCGCGUGAUAAGGUGGAUGUCACCUACGAGAAUUGGAAGGAGGUCCCUACUACUCAGAAGGACCUGAUUUGGGAGGAUAUUCAGGUAUUUGUCUUUUCUUAUUUGAUUUUGUUUAAUUAAUAGCCAAAAAAUACAUUAUUGUAACAAAUAAACCCUAUUUGAUGUUGUCAGGCGGAAUUUGAUAUCCUAGAGGCUUCUGACAGUAGGACGAAAAAGAAGUUACUUCAGACCAUGGGGGAGAGAUGUAGGCAGUUUAAAUUAGACCUCACGAGGAAAUGGGCCCUUGCAGCCGAUCAGGAUGGUGUCGAGGACACUGUCUGUGAGAAAUACGACAUUAGCAAGGAAAAAUGGGCCCAGUUUUGCCAGACUCACAGAGACCCUUAUUGGGAGGUAUGUUCCUUGCCAUUUAAGUUGUUUUUCAAAAAACAUGAUGUUGUUAUACUUCAUUCUACCAAUUUGAAAGAUUAUUGUUUAAUUUUUGCAGGAUGUGCGCAAGAAGGCACAGGCCAUCCAGAAGCAGAAUACUGCCCCCCACAUUUUGUCUCGUGGGGGUUAUGACUAUUUGGAGCAGAAGCUCCUGGCUGAGAAGACGAAGAAGAAGCUGGAGGAAGCUGCACAGUCAGGAAGAGUUGAUGGUGUCAUUGACCCUCCAUCCCCAGUUCGACGCCACGUGAAGUGGAAGAUGGUCCGCACGAAGAAAAUAGGGGAGAUGAUGAUUGAGGCCGCAAAGGAAAUCGCUGAGAAGAUCGUAAGUCAUUUUCAACUAACCAUUACAAUUAUAUUUCAAUAUUUUGUGAAUGUCAUGUACCACUGUGUGUUUUCUGUGCAAGAUUCCUUUGAGGAGCAGGCGACACAGGGAUCCUUCGUCCCCUAUGGACAUCAGGAUGUUCUCACCGCUGCUAUUGGACGUCCAGAGCACCCUGGACGUGUCCGUGCUGCUGGAGCCGGUGUCACCAUCAAGCAAUACUUUGGAUCAACUCCACGGAUGUCCCGCAGCUCUUCCUCCCUACCUCCCGAAGAAUUGCAGCAGCUAACCCAGCAAAUUAGGGACUAGCUAGAGGAGUCCAUCACAGAAAAAGUGACGUGGCAGCUCAUGGCAUCCUUCAGCCAGAUGCAGUCCCAGAUUCAGUCUCAGGGACUUGCACUGCCUCCCGAGCCUCUGGUUGGUCCCUCCGGUCCUUGAGUAAGCACAAAGGGGAGUUGUGUUGAUCCUUCAAGAAACGAUCCUGAGACGGGUGACUCUGAUAGGUGCGGCUUGUACAUAGAAGCAGAUCUUGCCCGCCUGGUUGCCCUGGGGAGAGUUUAUGAGGGAUCCACCGUUGUUCAUAACACUCCUUUGUUGCCUGGCCAAGUAAAGGUGAGUAUGGAAGAGGUUACAGAUGCAGAUGCUCCAGUUCCUGUACCCACUGAUGAGGUUUCCUUAGUGAGGCAGGCACUUCACACCUUCCUUGCUCGGCCGACACAUCUGGUCAAGUCUUUAUCACCGCAGGUACUUUACUCUUACUAUAUGUUUCUUCUUUUUAAAUUAAUUCAUUCAGCGUGCCUCAAAUUAGGCCAUUUAACUUUGUUUCAUGAACAGGUAGUUGUGUCUCCGGCAAAACCACCUCCAAAGCCCGAUCCGGAGGUCGAUGAUCCGCUUUAUCUGAUGACAUUGACCAUCUCAGAGCUUUUCUUGAGGCCUUACCAGGUUACAUGGGAUGCCACCAUUUUUGGGGUCUUUAAUCCAGAUUUCCCGCUCUACAUAAAGCACGAAGACCUCUUCGAAAUCGCACACGGUGGUCAAUGUCUCAACAUAUUAGUGUUACAGUUGUGGAUUCUGUAAGUCAUUUUAUAUUACUUUUAAUUACCCAAGUUAUUGCUUUCAAUUCAUAAAUAUUUAACUUUGACUUAACAUAAGCAGGCAUCUCACUGAUACAAGUAUGCGAGCGGGGAAUUCUGAUAUCUAUGGAUUCCUCGAGCCACAGUCCAUUCAGAGGUCUGGGCAAUCGCAAUUUGAGUCUGAAAGUUACAUAAAGACUUGGAUGCAGAGUUCAAAACGCGAUGUCUAUCUUGGAACCUACCUAAAUGGGUAAGUCACACAAAAUAACUGAAUUUAAUUCAUGUUUACUAAUAUACUAACCCAUAUUCGUCUCCACUGUAGCGGACACUGGCAGAUGGUGGUCAUCCUACCCAAGGAACACCUAGUUGUCUGGUUUUGUUCAUUGCAUAACAGGCCAGACAACUACCUUAAGGGGAUUAUUAACAUGUUAGUGUUCUUUUCAAUAUAUUUGCAUUGAAAUACCUCAACAACACCAGUUUUUAAUUGUAACUCAUCUGGAAUAGUGCUUUAAAAGGUCUUGAUGAUGCUCCACAGCCUAAAUCAAAGGCUCCUGCUAGAUGGAUUGUCGUCAAGGUACGUCAUUUACAUAAAACUUCCACUUAUAUAUAUUUCUUAUAUGUCUGUACACUAAUUGUUUAAUUAAUAUCCAAAUUUCAUUAUGUAUUCAGUGUAAUAGACAAAAGGGAAGUACUGAGUGCGGCUACUAUGUCAUGCAUUGGAUGUCCACCAUCAUUUUAGGAACUUUUAGGAAUAACUGGGAAGCGGUACAUUUAUUUCAAACAAAUCCAAUUUUUUAAUAAUUUGUAUUACAUUAUUAACUUAUCAUUUAUUUCAUCAUGCAAUAUUUUAACGAUCCUAGACCAUUGGAGCCAGAGAGAUUAAAGGCGUUGCGGAUCCAGUGGACAUAGUAUUAUCUCCGAGUUAGAGAUCAGACUUAGGGUAUAUGGACAUGAAGUUUAGCUUAGUUUACUUUGGUUUAACAUUUUUGACAUUUCCUAUGUAAUUUGAACAUUGAAUUCAUUUGUUGAUGGUUGUUUAUGAUAAAUCAAUUAUUAAAUGUUUAUUGUGUGAUUAAAACUGCUUGAAAGCAGAAUAAAAUGUUCAUUUACUGUGAAUUGAGUCUGAAAUUACAUUUUACAGGUACAAUUUUGGGUUUAUUGUAAAAACAGAAAGUUUAUAUAAAAAAAAACUUGAAAACAACAUCGGUUAUUAGCAAAAACCGAUGUUACUAAAGAAAACAACAUCGGUUAUUAACAAAAACCGAUGUCAACAUUCACCUUAACAUCGGCUAUUUAUAAAUAACCGAUGUUAAUGUACAUAGGUUAACAUCGGUUGUUUAUAAAUAACCGAUGUUAAACUGUAUGCGGUAACAUCGGUUAGUUAUAAAUAACCGAUGUUAUACAUUAACUACUACAACAAAAUAGUGCAUCAAUGAUGAACGUUGACAUCGGUUUCCUCUAAAAACCGAUGUUAAUGUCACAUAUUAACAUCGGGUUUUUUUGUAAAAAUCGAUGUUAAUGUGACAAGCUAACUUCGGUUUUUACAGAAAACCGAUGUCAACCUCCCUCACGCAUACACUUAUUUUGUUGUACUUAUUUGUUUAUAACAUCGGUUAUUUAUAAAACCGAUGUUAUCAUUUUUAUUUUAACAUCGGUUUUUGAAAAUCGAUGUUAACAACAAUACAUUCAACAUCGGUUUUACAACCGAUGUAAAAUGUCCUAAAUAACCGAUGUUGAAAGUGUAUUUUCUAAUAGUGGUUUUUGAACAAAUGAAGUUGAGGUAUAACAAAGCUUGUAUACUGUUAUGUCCGGAUUAAUUGAAAAGAAAUUAAUUGAAUAAUUUUAAUUAUUAUCGGAAAAGCCUCAAGUUGAUCAUUCAAAGUUAGACGUACCACCAUAUUAGUUCUUUGGCUUGUUAUAGAAAAUUUGUUAUUGUUGUUCAUCAAGGUAAUUGUAUUCUACAAUAUUUUCUUCAUUGUUAAUAAUAUCGAACGUUUUGUAUUUCCAAUGUCUUCAUCUAAGAUUUUGUAAGUAAUGUGAUAUUGUAAUUAAAAUAAUAUUUUUGAAUAUUUUAAUUUAAAAUUAAUAUAUUUUUUGCAAAUUAGUUUUGAUUGGUUCAUUAGUAAAACAAAUAAAAUAUUUCAAAAAUUUGCAAAAAAAAAAAAUAACAUUGGUUGGUCUAAAACUGAUGUAGAAAGCAACUUUACAACAUCGGCUUUGGCCAAAACUGAUGUCGUCAGCACAUUCUAUAUUAGUUUUUUCAAAAAUCAAUGUUGUAAAUGACUUUCAACAUCAGUUUUUUCAGAACCUAUGUAAAAAUAAAUUCAGAAUACACAACUUAACAUCAUUUUUUAGGAAAAAUCGAUGUUUUUGUUUGCACCACAACAUUGGCUUUUUUUAAAAAUCGAUGUUUUUUGCACGAUAACAACAUCGAUGUUGGUUUUUGCAUAUUUUACAUCUUUUGAUUUAUUUCUUGUAAUACGACAUCGGUUUUCUUAAAAAUCAAUGUUGUGCAAUGUAUUUUAACAUCGAUUUUAUAACUGAUGUUAAUGUUGAUACUUUUAACGUUAGUAAUUUCAACAUCGAUUUAAACCUGAUGUUGAAUGUCCAAAAUAACUGAUGUUAAAAAUAUUUUUUUCUAGUAAUAAUAGUUUGACAACUCUGAGCAAUCCUCAAUGGAAAAUUGGCUUAACAAGUUAAGAAUUGACAUGACUAAUUUUAUAUAUAAAGAACAUAACCUAAUUAAUGAAGCUAUACUUAGGGGUUCUAACAAACUUUCUUGAAAAUUUGUCAUCAAAAGUUGUCAACUACUUAACAACGUAACAUUUUUUUAUUUUAGUCUUUUACUUAAAUAUAAACCAUAAAAUAUUGACUUCUAGAGUAGUUAUAAGCUAAUAAAUAGAAAAACUAAAACUCACAUGAACGAAAAAUUGAAAAAAAUAUAUAUAGAAUUGAAAAAUUGAAAAAAAAGUCAAAUUAUAAAACCAAAAAUAUACAAAUAAAUAAUUAUCAAGAUUGAAAUUUAAAAAGUGGAAAGUUGUAAGACCAAAUUCAUAAUUUUUUUAGAAAAGACUAAAUUCAUAUUUAAAUCUUAUCAAAUUAAAUAUACUUCUUGUCAUCUACGUUGUAAAUUAUCUGGACCCUUAAUUUCUUGCUAUAUAGCUAGUUGCAUAUAUUUUUUUGACUUUUGGAUCUAAUGCAAACCACAUAUUUAUUUCAAUUGUCACAUUAAUAAAAUGUCAAAUUGAUGUUAAGGAAGAAUAGUGACACGAAUUUUAAAAUAUGAAGCAUUAACGUCAACCUAUUAGAUUAUUUGGCUAGUACUUUAUUAGUAUAUUUAUUAAAUUUAAUAAAUCUAUAUACUUUUUUAAAAGAAAUAAAUAAAUCUAUCUAUUUAUAUAAUAUAAGUAAAUAAAGUUUGAACAACUUUUAAAUUAAGAUUUUAAACUUCAUAAUAUUCGUUGAUGUGAAGCUCACUUGGGACUAUUAUAACAAUUGAUCAAAACUUAUAUUUCAUAAUAGGGGUUGAUUUUAGUCAAUUUGAUUUAAUAUUAAUGUUAUAAAAAAUUUUAUAGAAUCAAUUCUUCUAGCUGUUUCAUUAUUUAUGUGUAAUAAACAUUUUUAUUUCAUUACAAAUUGAUUUCCAUACAUUUUUCCUAUCUUAUAUGUUCUUCAACACAUAUUUUCAUUUGCUCAUUGUUUUUCAUUCUUAACCUAAUAUUUUUUUAAUGUCUUAAUUGACUUAAACCUAUGAUUUUGUAAUCUCUUUGCAUUUUUUUAGUUUCUCAUUUUACUAUUGACUAAUUUAGUCUACUAAUGCAAAUGUUGCAAUAAAUUAGUCAAACCGUUUAACAUACUAACAAUUUGAUCCUUAAAGUAUUAUUCAUACUUAAUGUCUGAGUGAUCCAAAAAUUAUAUUACUUACUAACAAAUUAGUCCACAACAUACAUGCUUAUAAUAAAUAGUUGGAUUAAUUUGCAACUUUUGCACAUUUGUGUUUAAGGACUAAGACACACACAAACUAAUGUGAAUAUAAAUUUAUAGAAUCAAACUUAAUAAUAACUUUAUAGAACUGUACUUACCAAAAUUUGGAGUUGAGCGACGUCAGGGUCGAUGUGGCCAAGAGGGACUCCACAAUUUCACAUGUCGGACUGAAGACUAUAGAUACCCUCUGUUAGGUUAGGAAAAUAUGAGGGAGAUCUACAAAACAAAAGACUGUAAUGCUUAAGUAAUUGAGUUGAGAAUGAAAUGAAAAUGGUGAGAUAGAACCGAGUAUUUAUAGAGUCAGAUAUGAGCUUUGAGUCCUUAUUUACAGAUCAUUCCUAUCUUGUAGAUAAGUCGUGACUUAUAGAUUAUUUGCCUCUUAUAGAUGAUCAAGUAUCUAUCACUUGAUAAAGGGAUUGUAACAUUAUCAAUAUUCAAAUAUUGAGGUAUAUACAGAUACAUGUUGUCCUAGUAGCCCGCUUGCUAAGGGCUAUGUAUCCGUACUCCUGUGAUAGGGCCGACAUGGAAAGUAAACGUGUGUAUGGGAGCGCCACGUCGAUUGUCAUGUGUAGACCCCAGACAAUGCAUGAACCAGAUCAAAUUGAAUAGCCAUUUAAAGAUUAGAAUUUUAAUAAAGAUUUAGAAGACAAAAUUUUUAAAUUUAUGUGUACAUUUUUUAUGCAACCAAAUUUAGGUAGAUGCAUAUGUAUGAGAGAACAUAGAAUUUAAAAAAUUAAUACUAGUCAGAAAUAAAAGCGAUAAAUUUUUGUUUUUUAAAUUGAAUGGUAAAUUAUCAUUAUAUCUCUAAAUAAAAAUUGCUAAAACAAAAGAAUUUAUUAUUUUUCUUUCAAAAUUUAUGAUAUUGAUUAUUAAUCUAAUUAAGCUAAAAACAAAAAGAUAUAAUUUCAUAACAUAUUUCUUUUUAAAAAUAAAUAUGUAUAUAUAUUAACAAAUCCCACAUUUUAUGUUUUUUAAGAAGUUUUAUGAGCUACAUCAAGUGUACCUUAAAAUUAAAAUAAGUAGUUAUUAUUAGUUAACGCAUUCCUUCCGAACAAAACAGAUGGGUGUAUGUUAGCAAACUCGUGUGUGUACAACCGAUAGAGUGUGUGUGAUGAGUGAUGACUAAUGACUAAUGAGGACGGUUUAUGAGUUAAGCAUGCAUUUGCGCAUCUUGAUAAAUUUGACCGGGACUUACUACAUAGUUGGAGACGAGGACCCGGUUGGUAUAUAUAAAAUGUUGGUAAAUAUUUGUGUUAUAAAUUAAAAUUUAUAAAUAUACAUUACUUAUAUUAAUCCUAUUUUAUAAAAUAAAAUAUUUAUUUUAGAUUUUCUUAAGAUUUCGUUUUAAUGAGUCAACUAGUUUGUUACGUUUCUUUUGACAAUUGUAGGUUGGUUUCCAAUGGUCAUAUUUUGUUGUUGCAAAAAUGCCUAUAUAUAUCUCUUUCCUCUUUUCUAAAAUUGGCACAAGCAGACAAUCUCGUUUCUUUCUCCCAAAAAAAAAUUUCUCUUUCUUUUCUUAUAAAAAACUUAUUUUUUGAAAGCAAGAGCAUUGGUGUUCAGAAGGUUCGGGGAUCCUUUCGCUGCACACGAUCGGAACCAACGGGUUGUCGUAUCUUGGGAGAUGAGCGCAAUCUAAUUUUCCUACCAGUUCAGUAGGGGCGUUUUCUCUCUAAGGAUAGCGUUUGUGUGCUUCAACCCAGGCUAAAUAUUUUUUCCCCUAAUUUAUGUUUUCCUUGUUCUUAUUGUAUGAUAUAGUGCAUUGUUGAUUUAUGUGGCGUCAAUUAAAAUUAUUUUUCUACUGUUAUUUUGUUAUUUAAUUAAAGGCUUUGAAUUUUUCUUCUUAUUUAUUUCUUUCAUUUUUAUUUUAUUUUCCAACAGUCUUAGAGAGAAAAUUUCUUCACUUUCUUCUUGCAUAGUGUUUUCUGCAGUAGCAUUAUAUUUUAUAAAAAUGUCCGCCAUGGAUAUGAUUAAGUCCCUUUCCAGUAAGCCUGAAAAAUUUACGGGUGAAAAUUUUUUAUGUUGGCAACAACAAAUGAAAUUCUGGCUUACUGAAUUAGAUUUAUACUAUGUGAUUUCUAAAAAAGAAAUAAAAACUUUAACUUCCUCUAUUGAUAUAGUUCAAACUAAUGCAACCAAAUCUUCCACCAUUAAGCAUGAUGUUUCUGAUAAAGAUAUUUUAUGUCAUUGACGCAUUUUAGGUGCUUUGGCUGAUAACAUAUAUAAGAUUUUUUGCCAUACCAAAAAUUCUGUUGAGUUAUUGGAAGCACUUGAAUUGAAAUAUGGAUUUGUUGAAAAAGGUUUAAGUCGUUACUCUUGUGAAAAAAUGAUUGAGUUUCAAAUGAUUGAUGGAAAAUAUAUUUCAAAUCAGAUCCAUGAAUUUGAAAACAUUGUUUAUGACAUGAAAUUGAAAGGAAUUUUUUUGCCUGACAUUAUGCUUUUGGCUUUCAUGAUUUCAAAAUUGUCUCCUUCGUGGACUGAUUUUGCUCGAAGCCUGAAACAUAAACAUGAAAGUUUUACCUUUGAUGAUUUGCUUGUCUGUCUCUACGUUGAGGAUAAACAUCGUUCAUCUCAAAAACACUUGCAAAAAUCUGAUUCUCACUCUAAGGCCUAUCUUGUUGAGAGCUCUAGCAAACCUUUCACUAAGUCCUUCAAAAGGCAUGGGUUUAACAAAAAUAAAUUUGGUAGAAAGCCUUCUUUUUCUAAAAAUAAGAACAAUGCUUUUAAUAACAACAAUAAGCCUAAGGAUAAAAAUUCGGGGAAUGAAAUUUUUUGCUUUGUUUGUGGGCGAGCUAAUCAUUUGGCUAAGAAUUGUUUUCAACGUCAUCGCCAGCCUACGUAUUUCCCUAAACCUCAGGCUAAUGUUAUUACCACCAGUGUUGCCUCUGAUUUCCCAUCUGACAGGUACCAUGUCACUAGCCCUGAGUUAAAUUGUGUUUUUAACUCAAAUGAUUGGUUUAUAGACUCCGGGGCUAAUGUUCAUGUGUGUGCUGAUAAAAUAUUAUUUUCUUUAUAUCAGGAAUCAUGCACAGGCACUAUGAGUAUGUGGAAUAGGAGUAUAACACAUGUGUUAGGUGAAGGUCAAGUGAAGUUAGAGCUAUCUUUAGGAAACUUUCUUGUUUUAGAUGGAGUCUAUCAUAUUUCUGAUAUUAGGAAAAAUUUAAUAAGUACUUCUUUGUUAGUCCAACAAGGGUACAAGGUUGUUUUUUUAGUCCAAUAGAGUUGUUAUUACGAAACAUGGUGUUUUUAUUGGUAAAGGCUACAUUUGUGAUGGUUUGUUUAAGUUAAGUCUUAUGUCUCACUAUAUUAAUAAAAUAUCCAAUAUUUCUUCUUUUGUUGCAAAUGUUGAAUGUUCUAAUAUGUGGCAUGCUAGGCUUGGACAUGUGAAUCUGAAUUCUAUCAAAAGAAUGAUGUCUCUUAAUCUUAUUCCUAAGGUUUCCAUUGAUUUAAAACAAAAAUGUGAAACAUGUAUUCAAGCAAAGCAACCUAGAAAGAGUUUUACUACAUGUAUUGAAAGAGAAACUAACUUGCUUGAAUUGGUUCAUAGUGAUGUAUGCGAUAGUAAUGAUGUGUUAACACGUGGUGGUAAGAGAUAUUUUAUUACUUUCAUUGAUGAUUUCUCCAAAUAUUAUUAUGUGUAUUUAGUUAAUCACAAAAGUGAAUUAUUUGAUAAGUUCAAAGUAUAUAAAACAGAAGUAGAAAAUCAAUUAGAAAGAAAAAUUAAAAUUUUACGUUUCGAUAGAGGUGGAGAAUACACAUCUUUAGACAUGAGUAAUUCUUGUGAAAUGCAUGGUAUUAUUCAUGAAGUGACACCUCCAUAUGCUCCUCAAUCUAAUGGUAUUGCAGAAAGAAAGAAUCGUACCUUGCUUGAUAUGGUGAAUGCUAUGCUUGUAAGUUCUGGUUUACCAAGUAAUAUGUGGGGUGAAGCUUUGUAUUCUGCAUGUCAUAUUCUUAAUAGAGUGCCUUAUAAAAUUUUUGAAAAAACCCCUUAUGAGCUAUGGAGAAAAAGAGAACCAAACCUGAAAUAUCUUAAAGUGUGGGGAUGUCUAACAAAGGUAAACAUCCCCAUUAAUAAGAAAAGGAAAAUUGGACCAAAAAUUGUUGAUUGUGUUUUUGUUGGAUAUUCUAUGCAUAGUACUACUUAUAGAUUUUUGGUAGUUAAUUCAGAAGUGUUUGAAAUUUCUAAUGGUACUAUUAUAGAAUCUAGAGAUGCUACUUUCUUUGAAAAUAUUUUUCCUUUGAAAAAUAAAUUGUCUAAAUCUGUUUGUGAUACUUCUUGUUUUAAUUUGUCUUCUUGUAGUAAUUCUAAUAAGGACAUUGUGUUUGAACCUAGGAGGAGUAAAAGAUCUAAAAAAGUUAAGGAUUUUGGUUCUAAAUUUUGCUUUUUUCUGCUUGAAGAUGAUCCUAAAACUUAUGGUGAGGCCAUGAGGUCUAUUGAUGCACCAUUUUGGAAAGAAGCUAUUAAUGAUGAAAUGAGUUCUCUUAAAAUUAAUAAAACUUGGUUUCUUAGUGAUCUUCCCCCUAGUUGUAAAAGUAUAGGUUGUAAGUGGGUUUUCCGAAAGAAAUUAAGAACUGAUGGAUCUAUAGAAAAAUUUAAGGCAAGACUUGUUGUGAUUGGGUGUAAAUAAAUAGAAGGUGUAGAUUUCUUUGAUACAUAUUCUCCUAUUUCUAAAGUUACUACCAUUAGGGUCUUAAUUGCACUUGCUUGUGUUUUUAAUUUAGAAAUUCAUCAAAUGGAUGUAAAAACUACCUUUUUAAAUGGUGAAUUAGAAGAAGAAAUUUAUAUGAUCCAACCUGAAGGCUUUGUAGAACCGGGGAAGGAAAAGAAAUUUUGCAAACUUGUUAAAUCUUUAUAUGGUUUAAAACAAGCUCCAAAACAAUGGCACGGAAAAUUUGAUAAAGUUGUUCUUUCGUAUGAUUUUCAAAUCAAUAAUAGUGAUAAAUGUGUGUAUGUGAAACAAUUUGAUGAUAGUGGAUGUGCCAUUUUAUGUUUGUAUAUGGAUGACAUAUUGAUAUUUGGUAGUAAUAUGCAAUUCAUAAAUGAUGUGAAGUCUUUCUUGUCUAGAAAUUUUGAUAUGAAGGACCUUGGUCUUGUAGAUGUGAUUUUGGGUAUUAAGCUUAUAAAGAAAAAUGAUGGCAUGGUUUUAACCCAAUCACACUAUGUUGAAAAGCUAUUGAAGAAGUUUAAUUAUUUUGAUGUGAAACCUGUUUCUACUCCUUAUGACUCAUCCAUCAAGUUAAAGAAAAAUUUGAGUAAAGGAAUUUCUUCACAUAAAUAUCCUCAAAUUAUUGGUUCUUUGCUGCAUUUGACAAACUUCUCUAGGCCUGACAUUGCAUAUGCAGUUGGUAGAUUAGGAAGGUAUACUAAUAAUUCUGAUCAUUCUCAUUGGAUUGCAUUAGAAAGAGUUUUUAGAUACUUAAAAGGAACCAUUAAUUAUGGCAUUCAUUAUACAUGUUUUCCUGCAGUAAUUGAGGGGUUUAGUGAUGCAAAUUGGAUUUAUGAUUUUGAUGCAACAAAAUCAACAAGUGGUUAUGUUUUUACUUUAGCUGGUGGUGCAAUAUCAUGGAAAUCUGCUAAACAAAUUAUUAUUUCACGUUCUACUAUGGAAGCAGAAAUUAUUGCUUUAGAUACUGCUACUAGUGAGGCUAAGUUUCUUAAAAAUUUGUUAUGUGAUUUGUCAUUAUUGAAUAAGCCUAUACCUCUAAUUCCAAUGCAUUAUGAUAGUCAAGUUUCUAUAUCUAAAGUUACUAGCAAAAAAUUUAAUGAAAAAAGAAGACACUUACAAAAGGGUUGAUUUACAAAAGAAGACACUUACUAGAGUGAGACAUAAGUCUAUUAGAAAUUUGAUUUCUCAUGGUAUCAUUUCUCUUGACUUUGUCAGGUCAGAAAAUAAUAUUGCGGAUCCGCUUACAAAAGGGUUGCCGCAUCAACAAGUACUUGAGUCGUCGAGGAGAAUGGGACUAAAGUCCAUUAUUUAGUUACAACAAUGGGCACCCGUCUCCAUGUGAUUGGUGAUCCCAUGAAUGGAGUUCAACGAGUAACAACGAAGUUGUUUGUUGACUAAAGUACACCAAAAUGAAAUUUGGUGGAGCUGUUCCAUUUCUCAUUCCUAUGACGAGGUGUAUUAUAAAUUAUGGUAAUAUUAAGGUUGAGGUAUUUAUAUAUAUGUAUUUUUGGUAUAAAAAAACCUCUUAAUGAAUCUGAUGACAAUUAAUGUAGAGUGGGGGUCACAACCCACUCUUUGAGGAUUCACCUAGUGAGUGUGGUGGUGGGGCCGCCACUGUGAGAUAUGGGCUAAUCUCUAAGUGACACUCACAAAACAAGAUACAAGUGCAAGGCCAUGUAACGUGCUACUACUGAUUAGAACCUAAUUGAACACCAAUAUUGUAGGGUUUGUGUACUAAAGUCUGGUUAAAGAAUAUGUAGUUCAAGACAAUUAAGUCACUACAUUUUUCUCGAGUGGAAGUUCAUAAACACUAGGUAGAAGGCUCAAACCCGGAAGGUUUCUUAUACUGAAAUACAAUAUCACAUGGUCUUUCUCUUAUGUUUCUAUACAAAUUAUCUUUUAGAAAAUAUAUUUUAAAAUUUUAAAUUAUGUGGGGGAAUGUUGGUAAAUAUUUGUGUUAUAAUUUAAAAUUUAUAAAUAUACAUUACUUAUAUUAAUUCUAUUUUAUAAAAUAAAAUAUUUAUUUUAGAUUUUCUUAAGAUUUCAUUUUAAUGAGUCAACUAGUUUGUUACGUUUGUUUUGACAAUUAUAGGUUGGUUUCCAACGGUCAUAUUUUGUUGUUGCAAAAAUGCCUAUAUAUAUCUCUUCCCUCUUUUCUAAAAAAGGCACAAGUAGACAGUCUCGUUCUCUUUCUCUUGAAAAAAAAAUUUCUCUUUCUUUUCCUAUAAAAAACUUAUUUUUUGAGAGCAAUCCUUUCGCUGCUCAUAAUCGGAACCAACAGGUUGUCGUAUUUUGGGAGAGGAGCGCAAUCAAAUUUUCCUACCAGUGCAGUAAGGGCGUUUUCUCUCUAAGGAUAGCGUUUGCGCGCUUCAACCCAGGCUCAAUAUUUCUUCCCCUAAUUUAUUUUUUUCUUGUUCUUAUUGUAUGAUAUAAUGCAUUGUUGAUUUAUGUGAUGUCAAUUAAAAUUAUUUUGCUACUGUUAUUCUGUUAUUUAAUUAAAGGCUUUCCAUUUUUCUUCUUAUUUAUUUCUUUCAUUUUUAUUUUAUUUUCCAACAUAAAACACUUUUUGCUUUAAUACGAUACAAUACAAUAGAAGGCUAUGAAUAUGAAGAUGUCAUACUCUGCCUUGCUAGUUUUGUUCCUUUCGCUUACCUUCUUCACCCCUUCGACGCUUGCUGGGUUGUGGUUUUCUCCUUUGCGACCUCCUUCUUGUCCUGAUGGUAGUUGUGGGGUACCACGGCAACUCCCUCCUUAUAAGCCCCCACCAUUGUAUAGAUCAACUUCCAAGGGGAAACCUUAAGAUCGAUCAAUGUCCCUAUAGUUCUCUUUGCAGCACCAGCAGAAUGUGUCUACCUCAUCUUCAGCUAGUGUGCUUAUUAGAAUAAUUUAACUUUCUCAAAUGCAUAAGUGAAUAUCGUGAUGUGUCUUAAGCUUGUAUCUGGAUGUGGCUGAUUUAUAAUAAAAUUUAAAAGGAAAAAAAAUAACGGAUAGGACACAUAUAAGGGUGCCUUAUAAUUUCACAAUCGUCCUUUGCUUGUUUUUUCUGUUUUAUUCAUAUUUCUCUUAUUUUGUACUUGUUUAUUAUGGCUUUACAUUGGAAAUCAAUAAAGUAUUACAUCUAUUUGCUUAAUUUUUUCAUAUUUUAUUUAUGAAAAACAAAAUUGAUUGAGCGAAGGGUUCCUUCCAUGCAUACAAAACUACACCAACCAAAUCUCAAAUCUUAUCUUUGUAAGGGUAGAAGACUAAUCAUGUGAGUUAACCUCUCGUUGGCCCUUUUUCAAAUUUCAAAAAGUUAAAAUUUAGUAUUUUGAUUUAGAGCUAGAACCUUUUUCAGAAUCAGAGCUAUGGAUCUGAGCAGCUUUUUUCUUCUUUUUUCAGGCACAAUAUAAUUCAAGCGUUCAAGUCAUUGAUUAAAUUUAUAUGCAGAUUGUGCACAUAUAAACAUAACAACUUCCCCAUAUGUCACUACUAAAAAAAAGCUUUCUACAUCGCCCUAUUAACAUCGGUUAUAGCAAAAACCGAUGUAAACGAAAGCGCAGUGGCAUUUUUGUAAUUAAAUAGAGUUACUUAACAUCGGUUUUAGCAUAACCGAUGUAAACUAAUUGAUGUUAACAUCGGUUAUUUAAAAAACCGAUGUUAACAUGAUGUUAAGAUGAAUAUGGUAACAUCGGUUUGGGAAAAACCGAUGUUAACUUAGAGUUAACAUCGGUUUUGAGAGAUCCGAUGUUAAGGAGUUGAUUUUAACAUCGGUUUGUUAAAAAACCGAUGUAAUGUAUUUGAUGUUAACAUCGGUUUUUACAAAAUCGAUGUUAACUACAUUCAGUUAACAUCGGUUAUCCAUAAAAAACCGAUGUUGUGUUUAUAAGUUAAAAAAAAUAGAGAUUUCAGAAGUCGCGCACGCUCGAAAACCUUGCCCUACCUCUUCUCUUUGUCAUCCUCCUGCCUGAAAUCGCUGUUCUUUUUCUCCUCCCGCCCGAAAUCUGCCGGAAACCGCUCCGUCGACACCCACAUUGUCGUUGGUCGAACCCACAGAACCCCCUACACUGCCGGAAAACCCACAUUGUCCUCGCUGGAACCCACAGAACCCCCGACACUGCCGGAAAACCCAUAUUGUCGUUGCUCGAACCCCACAGAACCCACAUUGUCCUGGCUCGAAGAAAACCCUAGAUACACUGUUGCUACUAGGGUGCUAAAACAGUCGUCAGUGCUCAAAGGUCAAAGCUUUCUCCGCGAGGUACGUAGGUCAAAUUCGUGUAUGCUAAGUUUCGUUGUGAGUGGUUUGACCCGAAUUGAGAGUGGCAUCAGAUAAUAAAGAAAAGGUUUUUGUUUGCGAUUGUACAGGCUCCGCUGACGUGCGAGCGUUGCUGGGUUCUCUUGAUCAAGGUAACACUAACUUCUAUACUUCAUUUGACCUAUUUUAUUUUUUCUGGGUAGUAAUAAGUAAUGUUGCAUGAUUUUUAGUAAGGUGUUAUUUUGUUUGCACUAUAUCAGAGAAUCAACCAUGAUUUCUGUAGAUGGAUCCACAGGGUUGUUGAAAUUGCCUGCAAUUGCUUUAACAUUUUACUGUCCAACAGAGGGGGCUUCACUAUUGUUGUUUUAACAUAUUUUUUGUUUCUUGAGCAAGUAAUGCUUAAGUAUAGAUAAUGUUUUUACCCAACUGGAUUUAAGGAACUGGGUUGCUUGCUCUCUUUUCUAUUUUAUUCGCUUAAUUGUUGAAUGCUUCCAGACUGUUUAUAAACUAUUCACUUGCCUCGUAUUGACAGUUUCUAAAAGUUCUCAUAUCCUGUUAUUGCAAAUUAUGCUUGUAACUGUUUUAAAUAGGUAACUGUUGAUAUUAAAAUAGGUUAUUGCAUUUAGUUAUUUUACGAUGUGGGAUUAAAAUAGGUAACUGUUGAUAACUGUUUUGGAUUAUAAAAAUAGGUAACUGUUUUUCAACAGUUACCUAUUCAAAGUAACUGGGUUCCUCAGUUCUCAUAUUCUUGUAUUGCAUUUAGUUAUUAUGCUUGUAACUGCUUUACAAUAACAUAUCCUGAAGUGAACUGCUUAUGUGUUUGCGUAUUUUUUUUUAGCUUAUCUUCAUAAUCUACAAUGAAAGAGGAAUUGAGACCCUUGGGGAAGGAAGCAUUCACAUGGAAUUCUGCUAUAAAUCUUAGGAAUUCAGGCUUCAAUUCCUUCCAAAAGUGCUUAAUAAAUCUGAAAUUAAAACCAUGUGGCCCUGGGCUUUUGUCAUUGCCACAGGCUCACACAGCACACCUUAUCUCUUCCUCUUUAAAAGGUUUAAUCAUAAUUUCUCUCUGAGUAGAAGGCAGAAUUUUAAAUGAAACCCCAUCCAAGUUAGGUCUGCUCAAGUGAGGCUCAUUGAACCUAUUCUGAAAAUGAUGAAGGGUUUCAGCCAUUAUAAUGUUAGGAUUUUCCACCCAGGUGUCACCAAUCUGCAACCCCCUCAAAGCAUUUCUCCUCCUCCUCAAAUUAAUAACUCUAUGAAAAUAGGAUGUGUUGCUGUCCCCCUCUUUGAUCCAUCUGCAUCUUGAUUUCUGCCUCACAAUAGACUCCUGCAUAGUAGCUUUUUCCCAAAGGUCAGCUUGGGUUUUCUUGAGGUCCUUCACUUGUUGUUCAGAAGGUUGAACUGGCAUAGAAUUCUCCAAGUCAUUUAGUUUCUGUUGAAGCUGUUUGACUUUGCUGCACAGGUCUCCUAUGUUGUCUUUACUUCAGAUUUUCAGCCUCUGUUUAAGAUGUUGAAGCUUGCAUUUUAAAGCAUAACCACCCCACCCCAUAGGCUGAUAAUCUAACCAACUAUCCCUCACUACCUUCUGAAAUUGUUUGAGCAUUAGCCAUCCAUCAUAAACCUUAAAAGGUUUAAGGCCCCAAUCAAUGCAUUUAGAGUGCAUGAUAAUAGGACAGUGGUCAGAGUAAUUCCUCUCAAGGUUAAAUUGGUAGCUGUCAGGCCAUUUGGACAACCUGCCAUUAGAAACACACACUCUGUCCAGUUUGGUGAUGUUCUUAUUCACAAAAUUGAGUGGAGGGUAGUGAGAGACAAACAUAAGAUAACUAAUAUCCCUUUUUUUGGUGAUGUUUUUAUUCAAUAAUGUAUUGCCAUUUGCCUGUUAUAUCUGGCUAUAGAAAAUAAAUCUUGGGUUAUUAGAUGAGGGUUAUUCUGGGAGGGUGAGACAUGAUAAAUUAUACUAGGCUCUUGCAAUAAUUUACUUCUAUGCUGCUACUACCAUUUAGAUUGUUUAAAUGGAUGUGUGGCUUGAUAUUGUAUUAACUGACCUUUAUGUUAUAUAGAUCUUGAGGCUUGCUAGGGAUCUUGGAGAUUUUCUACUUGUUGGAAUACACACAGAUCAGACAGUCAGGUUGGCAACCUUUAUAUCUCUGCCUCCCCACUGUAUUUACUUUUUAAUUUUUUUUUGUACUUAUUAUCAGUGUUAUCAAUGGUGAAUAGUGGCAACCCAAAAAUCCACCAUGGAAUUAAGCCGUAUGGCAUUGUGGCAAAAGUAACAUAAGUAAACUAUUUUUUUAACAUAUCAAACUUUUUAAAAGUAGAACACAUUCUCGAACUUAAAUGAAAUCAAAAGGUUAAAAAGGAAAUACCAAUAGAAAACAUAAUAUAAAUGGAAGCAUGAGCUAUAUAAGCAAGCUGGAAAAAAAAACCUGGACAAGGAAGCAUUUCAAACAUAAUAUGUUGAGUUGCAGUCCCCUUCUUUUAACUACUUUGCUCUAGAUUUCUGUCUUAAAAGGGAUACAUAGGCAUUUGAGACCUCCCUCAAUUGUUGCUGUAAAUCUCUCUUAGCCUUGAUGUCUUCCUCGGAUAGACUUGUAUUGGAUGCUAGAUCUUCCACUUCAUUUAGCUUCUGUUGGAUUUUCUGAAUUCCUUUGUCAUUAAUGAACCCAUAAUCUUUACUCCAUUGCCUUAUGACAUCUUUUAAGUACAUCAGCUUGUUUUUGAGAACAAAACCCCCCCAACCCCCCUGCUGAGCACUACUCCAAGUCUCCCUCACCAAUUUUUGAUACCCUUUUUGAUGAAUCCACCAAUCAGCUACCCUAAAUGGCUUAGGACCCCAAUCCACCAGCAUAGUUUGCAAGAUGGUUGGGCAAUGAUCAGAAAAGUUGUGUGGUAGGACAUGUUGACAUCUAUCAGGCCAAGUAGACAGCCACUGGUCUGAAACCAGGAAUCUAUCAAGCCUACUCUUCACACUACCAUUGGGCCUGAUCCAUGUAAAGCUACUACCAGCACUCUUAACUGGUUUGUUUGUUAGGGUUUAUUUGUUUGUUUUCCUUUCAUGGGGUUUGUUUGUUUUGUUUUCGAAGAAUUUUUCUUAAGUGGUUCUUCCUAUGGUCAUCAUGGCUUGAAUAGUCAGCUUGUGCUGAAAGUCAUGUGAAUUGUGCAGUGUGCAAAUGAAACAACUACUAGUACUAUUGUAGACAAGUUUUCCUUCUCCAUUACUCACGGAAAAAGCUAAACCCAUUAUCAUUAUGGUUCUUCUCUAUUUGAAUACUGGACAACCCUCAUAUUGUUGAUAAAAGGCUUUAAAUACACUGUGGCUAAUUUCUGUAUGGUUUUUUUUAGGGUUAUCAUUUACUACUGCUAAUUGGCGUUGCUGUGGAAGCGCUUUGAUUAUAUCUUUGAAGCCCCGAACUCAGGUAUUUAUAUGUUUGAUUCAAAAACUAAUUUGAAAUUGUUGUUGUAUGCAUUACUGGUAUAUUUGUAACUUAUGCUAUGCCUGUCUACAUGACCUUUCUUUCAUUGGACUGAUAUGUUCAUGCCUUCUCUAUAUAAAUGUUGUGAUUGCCACUGCCCUUCUCUCUGUCUUCUAUUAUCUUUUUUUUUUAUCAGCAAAAUUAUAAUUUGUAUUAAUAACUGUGAGUACCAAAGGUACUAAAUAUACAAGGUAGAAACCAGCAGACUAGCAGAACCAUAGGUCCUACGAAUCAGGUGCCAAUCUAAAUAGAAUACAAUAACCCUGCACUGCUACCCUAAUCAAAAAAUGUUGUUGAUAAAUUACUAGACAAAUAGUUGUAGGGCUGCGCAAAGCCUUUCUCCAGCUGUCUUCUCCGCAAAUUCCCUUUAGUUGGGAUUCUAUCUUUGAUCAAUCGGCAAGCAAAUGUUUUUUUUUAUCAGCAAAGAUAAAUAUAUUAUAUUGAAAUAAAGUACCAGAGGUACUAAUUACAAAGGUAUGGACUAUUAUAUGUAGUACAUAAGUAGUCUAAUAGGUCUACUUGUGUAGUGUACAAGUAUUUCUGAAACUAUGUGCACUCCCUCUACAAAAACAAAAAGCCAUGUCUAAUAUUACUUGACCACUGAUUAUAGUGGACUAUGAAGUCCUUCUCAAAUUGUCUAAGCCAAGUCCAAAUUAUAAAGAUAGCAUCUUCAAAAAGCCGAUUAGUAUCAAAUUCUGCAUUUGAAAACAAAAUUCUGUUUCUGAGCUUCCAUAUAGACCAUGUUACUGCCAACCACCAAUACCUCCAUCGUUUAGCCCUUAAUCCUUCGAUCUGGAUAGAAAUGUGCUGCAUGAAGUGCUGUUGCGGGCUGAAGGGGAAAGCGCCUUUGAUAUUCAUCCAUGACAUCGAUUCCCACCAAAUUGGUUGGAUUUUUAUGCAAUGAAUAAAUAGGUGAGAUUCAUCUUCCAUAGCUCCACUGCAGAAAGGGCAAAGCAUAUUGUUGAUCUGUAUUUUCCUUUUUCGCAGAUUCUCCUUUGUGGGUAGUCUGCCCCUGCAUAAUCUCCAAGCGAAUACCGCAAUUUUGCUAGGUAUCUUUGUCUUCCAUAGUUCCAUACUCCAAUCCUCCUUCUGGCCACCAGCAAUUUCCUCCCAUAUCAGAUUGUAGGCGCUGCGAGUUGUGUAAAUCCCUGAUGAAUCUCCUAUCCACUCCCAAAUGUCAAUUUGUUGUUGCUGUAUGCUUUGUGCUUCUACCUCCCUAAGGAAACUGAUGGCAGUAUCAAUUUCAUUGUCAAAAAGCAGUCUUCUCCAGGAAAAAUUCCAUUCCCAGCCCAUGUCAUUUUGAGUUCCCAUCUGCCUAAUGGUGUGAUUCUGCUGUGAGGAUAUAAUAAACAGCCCGGGGUACCUUUCUGCUAGCGACUCUUGUUGAUUAAUCCACUUAUCUGUCUAGAAUCUAACUUUCUCUUCAUCCCCCACCUUCCACCUCAUGUUAUUUUGAAUAACCAGUCCCUAUUGAGAUUGAUUGAAAGCUUGUUUUAGAUCCCUCCACCAAACAGAUUGUUUUGUUGAAUUUCCUGUUUCUUCAAGGUUCCUCCAUCCACCAUAUUUGGAAUUCAAAACUCUGGUCCACAGCUCACCAUUUUCUUGCAUUAAUUGCCACUUCCAUUUUCCAAGUAGUGCGAGGUUGAAUGUUUCAAUAUCCUUGAUGCCCAGGCCACCCUUUUCUUUUGGUAAACAUACCGAUUUCCAUUUAAUCCAUGCAAUCCUUUUGUGAUCUAGUCCUCCUCCCCAUAAAAAACUUCGUUGCAGGUUUAAAAAUUUAUCCGCUACUGAUUUUGGCACCCUGAAAAAAGAAAAAAGGUAAAUUGGAUUUGAUGUNNNNNNNNNNNNNNNNNNNNNNNNNNNNNNNNNNNNNNNNNNNNNNNNNNNNNNNNNNNNNNNNNNNNNNNNNNNNNNNNNNNNNNNNNNNNNNNNNNNNNNNNNNNNNNNNNNNNNNNNNNNNNNNNNNNNNNNNNNNNNNNNNNNNNNNNNNNNNNNNNNNNNNNNNNNNNNNNNNNNNNNNNNNNNNNNNNNNNNNNNNNNNNNNNNNNNNNNNNNNNNNNNNNNNNNNNNNNNNNNNNNNNNNNNNNNNNNNNNNNNNNNNNNNNNNNNNNNNNNNNNNNNNNNNNNNNNNNNNNNNNNNNNNNNNNNNNNNNNNNNNNNNNNNNNNNNNNNNNNNNNNNNNNNNNNNNNNNNNNNNNNNNNNNNNNNNNNNNNNNNNNNNNNNNNNNNNNNNNNNNNNNNNNNNNNNNNNNNNNNNNNNNNNNNNNNNNNNNNNNNNNNNNNNNNNNNNNNNNNNNNNNNNNNNNNNNNNNNNNNNNNNNNNNNNNNNNNNNNNNNNNNNNNNNNNNNNNNNNNNNNNNNNNNNNNNNNNNNNNNNNNNNNNNNNNNNNNNNNNNNNNNNNNNNNNNNNNNNNNNNNNNNNNNNNNNNNNNNNNNNNNNNNNNNNNNNNNNNNNNNNNNNNNNNNNNNNNNNNNNNNNNNNNNNNNNNNNNNNNNNNNNNNNNNNNNNNNNNNNNNNNNNNNNNNNNNNNNNNNNNNNNNNNNNNNNNNNNNNNNNNNNNNNNNNNNNNNNNNNNNNNNNNNNNNNNNNNNNNNNNNNNNNNNNNNNNNNNNNNNNNNNNNNNNNNNNNNNNNNNNNNNNNNNNNNNNNNNNNNNNNNNNNNNNNNNNNNNNNNNNNNNNNNNNNNNNNNNNNNNNNNNNNNNNNNNNNNNNNNNNNNNNNNNNNNNNNNNNNNNNNNNNNNNNNNNNNNNNNNNNNNNNNNNNNNNNNNNNNNNNNNNNNNNNNNNNNNNNNNNNNNNNNNNNNNNNNNNNNNNNNNNNNNNNNNNNNNNNNNNNNNNNNNNNNNNNNNNNNNNNNNNNNNNNNNNNNNNNNNNNNNNNNNNNNNNNNNNNNNNNNNNNNNNNNNNNNNNNNNNNNNNNNNNNNNNNNNNNNNNNNNNNNNNNNNNNNNNNNNNNNNNNNNNNNNNNNNNNNNNNNNNNNNNNNNNNNNNNNNNNNNNNNNNNNNNNNNNNNNNNNNNNNNNNNNNNNNNNNNNNNNNNNNNNNNNNNNNNNNNNNNNNNNNNNNNNNNNNNNNNNNNNNNNNNNNNNNNNNNNNNNNNNNNNNNNNNNNNNNNNNNNNNNNNNNNNNNNNNNNNNNNNNNNNNNNNNNNNNNNNNNNNNNNNNNNNNNNNNNNNNNNNNNNNNNNNNNNNNNNNNNNNNNNNNNNNNNNNNNNNNNNNNNNNNNNNNNNNNNNNNNNNNNNNNNNNNNNNNNNNNNNNNNNNNNNNNNNNNNNNNNNNNNNNNNNNNNNNNNNNNNNNNNNNNNNNNNNNNNNNNNNNNNNNNNNNNNNNNNNNNNNNNNNNNNNNNNNNNNNNNNNNNNNNNNNNNNNNNNNNNNNNNNNNNNNNNNNNNNNNNNNNNNNNNNNNNNNNNNNNNNNNNNNNNNNNNNNNNNNNNNNNNNNNNNNNNNNNNNNNNNNNNNNNNNNNNNNNNNNNNNNNNNNNNNNNNNNNNNNNNNNNNNNNNNNNNNNNNNNNNNNNNNNNNNNNNNNNNNNNNNNNNNNNNNNNNNNNNNNNNNNNNNNNNNNNNNNNNNNNNNNNNNNNNNNNNNNNNNNNNNNNNNNNNNNNNNNNNNNNNNNNNNNNNNNNNNNNNNNNNNNNNNNNNNNNNNNNNNNNNNNNNNNNNNNNNNNNNNNNNNNNNNNNNNNNNNNNNNNNNNNNNNNNNNNNNNNNNNUAUUAUUUAUAUUUACAUAUAGCUCAAUUGAACAGUAAAAUCUAAAGGACAAAUAGUUAAGAAAGUUGUUCAUUAGCUGCAAAUAUCCUUCCCUCCUCAAGUGCAAGCUUCUUGCGUAGCCGUUCUUGGUGCUCAGAAAAUCCCAAAAACAAAUCCCUCUUAUUACUAGCUAUUUUGAAUUCUUUAGUUCCUGAAUGUACAACCUUCAAAUUGUUGCUCGUUCCCCUCUUUCUUUUUUGCAAAAAAGAAAAUCAAUAUCAAAGAAAACAUGGAUGAAGUCCUAAGAAAAUUAAUAUCAAAGAAAACAUGGAUGAAAUCACAAUUAAAAAGCACAACUACCAAUCUUUCAUAGUCCUUUGGUUAAUUUGUCUUGUCUCUUUAUGUGGUGGGGUUUUGUUUAAUAAUAUUAUACUUUUGCCUUCCAAAAAAAACUUAUGAUUGAUCCUCUUUUCAUUAAUCCUAUUUUGUAUGUUAUUGUAUAAAAGAUCAUGGGUUCUCCACCUGCCUCCACUCCUCCUCCUUCUCCUCCUCCUCCUCCUCCUUCUCCUACUCCUCCUCGUUCUCCUCCUACUUCGGACGCAUCGGCUUCGACGUCUGCCAUGAAGCGGACACACAAAGCCUCACAUCUACGAUCGUUGUCCACUAGACCACCUGGUGUUGAGAGACCAGUGGUGCAUGUUGAUCCUGCUACCAGGAAGGCCGACGGUCCCCACAGGAAGAAAUUAAGAACAUAUUUGGGGAUUGUGGCAUGUGAUACAGUGGACAUCACCUAUGAGAACUGGAAGGAGGUCUCUACUGCUCAGAAGGACCUGAUUUGGGAGGAUAUUCAGGUAUUUCUCUUUUCUUAUUUGACUUUGUGUAAUUAAUAGCCAAAAAAUUUCAUUAUUGUAACAAAUAAACUUUGUUUCAUGUUGUCAGGCGGAAUUUGAUAUCCCAGAGGCUUCUGACAGUAGGACGAAAAGGAAGUUACUACAGACCGUGGGGGAGAGAUAGAGGCAGUUUAAAUCAGACCUCACCAGGAAAUGGGCCCUUGCAGCCGAUCAGGACGGUGUCGAGGACACUGUUUGCGACAAAUACGGCAUCAGCAAGGAAAAGUGGGCCCAGUUUUGCCAGACUCGCAGAGACCCUUCUUGGGAGGUAUGUUCCUUUGCCAUUUAAGCUGUUUUUCAUAUUAAACAUGAUGUUGUUAUACUUCAUUCUACCCAUUUCAAACAUUAUUGUUUAAUUUUUCCAGGAUGUGCGCAUCAAGGCACAGGCCAUCCAGAAGCAGAAUACUGCCCCCCACGUUUUGUCUCGUGGGGGUUAUGAUUAUUUGGAUUAGAAGCUCCAGGCUGAGAAGACCAAGAAAAAGCUGCAGGAAGCUGCACAGUCAGGAAGCGUUGAUGGCGUCAUCAACCCUCCAUCCCCGGUUAGACGCCACGUGAAGUAGAAGAUUGCCCGCACAAAGAAGACAGGGGAGAUGACGACUGAGCCCGCAAAGGAAAUCACUGAGAAGAUUGUAAGUCAUUUUCAACUAACCAUUACAAUUAUGUUUGAAUAUUUUGAGAAUGCCAUGUACCACUGUGUGUUUUCUGUGCAGGAUUCGUUUGAGGAGCAGGCCACAUAGGGAUCGCUCGUCCCCCAUGGAUGUCAGGAUAUUUUGGCCGCUGCUAUUGGACGUCCAGAGCACCCUGGACGUGUUCGUGUUGCUGGAGCCGGUGUCACCAUCAAGCAAUACUUUGGAUCGGCUCCACGGACGUCCCACAGCGCUUCCUUCCUACCUCCUGACGAAUUACAAUAGCUGACUCAGCAGAUCAGGGACCAGCUAGAGGAGUCCAUCAUAGAGAAAGUGACGAGGCAGGUCAUGGCAUCCUUCAGCCAGCUUCAGUCACAGAUGCAAUCUCAGGGACUUGUAGUGCCUUCUGAGCCUCUGGUUGGUCCUGGUCCCUUCGGUCCUCGAGUGAGCACAAAGGGGAGUUGUGUUGAUCCCUCAGGAAACGAUCCUGAGACGGGUGACUCUGACAGGUGCGGCUGGUACAUAGAAGCAGAUCCUGCCCGCCUGGUUGCCGUGGGGAGAGUUUAUGAGGGAUCCACUGUUCAUAGCACUCCUUUGUUGCCUGGCCAAGUAAAGGUGAGUGUGGACGAGGUUAAAGAUGCAGAUGCUCCAGUUCCUGUACCCACUGAUGAGGUUUCCUUAGUGGGGCAGGCACUUCACACCUUCCUUGCUUGGCCGACACAUCUGGUCAAGUCUUUAUCACAGCAGGUACUUAUUGUCCUCACUAUAUGUUUCUUCUUUUCAAAUUAGGCUAUUUAACUUUGUUUCAUGAACAGGUAGCUGUGUCUCCGCCAAAACCACCUCCGAAGCCCGAUCCGGAGGUCGAUGAUCCGCUUUAUCUGAUGACAUUGACCAUCCCAGAGCUUUUCUUGAGGCCUUAUCAGGUUAGAUGGGAUGCCACCGUGUUCGGGGUCGUUAAUCCAGAUUUCCCCCUGUACAUAAAGCACGAAGACCUCUCCGAAAUUGCACACGGUGGUCAAUGUCUCAGCAUAUCAGUGUUACAGUUGUGGAUUCUGUAAGUCUUUAAAUAAAAGGAUUUUAUUUACCUAAGUUAUGGCUUUCAAUUCAUAAAUAUUUAACUUUGACUUAACAUAAACAGGCAUCUCACUGAAACAUGUAUGCGAGCGGGGAAUUCGGAUAUCUAUGGAUUCCUCGAGCCACAGUCCAUUCAGAGGUUUGGGCAAUCGCAGUUUGAAUCUGAAAGUUACAUAAAGAGUUGGAUGCAGAGUUCAUAACGCGAUGUGUAUCUUGGAGCCUACCUAAAUGGGUAAGUCACAAAAUAACAAAAUUUAAUUAAUGUUUACUAAUGUACUAACCCAUUUUAGGUUCCACUGCAGCGGACACUGGCAGAUGGUGGUCAUCCUGCCCAAGGAACACUUAGUUGUCUGGUUUUGUUCAUUGCAUAACAGGCCAGACAACUACCUUAAGGGGAUUAUUAAUAGGUUAGUGUUCUUUUCAAUACAUUUGCAUUGUAAUACCUCAACGUACAACACCAAUUUUUAAUUGUUACUCAUAUGGAACAGUGCUAUCAAGGGUCUUGAUGAUGCUCCACAGCCUAAAUCAAAGGCUCCUGCUAGGUGGAUUGUCGUCAAUGAUACGUCAUUUACAUAAAACUUCCACUUAUAUAUAUUUCUUUAUGUGUCAGUACACUAGUUGUUUAAUUAAUAUCCAAAUUUCAUUAUGUAUUUAGUGUAAUAGACAAAAAGGAACUACUGAGUGCGGCUACUAUGUGAUGCACUGGAUGUCCACCAUCAUUUUAGGAACUUUUAGAAAUAAUUGGGAAGCGGUAAGUUUAUUUCCAAAAAAAUCAAUUUAUUUAUAAUUUGUAUUACAUUAUUAACUUAUUAUGAUUUAUUUCAUCAUGCAGUAUUUUAACGAUCCUAGACCAUUGGAGCCAGAGAGAUUAAAAGCAUUACGGAUCCAGUGGGCACAGUUUUAUCUCCGUGUUAGAUAUCAAGCCUAGGAUUUAGGGACAUUUUUUAACAUUUUUUACAUUUUCUAUGUAACAUGAACAUUGAAUUCAUUUGAUGAUUGCUCUUUAUAAUAAAUCAAUUAUUUUAUUUUUAUUAUCAUAAAAACUGCUUGAAAGCAGAAUAAAAUGUUUAUUUGUUGUGAAUUGGGCCUCCUGAAAUUGCAUUUAACAGGUACAAUUUUGGGUUUAAUGUAAAAACAAAAAAUAUAUAUAAAAAAAUACUUGAAAACAACAUCGGUUAUUAACAAAAACCGAUGUUAAUAUCAUAACCAACAUCGGUUAUAAUAGAAAACCGAUGUUAACGUUUGUAUAUUAACAUCGAUUAUUUGAGUAUAAUCGAUGUCAGCGUUUGUAUUUUAACAUCGGUUAUCUGUGGAUAACCGAUGUCAACUAUUGUACAUUAACAUCAGUUAAUUAUAAAUAACCGAUGUGAAUAUUGUGCCGUUAACAUCGGUUAUGUACAAAUAACCGAUAUUAUACACAAAGAACUACACCAAAUAAGUGUAUGCAUCAUCAACGUUGACAUCGGUUUUCUAGCAAAACCGAUGUUAAGGGCAUAUAUUAAAAUCGUUUUUUUUUAGAAAACCGAUGUUAAACUAACAUAUUAACAUCGAUUUUACUGGAAAAUCGAUGUCAACGUUCAUCAUGCGUACACUUUUUUUUGUUGUUGUUCAUUGUGUUUAACAUCGGUUAUUUAGAGAACCGAUGUUGUCAUAUUUAUGUUAACAUCGGUUCUCCAAAACCGAUGUUAACAUUCAUACAUUCAACAUCGUCACUUUCAACAUCGGUUUUAGAACCGAUGUAGAAUGUUCUAAAUAACCGAUGUUGAAAGUGUAUUUUCUAAUAGUGUGUGGGCAGUUGUAACAAACCGUAUACAUCCAAAUCACCAAAAGUAACCAUAUAAUAACUAAUGAACAUAACACCAAAAGAAUUCAGAUCACCAAACCUAAGAAGCCUCUACGUCCCAGAGAGAAUCUGUAUUUGUUGGAAUUGAAAUGACCGAUGUCAACGUUGCCACACUAUGCUAAAAUGAUAGUGAUAUGAUGGUGAUACUAAAAAUGACUACAAAAAUUUGAGUAAAUAAUCCUAUAUUUCAAAGAAAUUUGUACCAUGCCAAAAGAGGAAAAGAAGCUAAGAGAAGUCUUAGAUUCAAAUCAUUCCCACAAAUAAAAACUAAUAAACUAACCAUUAACAUUGUUUUUUAAAAAACAAAAAAAAGUUGAUUUAGGGUUAAGGAACCAAAAGGACUAGAAAAAAAAAGUGAGUUUCAGAAAUGAUGUAAUACAGUGUGAAUACGGGCUCUUGUUUCUCAAAGUACGUGAGACAAAUAUCAAUUCAAAAUUAAAAAUAAUAGAUAGUUGAAAUUAAAAUAUUUAAUAUUUAAAAAUUAUAAUUAAAAUAUAAUAUAAUAAUUAAAUCUCUAAAAAAUUUAUCAAACAAAUCAUAUUCUAAAAUAUCUAUCAUUAGCGCAUCAUCAUCAUAGUGUUUGUAACCACCGUAUUGUCACCGCAGCCUCCAUCAUGAUGUUGAUAAUGAUGAUGAUUAUGAUGACAGUAGUGAUGACGAUGAUGACCUUGAUAGCAUAGAUGGUGGAGGUUGAUGAAAAUAGAGACAUUAGUGAUUAUGGUAGUGGUUACAAAGAAAUGAUAAUGACACUUGACAGUAAUGACUAUUAUCAUAAUGGUUACAAUGAUGAUCAUAAUAGUGACUACAUCAAGAAUUAAUCUUAUUAUCUAUAAGCUAAGUUUGAAUAUCAUCAAAUGAAUCAUAAUAUAUUAGUUAGUUUAUGAUAAAAAAAAUGUUACAAUUUAUUGUAGCCAUGAGAAUUUAUGAAAAAAAAAUUCUAACAUAGCAUCUUUUACAUGAAAUUGGUACUACUUGUACUUUGUUACUUCUUUCAUGAUAUAAAAAAAAAUAAAAAAUCUUACUUGAGAUAGACUGACAUUAAUGUUUCAUAUUUUCAAAAAAAAUUAUGUCAUUGUCCUUUAUUCACAUCACUUUGUCGAUGUGCUAACAGGGAAAUUAGCAUAGAUAUCUGGUUCACAUUAGAGCCAAAAUACCAAUAAAUGUAACUAGCUAGAAAGAAUGUAGGAUCCAAACAAUUUUGUAGUAAACGACGAUAUUAAUUUUGGUAAACUAACGUUUCAACAGCUGAGAAAGAAGGAGCUCCUUGACUUAGAAGCAUACACGCAAGUAUGAUGUUUAGUCUAUUUUCUUAUAAGAUUUAACCCGACCUCUAAAUAUAUUAAUUAAUAAUCCUAAAUAUACAACAUGUAGGUUAGUGAACUUAAAUUAUUAAUUAGACUAGUUAACAAGUUUAUAAUUUUAAAAUAUGAAACAUUAAAGUCAACCUAUUGAAUUAUUUGGCUAGUACUUUAUUAGUAUAUUUAUUAAAUUUAAUAAAUAUAUAUACUUUUGUUAAAAGAAAUAAAUAAGUAUAUCUAUUUAUAUGCAAUAAGUAAAUGAAAUUUAAACUUCUAUGAACCCCGUUGGAUUGAAAUUUUAAAUUUCAUAAUAGUCAUUAAUUUGAAACUCACUUAGAAACUAUUAUAACAAUGGAAGAAAACUUAUAUUUCAAAAUAGCUGUUGUUGAUUUUAAUAAAUAUGAUUUAAUAUUAAUUUUAAUAAAAAAUAUUUUAUUGAAUCAAUUCAUCUAGCAGUUUCAUUAUUCAUAUGUAAUAAAUACUUUUAGUUCAUUACAAAUCAAUUCGUUUAUUCCGAUAAACAUUUAAAUCAUCACCAUAUUCUAUCUUAUAUGUUAUUUCACACAUAUUUUCAUUUAAUUCGUGUUCACUUUCAAGUUUCAAAUAUAGUUUUUUUAUUCAUGAAUAUAUGUUGUUGUUGUUUUUCUGAAUUGUACAUGAAUAUUUGUUUUUUUAUGGAUACAUGAAUAUUUGUUAUUAAUUUAAUAAUUAACAUAGAUGCAAUCAAUUUAAUUAUCAUAUUUUAGUUUUAAAAUAUAUCAUCAACUUACUAUAAAAAAACUAAAAUGAUUACAUAGAUUCCUAUUAAAUUCCUAAGGGUUAAUUUUAUUUGUGAGAAUUAAAGACAAAAUUUAUAAUAACUCAUAUACUCUAUUCAAUCAAGUGAGUUAGAUCUCCUUAACCUCUUUGCUACAUAUAAAGAUAAAGAUAAUAAUUUUUAAUGAUAAAUAAUCCUUACUAUACUAAUAAUUUAAAAUGACAAAUAUUAAUUUUUUGUUCAAAAUAUCUAAAAUAACACUUUAACUUAAUUAACAACUAUAUUUAAUUAAUAAAAGUCACACUAUUUCAAUAAAUUUAAUUUUUCUUACAAUAAUCCACAAGAAUUCAUCAUCACCACUCAUUCAAAAAUAAUCCAAACAAUUCAUCUUUGAAACCACCUACAUUUUGAAAGAGGUGCAACCUCAUGAAAGUAGUGUCUAUGCUUUGAUGGGCAAUAUCUAUAGAAGGUGUCACAUGCAUGAGAGAGCAAUGUUUCAUUACGAUGUUGCUUUAGAUUUGAAACCAUUUGUAAUAGAUGCUACUACAAUUAAGGUGAGUGGCUUAUAAUAGCUUUACAACAAUCCUUUUCGUCUCCGAACUCAUUACCAGUUUUUACAAAUAAUUGAUAUUUCUGCUCUAUUGAUUGGUUUGGUAAUUGUUUAGUUAAUUUGUAUGAUCACUAUAGUAUACGUAGGAACUUAUGGUUGCUAUAAUUAUUUAUUUGUUUUCCUAUGUGACUUGAAGCUUCUUAUUUUUUAAACAGGUUGUUGUUGAGAAAUUGAUUAUAUCUUAUGAGUUCCAAGACGAAGAGGACUAUUAGCUCUGCCUUUCAUUUACAAGUUCAACUAAAUGCAGUGUCUGGAUUUAGUUCUGAUGAGAAAACUAUCAAGGCAAUUUAUGAACAAAUGAAGUUGUGGUAUAACAAAGCUUGUAUACUGUUAUGUAUGGAUUAAUAGAAAAGAAAUUAAUUGAAUAAUAUUAAUUAUUAUUGGAAAAGCCUCAAGUUGAUCAUUCAAAGUUAGACGUACCACCAUAUUAGUUCUUUGGCUUGUUAUAGAAAAUUCGUUAUUGUUGUUCAUCAAGGUAAUUGUAUUCUACAAUAUUUUCUUCGUUGUUAAUAAUAUCGAACGCUUUGUAUUUCCAAUGUCUUCAUCUAAGAUUUUGUAAGUAAUGUAAUAUUGUAAUUAAAAUAAUAUUUUUGAAUAUUUUAAUUUAAAAUUAAUAUAUUUUUUGCAAAUUAGUUUUGGUUGGUUCAUUAGAAAAACAAAUAAAAUAUUUCAAAAAAUUUGCAAAAAAAAAACAUCGGUUGGUCUAAAACUGAUGUAGAAAGCAACUUUACAACAUCGGUUUUGAGAUUUUUCUUGUUUUGAAUCAUUUUUGCAAGUUUCCUAAAUGCUUGAAAUGCAUGAUUCUUAUGAGUGAUAAAUAGUGUCCAAGUGUAUCUAGAAUAAUCAUCAACUAUAACAAGGGCAUAAUAACUUCCUCCAAAACUCAUAAUUCUAGAAGGGCCAAACAAAUCCAUGUGUAGUAAUUAUAAAGGUUGAGUAGUUGAAUCAAUGUUUUUGGAUUUGAAUGAAACUCUAGUUUGUUUUCCCUUUUGGCAUGCAUCACAUAGUCUAUCUUUUUCAAAUUUUAGUUUUGGCAAUCCAACAACUAAAUCUUUUGAAAUUAAUUUGUUUAAGUGUUCCAUGUUAAUGUGAGCAAUCCUUUUAUGUCAUAGCCAUGGAUCAUUAUCUUUGCUAAGAAAGCAUUGAUUAUCACCUAGUUUUUGACUUAAGUCUAUCAUGUAAACAUUAUUGACUCUAAACCCUAUAUGCUUUAUAUUUGUAUCAUGUCCAUGUUCAAUGACGCAUUUUUUAGAAUCAAAUGAUACCAGAUAGCCUUUAUCACAUAAUUGACUAACACUAAUGAUGUAAGCUCCAUUGGAGCUUGUAGGCCUAGGAUCUUCUUCAUCAAUGGAUUCCUUUGCUUCUUGGAAGAUGAAUGGCAGUGGAAUGGAGAAGAGAAAAGAGAGAGGAGACGCCACUUCAAGGAGAAGAUGAGUCUAGAAGAAGCUCACCACCAUUGGAAGCCAUGGAUAAGAGCUUGGAGGAAGAAGAAGAUGAAUGAAGGGAGAGGGAGAGAAGAGCACAAAAUUUUGUGCUCUAAAUGAGCUCUGAAAUCUGAAGUUUAAUAUUCAAAUGAUCAAAGUUGAAAAAAAUGCACACACAUGACCUCUAUUUAUAGCCUAAGUGUCACACAAAAUUGGAGGGAAAUUUGAAUUUCAAUUCAAAUUUCACUUGAAUUUGAAAUUGAAUUUGUGGAGCCAAACUUUGGAGCCAAAAUUUCACUAAUUAUGAUUAGUGAAUUUUAGUUAUGGUUCAGCCCACUAAUCCAAAAUCAAUUCCAAGAUUCUCCACUAAGUGUGCUUAGGUGUCAUGAGGCAUGUAAAGCAUGAAGGACAUGCACAAAGUGUGACUACAUGAUGUGGCAAUGGGGUGUAGUAAGCAAAUGCUCACCUCCCCCUCUAAAAUUUAAUUGGAUUGAGCUUCUACCAAUUAAAUUAAAUUUAUUUCCAACCACACAUCAAAUAUUCACUCAGUGCAUAUGAAAUUACAAAAUUACCCCUAAUACAAAAACUAGUCUAGGUGCCCUAAAAUACAAGGGCUGAAAAAUCCUAUAUUUCUAGGAUACCCUACCUACAAUAUGGGGCCCUAAAUACAAGGACCAAAUAUAAUGACAUCCUAGUCAAAUAUGUACAAAGAUAAUUGGACCCAACCUUGGCCCAUUGGCUCAAAAAUCUACCUUGAGGUUCAUGAGAACCCUAGGGCCUUCUUCAGUAGCUCUAGCCCAAUCUUCUUAGAGCCUCUUGCUCAUGGCUCUAGUGACUGGUCCCUUCCUAGGAAGGAUUGCAUCAUCCCCUUCCCCUUGAAGAGGAUUUGACCUCAAAUAUGUUUGUUCCUCCUCCUCAAUAUCAGCUCCACCUGCAAAAGGAAUUAAAUCAGAAAUGUUAAAAGUGGUGCUGACUCCAUACUCAUCUGGGAGGUCCAACCUAUAGGCAUUGUUAUUGAUCCUCUCCAAAACCUGAAAAGGUGCAUCCCCUCUAGGGCUAAGCUUGUAUUUCCUUUUAGCAGGGAAUAUAUCCUUCCUAAGAUGGAGCCAAACCUAGUCACCCUCAUUAAGAACUAGCUCUUUUCUUCCUCUAUUGCCUUUUGUUGAAUACACCUUUGUUUGGUUCUCUAUUUGGUUCUUAACCCUCUCAUGCAACUUUUUUACAAAUUCUGACCUAGAUUCCCCUUCUUUAUGUAUAAAAGAAGUGUCCAGUGGGAGGGGAAUGAGGUCUAAGGGUGUUAGGGGAUUGAACCCAUAGACAACCUCAAAAGGGGACUGCUUGGUGGUUCUAUGAACCCCCCUGUUGUAGGCAAAUUCUACAUGAGGAAGAUACUCAUCCGAAGACUUAUGGUUGCCUUUCAGAAGCGCCCUUAAAAGGGUGGAUAAAGACCUAUUCACUACCUCUAUUUGCCCAUCAGUUUGUGGAUGACAAGUGGUAGAGAAAAGAAGUUUAGUUCCUAACUUAGCCCAUACGGUUUUCCAAAAGUGGCUAAGGAACUUAGCAUCUCUAUCUGACACAAUGGUCCUAGGCAAACCAUGGAGUCUCACAACUUCCUUGAAAAAGAGUUUUGAGAUGUGGGAAACAUCAUCCACCUUGUGGCAUAGUAUAAAGUGUGCCAUCUUGCUAAACCUAUCCACCACCACAAAGAUAGAGUCUACACCUUUUUGGGUUCUAGGAAGCCCAAGGACAAAGUCCAUACUAAUGUCUACCCAAGGUGCAGAUGGGAUGGGUAGGGGUGUGUAUAGUCCAUGAGGCAUCACCCUAGACUUGGCUUGUAAACAAGCCACACACCUAGUGCAAUGCUUAUGGACAUCUUUCUUCAUAUGGGGCCAAUAAAACUUUUCUUUGAGUAAGACAAGGGUCUUGUCUAUCCCAAAAUGGCCCAUGAGCCCACCCUCAUGGCUCUCUUUCACAAGUAAUUUCCUAAUGGAUCCUUGGGGUAUGCAAAGCUUUCCCUCUUUGAACAAAUACCCCUCAGCCAAAUAGAAUCCAUCUUGGGCCUUUUUCCCACAACUCUUGUAAAUGGGAGAGAAAUUUUCAUCUAAAGCAUACAAGUCCCUAAUAUUAUCAAAUCCUACAAUUUGAGCUCCAAGGGAGAAAAACAAUGUGUGUCUCCUAGAGAGGGCAUCAGCUACCACAUUUGUUUUUCCCUUUUUGUAUUUGAUAACAUGUGGAAAUUGCUCUAGGUACUCUACCCAUUUUGCAUGCCUCUUGUUUAACUUGUUUUGCCCUCUAAUGUACUUAAGUGAUUGAUGAUCACUAUGAAUGACAAAUUCCUUGGAAACAAGGUAAUGUUCCCAAGUUUGGAAGGCUCUUAUUAAGGCAUAAAGCCCUUUAUCAUAGGUGGGGUAGUUGAGGGUGGCACUAUGAAGUUUUUCACUAAAAUAAGCAAUAGGGUGCCCACCUUGUAACAAUACAGCUCCAACUCCCACUCCAGAGGCAUCACAUUCUAGCUCAAAAGUUUUAGAAAAGUCAGGAAGAGCUAGAACAGGUGCCUUAGUAAGCUUUUCUUUGAGCAAAGCAAAGGCUUGCUCUUGUUUUUCACCCUAGGUAAAUGUCACAUUCUUCUUCACCAGCUCAUUGAGAGGUGAUGCAAUUGUAGAGAAAUUAGGAACAAACCUUCUAUAGAAGCUUGUUAACCCAUGGAAGCUCCUAAUAUCUCCCACACUUUUUAGGGUGGGCCAUUCUUGGAUGGUCUUGAUUUUCUCAGGGUCCACUUGGACCCCAUUUCUUCCAACUACAAAACCUAAGAAAACUAUAUUAUCUACACAAAAGGUGCACUUCUCUAUAUUUGCAUAGAGGUUGUUUUUCCUAAGGACUGAAAGAACUUGCCUGAGAUGUCCUAAGUGAUCAUCUAGGCUCCUACUGUACACUAAAAUAUCAUCAAAAUAAACAACUAAAAAAAUACCUAUGAAAUCCCUUAAGACAUUAUGCAUAAGCCUCAUAAAGGUGCUUGGUGCAUUAGUGAGCCCAAAAGGCAUCACUAGCCAUUCAUACAAACCAAACUUGGUCUUGAAAGCGGUUUUCCACUCAUCACCCUUUUUCAUCCUGAUUUGGUGAUAACCACUUUUAAGAUCAAUUUUUGAAAAGAUAUUGGCACCAUGCAACUCAUCAAGCAAAUCAUCAAGUCUAGGAAUGGGGUUCCUAUACUUUAUAGUAAUAUUGUUGAUGGCCCUGCAAUCUGUACACAUUAUCCAUGUACCAUCCUUUUUGGGCACCAACAACACUGGCACAGCACAUGGGCUUAGGCUCUCUUGGACCCAGCCCUUCUCCAACAAUUCUUUAACCUGAGACUCUAUCUCCUUAGUCUCCUGAGGGUUAGUCCUAUAGGCUGGCCUAUUAGGAAGGCUUGCUCCUAGAACUAGAUCUAUUUGGUGUUCUAUUCCCCUUAAAAGAGGUAGCCCAGGGGGUAUCUCUUUGGGAAAUAUAUCACCAAAUUCAUGUAAGAGUUCUUGGACCUUUGGGGGUAAGGUCUCAAAUGUAGGAAUUGUGGCAGUGCUAAGGGAUGUUUCCCUUGAUAGGAGAAGGUAGAAAGAUUGUUUAAGAAGGAGUGCUCUUUUAAUAUCACCUUUUGUUGCAAAAUGAUUUCCCUUCUUAACAAUAUUCUUGGAGGAAUCCUUUUCCUCUUUUUCCUUCCCCUUGGCCUUUGAAGACAAGGCCUUACUAUCCUUCUUUUUCUUUUGUUUUUCUUCCUCAUCCCUCUUAUCUUUCAUAGUUAGUUGAUCUUUGGCCACUUGUGAAGGUGUUUGAGGAUGCAACACAAAUUUAGUGCCGAGAUGGGUGAGGGUAAUCUCAUUAGUUAGGCCAUUGUAAAUGAUCUUCCUAUGAAAUUGCCAUGGCCUUCCUAAAAGAAUAUGCCCUGCCUCCAUGGGAACUAUAUCACAAUUAACUUCAUCCUUAUAUGUCCCAAUGGAGAAAGGUACCUUCACUUGUUGGUUAACUAUCAUUUCCCCUUGCUCACUGAGCCAUUGAAGUUUAUAAGGUUUUGGGUGGGGAAUGAUAGUGAGGUUCAACUUGGAAACUAAUCUUGUGCUACAACAAUUGCAACAAGAUCCACUAUCCACAAUGAGAGAACAAUUUUUAUCUAAAAUUUUGCAUCUUGUAUGAAAGAUGUUCUCUCUUUGGGAUUGAGAUAUAUCACAAGAUUGACCUCCAAGGAGCCUUCUAACCAUUAAGAGGUCACCUUCUUCAUGGGGGUAGACUUCCACUAGAGGAAGGGCAAGAAGUAGUCUCCUCUUGACUACUAUAAAUGUCUUGACCCCUCAUGAUCAUGGUUUUCUUUGUGGGGCAUUGAGAAGCAAUGUGACCUCUCCCAAGACAUUUGAACCAUUUAAUGUGUCUAGUCCUUUCUUGGGAACUAGUCUUAGGGGUGUAUUUCUCUAUGGUCUUACCCUUAUCUUCCUUGGGUUUUAAAGGUGCAGCCCCCAAAAUUCCAUGGGCUUGGUCCUUCCUUGGAUAAGAGUGAGAGCCAUAAGAUUUUGAAGAAGGCUUUCUUCUAAGUUGCUGCUCCACUCUUAUACAAAGUUGGACUAGCUCAUCUAGGUCCCUAUAUGGAAGAAGUUCAACCUUGUCCCUCACUUCUAGAUUAAGCCCACUAAGGAACCUAGCUAUGCUUGUUCUUUCCUCCUCCCUAAGUCCAGCUCUUAAAAGGAGUAGUUCUAUUUGUUGUCUAUAUUCUUCAACACUCAUACUCCCUUGUCUAAGCCUUUGGAGCUUGUCCAUAAGCUCUCUUUCAUAGUAGGAGGGAAUGUGCCUCUUCCUAAGGGCACUCUUAAGAUCAUUCCAAUACUCUACUGGAGGAUCCCCAUGAAUCCUUCGUUCCCUAACAAGGGAAGUCCACCAAUAGAGGGCAUACCCUUGAAAGCUAAGGGUAGCCAAUGGAACUUUUCUCUCUUCGCUAAUAUGAUGGCAAGCAAAGAGUUGUUCAACCUUCAUUUCCCAAUCUAAGUAGGCCUCAACAUUAUAUUUUCCAUGGAAAUAUGGGAGGCUAAUGUUAACCUCUUGAGGCCUUCUAUCCUUUUCUCUUUUUUGGGAGUGAUGUUUAGUAUGUGAACUAUGGCGCCCUCUAUAAUAGUCGCUAAGUUCUUCACUUAAACUCUUGCAAGAGUCAUGACUACUAAAGGAGGCAUGUUUUUGUUUUUCCAUUUCUUUCAUUAUUUUUCUUCUUUCUUCCUCUCUUAUUUUCUCUCUUUCAUCUUGACUUAUUUCUUCCACUCUUUUUUUACCUUUUUCUUUUCUCUCUUGUUUUUCUUUCCACAACUUAAGAGAUCUCAACUCAUCUAAUAUCUUAUACAAGGGGUCCUUAGGAGUAGAACCCUCACCAUUAACACUAGAUGAAGAAUGAAGACUCAUGUUGGUUCCUAAGUUAUGGUUCUUUCUUGUUGGGGGUUUGAAAACAAAAGGUAAAAGAAACUAUGGUUGAAACUAGCCAAAAUAAACACUAAAAGAGGUGUGAAAGAUAAGGUAAAAACUAAUUGGUAAAAGGCAAGCUAUCUAGGCGGUUUGACAAAGGAGGGUAAAGGAAAUAAGCUAUGAAAGUAAGCAAGAAAUUAAAGUGCAAGAAAUGCAAACUAUGCGGAUCCUAAGAGUGUUUGGAUGACCUCAUUUAAGGUUCCCAACAAAACACUCACUAUCCUAAGGGAAAUUGCCUAAAAUUAUUACACACAAAUGGAAGUAGGGUGACCUAGCGGAGGCUCCCAACUUACUUCCAAUGAAAGGCCUUUUUGUUACAAAAUUUGAAAGCAAAGCAAAUUGACAAUUACAAAAUUACAAAGAAAAAAAGUCCUCAAUUGUGGUGGCUAUUCUCUCUUUAGUGUUUCACUCAAUUUGGAGUGCUUCUUAGUCCAAUAGCUCUUAAGGUGGUUGGCCCCUUGCUUCUUGACUCAAAUUCUUCAAGAUAUGACACCAAUCCUCCUUUCCAAUUCCCUAUAUGGCAACUCACAAGCAAGGAAACAAAGAGACAAGCAAUAACCAAAGACCAAAAAAAAUGAAAUGAAAGCUAAACCAAUAUAGUUUUAGCAAGACAAAUUUUCAAGGAUUAUUCAACAAUUAAAGCAAUGAAAAGCACAAAAAAGCAAGCUAGGACUCAAUGAGAAACCUAGAAUGGCUCUAGAGUAGAGUAGAAAAACUAAAAAAAAAAAGACUCAAGAAACCUCUAGUUUUGGCACUUUUUUCACAAUAAUUUUCUAUUGAAAUUUCAGAACUAGGAUUGGUAUAAAAUAGGCACCAAUUAUAGAACAAAUUUUGAGCCAAAACAACAAGCACACUUCCCUUUCACUUUUUUUUUCCUGGACACUGAUUUUUCUGCCAACUUGUGUGAUUUUUCUUAUUUUUUCCUUUAAUCCAAAUCGCUUGGUUAUUUUUUUAUAAUUUUUUUCCAGAUUUCUAGAAAAUUCAUUAAAAAUUUCAGCUCAAACAACGUAGUGACCAAUUCCCAGUAAUUUAUACAAUUUCGUAUGUUCAAGCUGCCAGCACCAGCGAUUUCAACCUAGAAAUCAAGAGUAGUGUUUAUGUUGCUUAAGGCUUGGAUAGUUACAAUUUGUGUUUGCUUAUGCUCAAUUAUCUUGAAUAACACAAAUCAAGAGAGCUUAAGACUUAUUUGAUUCACAAAUCCAGCCACAACUCAGCACCACAACUCAACUUCAUCAUAGGCAUCAUGUAGGUAACUUAGAAAACAAAAAAAAAAGAGUUCAACAACAAGACUACUUCUAGGAAUUGAUUUAGAACAUGUUAUGAACUAAAUAACAUGCAUGAAUUAGACUCAAAAUUCAAAAGAUAGGCUAAGAAUGACAAGAAUACAUGAACAAAUGUAUCUAGAAUUCAAUCAACAAAAUAAAAAUUUAACACAAACUUAGAACAUAAUGUGACAAUUACUAUGACUAAACAUGACUCUAAGACAACAUGGAUUAAGUGAUUUACACUUAGAUUUUUGUGUUUUUUUUUUCUAAUCAAUAUUUUGGAAGAAAAUUUAGAUCUAAGGUUCAGCACAAGAAUAUUAUGAAUGAAAAAAUGAUAGAACCUAAAAUCAACACAAAAACAUGAUUCAAGAGUAGAUCUACAAAAUUUGAACCAUAAAAAUGCAAGAACAUGUGUAGAUCUAAGAUUUAAUCGAUUUUUUUUUUGAAUCUACUCUAAACAGCACCAAACCACAAGACAAUGGAGGAUAUACAUGGAGAAUAAGAUGAAGAACAAGGAAUUAAAGAGAAUUCACCGAACAAAAAGAUAGAGGAAGCAAAAGAACAUCACCUAGAUGAAGAUGCUCUGAUACCACAUGAUGUAAGCUCCAUUGGAGCUUGUAGGCCUAGGAUCUUCUUCAUCAAUGGAUUCCUUUGCUUCUUGGAAGAUGAAUGGCAUCGGAAUGGAGAAGGGAAAAGAGAGAGGAGACGCCACUUCAAGGAGAAGAUGAGUCUAGAAGAAGCUUACCACCAUUGGAGGCCAUGGAUAAGAGCUUGGAGGAAGAAAGAGAUGAAUGAAGGGAGAGGGAGAGAAAAGCAUGAAAUUUUUUGUGCUAAAUGAGCUCUGAAAUCUGAAGUCUAAUAUUCAAAUGAUCAAAGUUGAAAAAAAUGCACACACAUGACCUCCAUUUAUAGCCUAAGUGUCACACAAAAUUGGAGGGAAAUUUGAAUUUCAAUUCAAAUUUCACUUGAAUUUGAAAUUGAAUUUGUGGAGCCAAACUUUGGAGCCAAAAUUUCACUAAUUAUGAUUAGUGAAUUUUAGUUAUGGUUCAGCCCACUAAUCCAAAAUCAAUUCCAAGAUUCUCCACUAAGUGUGCUUAGGUGUCAUGAGGCAUGUAAAGCAUGAAGAACAUGCACAAAUGUGACUAUAUGAUGUGGCAAUGGGGUGUAGUAAGCAAAUGCUCAGCUCCCCCUCUAAAAUUUAAUUGGAUUGGACUUCUACCAAUUCAAUUAAAUUUAUUUCCAACCACACAUCAAAUAUUCACUCAGUGCAUGUGAAAUUACAAAACUACCCCUAAUACAAAAACUAGUCUAGGUGCCCUAAAAUACAAGGACUGAAAAAUCCUAUAUUUCUAGGGUACCCUACCUACAAUAUGGGGCCCUAAGUACAAGGACCAAAUAUAAUGACAUCCUAGUCUAAUAUGUACAAAGAUAAUUGGACCCAACCUUGGCCCAUGGGCUCAGAAAUCUACCAUGAGGUUCAUGAGAACCCUAGGGCCUUCUUCAGUAGCUCUAGCCCAAUCUUCUUGGAGCCUCUUGCUCAUGGAUCUAGUGACUGGUCCCUUCCUAGGGAGGAUUGCAUCAACUAAGCAGGCUGUCCUUAAGGCCUUCAACAAGUACAACAUUUUCAAUGGAGGUUGAAGAAUUCGUACUUAUUUUUCCAACUCCAAGAAUUCUACCUUUGUUGUUGUCACCAUAAGUUACAUGCUCGCUUUUCUUGGAAGAGAUAUGUGUGAACUUUGAUGCAUCUCAUGUCAUAUGUUUUGAGCACCCGCUAUCUACGUACCACUUUUUCCUCAAAGGUUCCUACAACAUCAACAUUGUGACUUAGGUACCCAAUCUUUAUUGGGUCCUUGAGUGUUAGUGUGAACAACGGAUCCUUUUGGGACCCAAAUCAUUUUAAUAUUUUUGUAAUUAUUCCUAAAAUAGCAUGUAGAUAUGCCAUGUCCUUUUCUUCCACAAUAAAAACAUGUAAUGAAAGGAGAAUUAUAUUUUUGUGUGGAAGAAAAGAAAUUUUUAUAAAACUUUUGUUGUUUUUCUGGUUUAUAUCCAAUCCCUGCUUUAUAAAAAAUACAUCUUUGUUUUCCUAAUAUAAUAUCUAGGUUGUUUUUGCCACUCGAAAAUUUGGCAAGUGAAUUUUUCAAAUUUUUAAUUUCUUCUACAUAUUUACUACAAUAUUCACAUGAAUUUUCUUUUUCAAUAGUCAUAGUAGAAGCAUGAACUUUAUCACUUGAUAUAGAGAUUCACACUUCAGUCUUAAGAUGAUCUAACUCUUUAUUUAACUUUGAAAUCUCUUUCUCUAAAUCUGAAAUAGUUUUUUUAAAUGAAGAAACAAGUUUUGCAAGUUUAAUAGAUUCGCUAUGUAAUUCAGCAAAUGCAUCUUGUAACUCAUCAAAAGAAAUAGAUUUGUUAGAAGAAGUUACCUCUUCGUCGCUUUCAUAGUUUUUGCCCAUUAGACAUAGAGUAAUCUCUUCUUUUUCAAAAUCAUCAGACGAUUCUAAGUCGUUAUCAUCCCAUGUGAUGUAGGCCUUCUUUGCCUUCUUUUCUCCAAUGUUCUUGUUUUCAAACUUUUCCAUUCUUUUCUUAAAGAUUGGACAAUCAACCCUCAGAUGUUCGGGUUGAUUGCACUCAUAGCAUCUUAGAGUUUGGGAUGAUUCUUCAAUCCUUCUUUUAGGUUUGAAGUUUUGUUUUCUUUGAGUUCCUCUCAUCCUAAGGAAUUUGUUGAAUCUUUUGACAAAGAGAAUAAGAUCAUUUUCAUCCAAGUCAAUUGAAUCUUCAUUAUCACUUUCUUCUUGGAUUGAAGAUGAGGUUUUAAGAGCAAUUCUCUUCUUCUUCUUAUCAUUUUCUUCAUGUUAAUUUAAUCUCAACAGUUCCAUUUUGUAGCAAGAGACAUGUUAGUUAAAUCUCGUGACUCAGUAAUGGCUAUUACCUUAGGUUGUCAUUCCCUACUUAAACAUCUCAAUACUUUAUUUAUGAGAUCCUCGUUUGGAAAUAUUCUUCCUAAUGAUGCAAGAUGAUUAACUAUAUGUGUGAAUCUUUUCUGCAUAUCUUGUAUACUUUCAUUUGUCUUCAUUCUAAACAAUUCAUACUCAUGAGUUAAAGUAUUUAUCCUAGAUCUUUUAACAUCAGUAGUGCCCUCAUCUGUAACUUGUAGAGUGUCCCACAUAUCUUUAGCACUCUUACAUUUUGAAACCCUAAAAUAUUCAUCCAUUCCUAGGGUAGAUGUAAUUAUGUUUUUGGCUUUUAAGUUAUAUUGUACUCAUCUUCUAUCUUCCUCACUCCAAUUUUCCCUAGGCUUUUCUGUUGUAUUUUCAGCCACCAUGGUGGGUACAUAAGGUCCUAUUUCUAUGGAUUCCCAAAUGUUUAAGUCUAUUUCCUCAAUGAAGAUUUGCAUUCGGGUUUUCCAGUAGGGGUAACCCUCUCCAUUAAAAAUAGGAGACCUAUUUAUUGAAUUUCCUUCUGGGAAUAAAAAGUUUGUUGAGGUCAUUAUUCUUGAAGCUUCUAAACUUUAUACAAGAAUGAAGCUCUGAUACCACUUGUUAGACAAGUGGCCUCAGAUAUUUUAAGAAGGGGGGGUUGAAUUAAGAUAUUACAAACUAUUUCUCCAAUUAAAAAUUCUACUUUGAUUUUAAUGCAAGUUCCAAGUUCCCUUAAAGAUGAGUUUCUAAAUGAUAAUUCAAAUUAAACAAUCUGAAUGUAAAUGCUAAGCAACAAUAAAUAAAAGAUUUUAAGGGAAGAGAAAGUGCAAACACAAUUUUUAUACUAGUUCGGCAAAGUCUGUUGCCUACGUCCAGUCCCCAAAAAACCCGCUUGGAAGUUUUACUAUCUCACAAAUCCUUUACACUUUCUAAAACACACAAGGACAGUCCUUCCUUUGUGUUCUGAUUCUUUACAACAAGAGACUCUCAGUCUCUUAGCCCUUUGAUUAGAAAGAGAAGAAGAAAAAGAAGAUGAUCUCUCUUGAAAGAGAUAGAUGUUUACAACGAAGCACUCAAUUCCUUAUUGAAUAACACAAGUGUUUGGCCAAGGAAUGUUGUAUGAUAAGAUAUUUUUGUUUGAGAGGAUUAUGCCUUUUGAGAAAUGGAAAAAACUCUCAGAGAAUUUCGUGCCCAAGUCACAUAUAUAUAGGCCUCUGAUGGCCAUUCAAAAUUUAAAUGAGAAGAUAAGACUGUUGGGAAUUAUUUUCGAAAAUCCUUACUGGUAAUUGAUUACCAACUCACUGUAAUCGAUUACACAACUUCCACUUCCACUUCCAACUUCAACUUUAAGUAACUUCCACUUCCAACUUCCAACUUCCAUUUUCAACUUUCACUUCCAACUUCAACUUCCAGUAACUUCCACUUCCAACUUCCAACUUCUAACUUCCAUUUUCAACUUUCAACUUCCAAUAACUUCUACUUCCAACUUCCAACUUCCAGUAACUUCCACUUCCAACUUCCAACUUCCAUUUUCAACUUUCAACUUCCAAUAACUUCCACUUUCAACUUCUAGUAACUUCCACUUCCAACUUUCAACUUUGAAAUUUAAAUUCAAAUUUCUUAUGGCUGUUUUAAAAUGUUCCAAAUCACUGAUAAUCGAUUACAAGCCAUGUGUAAUCGAUUACAUGCUUUCUAAAACAUUUUAAAACAUUUAAAAGCUUUUUAGAAAGCAUUUUGGUCACUGGUAAUAUAUUACAGCCUCUGGUAAUUGAUUACCAAAGAGUAAAUCUCUUUUAAGAACAAUUUAAAUCAAAUUCUUUGGCCAAACCUUUUGAUGUUUCAACUUGGAAGAUUCUAGAGGUUUUCUUGAUCAUAUAUCUUGGAUUUCUUGGAUUGAAUAAGACUUGAGAAAUGCAUUCCUUUGGCAUCAUCAAAACAUCUUCUUGAAGCCUUGCUUCUACAUAUAUACUUUUUUAAAAGAAAUAAAUAAAUCUAUCUAUAUACUAUAAGUAAAUAAAGUUUGAACAACUGUCAAAUUAACAUUUUAAACUUCAUAAUAUUCGUUGAUCUGAAGCUCACUUAGGAUUAUUUUAACAAUUGAUCAAAACUUAUAUUUCAUAAUAGCGGUUGAUUUUAGUCAAUUUGAUUUAAUGUUAAUGUUUAAAAAAUAUUUUAUAGAAUCAAUUCUUCUUGCUAUUUCAUUAUUUAUAUGUAAUAAACAUUUUUAUUUCAUUACAAAUCCAUUCGUUUAUUCAGCUUUGGAAAAGUGAAUAAACAUUUAAAUCAUAACCAUACAUUUUUCCUAUCUUAUAUGUUCUUUAACACAUAUUUUCAUUUGCUCAUUGUUUUUCUUCUUAACCUAAUACUUUUUUAAUGUCUUAAUUGACUUACAACUAUGCGACUAACAAUGACCCUUUUUGCGUAAGUGAGAAGUGAAAGUUCUUAUAACAAUGCAUCAUCCAAUAAUUUUGACGAGGAAUAGAAUUUGGAGACGAAGAACUAUCUACUAUUUUAACAUCGCGUAACAACUAUAUAUAUAUAUGUACAUCAUCUCAUGCUAUAUUUUUUAUUGUUUAUGAUUUUAUAAUCUCUUUGCAUUUGUUUAGUUUCUCAUUUUACUAUAGACUAAUUUAGUCUACUAAUGCAAAUGUUGCAAUAAAUUAGUCAAACCGUUCAACAUACUAACAAUUUGAUCCUUAAAGUAUCAUUCAUACUUAAUGUCUGAGUGAUCCAAAAAUUAUAUUACUUACUGACAAAUUAGUCCACGACAUACAUGCUUGUAAUAAAUAGUUGGAUUAAUUUGCAACUUUUGCAUAUUUGUGUUUAAGGACUAAGACACACACAAACUAAUGUGUAUAUAAAUUUAUAGAAUCAAACUUAAUAAUAACUAUAGAAUUGUACUUACCAAAAUUUGGAGUUGAGUGAGGUUAGGGUCGACAUGGUCAAGAGGGAUUCCACAAUUUCACACUUCGGACUAUAGACUAUAGGUACCCUCUAUUAGGUUAGGAGAACACGGGGGGAAUCUACAAGAUGUUCAAGUAAUUGAGUUGAGAAUGAAAUGAAAAUAAAAUGGUGAGAUAGAACCUGAUAUUUAUAAAGUCAGAUAUGAGCUUUAGGUCCUUGUUUACAUAAUUUCAGAUAAUUCCUAUUUUGUAGAUAAGUUGUGACUUAUAACAUUAUCAAUAUUCAAAUAUUGAGGUAUAUAGAGUUAACAUGUUGUCCUAGUAGCCCGACUGCUAAUUGCGAUGUGUCCAUGCUCCUAUGAUAGGACUAACAUAAAGGAUUAACGUGUGUAUGGAAGCGUUAGGUCGCUUGUCAUGUUCAGAACCCAGGCAAUGCAAGAACCAGAUUAAUUGAAUAGCCAUUUAAAGAUUAGAAUUCUAAUAAAGAUUUAGAAGACAAAAAAAUUAAAUUUAUGUGUACAUUUUUAUGCCACCAAAUUUAGGUAGAUGUAUAUGUAUGAGAGAAGAGAGAAUUUAUAAAUUAAUACUAAUCAGAAAUGAGAGCGAGAAAUUUUUGUUUUUUUAAAUUGAAUGGUAAAUUAUCAUUAUAUCUCUAAAUAAAAAUUGCUAAAACAAAAGAAUUUAUUAUUUUUCUUUCAAAAUUUAUGAUAUUGAUUAUUAAUGUAAUUAUACUAAAAAAAGAUAUAAUUUCAUGACAUAUUUCUUUUUAAAAAUCAAUAUGUAUAUAUAUUAACAAAUCCCACAUUUUAUGUUUUUUAAGAAGUCUCACGAGCUGCACCAGGUGUAUUUUAAAAUUAAAAUAAGUAGUUAUUAUUAGUUAACGCAUUCCUUCCGAACAAAACAGACGGGUGUACGUCAGCAAACUCGUGUGUGUGAUGAGUGAUGACUAAUGACUAAUGAGGAAGGUUCUCGUUAUUAGCUGUUUAUGAGUUAAGCAUUCAUUUGCGCGUUGAUAAAUUUGACCGGGACUUACUUCAUAGUUGGAGACGAGGACCCGGUUGGCAUAUAUAAAACACUUUUUGCUUUAAUACAAUACAAUAGAAGGCUAUGAAUAUGAAGAUGUCAUACUCUGCCUUGCUAGUUUUGUUCCUUUCGCUUACCUUCUUCACCCCUUCGACGCUUGCUUGGUUGUGGCCAUGGUAUUCUCCUUUGCGACCUCCUUCUUGUCCUGAUGGUGGUUGUAGGAUACCACGGCUACUCCCUACUUAUAAGCCCCCACCAUUGUAUAGAUCUACUUCCAAGGGGAAACCACUCCCUACUUAUAAGCCCCCACCAUUGUAUAGAUCUACUUCCAAGGGGAAACCUUAAGAUCGAUCAAUGUCCCUAUAGUACUCUUUGCAGCAGCAGCAGCAGAAUGUGUCUACCUCAUCUUCAGUUAGUGUGCUUAUUAGAAUAAUUUAACUUUCUCAAAUGCAUUAGUGAAUAUCGUGAUGUGUCUUAAGCUUGUAUCUGG